rnacentral:lncRNA from 1 species
GAAUCCAACAAUUAACAUAGUUCAUUGACGCCUAGACCUUAACCUUAGAUUGAGCCCCUGGUGCCUUUUGGUUUAUCCUCUUCUAUUCUUCUAUGGUGCUUUUUAAAUCCUCUUGUGAUUGUCUCUGUCAUGGGCCUCAAAGGCUUUCAAAAUUUUUGGGCCCCCCACCCGCUUCCACAACGGUCCGCCAUUGAAUGCAUUUGCCAUAUCGUGCAAACAUGUUGCUUCGACAAGAGACUUUUCCAGAAAGAAGGAAAGAAUGAAACAGAACUGAUGGCAGACGUCAAAAUUUACAUUUUCUUUUUAUUACAAAUUUUUAUUUAAAUUUAAGUUUAUAUAUAUUGAGAACUAGCAAUUGACGCUUGUGGUGUUAUGAAAGAACAAAUAGUAAAGAUUUUUAAUUUUCCUCUUGCCUUAAAUUGUGCACUGUUGUAUUUCAAUUUUUUUCUACUUAAAGAAAAUAUAAAAUAUUUUUUCUAUAUUUACUCUGCGUGCAGUAGCUGACUUUUUUUUUCUUUUGUUUUCUCUCUUUUCAUGGUUUUGUCAUGUAUAAAAAGUAAGAACUAGUAUGGUACAUAAGGCUAUAAACAAAAAUUAAUGAUAAUAAUUUGUAACUAACAUCAUUUUGGUUGGUUGUUGUGCAAACAAGUCAUCCUUCCAAGUCUUAAUUUCUAUGCAACGUGCUUUUUACUUUGAUUUGAAUGAUCAUAGCCGGAACAGUUACUUUUCAACACGUAUAUUUUACUAAUUGAAAGCAACUUUACUAGCUGUUAAGGGCUGAAGGCAUUGUUUUGCCCAAUCGACACUCUGAAGGUUUGAGUUUUUGAUUUUUCUAGUGCACUCAAACCAAUCCCACAACAUUGAAGUGGAGCCCAUGCUUUCAGCCCCUAACAUGGGUUUUAUGAGUGUAUACGUUUAAACGUUGAAGCUUUUUCUUGCUUCACUGUACUGGUCUUGACUUUGAACGAACUUUGCUUUAAAACUCACUGGUUAGCACAUUUUCUGGACACACAUCAAGUGAAAGCGACUUUAGUUGCCUUCCAUGGUUCGUCGCUAACCAUCGCUUAAAGCUGUUAGGCAGAGAAGGAUUGUGUGGCAUCUAUAUGUUGCUUUUUAAUUUGUGGACUUGACAGCAAACUUUAGGCAAAGUUAAGUCUUCUUGAGCUAAGCUACGUACCAAAACCAGCCCCGCAACGUGUACGAAGGGACAUUAAAUUUGAUCCUUUGAACUUUGAAGUUCGCUGAUGGGAAGGCAGGUGGAGCACGUCACAGCUAUUUCUAAGAAAAUGUGGUCAUGGGUCUUUGGAUUGGACUUAAUGGGUAUUAGUUGAACGUAUGCUUCGGUUUUGAUAGUUGCCUUUGAGGCCCCAUUUGAUGGCGCACCUUCAAAUUUGGCCCCAUUUGAUGGUACUUUCUUACAUUAAUUGAUAGACUAGCCAGAUGGGUUUUGGCUUUGUGCAUGCACUUAAGUUAACAUAAAGACUUUGACUUUGAAGCAACUUAAGUAAUUCUAGAUUUAAUUUGAAGCGUUUCAAUGUGAGAUAUUUUGUAAUUCAGUUGUAGUAUAUAAGUAAAAAGUUUGAAUUUAUAUUUGUAAAGUAUUUUUUGUGAAAUAAAAUUAUAAAAUUUUUUAGCCAAUAAUAUCUAUUAAUUUAAGUGUAAUGAAUCUUUAUAAUUGAUAUAAAGCAAUUAUAAAUUAAAAGACAAAAUGCUAUACCAUAAAAAUUGCUUCAGAAUCUUAGCAAAAGAGACCCAAGUACCAUACGACAUGAGUGCCACCUUUGGAAUUCUCAUUUUUAGUGUGAUUUUAAUUUUGUGUUUAAUAUGAUCCUAAUUUUGUAUAUUCUAUAUUAAAUUUGAUAAAAACAUUAAACUUUAAUCAAGAAAUUUAAAACGUCCAAUCUUAUACCAAAAUAUUUUAAAAAUUUAUUAUGAUAUAUAUGUAUAAAUCUAAAUUUAAAAAUUUUAAAAAUUUUUAAUUAAAAUAAAUAAUAUUUCAUGAGCAGAUAUAACAUAAAAAUUGUAAAGAGCGAGAUAUCAUUUUCUGGUUGAAGGCUCUAGGUAAUCUUGCUUUUCCCCCAUUUUGGCAUUAACAUUUUGAGAUUUAGGGUACUGAUUAAUAUUUUUUAGAGAAAAAAAAAAGAAAUAGUACUCCCUUUGUCUUAAUUUAUUUAUAUCCAAAUUUGGUUCUUUUGAUCAAAAUUGAUUGAACUUUUUACCUUCAAUUAUUAAAUUAUUUGAUUGAUUAAUUCAAAAUUUAAAAAAGUUUUAAAUUAUUUUCUUGAGUACAUAAGGAUUUUGAUUUGCAUUAAUAUGAGAAAGUUUUCUCCAUAAUUUUAUUAAUAAAUAAUUAAAAAUUAAUAUAAAUUAAAAUAAAUUUUAUUUAUUUAUUAAUUUUAUUAUAUAAUAAUAAAAUUUAUUUAUUAAUUUAUUAUAUAAUAAAAAAUCAAAAUGAAAAAAAUAAAUGAGAGAAUUUUAAGUAGAGAUAUCAAAUGGACUAUACUAAGUCGACACUGCCUAUUUAAAUAUUAGUCCAUAUAUUAAUGGAUUAUGUUGGCUCAAUGCUGUUUUUUAAUGUGUCGUGCUGGCAUAGCCCAUGAAGUUAAAGGUAUGACCUAGAAAUGGCAGAUGGUUUGUAAUUUUCUUAGGUCAUACCGUGCUAGUUACAAUAUUAUUUUUCGUGUUGAGUUAGGCCUAGCACAGUCUAAUAAUAUUUUUUUCAAAAUUUUAAUUAUUUUUUUAAAAUUCUAUCUAUUAUUAUUAAAAUAAUAUGUAGGAGAUAAUAAACAUAUAAUGAAAUAAAAAGACACAUAAUUUAUAUGGUUUGGCAAAAUGUCUAUGUUUAUGAAAAUGGAUAAUAGAAUCCAUUUAAUAAAGAUAUUGAAAUUACAAUCUUAAUAUCUAAAAAAUGCAUAAACACAUCAUUUAUCCAAUGGCCAAUAAUACACAUAUAACCAAGGUUUUAUCGACUGGUCCAAAUUAGAAAUAAGUAAAAUUCUCAAAGAAAUUUUUUAUAAACAAGAUAUUAUAAGAAAAAAUAUUUUAAAAACAUCUGAUCUAUUAGUAUUUUUAGCAACUAUUUUAUAAUUGGAUAAUAUACCAUUUCUAAUUAAAUUUAGCUAAUAGAUUACAUCAAUUAUUUUGUGAAAAAAAUAAAAUGCAUCUAAAAACCUAUUAGGAUGCUAACUAAGUGUAAUUUGUUUAGGAUCAUUAGAAACGACGAUGCAGCCUCAUAUUUUUUCUUAUCCCUUUUUAGAUAACUAGUCCAUCAUUUUGUUUUACAACUAAAAUCUUAUAUAUUAUCUAUAUAUAAAAAUAUGAACUCUAAAAGUAAUAAUAAUGAACGAUCAAAAUACCCUUAGUAAAAUUUUUAAUAAAUUUUAAUUAAAAUAACUUUUGUUAUUAUUAAAUAUCUAUUGAGAUAAAUUAUAAUUUGAACUCUUUUAUUAUUAUACUUCUUAAACAUUGUAUUUAAACUCUUUUUUUUAUUAUUAUUAGACUUCUAUUGAGUCAUAAAAAAGAAUUGACCAUUAAUUACAAAUACAAAAAGAAUUAAAUAUUCAAGCUCCUUUAGAGAAACAAUUUGCAAUAUUAACUAGAAAUUUUCUUUUUCACAUUAAUAUUAGAUUUUUUACUACCCCCGUUCAGAUAACUUUGCAAAUAAUACUAAUUUUCAAUUAAAGUUAGUUAAUUUAAUUAUUUUUUCUUUGAUUUUAGAGUGUUUAAUGCUUUGGCACCUUUUGUUAAACUAAAUACAAAUUUAUAAUUAUAAGAAACAUUUGCAAUUUUUCUAUAAAAGUACAUGAUUGGAGACUUGAGAAUUCAGAGAGCAAAGGUUUCAGCAUUGUAGGGAAAAAGAUCAAGUGCAUGAAUCAUCACUAUUUAAGGUACAUUUACUUUUUCCCAUGCAACUUAAAUAGAUUCUUUUAGUUAGGUUUUGUAUCAUUUUUAAUAUGACAUUUAAAAUUAUUGAGCAGCAGAAACAAUAAAGUUAAAGGUCUUAUAAAUUACUUAGUUUAAAAAGUGUGGUUAGGACCUGCUAGAAGAAACAUUUACCUUUAGUUGAUUUAAGUUCCAGAGGUUUAUAGAAGUGAAUCUCGAAAUAGACACAAAUGAGAAAUCAUUAGCUUGGAUGAUCAUUAUAAAAUAUUUUCUAGAGCUUUCAGAGGUAGUUGUUUCAUUUGAUAACAAAACAAUUUGACCUUUUUGUUUUAGAUUUUUUUUUUAAAAAAUGAUCAAUUAAGUUAGAAAACAUCUCAUAAAACUCAGACUAAAAAAAUGAAGGUUGAAUCAUUAAAUAACGAAAAACACUUUGACUUUUCUUUGUUAGAUUCAAAAAAGAAAAAGAUAUGGGUUUUCACCUCGUAUAAAGAUAGAUCUACACAGUGAUAACCAUAAAAAAUAGAAAGUAAAAUAGAUUCCAAAGAAGCAAACUCAAUACUGUUGCUAAAACUAUGCAUGAAUCCCUUUGAUAUGCCUAUAUCAUUAACAAUAUCUAAGGAAGAGUAACUAGGUAUUUGGAAAGAAAUAUAAUUAAUAAGUCCAUGUUCACGAGUCUAAUAAGAUGAUGUAACUAUGGAGCCAUUGUACACCAAAAAAAGAGAAAACAUUUUAACACAGAAUAAUUAAACAAGAUACAAACCUAAAUUACUACUAAUGUUGAAAUGAUAAUACAAGAUAUGUAGCAUUUACAACUUUCAUUUAAAUAUAAAAACCAAGAAAAUGUGUGACCAUGAUUAGAGAUUAAAAAAAGGGGGAGGGUAGGCAAGGGAUUACCUUGUAGCAUGUUAUUGACAUAGAAAGACUUAAAGACAUAGAUGUUAGUGAAAUAUGACAGAAAAGCAAUGCAAAUGAAUUGAAGAUAGAAGGCUAAAUUACUACAUAUAUAAGUGUGAUUCUAAUGAAAACCCAAUUUCUUGGAAGCAAUAAUCAUUAACAUAAAGUUCUGUUUCAAUAAUCAAUCAUUUAUAUUUACAUUUACAUAAUUUCUAUGCAUAUUUACGAGUCAGUAGAACAUGGUUUAUGCUUUAACCAUCAUAAAAUCUCUAUUAAUAGUAUUUACUGAUUGCAUAAUGAAAGUAAUAGAAAGCAGAAGUACCUAGACUCCAUCUAUUGAACUUAAUCGGCUAAUGUUCUUCGUAAAUAUUCACAAUUUGAAAAUCCCCUAAAAUGAACCAACUCUCUAACUUUUUGCAAUAUUUCCUUGAACAAAUACAAACAGCAAAUUCUUUUAAGGAUUAAAAAUGACAUUCAUGAUGUAUAAAAUGUCUACCUACAUACAUCAUACAUCUAUUAGAGAUACAUGCAUAAGUUCACAUUCAUGCAUGCCAUAUGUAUAUGUUGUUAAAUUAACUGUCAUUAAAGGAGAUUUAAUAUUGAAUAUGUCACCUGAUAAGUACUAAACUAGAAAAGUUUUACAUUUUUACAUCCUUAAUCAACAUGUUUAGCAUCAUUUGAAUUUAAUAUACAUAAUGUCAUUAUCAUCCAAAAGUUUAGAUAAGGUUAGACAUCAAAUAGUAUCUUUUAAAUGAAAACUUUUAUGUCAUUUUUUGUGCAAAACUUAUGCAUGUUUAUCUUCUUAUCUUUUUAUGUAAAAAAAUCUUCUAUUUUUUACAAAUAAGUGAUUGGCUCAUCUUUAUUAUAAAAUGGUUUGCUAAUUACUUGGAAUUUCCUACGUUCGAUUUAGCCAGAAUUAAGAAGAAAAGUUACGCAGCAAUAAAUUCUUUUAAGGUGAAACAAAAUUCAUUGAAACAUGACAAGAUAUAAAGGUUAGAAAUUUAUUUUAUUUUAUUUUUUUAAAAUUAUGUAUUUUAAUAUUUAUAUAUAAUAAACAAUUUUUUUAGAUAACAGAAGAAUUAAUCUUUCAAUUAAUAGAACAUGCAAUUACUUUCAAUUUAUGAAAGCACCAAUAGAGGAUUAUCGUAAGAAAAAAAUGACGAAAGAAUGACUUGUUAUACGUAGCUAUAUCUUUUUCAUAUGACAAACAAGGUUAGUUUUAUAUGAUUUAAAUGAAAAAAAAUAAAAUUAUUUUUAUUUCAAAUUUCUUUAGAAUUAAUGUGAAACUAUUUAUUUCGGGAAACAUUAUAUACUUAUUCAUUUUCUCCAUUACAUCAAUUGAAGAAUAUUCUAUGUUGUAACUAUUGUGGUGCUAAAAAGUUCCAAUAUGAGCCUUCAUCAUUUUGUUGUCAAACUGGUCAAGUAAAAUUAGCUACCAUUUCUAUUCCAAAAUAGUUAUACCUUCUUUUUGCAUCUCAAACUGAAAAAGCCAUUGAAUUUUGAAAGCAUAUUAGAUUUUACAAUAAUAUGUUUUCAUUCAUAUCUUUUGGAUUUAGGUAAGAUAAGGAUUAGUAUGUUUAACUCUAUUUACACCUUUCAAGCACAAAGGCAAAUAUAUCAUGAUAUUCCAUCAUUAGUUCUAGAAGAAAAUACUUCAUGUUAUUUUUAGCUAUACUUUUAUGAUACUGGUAAUGAAUUUCAAAAUAGAAUGAAAACAUAACAUAAUAAAAAUUUAAGUACAAAAGUUGUGGAGAUGUUAAUAUAAAUAGUAAAAAAAAAUUCUUAAGCCCAAGUCUUAUAGAGAUUAAAUGAUAUAUUUUCUUUUAAGGAUUUUGAAAUAUGUAUUGCAACAAAUGCUAAUAUAGAUCAAUGAGUUUAUAAUCAUUUAUUUGUGAUCAAGUUGUUGCUAUAUGAGUUAAAGGAAACAACUCAAGCAUUUCAUUUGAAGAGAUAUCAUAAUUUAUACUCAUUUAGGAAAACAAUAUAGAGUUAAAUAUUAUUUCGAUUAUUAUGACCCCUUACAGUAUCCUUUACUCUUUUCAAAUGGAAAGGUUGGUUGGCAUUAAAAUAUCAAGAAAUUUAUUUUGAAUAAUGCUAACGAGAAUGAAACAAUAAUUGGAAAUAGACCAUCUUUUCAUUCAGUAGACGAAAUUUUUGAAGGAGAAUGUAAAUGUAAUUAUUGUGAACUUAAUAUUUUUAAAAUAAUUGUAUGUUUAAUUUUUUAAAUGUUAUUUAUUUCUAAUUACUUUUAUCAUAUCAUAUAUAGCAAAAUUUUUGUGUAGAAUUUGUUACUUUCAUUGUUAGUAGAUCAUUUUAAAAUUCUCACUUUCUUAUAUAAAAUUAUACUUUGCUAAUUGGUAAAAAGAUACAUACACUAUUCAUUCAAUCAAAUCCUCAAUAAAUAUUAGCUUCCUAUGAAAAAGAUUCUAAUUUUUUAUUUCAUAAUAUCUAAUCAUACUUUAUUAAUUUUUUAUUUUUAUAUACUUUAUUAAUGUUAGUUUUAUGUUAAAGAUUUGUAGCAAUAGUUACUUUUUGUACAAGUUUUUAGCAUUUCUUUAACUUAUUGAUAUUUUAUUUCCUAUAAUGAUCUUAUGUUUUAUUGUUAAAUUGGUAGUUAAAAUACCAAACUUUAAAAUAUGUUUAUUACUUUAGGAAUUGUUGUAGAAAAAAGUAAAAAUGUGUCAAUAAAGGACUAUUAUUAUUUCAAAUUCCAAACAGAGAGUUUGAAAUAAUAAUAACUAUAUACCUUUUGGCUGGGUAAUUGUUUCAAUAAUUUUUUGUAGAUGUGUAUAUUAAAAUUGAAACACUAAGGCUUGAUUUGUACAGGGUAAAGUAGUCAAAUAUUCGAUUUAAAUUGUAUUAGAAAAUUAUUGAUAGUGUAAUAGCUGAAGAAGUAAGAGAAAGCCAAGUGAGAAAAAUGAUAGUUCUUUUUGUAACUUUUAUUGAUAACCUUAGAGACAUGCGGCAUAGGUACUAUGAUGCAAUGACUUUGGUCCAAUGAUUUGGGAAACUAGAUUUUUUUAUAACUAUAACAUGUAAUCUAGAAUGGAAAAAAUUUAUAAAUGAGCUCAAAGAAAGUCAACUUGCUCAAGAUAGACCAUAUCUGACUUUUAGAAUAUUUCAUACUAAGUUACAAGAUUUUAAAGAUCAACUUUUCAAGAAAGAAAUAUUUAAAAAAGUUGCAUCACAUGUCUAUGUUAUUGAAUUUCAAAAAAGAAGAAUUCUUCAUGCCCUUAUAUUAAUCUUAUUACAAGAAGGAAACAAGAUUUUAUCUAAAGAUCAAUUUGAUAAAUGUAUUUAUGUAGAAUUACUAGAUAAAGAACUUCAUCCAAAACUAUAUGAAUUAGUUGUGAAAACCAUAAUACAUGGUCCUUAUAUUAAUCAUUUUACAAGAAGUAAACAAUAUUUUAUCUGAAGAUCAAUUUGAUAAAUAUAUUUACUUAGAAUUACUAGAUAAAGAAUUUCAUCCAGAACUAUAUGAAUUAGUUGUGAAAAACAUGAUACAUGGGCCUUAUGAAAAAUACGGACAUAAUCAUGCAUAAUUGAUGAUAAAUGCAAGUUGCAUUAUCUUAGAGCUUUCUACUCACAACCACUGGAAGGAAACAAAAGAUACUCAAUGUAUAAAAGAAGAACAAAUGGUUUGUCAAUGAAGAUAAAGAACAAAAUUGUUGAUAACAAAUGGAUUGCGCCAUAUAAUUCAUAUUUUUUGACAAGAGAUACUUGUUACAUAAAUGUUAAGAUAUGCUCAAAGGUGAAAACGGUCAAGUGCCUUUAUAAGUAUAUAUAUAUAAAAGACAUGAUAAAGUUGUUAUUUAUAUUGCAUAAUAUGACGAGGAUAAUGUCAUUGAUGAAAUUAAUCAAUUUCAAGAUGCAAGAUGGGUAUCUCUUCAAGAGGUUAUAUGGAGAAUUUUUCAGUUUGAGUUGAAUGAAAUGUCUUCUCUAGUUAUAAAUUUGUAGUUAUAUCUCCCAAACCAACAAGCUGUAUAUUACUGAAAAAAUCAAAAUUUGUAAAAUGUGUUAUAUUAAGAUCAUGUGUCAAGAACAAUGUUGACAGAAUAUUUUGAAAUAUGACUAAUGAAGGUAAUGCAAGAAAGUAUUUGUAUAUGGAAUUCCUUAACCAUUAUGUAUGGAACAAGCAAAAUCAAAUAUGGACAAAAUGAACAAACAAAAUUGUGAUUGGCUGAAUAAAAGUGCAAAUCCAAAAGAAAGUGAAAUAUUUUAUCUGAGACUUUUAUUAAAUCAUGUUAGAAGGCCUAUUGCUUUUGAAAAUUAAUUAACAGUUAUUGGAAUAUGUUAUUUGUCUUUCAAAAAAGUAGUGGAGAAAAGAGGUCUUUUAGAAUUAGAUAAAAGUAACAAAGAAUGUUUAAUUGAAGCAACAACAUAUUAAAUGCCAAAAGCACUUCAAAAAUUAUUUGCUAUGAUAUAUAUCAUUGUGAACCUAAAAAUUAAGGAAAUUUUGAGAUAGAUAUUUUGAAACAAUGUCUGAAGAUUUUAAUAGGAUUCAUAAAGAUGCAGUCUUUAUAAUAGUUUUAGAUAUAUUAACAAAUAUAAAUCUUUUUUUGAAGGUAUGUACAGAUAAUCUUUUCCUCAAUUAAAUUAUUUUACUUUCAUUCUUAAGUUUUACUUAUAUAAUGUCGAUUAAUUUUCAUACUUUUUUUUAUAGACUUUAAUGUACGAUAAUGUGGCAUUUGAUUUUGAACUCUGUGAGACUAAAGUUUUAAAGUUUGAAUAUAAAUGGAAUAUUGUAAGACAUUAAAAAAUUUAAAAGUAAUGGAAGAAGGAAAAAAAAAAGAUCCAUAAUCCAUUUAAAUAGUUUGAAAAAGACAUGAUAAGUGUUUUUUAAAUUUAUAGAGUUAGAUUAAACAAACUUGCCACAUUAUGCUUGUAAAAAUAUCUUUAGAAUAACAUAGCAAUAGAUAGAUAUACCAAUGAUAAAAAAGUUUAAUGUCUUUCUCUCUCUAAUUAUUUUUUAUACAAGAAGAUUAGAAUAGCAGUAUUACUUGAAUACUCAUGUAAAAUUCUAUGAAAUUUCUAACCCUUAUAUGCGAUCUGAGGUGAAAAUUUUUCUGAUGACAAUGUGCUAAAUUUUAUUAUAUUAUCAAGGUAUGGGGAACAAAACAAUUAAUGAUUAUGAUUUAUCUUCUUUACAUAUUAACUAUUUAGAAGUCAAAGGACCAAAUUGUCAACAAAUAAUGGAGAAAUAAUCAAUACAAAUUCAUUUUAAAGAUUACGAUGCAGAAACAAAAUAAAAUUUUAAACAAGAGAAAGUAUUCACAAUUAUAAUGAAAAAGAUUAAUUGAUAGAUUUGAAGGUAUGGGUAAAACAUUUCUUUAUCGAGCCUUGCAUAAGAUCAAGACAUAUGAUAGUAUUAGCUACAACAACAUCUGUUGUAAUAGCUACAAUAUUGCCUGGGGGUCGAAUAACACAUUCACAGUUUGUUUCACUAUUAAAUCCUAAUAAAAUGAAUUUUUGUGGUUUCUUUAACCAAGAUAGGAUUGUAAAGUUACUAUGAAAGGUAGCCUUAAUCAUAUGGGAUGAAACACCUAUGGUUAAAAGAUUUUCCAUCAAAAUUAUUGAUUUUAAGAGAUAUCAUGGAUAGCACAUAAAUUUUUGAUGGAAAAGUAAUUAUUUUUAAGAGAGAUUUUCUUCAAGUGUUACUUGUUGUUCUUCAUGAUAUAAGAGCAAAAAUAGUUUAUGUUAGUUUUGCAAAGUCUUAUUUGUGGAAUAAGAUGAAAAAAUUGAAACUGACAAAAAAAUAUGAGAGCAAGACUAGAAUGACAACUUUAGUGAGCUUUUGCUUCAAAUAAGAAAUGGCGUUAAACCUACAAUAAGUAAUGACUUAAUUCGUCUUCCAAAGGAAAUGGUGAUAAAAUAUGAGAAUGAUGAGAUUUUAGAUAGAAAGUUGAUUGAUGGUAUCUUUGCUUUUCUUAUAGAGAAUGAUAGGUCAAAAAAUUAUAUGAUGAAAACAAAAAAUGAGUAUGUUGAUGAACUCAAUGCAAAAAUGACAAAAAUAUUCUCAAGUAUCAAUACCAAUAAAAGUUAAAUAAUUGUUAAUCUUGCCAUAUUGAUAUUUAUAUAAUGUAUAUGACUAAUUUUGAUUAUAUAUUUUCAAGUGAAAGCAAAAUUUUUUAUAGUUUUGAUAAAGCAAAAGAUGAAAAUAGUAACUGCUAUGAAAAUGAGUUUUUUAAUAUAUUUUCAUCAAAUGGACUUCCACACCAUAAGUUGGAACUCAAAGUAUAUUGCCCAAUUAUACUGUUAAAAAAUUUCAAUCCUUUGAUCAGAUUGUGCAAUGGGACAAUGAUGGUAUGUAAAGGAUUUGACAAAAAUGUUAUAUACGUAGAAAUUACAAUUGGACAACAUACAGGUGAAAAAGUUCUUCUACCAAAAAUUCAUUUUAAAACAACAAAGGAUAAAGAUUAUCCAUUUAAAUUUACACGCAAACAAUUUUCAAUAUGACUUUGUCUUGCGAUGACGAUGAAUAAAGCACAAGGGCAUACGAUUCCACAUGUUGGAGUCUAUCUUCCUAAUCAUGUUUGUUUCACAUGUUCAGUUGUGUGUUGCAUUAUUAAGAGGAAUCUUAAUGAUUACAACGAAAGUUUUAGUCAAAACUGAGAAUUUUAUAUAAAAAAAAAGAGAUAUACAUAAAAAAUGUAGUUUACAAGGAAGUUUUACUUCUAGAAACUUGAUGAAAUAAUAUUUAAUUUUUUUGCCUAAGACAUUUGAUAAAUGUCAUUUUUUUUAUUAAGGUGUACUCUAACCAUCUAUUAUUCAAAGUAGAUGUAGUGAGUUAAUUUGUUCAAUAUGUUCUACAAACAAGCAAGCAGAAAGAAAAAAUGGUAGUUAAGUUUACUACUUAAAAGAGUAUAGAUUAUUACAAUUAGUUGACUUGAAAUUUUUCGUCUAUAAAAAACUUAUAAGAUAAAAAACCCUUUAGAUUUCCUACAUUUUCACAAGCAACCAAACAUAAAAACAACAAAAAAACCUAUGAAGCAAACAUCAAAGUAAAAGCCCAAAAAGAACCCAUAAAGAAUUAAGAUUCAAUCAAAGUUGCUCAAAGAUUAAAAAAAAGGGAUAAAAAUAACCAAAACCAUUCAUAUAAUACAAGAAAAAGAGAAAAGAAAAACUAGGUUUUGCUUGGUGAACAUGAAAGCCUUGUUUGUUUCAACAAGAACAAACAAGAAAACUAAAACAAACUAUAUACAAAAAUUAAGGCAAAAAUGAAAAAAAAAAGGAUAGAACCAGAGGUAGUACUUGCAGAAACGAAAAUGUAGAGAAAACCUUGCAAAAUUUAAUAGAAAACAAAGUUUAAAGUACAAAAUUGAAAGAAAAAAAGUUUUUUAACGGUUUAUUUAAAGAAAAGGAAGAGAACAGAUGCCAUAAGACAUGUCAAAGACCUAACGAGACAAAGUUUUGAAAAUGAAAACUGAUAAAAAACUAGCGAAACUAUAAUUAUUAAAGUUAUUAUUUAAUUAAAGAGAUUUUGGAAGUUAAAGGCUUUGGUAUGAGCAAGGGUAAUCAAUACCACUAAAAUUAUCAACUAACUUGGCUGACAACAGAAAAAUAAGGUUCACAGAGCAGAUAGCCUUCUCAUUUUUCCCUUUAUAUAUAGAAACGAAAAUAUUGGUUACAAAAUUGUUUAUUUCAUUUAAACGCCACUUUUUCUACUUCUUUUGUUUUUUGCAAACAAUUUAAAGUAAAUUUAGGUUCUUUAAUUACUAUAUUAUUGAAUGCAUAACAAUUCUAAAUAUAUACAAUAUAUGCAAUAUAUACAAUUCUAAUUUUCCUAAUAAUCCACAUUUCUAAUCUUAAGAGCUUAUUACAAGAACUAGCUGUAAGCAGGCCAUAUAUGUGCAUAUAUCCCAAAGGUGAGAAGACAAUCCUUCAAUAAUUAGGAAUUCAAGAUCAUCAAUGCCACACUUAUGAAAAGAAAGUCAUUAAGAUUUAAAGUUUAUAUCAAAUAAGAGUUUGGUAAAUUUAUGCCUCUCUCACUUUCAUUUUGGAUUAAUUUUAACAAAUUGGAAAUUAUUUUAAAUUAAAUUAAUCAUAUAAUAAAAUUAUAUUUCUUAUUUCUUCUUUUCUUAUUUUAUUUUUUUGAUAUUGCUACUACACCUAUAAGUUUGGUAAAUGAAUGUAACUCUUCCACUUUCAUUUCAUAUUAGUAUUUAACUUAAUAAAUAAAAUUUACAAAAUCCAAUGCUCAUGUUACAAUCUUCCUUAAUAACAAAGUCUAAUUAAACAAAACAAUUCAUUCAAAGAACUUUAAUCGAUAUCAAAGUCUUAAUGUUUUAAUAUAAAAACUACAAAGCUAAACAUAUUACUCCAUAGUUAUAUCAAAUACAUAGGUAUUCUUUCUUUAUAUAAGUUUGAAUAUUUCUUCAUAAAAGUAUCAAAAAUAAAUUUUACGAUUAUUCGAAUAAUCUAACUAUUUAUUAUUUAUUUUGUCAUUGUGGCUUCAAAUCUUCAUCAAAGUAGAAGAAAAGAGGUAAGUAUACAUAUUUAUUAUUAUUUUUUUAUACUUUUAAUUUGUUUUUAGAUAAACUUAUGAUAGUCUUUUAAUCUUUCCUUAUUCUUUUCUUUAUUAUCUGCCUUCUAAUCCAUAUGUUUCUACUUCUUUUCCAUUUUCCCUUCCAAGCAUUAGAUUAUUAUAGGAUUGGUUUUCGUUGGAAUUAAUAUGGUUUGUUUAUAUUGAAUAUUCAUAGUAUAUUGUAGUUUGCACUCACUUGAUUCUAAGUUGCAUUUUUUCCUUUUUAAUUCGCAUAUGAAGUUAGUUGUUUUUAUAUGUCACAAGUGGUUGGCCUUAUAUGAUAUCCAAAUCAUCUAUUAUUUUUUUAAAAAAUAUAACCAUUAUCCUCACAAGUCUACGGGGAAAAACUAUAUCUAAGCUAUCAACCUUAAUUAGUAUAUAAAAUUAAUUUAAGCAAUUAAUUUUUUUCAUAUUGUUGAACACAAAUCUCAAGAAUAAUUUGUUAGAGAGUUUGUGAUUUCUCAUAAACACAAUAUCUAGAUUUUCUGCUCUACUUUUUAUUAACUUUUAAAUUGUUGAUUUUUAAUUUAUUAAGAGCAUAAAUAUUAUAAUAAUGUUGAUUAUGAAUUUGUAGUACUUAGAAAGGAAAUAUGGAGGAGUAUAAUAAUGCAAAACGAUUGAGAAAAUUUUUUAAAUUGAUAUUCAUUGAUGAAGAGGUAAAAAUCUUUAGCCUUUUUUUAAUAUAAUUUUGAUAUAACAUUUGAAUAUUUUAGUAUAAAUUAUGAAUUUAAUCUUAUUUGUUAACUACAAAGAACAAAAAUUUUAGCUAUGAUGUUUAAUGAGACAAUAACAAAAUUUCAAUUCUCUUUAAUGAAAAACAAAUCAUAUAUAAUAUCAAAUGCAUUUGUCAAAUCUAUUAAGAAGGAAUAUUUUAAUGUUAACAAAGAGUUGAGUUAACAAUUACAGCUUAUACCAACAUAAGAGAAGCAAAAACUCUUAUAAGUUUGGAAAGAAUGUUGCUUGAUUAUCAUCCAGUGGAUAAAGUGAUGGAAAUCCCAAAAAGGGAAAUAUUUGGUAAGUUUUCUUCAAAUUGAUAUGAAUUUAUUAAAAUAAAUAUAUGUUUAAUUUAAGUAUUUACAUUAAUAUAUGUUAAUUAUAGACUUAUUGGGCUUUGUUAUUGAAGUUAAAUCUUGCAUUAUAGGACGCAAUGCCAGGUCUCAAACAACAAUAAUGAAUGACAAGUAAGUAUAUAUUAUAGUAUAGUUAUUUUUAUAUAUUUGCAUCAUUUUAAAACUUAAUUAAUAAAGAUCAUUAUAUAUAUAAUUGUAGGAUGAUAUCCAUGGAAGUACUAUUGUGGGGAAGUUUGGUUAAAUUGAAGGUUAAUUACUUGAAGACAUGAAAGAAGAAAGACAAAUUAUUGUAUUAUUAAAUGUACAAGGAAAUAUUUAUCAAGGUAAUUAAUAUAUUUUAAAGUUAUAUUUUAUCUUGGCUAAAACUUGCUCAAAAUUUUAACAUUUCUUAAAAUUUUAAAACUUAUUAUUUACAAUUUAUAAACUUGGUCAAAUUUUUAAUAGUUUAAUUUUUUUUUAAACUUAUCAUUUAUUAAUUGUAUAUUUUUCAAUUGUUUAUCUACUAAAUACAUUCGCAAUAUCUUCCAUCAUUAUUAAUCCUACAAUAAAAAAGGCAAAGAAAUUAAGAAAGUAAGUUUAGAUUCAUAAGAACCCUUCAGCUUCAUAAGAAUUCACUAAAAUUUGACUCUCAAAAUUUCAGUUUCACAAGAAUUCAAAUUUGCAAGAUCUUCAAAUUCACAUUCAUAAAUUAUAAGACUCGCAUCCACAUUCAAAAAGUCUCAUUUGAAUUUUGGAGAUUCACAUCCAAAAGUUCAAAGCUUCGCAUUUGAGUUCAAAGCUUCUCAUUUAAGUUCAAAGGUUCACAUUUGAUAAAUUUGGGGUUCACAUUCAAAAGUUUAAGCUUUCAUUAGAAUUUUAAAAUUAAUCCAAAUUCAUAAGCUUCUCAUUCAGUUCAAAUACUAAUGUAGAAACUUAAAGUUCACUUCUAUUCUAAGUUCUCUAUAAAUUAGAGAUCUCAUCUAAAGUUCAAAAUUCACAUUCAACAAGAUUUAGGGCUUAACUUAAGAUUCUAUUUUAAAAUUCAAAUAUUCAUUAUUUGAAAAUUCUCAUUCGAUUCAAUAAUUUAUAUCAAAACGAAUUUGAAUCUAAUGAAGCUAAUGAGAUAUUUACUGAAUAGUAUUUAGAGAUAUUUCUUUCAAUCUAAUCAUUAUUCUCUAAGUUAUAUUUUUUUCCUCCAUCUAUUUAUUUACUUUUAAAAAUUUUCAACCAAGAUGCAUAAUCUUUUUAAAAUUGAUGAUUAAACCUAAUAUAAAGGGCAUCAUGGUAUUCAAAUAUACGUUUCACCAUGUGUAGCCAAUCUAAGAAUUCUUUAGGUUGCAUCUUUCCCUUGAAUUCAGGAAUUUUUAUCUUUGAAUUGAAUAUGCUAGGUUAAAGUUAGUUUCUGAGUAGAUAAUCUCUAACUUAUCGUGGGUGAAAUAGGGUGCUAUCAUCAGAAUCACUGUUGUUUCCAUGGAAUGGAUUGGUUUCUCCUUUAUCUUUUUUGUUUCUCCUUCGUUGCCUCUUUAUCUUCUCUUUCUUUUCUUUUAUAUGCAACUGAUUUUAUAGUUGAAAGAUCUGUUACCGCAUCUCUUCCAUAAAGGCAUCCAUUGGGUCAACAUUCAUAGUUGUUAUAACGUUAGUGUUGGCUUUAACCUCUUCUAUUGAUGCUUGAUGAUGACGACCUACCAUAACUCUGAUACGAACUUGAUGCCUAGAAUUGAUGUUUGAGAUAUGAAGAUUAACUGCAAACAAAAAACUCACAAAAAGAUAACUCACAAGNNNNNNNNNNNNNNNNNNNNNNNNNNNNNNNNNNNNNNNNNNNNNNNNNNNNNNNNNNNNNNNNNNNNNNNNNNNNNNNNNNNNNNNNNNNNNNNNNNNNNNNNNNNNNNNNNNNNNNNNNNNNNNNNNNNNNNNNNNNNNNNNNNNNNNNNNNNNNNNNNNNNNNNNNNNNNNNNNNNNNNNNNNNNNNNNNNNNNNNNNNNNNNNNNNNNNNNNNNNNNNNNNNNNNNNNNNNNNNNNNNNNNNNNNNNNNNNNNNNNNNNNNNNNNNNNNNNNNNNNNNNNNNNNNNNNNNNNNNNNNNNNNNNNNNNNNNNNNNNNNNNNNNNNNNNNNNNNNNNNNNNNNNNNNNNNNNNNNNNNNNNNNNNNNNNNNNNNNNNNNNNNNNNNNNNNNNNNNNNNNNNNNNNNNNNNNNNNNNNNNNNNNNNNNNNNNNNNNNNNNNNNNNNNNNNNNNNNNNNNNNNNNNNNNNNNNNNNNNNNNNNNNNNNNNNNNNNNNNNNNNNNNNNNNNNNNNNNNNNNNNNNNNNNNNNNNNNNNNNNNNNNNNNNNNNNNNNNNNNNNNNNNNNNNNNNNNNNNNNNNNNNNNNNNNNNNNNNNNNNNNNNNNNNNNNNNNNNNNNNNNNNNNNNNNNNNNNNNNNNNNNNNNNNNNNNNNNNNNNNNNNNNNNNNNNNNNNNNNNNNNNNNNNNNNNNNNNNNNNNNNNNNNNNNNNNNNNNNNNNNNNNNNNNNNNNNNNNNNNNNNNNNNNNNNNNNNNNNNNNNNNNNNNNNNNNNNNNNNNNNNNNNNNNNNNNNNNNNNNNNNNNNNNNNNNNNNNNNNNNNNNNNNNNNNNNNNNNNNNNNNNNNNNNNNNNNNNNNNNNNNNNNNNNNNNNNNNNNNNNNNNNNNNNNNNNNNNNNNNNNNNNNNNNNNNNNNNNNNNNNNNNNNNNNNNNNNNNNNNNNNNNNNNNNNNNNNNNNNNNNNNNNNNNNNNNNNNNNNNNNNNNNNNNNNNNNNNNNNNNAAGGAAGUUUUACUUCUAGAAACUUGAUGAAACAAUAUUUAAUUUUUUUGCCUAAGACAUUUGAUAAAUGUCAUUUUUUUAUUAAGGUGUACUCUAACCAUCUAUUAUUCAAAGUAGAUGUAGUGAGUUAAUUUGUUCAAUAUGUUCUACAAACAAGCAAGCAGAAAGAAAAAAUGGUAGUUAAGUUUACUACUUAAAAGAGUAUAGAUUAUUACAAUUAGUUGACUUGAAAUUUUUCGUCUAUAAAAAACUUAUAAGAUAAAAAACCCUUUAGAUUUCCUACAUUUUCACAAGCAACCAAACAUAAAAACAACAAAAAAACCUAUGAAGCAAACAUCAAAGUAAAAGCCCAAAAAGAACCCAUAAAGAAUUAAGAUUCAAUCAAAGUUGCUCAAAGAUUAAAAAAAAGGGAUAAAAAUAACCAAAACCAUUCAUAUAAUACAAGAAAAGGAGAAAAGAAAAACUAGGUUUUGCUUGGUGAACAUGAAAGCCUUGUUUGUUUCAACAAGAACAAACAAGAAAACUAAAACAAACUAUAUACAAAAAUUAAGGCAAAAAUGAAAAAAAAAAGGAUAGAACCAGAGGUAGUACUUGGAGAAACGAAAAUGUAGAGAAAACCUUGCAAAAUUUAAUAGAAAACAAAGUUUAAAGUACAAAAUUGAAAGAAAAAAAGUUUUUUAACGGUUUAUUUAAAGAAAAGGAAGAGAACAGAUGCCAUAAGACAUGUCAAAGACCUAACGAGACAAAGUUUUGAAAAUGAAAACUGAUAAAAACUAGCGAAACUAUAAUUAUUAAAGUUAUUAUUUAAUUAAAGAGAUUUUGGAAGUUAAAGGCUUUGGUAUGAGCAAGGGUAAUCAAUACCACUACAAUUAUCACUAACUUGGCUGACAACAGAAAAAUAAGGUUCACAGAGCAGAUAGCCUUCUCAUUUUCCCUUUAUAUAUAGAAACGAAAAUAUUGGUUACAAAAUUGUUUAUUUCAUUUAAACGCCACUUUUUCUACUUCUUUUGUUUUUUGCAAACAAUUUAAAGUAAAUUUAGGUUCUUUAAUUACUAUAUUAUUGAAUGCAUAACAAUUCUAAAUAUAUACAAUAUAUGCAAUAUAUACAAUUCUAAUUUUCCUAAUAAUCCACAUUUCUAAUCUUAAGAGCUUAUUACAAGAACUAGCUGUAAGCAGGCCAUAUAUGUGCAUAUAUCCCAAAGGUGAGAAGACAAUCCUUCAAUAAUUAGGAAUUCAAGAUCAUCAAUGCCACACUUAUGAAAAGAAAGUCAUUAAGAUUUAAAGUUUAUAUCAAAUAAGAGUUUGGUAAAUUUAUGCCACUCUCUCACUUUCAUUUUGGAUUAAUUUUAACAAAUUGGAAAUUAUUUUAAAUUAAAUUAAUCAUAUAAUAAAAUUAUAUUUCUUAUUUCUUCUUUUCUUAUUUUAUUUUUUUGAUAUUGCUACUACACCUAUAAGUUUGGUAAAUGAAUGUAACUCUUCCACUUUCAUUUCAUAUUAGUAUUUAACUUAAUAAAUAAAAUUUACAAAAUCCAAUGCUCAUGUUACAAUCUUCCUUAAUAACAAAGUCUAAUUAAACAAAACAAUUCAUUCAAAGAACUUUAAUCGAUAUCAAAGUCUUAAUGUUUUAAUAUAAAAACUACAAAGCUAAACAUAUUACUCCAUAGUUAUAUCAAAUACAUAGGUAUUCUUUCUUUAUAUAAGUUUGAAUAUUUCUUCAUAAAAGUAUCAAAAAUAAAUUUUACGAUUAUUCGAAUAAUCUAACUAUUUAUUAUUUAUUUUGUCAUUGUGGCUUCAAAUCUUCAUCAAAGUAGAAGAAAAGAGGUAAGUAUACAUAUUUAUUAUUAUUUUUUUAUACUUUUAAUUUGUUUUUAGAUAAACUUAUGAUAGUCUUUUUAAUCUUUCCUUAUUCUUUUCUUUAUUAUCUGCCUUCUAAUCCAUAUGUUUCUACUUCUUUUCCAUUUUCCCUUCCAAGCAUUAGAUUAUUAUAGGAUUGGUUUUCGUUGGAAUUAAUAUGGUUUGUUUAUAUUGAAUAUUCAUAGUAUAUUGUAGUUUGCACUCACUUGAUUCUAAGUUGCAUUUUUUCCUUUUUAAUUCGCAUAUGAAGUUAGUUGUUUUUAUAUGUCACAAGUGGUUGGCCUUAUAUGAUAUCCAAAUCAUCUAUUAUUUUUUAAAAAAAUAUAACCAUUAUCCUCACAAGUCUACGGGGAAAACCUAUAUCUAAGCUAUCAACCUUAAUUAGUAUAUAAAAUUAAUUUAAGCAAUUAAUUUUUUUCAUAUUGUUGAACACAAAUCUCAAGAAUAAUUUGUUAGAGAGUUUGUGAUUUCUCAUAAACACAAUAUCUAGAUUUUCUGCUCUACUUUUUAUUAACUUUUAAAUUGUUGAUUUUUAAUUUAUUAAGAGCAUAAAUAUUAUAAUAAUGUUGAUUAUGAAUUUGUAGUACUUAGAAAGGAAAUAUGGAGGAGUAUAAUAAUGCAAAACGAUUGAGAAAAUUUUUUAAAUUGAUAUUCAUUGAUGAAGAGGUAAAAAUCUUUAGCCUUUUUUUAAUAUAAUUUUGAUAUAACAUUUGAAUAUUUUAGUAUAAAUUAUGAAUUUAAUCUUAUUUGUUAACUACAAGGAACAAAAAUUUUAGCUAUGAUGUUUAAUGAGACAAUAACAAAAUUUCAAUUCUCUUUAAUGAAAAACAAAUCAUAUAUAAUAUCAAAUGCAUUUGUCAAAUCUAUUAAGAAGGAAUAUUUUAAUGUUAACAAAGAGUUGAGUUAACAAUUACAGCUUAUACCAACAUAAGAGAAGCAAAAACUCUUAUAAGUUUGGAAAGAAUGUUGCUUGAUUAUCAUCCAGUGGAUAAAGUGAUGGAAAUCCCAAAAAGGGAAAUAUUUGGUAAGUUUUCUUCAAAUUGAUAUGAAUUUAUUAAAAUAAAUAUAUGUUUAAUUUAAGUAUUUACAUUAAUAUAUGUUAAUUAUAGACUUAUUGGGCUUUGUUAUUGAAGUUAAAUCUUGCAUUAUAGGACGCAAUGCCAGGUCUCAAACAACAAUAAUGAAUGACAAGUAAGUAUAUAUUAUAGUAUAGUUAUUUUUAUAUAUUUGCAUCAUUUUAAAACUUAAUUAAUAAAGAUCAUUAUAUAUAUAAUUGUAGGAUGAUAUCCAUGGAAGUACUAUUGUGGGGAAGUUUGGUUAAAUUGAAGGUUAAUUACUUGAAGACAUGAAAGAAGAAAGACAAAUUAUUGUAUUAUUAAAUGUACAAGGAAAUAUUUAUCAAGGUAAUUAAUAUAUUUUAAAGUUAUAUUUUAUCUUGGCUAAAACUUGCUCAAAAUUUUAACAUUUCUUAAAAUUUUAAAACUUAUUAUUUACAAUUUAUAAACUUGGUCAAAUUUUUAAUAGUUUAAUUUUUUUUUAAACUUAUCAUUUAUUAAUUGUAUAUUUUUCAAUUGUUUAUCUACUAAAUACAUUCGCAAUAUCUUCCAUCAUUAUUAAUCCUACAAUAAAAAAGGCAAAGAAAUUAAGAAAGUAAGUUUAGAUUCAUAAGAACCCUUCAGCUUCAUAAGAAUUCACUAAAAUUUGACUCUCAAAAUUUCAGUUUCACAAGAAUUCAAAUUUGCAAGAUCUUCAAAUUCACAUUCAUAAAUUAUAAGACUCGCAUCCACAUUCAAAAAGUCUCAUUUGAAUUUUGGAGAUUCACAUCCAAAAGUUCAAAGCUUCGCAUUUGAGUUCAAAGCUUCUCAUUUAAGUUCAAAGGUUCACAUUUGAUAAAUUUGGGGUUCACAUUCAAAAGUUUAAGCUUUUCAUUAGAAUUUUAGAGAUUCACAUCCAAAAGUUCAAAGCUUCUCAUUCAAGUUCAAAAGCUCACAUGCAAAAAAACUUAAAGUUUCACUUCUAAGUUCAAAGGUUCUCACUUAAAAAUUUAGAGAUUCUCAUCUAAAAGUUCAAAGAUUCACAUUCAACAAACUUUAGGGCUUUACAUCUUAAAGAUUCUCAUUUAAAAUUCAAAUAUUUUCAUUUGAGUUUGAAAAUUCUCAUUCGCAUGCAAUAAUUGUCAUGAUCAAAGACGCAAGUGUUUUCUCCAUGAUGCAAAUGCAAUAAUCUAGAUUCUCACAAUGCCAUAUUCUUAAUCAUGAUUCACAUGUUUACUACAUAAUGCAAAUGCAUAUCCAAACCAAAGUUUUAAACAUCUUUCAAAAAAAUAAUGCUAAUGUAAUGCAUGUAAUGCAGAUAUCAAAGUCAUGAAAUUCUAAUCAAAAUGUAGUAAUAUGGUCCUCAAGACUCCACCAUAUCUUAUAUUUCUUUUCCAACUCUAGCUUCUUAGCACCUAGAACAAGUUUUGUCAAUGAUCUUUGCCAUCUUGAUCAUCAUUUAUAGGACUCUCAAUACUAACAAUUUCAAGACAAGUUUUAUCCAUUGCCCCAUAUCAUUUAAUCAUGACUCACAAGCUCUUCAGUACUAGCAAUUUUAGUAUAAAUUUCAUCCAUUGACCUAUACUAUUCUCACUAUUUGAUCACAACUCAUAAGUUAUGUAAGCCAAUCCAUCACUAUGUUCAUUUUUGGGUCACAUCAUUUUUCUAGAUUUUGUUGAGCAAUCGAUCCCCAUGUUCAUCAUUUGGCCAUCCCAUGUCAUUUUUCAAGUUUCUGCUAUCUCUUCAUCAUUUUUGCCUUAUCAUCUUGGGUUUCUUUCAAAUGAAUACAAGACUUUUUUUUUUGCACAUUGUCAUUCAUUCAUCAUCAUUUCAAAUCAUGACAACUACAAUGCAAUCAUAUAUUUUCUUGAUUUGUUCUGGGGAUAUAACAAUAAAAGAACACAAGGUGAAUUACGGGAAAAGUAAUCAAUAAAGAACGAGUUUGAUACAAAACAAAUAGGGAAAGAAACAAAUGUCAUUGGGAUGAAUGCUAUAUCCAAACAAUGAAUAUUCAGAUAAUUCUGAAUAUGAAUCCAGGGUUCUUUUUCAAAAACUCAUUCCAUUGACUGUUUAAAUCAUUUUGAGCUCAUCAAACUUUACCUCAGUUUCUAGAAAUCUUUAGAUACUUCGAUCAUCCAUAUGAUAGAACUGUCCAUCAAACUUUUUAGUUCAAAUAUUUUUUUCUACCCAAAUUGCCCUUUUAGGUUUUCAAUUUGAGUCAUCAUUUUCUUUCAUUUCCAUUUUUUUUUUCUUUUUCAUUUUUUCUCUCUUUUUUUUUUCAUUUUUUUCUUUUCUUUCCUUCAUUCAUUCACCUAUCUUUCACAUCAAUCUUUAGAGCAACCAAACAUGAUUAUGUCAUUCCAUCAUGAGCAUGCCUUAGCCCAACAUGUAACCAUUCAAUUCAAUCAUUCACAUUUGAUCCAAAUGAACUUUUAAAGGUUGUAAUGUAGACUAUGGUGAAGGGUCAUAAAAGAAAUGGAUAUAAUAGGCUCAAAACAUGUAUUAAAAGGGUUCAAAACCAAAGGAUCAUCACUUGAUGCAACUUGGCAUUUUGCCCCCAUUUCACGUUAUUUCACUACUUUUUUCUUUUUCAUCAAUCUCAUUCUUCACAAAAAGGAUUCUCAUUUCUUUGCUCCAAAUCAAGUGUGGUAUUUUUCUUUGCUCUCUUUUUUUUUAGACUUUUUAGACUAUUUUCUUUCAAAAAUUAUCCCCUAGUGUAGAGGGUGAUCUUUGGUCGGUGCUCUUUUUAGAGAAAAAAAUCAUAACAAGCUCAAAGGGGUAGCAAUGAAUGAUUUUUCAAAUGGUAAAAAAAAUGACUAUUUUUUAUCUCAAAUGUGAAUAAAAAUUUCUUUGAACAUCAUCUAUUAAGCAAAAAAAAGCUCAUGAAUUUGUUUAAAAGACUACACAUCUUCAAGAUAUAUUAAUUUCACAUUUGUUAGUAGCUGACUUUCAUCGCUCAAAUAGUCUCAUCAGAUCAACGUGAAAGAGUUCUCAAAAUUAAAUCCCAAAAUUAUUGUUAUCAUUGUCUUAAUAUUCAUCAUUUAAAAUUUGAGAAUAAGAAUGAAAAAGUUAUGAAAGGUAACAGAGCAUGAAAUAUGGUUGAGUGAAAAAAAAUGAAAUGAAAUGCAUUAAAUUGCCUUUUAUUGAAAUGAUAACAAAUGAAAUUCUACUGCCUAAAAGAAACCUAACAUUACUCUAAAAGAAAUCCUAAAAUGAUAAGAAACUUCCAAUCAGCUUUAUAGUCAUUCCCCAAAAUUGUACCCCUGUGUAAUCAGGUGAAAGAUCUUUAUUAACAUCUUGCCCCUCAAUUCAUUACAACUCUCUGGGCCUUUUCUGACCAACAUGUUCUUGAUUUUCACUUAGAGCAUUGACAUUGUGAUUUGAUAAUAGAUUGUCACUAAUAUUAGGUGUUGUUGCUCUUCUUUGAUCAAAAAUUACCAUUCCAUCAUUGAUUAACCAUUGCACCUUAUGCUUUAGAAUAGUCUAAUUUUUAGUGAAAUGGCCAGCAAUUCUAUAGUGAUAGUCAUAGUGAGUUGUAGCAUCAUACCACUUAAGAUAUGAUGAUUUGAGUGGCUCCACACGAUUGGGGCCAAUCAAGUGGCUGUUAUAAAGCUCUUGAUAUAACUCUAUAUAAGUCAUGGAGAUUGGAUCGAAUACGAGUUUUUCUCGGGUAAUUUGUGUUCUAGUAAACCACUUGUUGGGUUAGCAAAAUAAGCUUGGGGCUUUGUGAAAGGUUGAAUAUUAAGGCUGUAUGUGGGAGCUUGAGGGCUAAAAAUAGGUUGAUAUGUGGAUGAGUAAGAUGGUUGGUGUAUAGGUUGGUAUGGGUAGGAUAAAGUAUUAUUCACAGCAGAGUAGUAUGUGAAGUAACCUUGUGGAUAAGGUUGGUAUCCCCUAAACUGUCUGUCCAAGCCCACAUCUUGAGCUUCAAUCUCUUUCUUCUAAGGUACCUUCUUGAUUUUUUCUCCUUUCAACUUAUCAUUUUUAAUGGUAUUCUUAAUAAUUUUACUUGAAAUCACCAUGUCAGUAAAAUUCUUUGUGACAUUCCCUAUCAUCUUUUUAUAAUAGAAAGAUUUCAAAGUGCUGACAAACAAUACAAUGAUCUCAUUUUCAAUCAAAAGAGGUUGCACCUGAGUAGCCAUGUCCCUCCACUUCUUAGCGUAUUCUUUGAAUGAUUUAGUCAUCUUUUUUUUCAUAUUUUACAAGAAAAUACGAUCAUGAGCUAAGUCUAUGAUAUGUCAAUAUUAAUUGAUGAAGUCAUGGGCCAUAUCACUGUAAAAAUGAAUACAAUUCCUGUCUAGCUGGACAUACCACCUAGCAGUAGAGCCAGUGAAGCUAUCUUGAAAUACGUGCAUCAAGAGUUUUUCAUUAUUGAUAUGGGCAGCCAUUUUUUGAUAAUACAUAGUAAUGUGAGUCUUCGGAUACUUUGUACCAUCAUACUUCUCAAACUCUAGCACCUUGAACUUCGAAGGGAUAACCACAUUUGGGAUUAAGCAAAGUCUAGUAGCAUCAACAGAACCAUAAAACCUAAUUCUUUUUAUAGCCCGCAACCUUUAUUCAAGUAUACUAAUCUUCGAAUCUUCUUGAAAUUCUACCACCUUUGUCAUUUUUUUGUCCUUCCCUUUCAAGUCAUCUAGAUCAAGAACUUGAAUUGGUUUUACUACUUUUUUAGUAAAGACAUGAUUCACAUAGCUAUAGUAAUAGCCUGAGUUCGAAGUUGAUGGCAUUUCAGGGAAUACAAAAUAUGUGAAUUAUUGUGGUGGUAUAUCCUGUGUGGACUGAGCUUGUUGUGGCCUAAAACUUGAAGGAUAUAGAGGGUCAACCACUUUUUGUGAUAGAGGGCCCUGUUGGCUUGUGUUAUCUUCUAUCUGUUUUCUCUUGUUCAACUUAUUGAGGACAUCCAGAAUCUUACUCAACUCAUUUUCAAUCUUUUCCUAUGCUUUUUCUAAUUUUUCAAAUCGGUGAGAGUUUUUUUGCUCCAUUUAUCUAACUCAGGCUCUUGUGUUAUAUUGAUGGGUGAGGUUCUUGCUAGAUGAAACUAUUUUUGAACCUUGAGUACCACAAUUAUAUGGUUAUUAGAAAUUAUGAGUUCUAUGUAUAAUAUGCAAAUGUAUGCAUGAAAUAUACUAAUAUUUGCCACAUCACAAUUAUUGAUAAAAGAAAUCUCUGUUUGAAACUUUAUUAAAUAAAAUUUCAAAAUUACAUCCUAAAAAAGUCAAAACAAUAUUCUAAAGUCCUAAACAUCAUCCUUUAUUUCUAAUGCCUCCUUAUAAACAUCCUAGCUUACUGGUAAUGAUUUUAUGCUUCAUCUAGAAAAUCAAGCAAUUGUUGUCCAUGCACUCCCACUGGUUGCACCAUAACCUUCAAAUUUUCCACUUUUUUUCCAUUUAUGUUGCUUUAUUUGCAACAAUGCAUAUUUGAUCAAACAAAUACCUUAGAUGCCUUUGUUUUUCUGUGCACAUGUCUUUCCAUAACUUACUCUAUUAAGCUUGUUUCCUGCAUUCAUCAGACAAAGCUUCUACUUGUGCUAUGUGUCGAUCCACUAUGUCUGGUAGCAUUUGGCUAUGUCUAUGUAAUCUGGCAGUGGCCUUUUGUUCUUCCUCCACCCUCACUUUUAACAAUUCAUUUUUUUUUAAAAGCCGGGCAAGCUCGAGUGUGACUGAUGAAUGUGUCAUGUCUAGAUAAUUAAAUAAGGCUUUCCAUUGAUCUUUUUGUUCUGUCAGACUCUAGAUUUUCAUUAAUCUUUUUGUUCUUUCUUGAAAAUUUUAUAUUAAAUAAUCCAACGAUGGAGUUUCUAUAAGUGAAACAGUAAUUUUCUUACAUACUCUUGAGGUGAGAGAAUUUUCUUAAUUUUCUGCCAAAAGUAUUGGAGUUAAUUAAGAAUAAUUUUUAAAAAAAUAAUUACUUGGUAAAAAUUUUAAAGUCUUUUGGAUAAUAUGAAAUUAAGCUGGUAUCAUCUUUCGAUGAGCGUUGUAAGGGUGCUAUAACCUUCCUCACACGUAACCGUACUCUUGAAUCCUGUUUUGGUUAGUAAACCCGAACAUAUUCUUUUAAGGACCCUUAAGCUUAAGUGUUCCUUGAAAGAAUAGAUUCUUUAGGUGGUCAAUCGUACCUAAACAAAAAAGAUUGGUGACGACUACUUAAAGUUAAUGUCAAGCGAUAAAUCUUCAGAUCUAGACGUUAUGACAGUUUGAUGACUCCACUAGAGAAUCAAGAGUCAUGCUAGCAAAUAAAUUCGUGUUAUCUAAAAAACCUAAUAAAAUUGAACCUUUUUGUAUAAAUUUUUUUAUUCAUUCAUUCUAUUUAUUUACUCUAUUAAUAUUAUCAUUCAUAUGCAUGUACAUAACAUGAGCUCUAUACCUGAGCUUCGUCUCUUAGGAGGGAGUAAAGUACCUAUUACUUUCAUGAGGUUUUAAUACCUCCAAAGUGCUUACAAAAUACUCUUACUCAAAUUGAACAUUUUUUGCUUGUAUCCUGUAAUGGGUGAGGAUUGAGGUACCUUACUAGUUUGUAAUAGACAAUGAUGUAAGAAAUAAUUUGGAAACCUUUAGACUUUAACUUAGCACUACAUAUAGUGAACCCUAGAAGUGCCUAGCCUAUAGAUAGAACCAUCUCUUUCCCUUUAGAAUUGACAAAAAGUAUAAGAUUCAUUUUUCUUAUUAUAUGUGACAUUUUAAUUUCUUUAGUUAUUUGUUUAUUUAUUUCUCUUUAUUUGAUGUAGUAACCUCUUCUCUUAUUCAUGUUUGCAUGAUCCAUACUCAUAUCAUAAAGUUACAUAAAAAACAUUUGUCUGAAAGAUGAUCUUUAACAACGAGUUUUUCAUGGACUUCACAAAAUGAUCAGUUUGCUCUUCAUCUGUAUUUGCUCCUUGUGAGUCAAUCAAUGAAGUAAAGGUCCAGUCAGAAAAGAUUCAACUAAAGAUAAGGGAUUGUUUACCAAUCAGAUAUGAUUUUACUUUAUCUUAAGAGACAUUUAUCUUCCUCAAACAAAAUAAUCUAGAGGAUUUGGUUGAUAUAUGAAAGAAAAUGAGUCCAUUAAGAUAAGAGGAGUUUUGCCAAGAUAUGGGCACAUAGCACACUUUUUUACAGUAAAUGUCAACAAUCAACUAAUUAGAGCUACAAUGCAAUUUUAGGAUCCUGCAUACAAGUGUUUCAUCUUUAAUGAAGUGGACAUAACGUCAACCAUCGAAGAAUACUUGACCUUGUUGGGCCUGUGACAAGAUAUAUGUUAAAAAAACACAAUUCAAGAUUUCAUAAGGAUUUGGCUCAUCUCAUGGGGAUAAACAAGGAGAUUGUAGAUUCUCAUAUAAAGAAGAAACAAGAACAACUUUGCCUACCUUGAAAGUUCUUUCAUGAUUUCCUAGUGCAACAUACCGAUGAAGAACGAGGGUUAGACAUAUUUACCUUAGUCAUAUACGAAAUGGUGAUAUUUUCAAAGGUUCUGAGUUAUAUUGAAAUAGCAGUGAUCGACUUCUUCGAAAGUGUGAUUAAUGGCUGUAACCCUUCAAUGAUAAUAUUAACAGAAACUAUCAGAUCUUUGAGUUAUCUUCAUCAAAUUGAAAGACGUUUUAUAAAUUACAUAAAGUUAUUGUACCUAUGGAUGAAAAGCCACUUCAAAUGAAAAAAAAGGUACUUUCUUGAAGCUUUAUGUCGCAAUUGAGCUUUGAUGAAGGAAUUCUAUGAAAGUGGGUAGUCAAAAGGAAAAUCUAAAAAAAAAAUGUUUGGCUUUCUUAUAAAAACUGAUAAGUGCCAAUGUAAGAUAGUUAGUCCCAUGGAUGAAUCAUGAACCUAUACUAUAUCAAUGUAGAGAUAACGUUGUGAUCCCACUUCUAGGUUUAUGGGGAGUAACAAGUUAUGCUUCACUUCUAGUGAGGAGACAAUUUGGGGUAAAACAGUUCAUUCCUAUGAUGCAUAAGCUUCGUCAAUCAAAUUUUUCUUACAGUGAGCCAAAAGCAUUUCAGAGGAUGAAUGAGCUGAUUAAAGCAUGAAAAAACCCUCAUAUAGUGAGUCUUGGACCAUUCACUAAUAAGAUCACUCAGAGGUGCUUGGGUUGGAGAGCAAGAUGAAGACAAGAAAUGGUAUUCACUUAUGAAAAUUUUUUACCACCAACAACAAAAAAACUUGAAGGGACACCAUUAAAAUUGGAGCUUGCAGUAAAAGAAUUUGAGUCUGAAAAAGAUAGGCUAAAGCAAGAGAUUCAGAAGCUUCAAGAGGAGAAAGAUCAGUGGAAAGAUAAGGCUGAAAAAUAAGAAGCUAAAGUCUACAAGAUUGCUAAAGAACGUGAUACAACUAUUGAAGACCUAGCGAAGCUGCACCAACAUAAAAGGUUAUGUGUCAAGGUAAAAGCUAAAAAGAUAACAAUCGCUGAGUUGAUAGAUGAAAAUAAGCGAUUAAAGGAAAAAUAUGCUGAAUUAGAGGAAAAAAGUACCCAAGUACAAAUAAAGAAUAAUAUGUUGAACAGCUACCAAAGCAAAUUAAGACAAAGGUUGAAUGAACAAGAAGACUACAUUGCUGCACUGGUUAGAAAACAUAGAAAGUGAUCAUACCAAGUUUGGUGUGGUGAAAGGAAAAAUCUAGGAAGACAGAAGUGCAUUGAGCACUUAACUACCCAAAUUUACAAAGAGGUAUGUAAGACAAGAGAGAUGAUAAAAAAGGCAGAGGCAUUGAAACAAAUGGCAACCCCAGUACGAAAAUAUGGGCAGCCUCUCCUGAACUUCAUCGAGGAAGCCAAAGACCAGUAUGAGUAGAUCAAAUAAUUUUAUGGUUAUAACUCUAGGAUGAUAAAAUCUAUGUAAACGAAAGUUCUUUGGAAUAAAUGAAAUGUUUUGGUUGAAUACUAUCUUAAGGCAAAUGUUCUUUUUAUGUAUGUAUUUUCAUCCAUUGCAUUUUCAUUCAAUACAUUUAACAAAGUAACCAUAAGAUAGUUAUAUAAACUUACUAAUUCUAAGAUAUAGUAUUCAAGGUUCAAGAAUAGCUCAAUCCAGCAAGAACCUCACUCACCGAUAUAACACAAGAACCAAAGCCAAAUAAAUAAAGCAAAAAAACUCUCAACGAUUUGAAAAAUUAAAAAAAAACACAAGAAAAAAUUGAGAAUGAGUUGAGUAAGAUUUUGAAAGCUCUCAACAAACUCAACAAAAAAAAAGGGAUAAAAAAAUACAAGCCAACAGGGUCCACCAUCACAAGAAGUGACUGACCCUCUAUAUCCUCUAGGUUUUGAUCCACAAUAAGCUCAGUCCACACUGGAUAUACGGUCAUAGCAGUUCACAUAUCCUGCAUACCUUGGAAUGCCAUCAACUUCAAACCUUGGGCAUUACCAUAACUAUUUGAAUGCUGUCUUUACUGAAGAGACAGUAAAACCGACCCAAGUUUUUAACCUCGAUGUCUUGAAAGAGAAGGAGAAAGAAAAAACAAAAUUGAUGGAAUCUUAGAAAGAUAAGAAGAUUAGUAUGCUUAAACAAAGGUUACGAGCUAUAGAAGAAAUUGAGUUUUAUGGUUCUUUUGAGGCUACUGGGCUGUGUUUAGUCCCAGAUGUGGUUAUUGCACCCAAGUUCAAAGUAUCAAAAUUUAAAAAAUGUGAUAGUAUAAAAUACUCAAAAAUUUAUAUAACCAUGUAUUAUCGAAAAAUGACAACCCGUGCCCAUAAUGAAAAACUAUUAAUGCAUGUUUUUCAAGAUAGUCUUACGAGCUUCGCUGCUAGGUGGUAUAUUCAGCUGGACAGAACUCACAUCCGUUUUUAGAGAGACAUGGCCCAUGAUUUCAUGAAUCAAUAUCGACAUAUCAUGGAUUUAACUCUUGAUCGUUUGUCUUUACAAACAUGAAGAAAAAAGUAAAUAAGUCAUUUAAAGAAUAUGCCCAGAGGUGGAAAGAUGUAACUUUUCAAGCACAACCACCUCUAACUGAAAAGGAAACUACAAUGUUAUUCGUCAGCACUCUGAAAUCUCCCUAUUAUGAAAAGAUGGUAGAAAAUACAACUAAAAAUUUGGUCGACAUGGUGAUUUAAGGAGAAAUUAUUGAGAGUGCCAUCAAGAAUGAUAAGUUAGAAGGAGGAAAGGCAUCAAGUAAAAAAAAAUUGAAGCUCAAGUUGUGAGUUUUGAUAGGCAACAAUUUAGAGGAUAUCAACCCUACCCACCACAAGGAUACUUUCCAUAUUAUCAUACUGUAAAUAACACUUUUCCUUACCCAUAUCAACCAAUCCACAGUCAUCUUACCCCCAAACAUAUCAACCUUCUUUUAAGCCUUAAAGUACCGCAUACAGUUUCAACACUCAACCUGCCUCAAGACUUCAGACACGUCCAGCUAGCCUGAUGGGUGGAUCACGAGAGCAACAAACUACUUGUGAAAAACCUGUAUUUGACUCAAUUUUGAUGACCUAUACAGAGCUAUAUCGUGAGCUUUACAAUAUUCAUCUAAUUGUUCCUAGCAAAUUGGAGCCACUCAAGUCACCUUACCCUAAAUGGUAUGAUCACAUAGCCUAUUGUGACUAUCACUACGGGAUUACUGAUCAUUCCACUGAAAAUUACACUAUCUUGAAAUACAAAGUACAGCGACUGAUCAAGGAUAAAAUGAUUAGUUUAGAUACAAGAUAGGUAACUACACCAAAUGUUAGUGGCAAUCCUUUGCCUAAUCACAAUGUGAAUGCUCUGAGUGAGAAAUAAGAGCAUCUUUUGAAGAGAAAAAUGACAGAUAUUAAGACCUCUUAGUCAGCUGUUUGAUGCUUUAUGGAGAGCUAACGUGAUACAACUAGCGGGUUUGCACAGUUAUCAUGAAAUAUAUAUAGCAGGCACUAGUUGUAAAUAUCAUAGUAGAACAAUUGAUCACUUUGUUGAAGCUUGUGAGCAGUUUCACCAAGAGAUACAAAAACUCUUGAAUUCAUACCAGAUGAAAGUUCAUGAAGAGGGGAAAAUGUAAAAAGUGCGAAAGUAUCCAUGACUGACAAGCCAACAAAGUUUUUUCUAAAACCAGUGAUGAUUCACUGUAGGAAUAAGCCAAAGUCAGUCAUAGACAAACUUAUUCCCAGGUCGAUAACUUUUAAAAUUUUGACUCUAUUCUCAUAUAAAGAUGAUAAAGUUGUACCUUAAAAAUAUGGUUGUGAUACAAUAGUUCAGGGGCAAGAGAAAAAUGUCUCUAAGACUGACAUCGCUAUUAUAACUGGUGUAAGGAGCAUUACUCGAAGUGAAAGAUGCUACACUCCAAAAAUAUUGAAGAAGGCUAGAAGAGAAAAAGUCAAGGUAAGUGAAAAGCGAAACAACCUUGAAGUGAAACCUGAAAAGGAUCGUCUGAAGUCGGUGUCAAAAAAAGAGACUUGUAAAUUUUUAAAGUUGGUAAAACAUAGUGAAUAGUUAGUUGUUAAACAGUUGAAUAAAAUACCAGCACAAAUCUCAUUAUUAUCAUUACUGUUAAACUCAGAACCACAUCGAAAUACCCUAUUGAAAGUGUUGAACUAAGCAUAUAUGACACAAUAUAUCUGUUGAAUAUGUGAACCACCUGACUGGAAAUCUAGUUAUGCCAAAUUAUAUUUCAUUCAGUGAUGAUAAGAUUUUUCAAAAAGAAGGAAAAGUGCCAACGCUCUACUUAUCACGAUUAAGUGCAAGAGCUAUAUCAUAGCUAAAGUUCUUAUUGAUAAUGGCUUUGCUAUCAAUGUCAUGCCUAUGUCAACUUUGACAAGGCUACUAAUUGAUUAAUCUCAUAUGAAAAAUAAUCAAAUGAUCGUCCAAGCUUUUGAUGGGACCACAAGAGAAGCAUUAAGAGAUAUUGAGAUGCCUUUGUAAAUUGGGCCAUGCACUUUUAAUGUAAUGUUUCAAGUAAUGAAUAUCUCUCUAUUUUACAAUUAUCUGUUAAGAAGACCAUGGAUUCACAUGACAGAGGCUAUUCCUUCUACUAUGCAUAAAAAAAUUAAGUUCAAUAUGAAAAGCAAGUUAAUGGUAGUGUUUAAAGAAAAAGACAUUCUAGUGACUCAGCCAUUGAAUGCUCUAUAUGUGGAAGCUACUAAGGAAACGAUGGAAUGUUCCUAUCAAUCUUUUGAGCUGGUUAAUUUUAUGGGUGAAAGACCUAAAAAUCAACCAUUUUCAAAGAUAGUGAUGAGCCAAGUCAUUAAUAAGGGUUGGUAUUCAGGAGUAGAGCUAAGUAAGAACUUACAGAGAAUAACAGAGCCUUCAACAAUAGUAGACAAUAAUGAAAGGCUAAGCCUAAGCUAUGAAAUAACAGAAUAAAAGAUCAGAAGAAGACCAAUGGGUAAAACAACAAGAUUAAUGAUCAUCCCACACUCAUACGAGACUUUUAAACCUGAAAGAUUCAUGUACCUAAAUGCAAAAGAAAGUUUGAAAGAGGCAUUCGCCCAAUUGACCAUCCAUGCUAUUGAAGAUGAAAUAGAGCUUGAAUAAAAUGGGUAGAUUCGCCCUUGUUCGUCAAAUUAUGAGCUAAACAAUUGGAGUAUCAUUGAGAUGCCAUAUACCUUUGAGACUAAUGCAAUGUAAUCAUACAUCCCAAUAGCUAUUACGCAAGGCAUUGGGGUGAUCUUUCUUAUUUGAACCGUUUAUCUUUCAUUAUUUUAAUAAAAAUUAGGAAGGAUGCAUUUUCAUUCAUUUUUUCUUGUGCCUUCAUUAUUGUCAUUUUUUCAUUUUUCAAACACAUCUUGUCAACAUAUCCCAUUUCAUUUAAUUUCAGCUCUUUAAAUGAACAAGAAAAUUAUGAUGACGAUCAAGAGGUUAAUUUUAAGAAUUCAAUUAACACUGAUGAAUUUAACAAUAAAAAUGAUUCUGAAGAGUAUGUUAUACCUUCGGACCUAAUGAGACUAAUUGAGCAAGAAAGUAAGCUAAUUGAGCCUCAUCAAGAUAUAACUGACUUAAUGAAUUUAAAAGAUGAAAUGAAUAAGAAAAAAAUCAAAAUCAAUACUUCACUUUCAUCGAAAGAUAAGCAACGUUUGAAAGAUCUACUUCGAGUAUUCAUAGAUGUGUUUAUUUGAUCUUACCGAGAUAUGUCAAGUUUAAAUACAGAGAUAGUAGAGCACAGACUGCCCCUAAAGUCAGAAUGUAACCAGUCUAACAGAAAUUAAGGUGAAUGAAACCUGGAAUGCUAUUAAAAAUCAAAAAAGAGAUAAAUAAGCAAUUUGAUGCAAGUUUCUUACAAGUGGCUAAGUAUCUAAAGUGGGUAGCCAAUAUAAUACCAAUUUCAAAGAAAGAAAAGUAUGAAUAUGUGUAGACUAUCUUGAUUUGAAUAGGGCUAACCCAAAGGAUAAUUUUUUUUUGCCUCAUAUCGAUACACUGGUAGAUAACACGGCUAGACAUUCUAUGUUCUCUUUUAUGGAUAGGUUCUCAAGGUAUAAUCAGAUAAAAAUGACUAUAGAUGAUAUGAAAAAGACCACUUUCAUGACCAUGUAAAAAAUUUUUUGUUACAAAGUCAUGCCUUUCGGGUUAAAGAAUACUGGGGUAACAUAUCAAAGAGCUAUGGUGACACUCUUUCAUGAUAUGAUGCACAAAGAGAUUGAGAUGUAUGUAGACGAUAUGAUUACAAAAUCUCGUGAGAAUAAAGAUCAUGUCACCAACCUUAGAAAGUUAUUUGAGAGGUUAAGAAAAUUUUAACUUAAGUUAUACUCAGCCAAGUGCCCCUUCGAGGCAAAGUCAGGAAAGUUGCUAGGCUUUGUGGUCAGUGAAAGAAGAAUUAAAGUUGAUCCAGAUAAAAUACGGACCAUUCAAAGUUUGUCACCUCCGAGUACACCAAAAGAAAUUCAAGAUUUUUUGGGAAGAUUAAACUACAUUUUGCAAUUCAUAUCUCAGCUUACUUAUAAAUAUUAUCUCAUUUUUAAGCUUCUCUGUAAAAAUAACCCUGAAGCAUGGAACGAGAAAUGUUAGGUGAUUUUUGAUAAAAUUAAGCAAUACUUAUAAAAUCUUUCAGUAUUGGUGCCAUUUAUUCUAAAAAAAAUCUUAAUUUUAUACCUAACAGUGUGCAAGAAUUCAAUGAGAUAUGUGCUGGGGCAAUAAGAUGAGUAUGAUCGAAGAGAGAGAGCUAUUUAUUAUCUGAGCAAAAAAUUCACUGAAUAUGAGUUCAACUAUUCUCCUUUGAAAAAAAUAUGUUGUACAUUAACUCGGACUGCCAAAAGACUCAGACAAUAUAUGCUUUAUCAUAUCACUUGGCUUUUAGUAAAACUGGAUCCAAUUAAGUACAUUUUUUAAAAGCUUUCUUUGUCUGAGAGAAUUGCUAGGUGACAAGUAACGCUCUCAGAAUAUGAUAUCAUAUAUGUGAGCCAAAAGGUAAUCAAAAUGAUUGUAAUAGCUAAGUUUCUUGCAUAUCGUACUAUCAAAAAAUAUGAACCAAUAAGAUUAGAAUUUCCUGAUGAAGAUCUGAUGACUGUUUCUCAAUUAGAAAAGGGGAAGCAUGAAAAAAAAUGUUGGAAGAUAUAUUUUGAUGAAGCUGCCAAUGCCUUGGGACAUGAAAUUGGGAUAAUUUUGAUUUCUUCAGAAAAACAAUACUAUCCUAUAACAGUGAGGUUAAAUUUUAACUACACAAAUAACAUCGUUGAAUAUGAGGCAUGUGUCAUUGGUCUACAAGCUGCUAUAGAUAGAAGAAUGAGUAUUAAAAGUGUUUUGAAAACUCAGAUCUAGUUAUAUAUCAUUGAAAAGAGAAUGAGAUACGAGAGAUUCAAAACUUGUUUCAUAUAUUUUAAAAUUGAUAAAGUAAUUUGAAGAUAUCAAGUUUGAUCAUUUACCCCGAGAGAAGAAUUUGAUUGUCGAUGCAUUAGCUACUUUGGUUGCAAUGAUCCGAAUUAAUGAUAGUUCUGACAUUCAGCCCAUCAAGUUAGAUGUCAAAAAUAUGCUAGCUCACUGCUCAAAUGUAUAAAAAGAGAAGGAUGAGAGGCCUUGAUAUUAUGAUAUCUUACAGUACAUUAAAAAUCAGCAUAUCCAGUCCAAGCAACAGAGAACGAUAAAAAGGUCAUUCGAAGAUUAACUGUGAGCUUUUUUCUAGAUGAGAAUGUUCUGUACAAAAAGAGCCAUUAUCAAGUAUUACUAAGAUGCGUAAGUAAAGUUAAAGCAAAAAAAAAUCAUUGAAGAGGUGCAUGAUGAAAUAUGUGAAGCAUAUGCCAAUGGAGAUAUAAUGACAAGACAGAUCAUGAAAGUAGGGUACUAUUGGUUGGCAAUGGAAAGUGAUUGCAUUGACUAUGCUCGUAAAUGUCAUAAAUGCCAGAUAUAUGCUGAUAAGAUUCAUGCUCCGUCAUCUGCUCUAUAUGUUUUGGCAUCACCUUGAUCAUUCUAGAUAUGGGGCAUGGAUGUCAUUGGUCCUAUUAUCCCAAAGGCUUUUAAUGGGCAUAGGUUCAUUUUCGUGAUGAUAGAUUAUUUCAUGAAAUGGGUAGAGGCAGCAUCAUUUGUAAAUGUAACACGAUCUGUGAUUUGCAAGUUCAUAAAAAGAUAAAUCAUUUAUAGAUAUAAACUUUCAAAGAAAAUUAUUUCAGACAAUACUAAGAAUCUAAAUAGUAAGAUGAUGCAAGAAAUAUAUGCCUAGUAUAAGAUCAAGCAUCAUAACUCAACAUCAUAUCGGCCGAAAAUGAAUGGGACAGUAAAGGCAACUAACAAAAAUAUAAAAAAAUUCUUGAGAAGAUGACUGAGACCUAUAAAGAUUGGCAUGAGAAAUUAUUGUUUGCACUGCAUGUAUAUCGAACGUCAGUGCGUACCUCUACUAGGGCCACUCUAUUUUUUUUGGUUUAUGGAAUGAAAGCUGUAUUAUCAGUAAAAGUAGAGAUCACAUCCUUGAAGGUUCUAAAAGAAAUUGAACUGAAAGAGGCUGAAUAAAUUCGAGAGCACUAUGAAUAGUUAAAUUUCAUUGAGAAAAAAAGAUUGACGACGCUGUGCCAUGGUCAGCUAUAUCAAAGAAAAAUGAUAAAGGUUCAUGAUAAAAAAGUUUGACCUCAUUGCUUUCGAGAAGGAGAGUGGAUCUUGAAAAGAAUUCUUGCAAAUCAGCAUGAUAAUAGAGAAAAAUAGACUCCAAAUUAAAAAGGACCAUAUGUGGUGAAACGAGCUUUCUCGGAUGAAGCACUGAUACUGACUGAAAUGGAUAGAAAAGAUUUGCCCCAUCCUAUAAAUUUUGAUGUUGUGAAGAAGUAUUAUGCGUGAAAAAAAAAUUAAAAAAAUAAAAAAAAAAACUCAAUGCAAAAACUCUAAGAAGGUGAUUCGAGUCAUAGGGGAUUAUCUAAGUUGAAAACCUAAAAAUACAGCUUAGGUAAGGAAGAUAUAGCAUCAAAUCUAAAAAUUCGUUGGAAUGAAGGCUAGCAUAGUCUGAUAAGCUCUAAACUAUUAAGUGCAUCAGGUGGUUGAGUUUUUCAAAAAUGACCUUGGGAUGUGUUAUCAUGAUUGUCCGAUUGUUUAUUUUUGGGUAUUUUUCCCUUACCUAUCUUUGUAAUUCUUUCAUGGCCAAAGUUUAUCGACGUUUUGCUAAUAAAAGACAUUCUACUUCAUAUUUUAUGUGUCCCUUUUGUUGAUUAUUUCCUAACCAUCUUUAUUCUUUUCUCCUCCAUACCUUACAAUGAAAGAAAUAUGUGAAUGCAUUCUUACUUUUUUAGUUUGAAAUAAUGAUUAAUAAAUGAAUAAAAGCAUAAAAGAUUACUACAUUACAUUAGAGAAGUCAAGAGUGAUAAAAACAAAUUCGAAAUGUUCAGUUUCUGAUGAGGACAUUAAAUUUGGGAAAGGGUUUUAAAUGAAAGAGAUAUCUGAAAGUUACGCUGACUCGAUCUUUGAAGAAUAGUGUAACAUGAUCUUUGAAGAAUAAAGGAUUCAAGGCACAAGAAAAGAGCUUGAAAAACUCAAGUACCAUAACUGAAUGAGAAUUAAUUAGUCAGCAUUUGUAUAGCAUGCAUUGAAUUCCACAUGCAUUGCAUAUAUUACAUUUUUAAAAAAAAACACAAUGCAUAAAUUCAAAAAGUAGGGGUAUUCCAAGAUCUCACAUGAAAAAGGCAGAUGUGAAGACUUUUCGAUGUAAAAGUUUCAAAUUUGAAGAAAAGCUUGUGAGAUAGGUUUCUAAUCCUUGAAAUUGGAUAUCUUUUACCAUUAUGAUCGAUUUGUAAAACCCUUGGACAUAAUCUCUUGAAAUUCCUUCAAACACGAUCUUUGACUUCUCCAGACAUGAUUGUCAAUGAGAAAAUUAUUUUUCAAAAGUCGUGGUGCCUUUGUUUAUAGGAGCAAUUUAUUUUUCAAAGUUAUGGUGCUUCUAUUUAGAGGAACAAUUUAUUUUUUAAAAAUUUUAGUGCAUCUAUUUAGAUAAGCAAUUUAUUUUCAAAGUUGUAGUGCCUCUGUUUAGAGGAGCAAUUUGUUUUCAAAAGUUAUGGUCCAUCUGUUUAAAAAAGCAAUUUACUUCCAAAAAUCGUUAAACAUUUGUUUAAGGAGCUUUGCUUAUUUUUCCAAAGUCGAUGAGCCUCUAUUUAGAUAAGCUUUGUUUACUUUCCAAAGUCAUUGAACCUCUGAUUAAAGAAACUUUGAUCAAGAUUUUAAUAAAAAAAACAACAAAAAAUGUCGAGUUAAGUCUUAAAUGAAUAUCUACGUCUUUAAACAAUUUUUGUUUCACAAAAAAUAUGCAAAGAAGGACAACUAUGACACCCAAUUUAGUCUAGGCCCGGAUCAAUUGGGCCUCGCCUAAAUGGGCAAGAUGGGCUAUUUUUUUAUUUUUUUAUUUUUGUUUAUUAUUUUUAUUAUUUACUAUUAUUUAUUAGUUAUAUUAUUAUUUAUAUUACUAUUAUUAUUAUUAUUAUUAUUUAUUUUAUCUUUUUUUUUAUUAAAUUAGGUGAUAAUGAUUAGAUCAAUUAAAAAUAAUCCAAAAAAAUGGUGAAAGUUGAUUUGACCGUGAAUUUGGGGGCUGACAGAGUUGAAAUUGAAUUCAAAGUUUGAAUCUCAAUCCCAGAUGAAAUUGGGAUUGAUCAAAAACUCUUUUGAUCAAUCCCUAUAAAUAGAUGCUGAAACGUACAGGAAAAGACACAACAGAGAAGUGAAAUAGAACCAAAAAGUGUUUAAAGGUAGUUUAGAAAUUUUAAAAAAAAUUUUUGAAUUUUUUAGAGUUUUUUUUGGAAUUUUUGGAAAUUUUUCAAAAUUCGACAAAAUUUUUCGGUGAGAUUUAAGUUUUCGAAAAGUUUUUCGACGAAAAACCCAGAUUCUAGCCAUAUUUUCCAAUUUUUGAUGUACUUUUUUAAUUUUUGAUUAAAUAUUCAACCGAAAACUGGGUUCUACUAGAGAGAGGGAAAAAAAAAAGAGGGAAACAAAGAAAGAGGGAAGAAAAGCAUCUGAAGAAAAUCAAAAGCUUUUGCCUUUUAUACCCAUUGAAAACGACCUCGUUUUGACCUUACUAAGACCCAUGAUCCGCGCGUUUUCCAUUUGGGCCAUCUGACCUAUAGCGCAACCUGCUUUUGACCCAAGUUUGACCUACACCUAAGCCAGUCUUUCCAGUCAAGCCGAGCCACCAAGCCGCAUCAUCCAAGCCAUGGUCUGUGCUUGUAACCGAACUAAAUCCCAGCCGUUAAACCAAGCCGCCUUAAGGUUUUUUUUUAUUAUUAUUAUUAUUGUUGUUAUUAUUUCUAAAUUAAAAUUAUUUGGUAUUCUUUAAUUUUUUUUUUUUUUUAUUUUAUUUUAUUAUUAUUUUUUUAUGAUUUUUUUAAAUAAAAAUUUAUAAAAGCAUUUUUAGAAAAAAAUUGAAAGUAUCAAUUUUUCUUAAAAAUAAAGUUUCUAAAAUAAAAAAUUUCCAAAAGCAUUUUAGGAGAGAGUUGAAAGUAUCAAUUUCUCUUGAAAAUAAAGUGUUAAAAAUUAUAUACUUUUAAAAAAAAUUGAAAGUAUCAAUUUUUUUAAAAAAUAAAAUUUUUAAAAUAAAAAUUUUUAAAAGCAUUUUGGAGAAAGUUGAAAGUAUCAAUUUUUCUUGAAGAUAAAAAGAUUUAAAAAAUAUUUUUUAAAAAAAAUUGAAGUAUCAUUUUUUCUUUGAAAUUAAAUUAAAAAGAAAAGCAUUUUAAGAAAAGUUGAAAGUACUAAUUUUUCUUAAAAAAGUUUGACAAGAAAAAUAUUUUUGAGAAAAAGUUAAAAGUAUCAAUUUUUCUUAAAAUAAAACUUUCAAAUGCUUUAAGAAAAAAUUGAAAGUAUCAAUUUUUCUUGUAUAAAAGUAAAUGAAUUUUUUUAAAAAGAAAAAAAUUUAUAUCUAAAAUUGAGUUUUUAUUUUCUUUUCCUUUUCUUUCUUGAACACAAUGAUUCAAAUGCAAUUUCAAGCUCAAAUCCAAAAUUUUCACAAACAAUGAGAGGGAAUACUUUAAUUCAAUUCUUGGUGAUUAUUUGAAAGAAAAUGAGAUUUUUCACCAAAGUUCUUGUGUUAAAACCUCCCAACAAAAUGGGAUUGCAUAACAUAAAAAUUGUCAUCUAUUUAAAGUCGUUCAACUAUCAUAUUUAUCAAUAAUGCUUUUAAGUUUUUUUAGGGAGAUGCUAUUUUAACAGCCCCAUACUUGAUCAAUAAACUUCCUAGUAGAAUUUUCAAUUUCAAAACACUAUUGAAUAUGUUACUUGAAUCAUAUCCACAAACUAUGCUGUUUACCUCUUUACACCCAAAAGUCUUUGGUUGCACAUCUUUUGUUAACAACAAAAGUCCAUCUUAUGGGAAACUAAAACCCAGAGAUAUAAAAUUUAUCUUGAUUGGUAUUCUCCUACUCAAAAAGGAUAUAAGUGCUAGUAUCCAUUCACAAAACAAAGAUGUCACAAUUUUUGCAAAUCAACCCUUUUACCCAAAACCAACUCUUCAUGGGGAGAUACUAGGUAAAGAUAGGCUUUGAAAAUUUUCCAUUCCACUUUUUAUAACAUCUGUUAUUCCUAUUACGUCACCAACAUAAGCUAAGUUGGAAACAGGGACAGGUUCAUUUAUGCUUAAUCCUCAACAAGAAACAAAGCUCGAUGUUUAUUCACGACGUAAACCACAGCCUUAGGAAGUACAAAUUUAGUACAAAUUUUUGUGGCCCAGCCAUAUUGUCAAGAAUCUGAUCCAUAAGUAAAUUCUAAAUUAGAAAAUACUAAGCCUAUAACACUAUCACUAGUGAAUACCAAUUCGUAAGCAAAUUUUGAAUUAGAAAAGUUUGUCCCUACCACACCAUCACUAGUGACUACUCCACCUAAUGAUCUAGACAAACCUAUAGCACUUAAGAAAGGUAUAAGAUCGUACACUCAACACCUAUUGUCUAAUUAUCUAUCUUAUAGUCAUUUGUCUACUUACAUUUUGUACUAUGAUAAAAAAAAAGAUUAAGGAAACUAAAAUCUCACAAAUAUUCAUAAAACUCUAAAAAUCCCAAAAUAGGAAGUUGCUAUGCUUAAAGAGAUGAGAGCAUUGAAAAAGAAUGAGACAUGGGAUGUUGUAGAGUUACCUAGAGAAAAAAUACGAAUUAGAUGUAAGUGGGUGUUUACUAUUAAGUAUAAUUAAGAUGGUGGAAUAAAGAGACAUAAGACCCGCUUAGUUGCGAAAAGAUUUACUCAAACUUUUGGAGUAUAGUACACUAAAAACUUUGCUCCAGUUGCUAAAUUGAAUACUAUAAGGGUAUUACUUUCACUAGCUACUAAUCUUGACUCGCCAUUACACCUAAUGAAUAUUAAGAAUGCAUUUCUUAAUGACAAGUUGGAUGAUGAAGUUUAUAUGGAUUUGCCUCAUAGCUUUGGAAGGGGAAACAAUGAUAGGAAGUUAUGCAAAUUGAAAAAGUCUCUCCAUGGUUUAAAACAAUCACUAAAGGCUUGGUUUGAUCGCUUUGCAAAGUCAGUAAGAAGACAUAGAUUUAGCCAAGGACAAAUUGAUCACACUCUAUUUUUUUCAAACACUCACAACGUGAAAAAAAAGACUAUUUUGAUCGUUUAUGUUGAUGAUAUUAUAUUGACAGGUGAUGACACUGAAGAAAUAGAAAGGCUAAAAAAAACUCUUGGAAAAGAAUUUGAACUUAAAGAUUUUGGACAACUAAAAUCAUUUUUAGAGAUGAAAGUUGCAAGAAGCAAGAAUGGCAUUAUUGUUUCCCAAAAGAAAUAUACGGUUGAUCUCUUGAAAAAUACCAGCAUGCUUGGCUAUAAACCAACUGAUACACCUAUAGAUCUUAAUACAAAGCUUGGCAAGAAAAGAGAAAUUCUAGUAAAUAAGGAGAGGUAUCAACGACUAGUUGAUAAGUGGAUCUACUUAUCUCAAACAAAACCUGAUAUUGUCUUUAUAGUUAGUGUAGUAAAUCAGUACAUGCACUCUUCAUUUGAGGAGCAUUUUAAAGCUGUGUAUUAAAUCUUAAGGUAUUUGAAGGCCACACCUGAUAAUGUUUGUUGUUUGAGAAGAAUGAACAAAAAAAAAAGCAUUCACAGAUACAGAUUAGGUAGGAUCAAUUGAAGAUAAAAAAUCCACAUCUAGGUAUUGUACAAAGAUUUAGGGUAAUCUCAUGAGGUGGAGAAGCAAGAAACAGUCUAUUGUUGCUCGAAGUAAUGCAAAAACAAAACUUAGAGCUUGUGCACAAGAAACUUGUGAACUUAUUUAGCUAAAGAGACUUUUAGGAAAACUAAAAAUGACAAUUGAAUAACCUAUGAAACUGUAUUAUGAUAACAAGGUUGCUAUAAAUAUUGCUUAUAAUCUAGUGCAUCAUGAUCAAACAAAGCAUGCGAAAGUUGAUUAGCAUUUUAUCAACAAGAAAAUUGACAUAUAAGUGAUCUAUAUGACCUAUGUUCCUGCAAAGUAACAAGUAACAGAUACCCUAACAAAAGGACUACAUAAACCAAGCUUUGAGACUCUUGUUGACAAGCUGAUAAUGAUAACUAUCUAUUCUCCAGCUUAAAGGGGAGUGUUGACAUAUUAUGUAUCAAAUUAGGAUCAAUAUCCUGAUUUGUUGAGAUUUAUAUUUCUUGUCUUUUAUUUGCUUUUAUGUUUGGAUGAUUGUGCCUUGAUUUUGUAGGUUUCUUUGUACAUAUCAAUACCUCUAUAUAUUUAGGGUUUCCUUUUAGUAUAAUAACACUAAAAAAACAUUGUUUUUAUCAUUGUUUUCAAUAUUUCCUCAAGAGAUUAUAGUAAUAAAUAAGUUUUUUAUGUUAGGUUGAUAUAAUUUUAGAAAGUUUAAAAUUAUACUAGUAUUAAUUUAUAAAAAGUACUUUUUGAAAUUAUUAAUUAUUAUUUACUUAUGUUUGAUUAAAUGUUAAAACAUUAUUUGGGUAUAUUUCAUUUCUUUCUUUUAAAAAAAAAAUCUAACUUUAUUCGUAAUCGGAUUUAAUUUUAUAUUCUUUGAUAAAAAUUUAAAAAUAUAAGGAAAAUAAAAUUUGAUAAAAAUAAAAAUAAAUAAAGGAAAUAAAACCAUGGUGAACCCAAAAUUAUUACUUUUUGCUAUCAUACUAAAAAUAUAUUUAUUAGAAAGAAAAUAAAAUUUUUAAAAUUAUUAAGAAGGAAAUUAAAAUAACAUUUUUUCUCUAAUUUAAGUUGAAUUUUGAAAACCAAGUGCAGAAAUGAUAAUUCUAUUUCGUUAUUAAAAAUUUUAAAAGUUAUAUUUAUUUUUUAAUAAAUAUAUUUUAGUAUGAGAGGAAAGAGUAAUAAUUUUGAAUGUAUUAUCUUAAAUUGUAAUUCUCUCUUAUUUUUAUGCUAAAAUUGAUUAGAGAACCAUAUUGACACCAUUUUAAAAGGUUUGGGACUAUCAUCCAACAAUUUAAAGAUUAGGGAUCAAAAUCAAAUCCAAAUAGAAGGUUUAGGACUAAAAAUGUACUCAAAAAGUUAAACCUAAACAAAUAUUUUCCUUUAACAAGCUAGCCUUCCUGUAACUUGUACCAAACUGAAAGGAAAAAGUUACUGACAGCAAAAAGAUAUGUAUAGAAGGUUUCUGCAACCAACACAUCCUUCAGCCAAUAACAUGUCAUUCUUAAUCACCCAUCUUUUGAUUAAUUUAAUUUAUUCACCAACCAACAAUGAGAAUAAGUAUGUCAGCUUUUGUUUGGGCUUCCUCAACAGAAAGGCCAAGUAAUCUAAAAGUGGCCCCCAAUCCUCCCUUGUGACCUAAAGACAUGCUCAUAUUUCCAUAAUUAAAUAUUGCUAAAUUAAAGAUAUCCAAACAAAUAUAACACAUAGACCAAUACUAAUUGCACAUCAAUCGAACCAGCUUAAGUACGAUUAGCACUGUUUUCUGCUAAAUAUAUCUGACACUAGAAACUUGUUAUGGUAAUAUGAUUGAACUUCAUAUCUAUUAAAUAUCAUAAAAUUAACGGGCCAAGUUGUCUUUCUCAAAUCUAGAAAGCAAACUUUAUUUGGUAAUUCUCCAUAGAGGAAUAAACAGAUACCUAUCCGUUCCUGAACCAGAUAUUCACUUAUGGCUUACUACGAGGGAUCAAUAUUGAAAUUAAUAAUCGCCAACACGGUUGUCUAUCUUAAACUAGAAAAGCAAACUUUAUUUUGAGUACAGACUCCACUGGAUGAUAAACCACGAUACUUAUUCUGAUUCCUCGACCACAUAUUCCACUAAGGGCUCCUACCUGCUACGAUAAUUGAAAUUUAUGACUGCAACUGUCUUCUUCGACUGAAAGAAUGAUUUGUUCAGUUUCCUAGAAAUGUCAUCAACUUUGUGGCUUACAUCACCAUGCUGGAGAGUCAGAACUAGUUCAAGGAAAUUUUUCAUAGCGAAUGGAGAAUUAAUACUAUUAGCAUUCACAUGAUCGCUUGCUUAUAAACUCUUUUAGUAAGUAUAUACCAUUUAGAGCAAUUAAGACAGCAGCAUCAAGAAAUUAAUCCAGGUUAAGGUAAAACAACAAAAUUAAGUCCUGAACUAAAACUGCUUAAGACAAAAAAAAAAAAAUUGAUGCCACAUUUUUCAAAUUCAUGAGAAAAAUUAAAAAGAUAUCAAAUCUUCAAGAAACCAGCAUAAAAAAUAACUCUAGGUAGUUAAAAGUAAAAUUAGUAAAUUAAUUGAAUGUAUUGAAACCUUCCACAAAUGAUGCAAAAGGGUUAAUUUAAAAGUACAAUUUAUGUGAUGUGUUAUCUGUAUUACCUGCUUCCUGGGUCUGUCGCAUCAUCAUUCUCCACAUCAAAUGGACAAGGAAAUUCAGGGUCAUCAAAAUCAUCCCGUAAAGACCUUGGAACUUCGGGAAAAUGAAACUCGAGGUGAGCUGCUGGAAGAUGCCUUCACUCUAGAAUAUUUCCAAUAGUCUUCUUUCUUGAUAGCAAACAGCUAGACGAGACAAAAAUAAAUAAACAAAUUCCAAAGGGCAAAACAAGAUACACUAGAAAACACAACAUACCAAUGAUGAGUAUAUGAAAUACCUUCUCAACGGUUACACGAAUUCGAACUGGACCCAUAUUAUUAUCAGACUUAGAAGUACCAGCUUUUGUAAUUAAGGGGAGAUGAUGGUGGCAAAUUUUGCUUGCAGGACAACACAGGGGAAUUAGCAAGCUUAGGAGCAGGUACAUUUACAGGAGCACUUUCAGAACGUAAAAGGGCUUUUGACAGAUGACUCCCAGUAAUGUGUAUAGGGGGUGAUGGUGAGGGGGAAGGGAAAGGGGAGGCAGAGAAAUUGGGAGGACAAUACUCAUCAAAAUUGAUAUAUUCUUAUGAGCUAGUAAGGUCUCAAGAGGAUGAGGAGGUAAGCUCAUAGGUGGCAAACAGUGAGAGCUUGGGUUGGAAACCGAAGAAUGAGAUUCUAAAUAUGUUCAUGAUGGUGAAAAAGAAACCAAAGGCGGUGAAGCCUUGUAAUGGUCAUAACUCUAACCAUGUCUUCUUGAGAAUGGCAAAGAUGAAGGAGAGUUGUGCGACACAGGAAAAGAUGGGAACCUCCUCAGUGGGUCUGCCAAUGGGCUUCCAACAUAAUCUGGUAUAAAUUGAGGGAACAUAUGGGUUGAUGACUCAGAGCUUAUAUCUGAGAUUGAUGACCGGAACAAAACUGAAAAGCAAAGCCUUCCACAUGAUGUGUCCAAAGGGGUAAACCAAAAUCGUUGCAUUUCUGCCACUUCUUUACAAGUGAAGGGUUUCAACAAAAGAGGAUACCAUAGGAACAAGCUUAAAGGCAUGAAGUUGACCAGAUGAAUUGAGAUCACAAAAAAUCUUGUAUGCAGGUAAAAGCCUAACAGUCAUGUAUAAGGACCUCAACAGCAAUAUCAAUUUCUUAUAUAGCGUACUCAAAUUAUUACUACUUAACCUUACACUUCUUGUUCUACAAUCCCUACAGUUUCUACUUUCAUGCUGCAUAAACCAUCUUUCUAUAGUCUUUUCACUUUUUUUCUCACUACCUGAAUCUUUUUAAUCAGAAUCAGAGAUUCAAAUUGCGUUGUGGACACGUUUUCGGUCGUGUUACGUUUAUCACAAUUGCGUAUAUAACGAAAAUCAUUGCAGUCAUCAAAGUCGUGAAUUUUUUUUAAUUUUUCAUAAUUUACUAUAAAAUGUAGUAAUUAUAAUUAUAAUAAUAAAAAUUAGUACUUAUAAUUUUUAAAGUAAUUUAUGAUAUUUUAAUUUUUAUUUAUAAAUUAAAAUAAUUUUUUCAUGUUUUGUAGUUAUAAUUCAAAAUGAAAAUGCAUAUUAUAAAUAUUUUUCUUUAUUAUACGCAUGAAGUUCAAAGACAUAAGUAUUAUAAAUGCAUAUGAUGAAAAAAAAUAUAUCUUAUAUGAAGUUAUUUAAUAUUAUAAUUAAUUUAAUUAAAAAAUUAGUGAUGAAUAUUUUAGAUAUUUUUAUAACAUAUGUUUAUUGGAGGAAUAUGAUAAAACUAACUGAUUGACUAUAGAUAAAUAUACCUUAUUAUUAGAUCAAAUUUUCAAGUGUAACAUUUUAAAUAACUAAAUUAAACCAAAAUAAUAUAAUAAUAGCAAACUAAUCUUUAUUAACUAAUAAAAAUAUACAAUUAACAAUAACAUUAAUAAUAUUAAAAUUAUAUAAAAAACUACUAAUUACUUUUAAAAUGAUAAUAAAUAAAAAUAAAUUCACUAAUUAAUAUCUCACAUUCUCCUUAAAUUUUUAUCAAAAUCAACAAAAAAAAUUCUCUAAAAUAUUUAAUUUCUCACCAAAUCAUUUGCUUUUUCCUUUUCAUAUUUUCACCUAAAUAAGAAAAAACAAAAUAUAAUGUACUUUUAAAUAUCACAUGUACCUAAAUUUUAAGUUAAAAAAAAAUACUAUGAUUGGUUGAUUUGGCUCAACUGAAUCCAAACCCUCCAAACUUUUCUCAUAUCCAUGUAUUCUUCAAAUUUCACCAUUAAAUUUCUAAAAAAACAAGACAUGACUGAAGCGAAAAAGUCUAAGCUGGAUCCAGCAAUAGUAUCCGAGGACUUAGUAAGAAAGCAAGUGAAAUAGCUAGGUCAUUCAAAGGAGCAGCUAAAAAAGCCCUUUAUAGGGCAGGGUAGGAAAACCAGAAUAAAGAGAGAACCUUUCAAUAGACUCCGAAAGAAAGAGAUCGGCUUGGUGGGCUCAGAAAGAGAUGGUCGAUGAAUGCGAACGGGAGCACCAAUUGCUAGAGCACAAUCAGUAUCAGUACGAGUGAGAAUUGUAUCACGCUCGCUCCAUCGCUCACUCUCUAAAAAUCGGCGGGCAUGUACCUUGCUUCUUCUAUCUUCUAACCUCUUCCAAAUUCCAUCCACGCCAACUUUGUCUUUGUCCUCAACCCAAGGCACUUGCGACGCUAUUAUCGAAUCCAAACCUCUCAUCUUCUCAUUUUGUCAGUUAAAAAAUAUUUUACUUUUUCUCGACUUUUAAAGUCUGAGAUAAUUAUUGAUUGACUUCAAUAACAUAUUCUUUGAUCUUGAUUUAAGUUUGUAUUUACUGAUUAAAUUAUAAAUUUAAAAAAAAAUUUUGUUUAAAAUGUGAUUUUUUAUAUGAAAUUCUUUAACUGUUUUGUGAAUUUUAUUCACAACCCAAUUUCGGGUAUGUAAUAGUGGCGGAAGCUAUUGAAACCUCGAAAUAGCAGCCGCAAUGCCGCUGCACAACCAUUAUUUGAAACCUAAUCAGAAUUAGAAAAACAAAUUCCUAUAAUUUGACGACAAAUGCCUAACGAGAUCCACUUCGGGGGAAAAGGUCACAGGUUCCCAAUCAAGUGGCUUCUGCUCCAUUAUAACAUCAACCACUACCGGCUCAAAAUUACUCUGGCCACAAAGAUCAAGAUUUUCUAGCCAUGAAGGGCACUCCCUAAGAGCUAAAUUGAACCACCUAUCUCUUGGCCUCACACUUGACGAAGAUGAUGAGGAUGAAGAUGGAGAUGACACAGUUUGUUCACCACUAUAAUUACACGAUGACACAUACGGAGACCUUGAUUCAAGAAUUAUAAGAAGACUCUUAUAGAAGAAUUCAGUGAUAACUUUUUCCAUUUUUGCUGCUUCAUUGUGAGUGUUGCCAUGAGAUGAUGCCAUACCUUUUAAAUUAGCUACAAAUGUAACAAUCAAACCCUUUAAGGGAAAUUGAGAUUGUAAACCUGAAACACCCGUGGAGAUAAUCUCACUGCAAGUAGGAAAGCCAUAAGGAAAAAUCAAAAGCUCAUUCAUUCAUAAAAACAAAACCCCAGCAAGAAAUAACUCAAAAAAUAGCAAUUCAAUUAGUUUAAAAAAAAAAAAGACAGCUUAGACUCUUGUUUUCUAUGUUCUCUAUAAUUAACCGGUCUGGUUGUGUAAGAAACACGUUUUGGGAAAAUGGGUCUUUUUUCAUCUUAUUUCUUAUUUUUGCUUUUUGGUUUUUUCUUGUCUUCAUCCAGCUUCCUUUUCGUAGAAAUUUUCUUUGCAAAAAUAGAAGAAUUUUCUAAGCAAAGCUCAAGAUUGCAGAACCAGAAAAACCAAACAAAAUUAAAAACUUAGAACAAUUAAAAAAAAAAAAAGAAAAGAAAAGGGCAAACGAAGCUGCGAGGGAAGCAACUCACCAGUUUGUUAAUAGAGUGAUUUUUUUUUUUCCUCUUUUGAUAGGUUCAUUAUCCCCUUUUGAGUCCUUGUUUUGUAAAACUUCAGAAGUUCAGUAAAAAAACACAGGAUGAAAAAAGGGAAAUUUAUUCAAUAGAAAAAAACAAAAGAGAAUAUCUUCGUGAGCUGACACCCCAGCAUGCUUGCCACGUCAUCACUGGGUCCCUUGUUACUCCCUCCUGCUCUUAUUGCGUAUUGGACUUAAUUGGUAGAGUUAGACCAUGGGCUUCUGGGCUCUUGUCAUUGAUUUUUGUUUUGGGAAAACCUUAUUAUUAAUCCCAAAUGGACUGGACUUUUUGUGUCCCAAUCAAAGCCCAAACUUAGGGAUUUGUUUCCCUUUGUGUUUGAUUAUCCCUUAUUUCAAGCUCCUGAGUUGUUUUGUUUUGUCUAAUUAAAUUUAUAAAAAUAUAAAAAUUAUUUAUAUUAAUAUUGUUUUUAAUAACAAAAAAUCGUUAAACGUUUUAGUGUCAUGUUUCAAGUCUCAUCACUUAUUCGAUUAGUGCAACUUAACAUUAACUUUUGUCCAAUUAUUAGUUAAUUUGUAGAUUGAUUUGUUUACUGGAAUUGUCUUAUUAAUUUCUUAUACUAACUGUAAUGAUAAUUUAUUGUGACUAUAAUUUUUAUUUGUACAUUGCAACUUCAUCAUUAAAAAUGAUAGUAAUAGCGAUUAUCCCAAAUGCUCUUGUUUAUUUCCACUGGUCGUGAAAAUAAUUCAAGGAUUUUGGUUCCUAUUUUCAAUAUCUGGAUGCAUUCCAAUGAAAAAUCUCAAGUAAAUUACUCAGCAGAGAUGAAUCUGCCAGGGCUGGACAGCGAAUGCGUCAUAUGCCUAUCAGAGUUUGUGUGUGGUGAACGCCUGCGGUUUCUACCCAAAUGCAACCGUAGAUUCCACGCUCGUUGUAUUGAUAAGCGGCUUAAAUCACACUCAUCAUGCCCGAAAUGUAGCCAUUGCUUGAUUGAAGCAUGCCAAAAAAUCAUGGGGUGUAAUCAAACUAGGUCAUCAGAACCAUGUUUUCCAGCUCAGGACAUGGUACGUGAUUAUAGAGGAUGGAUAUGAUUCUAUUCGUUUGGCCACUUGUGAAAGCCCUCUGGCACUCUGGAGGUCUUAUCCAUAGGAGAGCUCAAUUUGGAGUUUGAAUGGCACCAAAUUGACAUCAUUGAUGUUCUUGAUUAACGCCUAGGCAAGUUCAAUUUAUCAAGCAAAUCAAACUUGCCAAGAAAAAAAAGGCCGGUGUCAACAGAGUUUAAGAUGAGAGUUUGCGGUCGUGACUUUGGAAGACAUAUCUGAAUCAAAUUCUUACACGAUCAACAUUUUCAUGGAUGCUGCUUCACCUGAAGUUCAACCUUUUAAACGCUCUUUCUUUGCAAUUACUAAUUCCAUGGAGCCAAUGGGAUGUGGACGUAUUCAACCUCAUAUUUCCUUCAGCUGUUGUGGCUUAAUGAUCACCUUAGUCAAAGAUAUUUUGUUGUCUACUAUAUCAAUGAUAAAAUUUGUUCAAGUGAGACUUGGUUUUACUUAGUUCAGAUAAUUUUUAUAUUUUGUAAUGUUUUUAUUUCGUGUUAAGUAUAUAUAAAAUAAGAAAAUUAUCUUAUCAUAAUUUGUGUUCAUACGUUAUAUAUAAAACUUUUUUUACUUUUACCUGGUUUUUAUCAAAUUUUAAACUACUUUCACAUUUUUUCUUAUAUCAUUUAUAUGUCAUGUCUAAAAUUGUUAGGCCUAAUUUUACUACAAUUAAUCUUUCCCCUGUGAAAAUUCUGUUAAGAAAGACAUUUGAUGAUUGAAAGUUGAUCAAUAUCUAUCCAAAGUUAAAAAGCAGCUCCCUCUCUCCUAAUCGUUAGUGCGAAAGAGUAGUCAGGGAUGCCUGAUAAGAAAGGCACCACCAACAGACAAGCAAAAGGGAAAGCAAAGACAACACUGAAAACACACAACUUUAGUUAACCAUAUUAUGGAGACCCCAUUAUACUCUAUCUUGAGCCUUUUGAGACAAAUUUAAAUUCAAGCAACAAAACCAAGGCAUCAAGAUCGAUAAGACGCUCAAACAUUUGCUAUUUAAACUUAUCUCAAAUUUAAAUAUUGAUUUGCCAAUUGAAUUCAUAUGAAGUUAAGCUGUCUGGAACCAUCAUGUUGGGGCACCUCCACUGCAAAUUUUAUCUCCUCUUUGGACCAUAUUCUUGGCUGUGAAUGAGUACAAAUAAAGGAAUUAAAUUAGUUAAGGAGUUGAUAACAAAAGUGACCUGAAAUUUCACAGAUUGUACAUGGUUGAUAAUGGAUGGGAGGGAUUCUAAUUCUCAAAGCUGUUGGGUGAAGCAACUUUCUGGCUUUUAUUAUUUGUAUUUAUUAUGAAUAUAUGACAUAUCUCUUUUCAGAAUAUUUUCAACUGAUAUUAUCCCACUCAUUGCUUUUAGUUAAAAAAAGAGCAUGCUCUAUCUUGUUCAUUUUUUUUCAUUUUUUCAUCUUUCAAAGGAGACAUAUGGGACCCUUCUCCAGAAAUCCUUCGGAACUUGGCUCCUAAUGUGCAUGCUUAAAUAAAAAACUAAAACCAUCAAUGUUUUACAAGGUAAUAUACCUCCCAACCAGAGGUUACAAAUGAAUGGAUUGUGUUGGAUUUGGUUGAGCCAAUUCAAGUAAAGUCAUUUGGGAUAAAAAAAAAUUCAAAUCAUUUUGAAUUCAAAUUAAUUUUGAAUUAAAUUAUUUUUUAUUUUGUUUAAUUCAAGUUCACAAUAUUAAUUUUUUAAAUUGAAAUUACAUGAAUUUACAGUAUUAAUUUUUUUUAUUCAAUUAAAAUCGAUUGGAUAUAAAUUGAUCGUACAAAUAUUUCGAAUCGAGUAAGCUUUUGCCUGCUUUACUCCCAAGACAUUGAUCAAGCAACCUCAAAGGCCUGCAAACAAGUCCUCCUGAAACUUAUUAAAAAGCACUGUUUUCUGUUAAAACUAAUUCCAGAUUGGUGCCAUAUAUACCAGAAUUUUUUACACUAGCAUAUUGCAAAGGAAAAUGAUUUUCAUUAGACUGAAAUGUUACCAAAAACAUGUGCUAAGAAGAUGUUUUGAAUCAAAUUCAAUGUUGCCGGAGUACAUGAAAGAAAACAACAACUUGCCCCAAGGUCUCACAUGAUAAUUUUGGAUUCUGUGGAACUGAUCACUAAAUACUUGGAAUGAGUGCUGCAGUUUUAAGUGCUCAGCAUUCCAUGACAUUUAUGCCAAAAAAGAGAUGAGAACAAUCUACUAAAAAAGCUAAAAGCACCCAUUAGUACUGGAUAUCUAGCAGUACAAGAUUUGAUAGCAAUAGCAUCACUUUAGUUUUCGAGUAGUACUUCUCUCUCGUAAUAACAUUUGCUGAAAACAGCUUGUAUUUGUUUACUGAUUUCCAGACAACAUGAUUUUUUUUCCCAUUCUGUUUCUUUCUUUCUCUCUCCAACCUUUGUGCAAUCCAACCGAGAGGAUAUGGAUACAUUUAGUGGUACAAAUACGUCGCUUUAGGAUUAGCCUAUCCUUGAUUUAUCUGUUUUAUAUGAAAAUAUAAACAUAGCAGAAAAGUAGAAAAGAAGUAUCCCUACUUUUCUUUAAACAACUUUGGUCCAAAAUCUAUAAUAUUUCCUUGUGUAUAAAGUACUUGUUAUAUAGAUGGUACUGCAGUUUCCAGGUAGAUUCAGUUCAACCUUUUUUAACUUUGGCUUAAAUAUAAAAAAAAAAAAAUUCUGAACUAAAAUUAAAUAAUUUGUUUUAUUACAAUCAAUUGACUUUUAAAAUAUUUAUUUUUUAUCUAAUUAAAUUCUUAAAUAUUUAUUUUUUUCAAAUUAAACUUUCAUUGGAUGAAAAUUGGUGAUAAUAAUAAAUGUUUAAAAAUUUUAUUGAUUGCAAUAAAAUGAUAGAGAUUUAUUUGAUUAUUUAAUUUUAGUUCAUGAGUUUUUUUUUCUUAUAUACUUAAACCUUUAACUUUUGAUUGCUUACAUCAAGUACCAAUUAGGAAGUUUAAAAAUAGCACGAGUGUUUCUGAAGAUCUCAUAGAUAAUUCAGCUGCAUUGUAGCCACAAGUGGAAGCUGAUUUAUUCUAAUUCUUAUCAAGUGCGCAAAGGAAAUCAGACUACUUGCACGGCUGAAGGAUAAUGACCUGAUUUGAUACAAAACUAAAAAAAUUAAAGAAAAUGGAUUCUAGAAACAGAUAUUUUCUAAAUAUCUUAUCUAAAGCCAGCGAAUUGUUGUAAAUUUCUGAUUAUCCAAAAUAAUAAUAAUAAUAAUAAUACUAAGUGCAAGUAAUUUGUAUUAGUUUCGACUGCUAAAGCGCAUUCACCAUCGCAAAAGGCAACUUGCAUUGUAAUAUGGCAACAUCAUUGGCCUAUCACUUACAAGCAGGAUAACUGAGCUUUCCCUGUGAAACAUAUGUUAAUUUAUUGUGAUAAAGCUGGCUUGCAUAUCAGCAUACAAGUUGAUAAAUGGCUAUGCAAUAUCUGCAAAUAGCGGAUUGUCCAUUAGGCUAAUUUGCUGGUUAGAAACCAACUCCACUACCGUCCCUAUCAUGGUACCUCAAGGAUUCAAAAUAGUUCUAUAACAUUGUGAUUGGUGCUUUGUUUUCAUCACGUUUAACAUCCAUUGUUCCACAGAUUCCAAUGUUCCUGUGCCCACAGUAACUUGUUACAGCAGUGAAGGUUCAUAUUCAAGAUUGGAAAUCCACACUCGAAAAGCAGACAAUAGAGAGAGUUCAUAUCCUUGAUAGCUGAACAGGUUUUAUCAGAUAACUCCAUAAAACAAAAUCCAGUCUCACUGAGAAAACUUUUGCGCUGCAUGAAAGUUGAAUUGGCCUUUUAAGUUAUAAGAUUAUAUAUUGAGCUAAAGUAGAGGGGGAUUCAAAUGGAGCAGUAAGGUGUCCAUAAACACUCAAAAAUUUGAAAAACAAUAAAAUUUGAAAGAAAAUUUUCUUUUUGGUACAUCCUCAAAAUUUUUGCCUAACACCAUUGAUAAAAUUAAUAAAUUUGUAGGCAGAUUUUAUAUAUAUUAUAAUUAGACACUCAAAAAAAAAAAAAAAACCAUGGAUCCAUCGUUAUACAAAAGGCUUAACGGGGAUCAAACUUGUUGAAGUACUAAAUAAAUCAUGGAGGGGGUUAAUUAUCCUCAACUCCCUAAGAAGAUAUUCUCCGAUAUACAUGCCUCCUUUAAAAAAAUCUCAUAUUAUAAGGCCCUGACCCACUUUUCAAUUAACUUUUUAAUGUAUAUAUAAUCCUUCAAUGGAACUAACUCCUAGAACAAGCAGUGCAGCCAUCUGAACUAAAACACUACGAAAUUAAAUAUGUCAACUUCUUCAACACCCAUCCAAUUCACCCAGUCACUUGAAAACUUUCAUUCAAGAAAAUUUCUUCUACAUUCCUCUGUUUACCAAACAGAAGCCCCAGCAAUUUCCCCUGCUCAAGAAAACAGUUAUGUCAUCAAUAACAACUUUGAUGGAAAUGUAAUCAUUGUGCUCUUAGCCCUCAUAUGCAGCUUGAUUUCCUCUUUGGGGUUGUUCUGUGUUGUCAAGUAUGCCCUUAGAUGCUCAAGUUUAGAUGCUGCUCAAUCUGGUGCUAACCCUUCAGCCAAGUUAGAAAAUACAGGAGUUGAACAGAAAGCCUUGAGGACCUUCCCAACUGUAAAAUACACAACCGAGUUGAAACUUCGAGUCUUAGACACAGCUUGUGUUAUAUGCUUAUCUAAAUUCGGUGCUGGGGAGUGCCUGCGGAUUUUGCCAAAGUGCAACCACGGAUUUCAUACUCGUUGUAUCGAUAAAUGGCUUAGUUCACAUUCUUCAUGCCCUACAUGCAGGCACUGCCUGACUGAAACAGACCAAAAGACCCUUAACUGCAGCCAGGCAGACUCAUUGGAACAGUCUCUCCCAACGCAGGAAAGCACAUAACAAAGAACUAGAAAGGGAACAAACUCAUUGAUUUUCAGGGUUGAAAAUCAUGAAUAAACUAUUUACCAUAGAAAUUCUCAACUUUCAUCAAAAUUCAUAUAUGGUAGGGUCAGACUCCACCACUUAUGCAAAGCUUGUAGCAAUAUGAUUCAAUAAUGCAAUCUUGUGUCUGGGGUAUCAUCUGUGUGCUAAACGUGCACUAGAAUUUUCUAUUCAGAAAAUUUCACAGUUGAAGCAACAAAGUGUUACUUGAAUUGAAAAUUUUUGUGAAAUUAAUCUAGCAAAAUGAUCUGAUUGGUUCAAAAUAUUCAACUAAUUGUACGAUCAAUCAUGCACAAUGAAAAUGCAAUGUAGCCUAGAGAAAGGGCUAAGCAUUCAACCUGAAAUUAGGUGAUAGGAUCCCAUUGUUCAAACUCUUUCUCAAGGAAAAGGGUCUUAGAUUGGAUGCAUAACGUAAUAUCAAAGUAAAUCUAACUCUUCACUUAUGUGAAACCUCAUAAGAGAAAUAAGGUCAAAGUAGGCUUGAAGUUAAGAUGUUGGCUUCACAAAGACCAUAUGAAAAAAAUGGGAAAAGUUAGCUAAUAUUGGGAUAAGGCCAUAAGGGGUAAAUUUAUCAUUUUACUUAUAUGAGUGGUCCAACUUUAUCAUUAAUUUAUCAACUGGUGUAAUUUUAAUUUUAUCACUAUACUUUUAGUUUUGAAGUAAAUUUAUAAUCACACUUUUAAAUUUGGAACAAUAAACAAUAUUCAGCAAAAAUAUUUUGGCUAACCUAUUUUACAAUUCAAAAAAUAAUUUUAAAAAUGACAUGAAUGAAAAAUAAUAACCACGACGCUAAAAUCUAAAAUUUUUAUUUUAUUUUCUUUUCUUUUUUAUCAUGAUAUUUUAUUAAAAUAAUACUACAUAAUAAAUAUUUGUAUUUUUUAUUAUGACAAUUUUUACUAAAGAUAAUGUGAUCAUACCAUACCUUUUCAAUUGACUUUGAUUUUUUUUUUACCAAGUCAAUUUCAAUUUUUUAAAAAUAUAAAACAACUUUUAACGAAAUAUUCUAUGAAAUAUAUAUUUUCUAACUAUUACAUUUUGAUCAAAUAUUUUCCAAAAUUAGAAGUAAUAUGCUGAAUUUAAUUCAAAAUUAAAAGUAGAAUGAUAAAACUACACUAAUUAAAAGAUUAAUGAUAUAUUAGGACCAUUCAUAUAAAUAGAAUAAUAGAAAUUCUUUUAAGACAAGAAAACAUUUUCAGUAUCUACGAAGGAUUGACAUCUCUCUAUUUUUUUCCCCAUUUCUAAUGCACCUAUAACAACUAUUGAAAUGGAGUUGGAACUAUUUUUUUUAAAAUAAAUAUUCUUUGUUUUUUGUUUUCUCACUACAAAUAAAAACAAGAAAGAAAUUUGAUUCGAAAAUUUAAUAUUCUUUCAAGCGUCUUUAACCCCUAAAAGCUCUGGACAAAUAUUCAUAUAUUACUCAAGUGAUUUUGUCUCAACAAUUUCCACGAUGCUUGUGGGGCAUUCCCCUAUCCACAUAUCAUCAGAAUGGUGUUGCAGGCCUAUUUUGGCUAAUCUGUGGGCAGCUUUGUUUGCCUCUCUUCUGACCUGACCUACACUGAAAGAACAAAAGGUCUUUCCUUUUUCUUUAAUAUCAGCAAUGAUGUGUCCCAUGGCUGACAGGUCGUCCUUCUCUAAUCAAAUAUUAUUAAUGAUGUUUAAUGCAUCUCCCUCCAGUAUCGGGUUUGUCAGUCUCAUCGAUGUUGCCAUGUCCACCGCUUUUGCCGCUGCCCAUGCUUCCACCAUGCUUGCCUCGUGCACGUUAUACACCCUGGUAAUCGCUGCCCCUAGCACCUUACUUGUGUGGUCCCGUGUUAUGACUCCCAAUCCCCCUGAACUGUUUGCCCCUAUGAAUGCACCAUCAAAGUUUAUUUUAACAAAACCCACAUGUGGUGGUCUCCACACUGUCUGAGUCGUUGCCAUUUUCUCCAUCCCUCGCGCUUGUGCUUGCUUAAACUCCAACAGAUAUGUUGUAGCAAACUGGGCUAGCGCUUCCGAUGAUCUAUUUUCUUCUGCUUUCACCACCAUAUUCCUCCCAUGCCACACGACCCAACUAACCAUCAACCCCAGUUCCCAGCUUGCAGCAUCUACAUCCCUAACAAUCUCAUGCAACCAACCGCUCUCUGCAUUCUGGUUUACGUCCCUCCAGUUCGCUUGGAGAGUAACAACAUUCCAAAUAGCCUUUGCAUAUGGGCAUUCCCAUAUGGCAUGAACUAUGGUUACCUGCUGCUGACCACAUCUAGGGCAUAUGCCUUGUAUCUAAAUUCCUCGUUUCAUCAGCGUGUUAUAGGUUGGUAGGAAUCCAUGGUUGAGUUUCCAUCCAAAGACUUUAAUCUUACUCGAUGUGCUCGCGGACCACAGUUUUUGCCAUGUAUGCCUUGUCACAGUUUUUGUUAUAAAUCUCACACACGUGAGCACGGUAAUAGAUGUAUUUCUGGGGAUUAAACCAUGAAUUUUGUGUAAUCUUUGAGUCAAAAUCAUUCAACACAAUGUGUGAUACGUUAAUUCUUCUAAAAAAAAGUCACAUACUUUGAAUCGUUCUAGAAUAUCAAAUUUUGAUUUAGCUUAUAAUAGGGAAUUAAACAGAUUUGUGUGUUAAAAAGAAGUGUUAAGAAGGGGCAGGCCAUUAGAGUAAGUGGAAUACAUUCCAAGAUCCAAACAUAUAGCAGCCGACAUAGAAAUUAUUCAAUGUUUAUAAUUUGAGCAGUAAGAUGUUAAAUUAAUUUUCAACUAUACAUUCCAUGAUCAAGUACCAACUCUUUUUUAGCAGUUUUAACAAACAGUUGAUGUGCAUGAUACAAAUUUUGUUUUCCUUUUCAAAAUUUAGUAUUAUAUCCGUCUCCAUUUGACUAAAAAUCGGAUUUUUAUCAUAUUUGAAUAUAAUUAAUGUCUCUAAACAUGAGCUGCAUAAGAAAAAAAACUUAAAUGGUCCUUUUGCAAAUCAAAUUUUGAGGAAUGGCUAAUGAUAGGUAGAUACCAUAUCCCUAAAAAAAGUAUAGAAAAGAAAGCAACAGUCGUUACAAAUAGUAAUGAAAAUGAAGCAAUUAAUGAUCAUGUUAAAGUGAGUUAUCCUCAUUAAAUAAAUAUAUAAAAUUUUAUAAUUUUAUACUUAAAUUAAAUUUUUUUAUUUAUUAUCAAUUAAUUUUAAAUUAAAUGUUUAACAAAAACAAAAAAAAAGUUGAUACUUAAUAUUACAUAUUCGAAGAAUGCGUACAAUUAGGCCCAAAAUCAGUUGUAAGUAAUGUCUUCUUAUCUCUUUUUAAUUAUUUGCAUAAUUUUUUUUGUUUGGCACCUUCGGUAUUCAAUAGCCACUUUAAGUCUCAAUUAUUUUAAAAUUAAAUCAGAAUUCUAUAAAAGAAAAAGCUUUUUUAGUGCUUACUUUUUUCAUUUACGAAACUUAAAAUCAAUAUCUUACUUGAAAAAAAUCGAAUUCAUUAUCACUCGGAUCAAUUAAAAUUUAUAAUUAUUUACAUAAUUAUUAAUAUGUAAACAGCACCUCAGUAAGUUAUGCAAAAUAUCAUAUAUAUUUGAACUUGUGAUUGGAUUGGUUUUAGUAAAAUUGAUAAUAAUGAUAGAUGAAAUUAAUUUUUUUAAUAGUAAGAAUGGAUAUUAUAACAAUAAGAUCAAAAUUAAUAAUGAGAUAUAUGCUUAAACAACGAUAAUGGUGUGAUGAAGUGCAUAAAGAAGAAAAAAUUAUCAUUAAAAAAUCAUCAUUAAGGACAAUAAACCAAAAUUUGUAUAUAAUAUAUUUUAUAAUAUAUAUUUGAUACUUGCAAAAUUAAUAAAUAAUUAAAAAUAAUGAACCUAUUUAUAUAUAUAUAAUAGUAUUUUUGUUAAUAAAUUAAAAAUUAUUAAAAUUAUUUUGUAUAAUAAAUAAUACUUAUAUUUUAAUGUUAUUUAAUAUUUAAAAACUUUUAAGUUUUAUUUAAUAAAUAGUGACACAAUAUUAUUUUAAAAUAAUAUAUACAGGAUUUUUGAGUAAUAAAAAUUUAAUAAUUAUAUUUCAUAAAUAUAAAAUAAUAGUUUAUAUAUAAAUUUAUAUAUGUAAACGUAUUUAUACUUUAAAUAAAUGUAUAAUUAAAACCUCAAAAUAAAAAAACAAUAAAAAAUUAAAAAAAAAAAAAGAACCGAAGCAUCAAGGGUAAAGGGAAAAAUGAGAGAAUUAAGAAAAAUAAAUAAUUUAAAAACUUUUUAAGUUUAAAAAGAAAAUUUACCAAAAACGAGAAAGAAAAAACGUUGAGGUUUUAAAAUUAAAGACACUUUAGAAAAUACAUUAAAAAUUCAAGGGUGGAUGUGAAAAGAAAAAUAAAUACUAUGGAUAAAAUUAACAUGUAAUUUAUAAAUUUAAAAGGAUAUUUUAAUCCAAAAAUUAAAAAAGAAAAUAAGGUAAAAUUGUGAGAAACAUAACUUAAUGAGGAUAAAAUUAUCCAAUUAUGGGUCCAACUCCAAUGAAAUUUUAACCUCUGAUACGAUCCAGAAGAUUCCAUCACAGCUUGCAUGUGUAACCCAAAUACUAAUCUCCAGUGUGAUUAAACCAUAAAGUUACAUAAACGUAAUGAACUAAAUGUCCGUUACAAACCAAAUGGGCCUUAAUCUUAGAAAACGAAACAAUAUUUAUUUGAAUGAUAUUCAUUCUAGCGUUCAUGCCUGAAAUUUACCUUCAGCAUCAUGGUAAUUUUGCUAUCUUACAUAUGUUAAGUUCCUUUCUAUUAAUAUUUUCUCAUUCUUUUAACUGUCUUCAUAUUUUUUUUAUUUUUAUUUUUUUAUAAAGAAAGUUUUAAAUUAAGUUAAAAAAUUAUAAAUAUUAAUAUUUAAAUUUCAAAUGCUAAAUAAUAUUAUUUAUAAAUAAUUUUAUAAACCAAUUGAAAUAGAUUCCCAAUUCAAUAUAUUAUUACCUUAAUCUUUCUGUUUUCUUAGAUUAUAUGGACCCAAUAUUUACCCAAUUAGGAAAGACUUUCAGAAACUUCAAAGACUUUCCCAAUUAUCUUAUAUUGCAUGAUUUUCAACUAAAGUACCAUCACGAGCAACCACGAGGAAUUUUGACCUCAACACUCAGCAGUUCCAAAUUGUUUUUAUGUGUCAAUAAGUGAUACAACAAACAGAUCAAGCAAAAAGGAAGAGCAGGGGCCAGUGGAUGGACGAAAAAAUAAAAAUCAUGACUGAUUUUUAACAAAUGGACUCCUACAUGUGUUUUAAGCUGAAUAGAAUGGAUAUAACGAGUAGAUAUCGGUUUUAUCCGGGUCUACUAUUUUCAGUUCCUGUUUAAUAUUAAUAAUAAUAAUUUUAAUAAUAAUAACAAUAAAAUUAAUUUAAUUAAAAUUUAAAAAAAAAAAAGACAAACAAAAAAGUUUAAAUGGAGAAAAACAAAAACAUAGAAGCUGAUGUCAGUGGGUGUCGUGCACGGCACCACUGGCUGUCCACCCCCUGCCAAGCCAUCAUGCCACUACCCAUAGCCAUCAUGCCACCCAUUAUCCAGUCUUUUCGCUAGGGCACUGUAGCUCCAUUAGCACACUACUGCUCCCAGCCCUAUAAAGCAUUCAUUCUCUUCCCCUUUCGGUCGAAUCGAAACUCUCUCAAAUAAAAGCCCAAAAGACGAACACCCAGAAAUCCAAAAGCUUUCUCACACUUUCACCAGACUCUUUCACAAAAAAAAAAAAAAGCGAAUAAUCCUUUAAACACCCAAAUAAAAAAAAAAUAAAUAAAUAAAUAAAAAAACAACAAACAAACAAUCCUACCCGUAAGGAGGAACCUCAACUCCAAGUUUUCUUAUAACAAAGAAAAAAGACAGUCAGUUAAUCUUAAAAAAAUAAAAAAAUACAAAAAACUUUAAACUUCGAUCUACAUCGAUUGGAGCUUUUUCUCGCGAAAAAGAUGCUAGAUCUAAGCUCAGGAGGUCGAGAAUAGCAUUUUAGUGAAUUCUAGAAAUUUUUCGAUAAUCAGCGAUCACCGACCAUCUAGACGGUCGUCAGUGCAGCGAUCCGACACUGGACUCUGGCCAAGGCCAGAGAAUUCCUUAGCUUUGAAAUUUUUUUUUUUUGAAAAAAGGUGAAAAAUGAUCCAAACAAAUUUUUGGCUUAUAUAUAUAUAUAUAUAUAUAUAUAUAAAGAAAGCCCAAAAUGACGUCGUCUGGACCAGGAAGGAUCCGCGCGAGCCCAGACCUAACUCGGGAUCCGCACAAUUAACCCGCUGACCCAGUUCCUCCAACAGCUCUGAAACAGUUCGGUCCGAUUCAGUUCGAUCAAAUCGGACCGAACUGUUCCUCAACUGGUUCGACUGAACUGCGCGUCAAACCAACCCCUUUUUGGUACAGCCAAACCGAUUGUUGAUCGAACUAUUAACCAGUUCGGUUCAGGUAAAAAAAAUUUUUUUAAUUUUUUAAUUUUUUUAUAUAUUAUUAUUUUUAUUUUUUUAUGUGUUUUUUUAUACAUGAUAAAUUUUUAAAUUUGUUAGAAUAAAACAUUUGAUUGUUUUUAGUAAUAAUAAAAUGAGAAUUAAAAAAUUAAAAAAUUAAUUAAAAUAAUAAAAAAACUAAAAAUGCUAAAAAUAAUAAUAACAAUAAUAAUAAUAGUAACCUAAAAAAAUUAUUAAUAUUAAAUAAAUAAAAUAAAAUAAAAUAAGAUAGGAUAAUAUAUUUGUUAUUUUUUCUACCUAGAUGUUGGAGAGAAUAAAAACCUUUUAAAAUAUAAUUAUGUCUAGACGUUGGAGAAUUAUAUUAAAAAAAAGUAUAAUGAUAAUAAUAAGAUUAAUAACAAAAAACUACUAAUAAUAAUAAUAAUAAAUUUUCAUUAAAAUAUAUGUAUAAAGUAUGCAAAAAAUUUUUAAUUAAUUUUCAAAAAUCAUAAAAAUCGAACUUACUCUGAAAGUUUGCCUAGAUGUUAGAGAUUUUUAGAAAUGUUCUUAUUUUCUUUUAAAUAAUAAUAAAUAUAAUAAAAAUAAAGAUAUUAAAUAAUAAUAAAUAAUAAAUAAAUCCUAAAACCUCAAAACCCUAAAAUCGAAAUUCUAAACCCCUAACCCUAAAAUCCAAAUCCUAAAUUUCAAAACCCAAAAAAUGAAACCCUAAAGAUUAAGCCCUAAACCUCCAAAUCCUAAAAUUAAACCCUAAACCCUAAAAUUCGAACAAUAAAUCUCUAAACCCUAAAAUUAAACUCUAAACCCUUCAAACCCUAAAAAUCCAAACCCUAAACCUCCAAACCCUAAAAUUAAGUCCCAAAUCUCUAAACUCUAAAAACGAAACCCUAAACCCUCUAAACCUUAAAAUCAAAAUCCUAAACCCUCCAAACCCUAAAAUUAAGUCCCAAAUCUCCAAACCUCAAAAUGAAACCCUAAACCUUCCGAGCCUUAAAAACGAAACCUUAAACCUUUCAAACCUUAAAAAAUGCUAAAACCUCUAAACCUCAAAAUUGAAACCCUAAACCUUCAAAACCCUAAAACUAAAACCCCAAACCUCAAACUCGAAAACUGAACCUUAAAUUCCAAAAUUCUGAAAACCUUAGAUUUGGUACAAAAUCUUGAAUCAUUGCUCAAAACUCACUAAAUCUUAAAACAUCGACCUAAACCUAUACUCAAAACCAUUUCAAAACUUUAAAGAUACGUGCAAAAAUUUCAAAUAGAGUAAUUUGUUCUCGAAUACCACCUAAAUGAUGGGGUAUUUAAAGAAAUAUUAUUCCAUUAAGUUUUUCUUAUGAGUCCUUAAUUCGCUUUAACAAUGGGAUUAAUAACUGAUUAAUAAAAAUAUAUUAAUAAUAAAAUGAGAUCUUAAAUAUAAAUAGUCACACCUAAGCUCCCCUAGAUGUUGGAGAGUCAAUGUGGUCUCAUUAUAUUUAAGAAUUCAAAUUUGAAUUUGCAUUUCAUUAUACAUAACACCUAUUAGCUUAAAUGUGUUUAUUGUUAUUAUUUGCACUCAUUUCGUAUAAUUUUACUUGAUAGUAUCAUCAUUUACCUUUUUUGCAUAAAAUGUUUUUUACUUACUUUUAAAAUUGUGAUAUUAUAAAAUAAAACAAAAAUAAUAUUCUGAAAGAAAUAAUUAUUGGUACUCUGCUUAGAUGUUGGAGAGUCACCAAUAAUUAUCAUCUACAAAGAGUGUUAUUUUUAUUUUAAGGAGUAUUCUGUUAAAUCUUAAGUGAAAAGAGUUAUUUUAAAUUUUGCCUAGAUGUUGGAGAAUUUUAAGAUAAUUCUUUAACUUAAAGAUUUUCUCAAUAUUUCUAAAUAAAAAAUUUUAGCAAAAAUAUUUUUUUUCAAAUAAAGGGAAUUAGUAUUAAAUUUCAAAUUGAAAUCAUUUUAUCUAACAUCAAAAAUAGUGCAUAAUUAAAUGGUAUCAAUUUAUGGGCGUUAUAGGGGUAUUAAUCAUUCUCCACACAUAACCGACCUCCGAAUCCAACUUGAUUUUCGUAGAUCAAAAUUUAUCUUUUUGAUAAACUUUAAACCUUCUUUUAUAGUUUUAUUAAAAAGAUAUUGGGUAGCCAAUCACAUCCUUAAAAAGAUUGGUGGUGACUCAUCUUUUUUUUUUAUUUUAAAACACUUUACGUCUGACGGUCUCAAAAUCGUUACGACACAGGGAUUAUAGACUGUAGUCAAGUCCGACUAAAAAAAUUUUGGCAUGUAUUUAACUUACGUACAUUGAAACAAGAUUAUAUUAAAAAUAAAAUAAAAUCUCUAAUCCUGACAAAGCUUCCAAUAUCCAUCUGAUUGUUGAAACAACAUGAGAAAUGUAUUGUCCAUCUAAUCCCAAGACUGCAAUGGCUCAUUGUUCAUUCCUAGCUCUUACAUAAAUUGGUCUAAUAGAGCUUUUCAAGAUAUCUAAUUUUGUUUGGAUCAAUUUAGCUUUGUUUGAUUUUUAUACUUGAUUCAAAUAAUUUAAUAUAGAUCAAUUUAAGUGUUUCAAUUAGUCUAACUCAUUUAGGACCUUUUCAGAUAAAUUGUCAAGUCCAACUCUAUCGGAGUUAAGGCUCAAUUUAAUUGAGAUUAAUUCAAAUUUUAGUCAUUUGAGCUUAAAGGCCCAAACUUCAAUUUUAAGUCUAAAUUAAAUUUUAAACCUGAAUUUUAAUUUUAAUUUUUUUGUUAUUGUUUUUAUUGAACUAAUUAAAAAAUUUUAAAUUUAAACAAAAAAAAAAAGCAAAGUAAGAAGAUAGAUUGAUGCUGGCACUACCAACAACCAAUCAAAGUCCCACUACCUUAUACCCGACAACUAGUAACUUGUUGGUCACUACCUUACAGCUCUGAGAAGCUAUUAAACCUUGGACUGUUGCAACCCCAAUUAACAGAUAAAACUUCACAAACACCAUUUGGCAAAAAGGGACAAGAAAACUAGCAAAAAAAUUUUCCCAAAAACAAUCCAGCCACCUUUCAAAGAAAAAGCUUUCAACAUUAAAAAUCCCAAUCCUUUUACCAUUUUGGCUUUACCAAUCUCUUCCAACAAAAAAAAAACUCCUUUCACUAUAAUCUGAUCUUACCAUAUUCACAGCCUUAAAACACAGUAAAAAUUAGAAGUAAAAAAGUUACGAUUCCCAUUCGGCCAUCUUUCCAUUAUUCACCAUUGACAAUCCACCUUCAAACAAGUAAAUUUCACUACUCUUGAACUUCAACAAAAAAACCAAUAUUAAACCCAUCAUCGAGACCACCACACUAACCACUAUCACCAUCAAGUAUCCCUCAACCUGAGAUAAACACCAUCAACCAUCCACCAUCAUGUAACCUCUACUCAAUACCCACCUCAACUCCAACCACUACCUGAAAGCCCUCACCAAACACCCAUACAUCAACAAGCAGAACCCAAAAAAAAAAAAAAAAAACAAAAAACAAAAACAAACAAAAACAAGAAAAAAUCAACCUCAUUUCCCAAAAAGGUAAGCCACAAAAGAAACCAAAGAUAAAAAAAAAAAAAUAGGGAGGAGGUUUCAGUUUUCUUGAGAUUAAUUAGGCUUUGCAGAUUUUUUUUUUUUUUAAGAAAACUUGGUUUGGAUUUGUAAAUGGGAAACAAGGAAAGAUAAAAGGGGAGGCCAUCAACACCAUUAGAAAUAAUGGCGACUUAAGGAGAAUGAUGACUGCGGUGAGCCUUCUAAGCAAUCUGAAACCAUGGUUUGAAAAGUCAUGGAAUAGAUAAAAACAUACUUUGGUUUUAGCUGGUUUAGGUGACAGCAAAGGUGUUUUCCAACCAUAAAAAAUUUUGGUCUUCACACUUAGAUCAAGGAAAAUCUAGGGGGUUUUUGAAAUAUAUAUUUGGAAAUUUGAGAAAAAAAGGUAAAGAAAAAGCCAUGGUGAAAAUUUGGAAUUCAGAUGAUGCUAGCCAGCAUCGAUGAUCGACGAUGAUGGCGACAAUAACGAUGGGCUAAUGCCAAAAACUAGGCAUGGCUAAGGGAAGCAUUUGGCUUGUGAUUUGUUUUUUAUGAAGAGAAUUUUUUUUUUAAACAAAGAAAGAAAAUGAAUUACAAAAAAAGAAUGAGUUUUUAUAGUGAGAAAAAAAAAAUACAAGCUAUUGGGUUAAACCUGAACCACGUAAAGCUAGAUUUGAAACUCGUUGCCUGACUUGCUUUGAAGCUGACCCAAUUAACCUACUCAUCUAGUGGCUUGCAACCUAAGCAUAACUCAAGUUUUGUUUGGUUCUGAUCCACACCUAUUAGACCCACCACCAAAUAAGGCCAUAAACAAAGCCUAAGCCUCAACCCAAUUGCUUUGGACUCUUCCAUUAAAUUAGGUUUUAACCCAACUUAUGGUAAUUUAUUUUAAACUAAUUUAGUUAUUUGUUGAUUUUUGUAUGUAUAUUUUAAGAUAUAUAUAUUUAAUUAUUUUAAAUCAUUAAUAAUAAAAAAUAAAAUUAGUGUUAUUAUCAUUUUUAAAAUAUAUUAAAUGACUAAGGUUAUAAUUUUAAUUUAACUUUGUGAAAUUAUAUUCAUAUAUGUAAUGAAAUUAAAAUUAAAUGAAAGUCUUCCAGUAUGAGAUUUUAAAAAGUUUGAGUAGCAAUUAUCGAUAACUCCUUAGGUGAGAAAAGUUUCUAGAAAUUAUUAAAAUAAUGUAAUUUUUAGAAACUCUUUUCAAUACAAGGAUUUUUUUUUUUAAUUUGAAUAAUUUUCUUGUAAAAAUAUAAGAAUAUUUAUAAAAAAAAAAUGCAUCUUUUAGGAAAUAGAUCUAUUUAUGGAUAAUUAUAUUGUUGCAUAACUUUUCAAAUGAAUUAUUAAUAAUUAAUGAAGAUUUUUCCUAGGAUGAGAUACUAAAUAAGUCCAAGUAAUGAUUUUUUAAAAAUUUUUAGGUAAAAAAGUUUAUCUAAAAUAUCACCAAUGUAUUGGAGCAUUUAGAAUAAUUUUUUAUAAAAUUUUUUUGUUUUUUAAAUAAAUAGAAUAAGAAAUGAAUUUUCUAGAAAAUAUUAUUUGGAUUAAAUUAUAGACAUCAUAUUUUAUUAUAUGCUUGGUAAAUAUAAAUAUUAUGAACCAUCAAUGAUGAGAUUCUUAAAAAGUUCGAGUAGUGAGUUUUAAGAAAUUCUUAAGUGAGAAAAUUUCUCUUAAUAUUGUCAGAUAUUUGAAUAUUUUUAGAGAUUUUUCAAUAUACAAGGUUUUUAAUUUUUUAGCAAACAACUAAAAAUAAAAAUAUGUUGUUUUAUUACAAUAAAGAAAAUAAAGAAAAUUAAUUUUAAAUACCAAAAUUAAGAUAUUUUUAUUAAAAUUAAAAGAUAAUACAUAAUUAAUUGAUAUCAUUUUUUUACGGGCUUAUGAGAGUGCUAAUCCUUUCCCAUAAGUAAUUGACUUUCGAACCCAAAUUAUUUUCACAAACCCAAAAAUUAUCUUUUUAAUAAAUUUUAAUUAAUUUUGAGAUUUUAUUAAAAAGAUAAAUUUUAAUAAGUGGCUAAUCACACCUAACCAAAAAAAAAAAUUGAUGGCCACCUAACCGUUACCAUAAACAUGAGAGGCAACGACCACGUGGCACCUUCUUUACAAAAUGUGGGAUGCAUGCAAGUAGAAACAUAAAUGAGUAGUGCUUCGAUGAAUCGUUUGUGAAUAUGUCCGAUUUUUACUCUUUUAUACUCAUUUAUUAAGUUUAACAAAUGAUCUUGAAUAGUAUUUUUAUAUUUGUUUAUUAAACAAAUAGAACAUAAAUAGAGAUUUAUUUAGUUCAUUUAUAUUCAUAAACAAACUCGUUUAAAAUUCAUUUAAAACUCAUUUCUUUUUAUUUGUUUAUUGUUCAUUUGUUGUUUGCUUAUAAUAAUAAUAAUAAUAAUAAUAAUAAUAAUAAUAAUAAUAAUAAUAAUAAUAAAUUUACAUUUUUAUCUUUUACCCUAAUCAUAUUUUAAGAUUUGUUUAGGUUUAUUUGUUUAAACUUAUUUGAUCAUGAUUUGUUUAUUACUCAUGAACAUAUUCACUUAUAUACAUUUAUAAACAUAUUCGUUUAGUAGUCAUGUACGAAUUUAUUUAAUUUAAUUAAACCGAAUACAAAUGAGAUAAUAUAUUUUAUAGUUUUCUAAAUUUACAACUUUCAGAUUUAACAUAUUUUUUUUCAAUAUGUAAUAUAUAUAUAAUAUUGUAUUUAUAUAAUCAAAGUUGAAAUAUGACCCAUUGAAAAUUUUUUCUAGUUAUGCCGCUACAUGUAAGGCUAUAAACGAAUAGAAAAUGAAUAAACAAAUGUAUGUAUAUGGUUUGUUCGUUUAUUCCAAUUAGCAAAUCAAAUUAACAAUCAAUAAUCAAUCAAUAUGUUCUUUUAGAUAAAACCAACAUUUGAUGAAACUUGAACCUAGAGAUUCAAAGGUUUGAAUGCUUCCUCUUAUUGUUAAGAUAAGAAAUCAUUAACGAAUAAAUAAUAUUUUCAACUAAGUUAAAAUAUUAUAUGUACAUUAGAUUAUUUUACAGAUCUCAUGUAUCCACUACAAGAAAUCUGACAUAUAAUGAUGCUUAAAAAAGCAUUGGUAAAACCUUAAAAUCCAUUAGUAUAGCACCACAAACCCUAUAUUGAUAGUCAAAAUGUAUUUUCAGAUGAUUUUUUAAUCGUCAGUAUAUCAUUUAUCUGUAUAGACCUAUAUUGACUAUUUUUCAGAUAUCAAAAUAGCUUACAGAAAUAUACCUAUGGUUUAAGACCAUCAGUAAAUGUAUAUUUGUUAGUAUAGCAUCUAUUGUGUGUUAAACCAUUAUAUUUUUUACCGACGGUUAAUACCCGUAAGUAUAGACUUGUAUGUUUUAAUUUUUCUUGCCUAUAUUAACAGUUAAUGCUCAUCAAUACAAACUGUCAAUAUAACCUGAAAUAUUUCAAUAGUAAAACGCGUCGGUAUAAAUUUUAAGGCAUCGAUAAAACUUUUUUUAAUUAUAUUUUUAAUUAUUAAUAUUGAUUUAUUUAUAAUCAUAAUAUGAUAUGAUUUCAUAUAAAGUAAAAAUAAACCAAAAAAGUAAAAAUAUUUAAUAACAUUUGAAAUAAAACAAUAACCAAAUUGUUUUAUAAUUCAUAAAUUUAAAAUAAGUCAAGAACCAAUAUCAUUGUACCAAAUCCAAUAAAAAAAAACAUUAAUAUAUAUGAUUGAAUGUCUACAAACAUAAUGCUCGAAGUUUGCAUCAAAGAAUCAUCUUGGUGCUAUUACUAAUAAUUGAAUAUCGAAUCCUCUAUAUAUAUUAUGAACAAUGUUUUGAAGAUUGUUCACAUCAUAUACAUAUUGAUCUGCUGCAACUCUUGUUCCAAUGCCUAAGCCACACAAUUCAUUUCUUGAUCAGCUAGAUUGUUAAUUAAAAAAUUCCUAUAAAAGCAAAGUAGGCAUUAAAAUUUCAGAAAGAAAGAUUUUUUUUCUAUGAUGUUUUUAUCUGAGAAGCCUAAGGAUAAGUUGCUUGCUAGAUUAAGAAAAGAAGCUCUUCCCUAGCUACAUGUUUCAAAGUCACAUUUAUUAAGAUGCCACUAAUCCACAGUAAAACAGAUGAAGUUUUCAUCUAUUUUUCCUAUUAAAGUUGUUUCAUUAACAAAAACAAUGUCGUUAAUAAUAUUUUCAAGCCCUCUUUUACUUUUUGAAGUAAGAAAAACUGAGUCUGAAUUCAUCUAAUAUAGCCAAAAAUAUAUAUAAAAAAAAAGCAUGAUCGAUGACAUAAAAUUGAAAUGUAGAAAAUGAAAAAUACCUUUGAGAAAUGACAAAAGCCUUGAUGCUUCAACUUUAAUUCAACUCUAAAACAAAAUUGGUGUCGAUGAGUUUAAGUUUGUAAAGUUGGUGAGAGGUGGAGAGAGUUGGUGGAAGGUGAAGAUUAAAUAUGUAGACUUGAUGGGAGGUAAAGGUAAAGAAAAUGAUUUAAAUUUAUAAGCUCAUCGUUUUUUUUUUUUUUUGAAUUAUUCAAAGCAUUUCUGGUCAAAAACACCUUAAAUAAUCUGUUAACAAAAACAUUGGAGUAACUCAGUCGGUUAAAGCAUACGGUUAUUAACUAUAAGGUCGUAGGUGCAAUCCCUCCCUCUAAUGUUUUGAUGGUUUUUUGACCUUAUGGUUAAUAACCGUAUGCUUUAACCGACUAAGCUACUCUAAUGUUUUUGUUAACAGAUUAUUCAAGGCGUUAGGUGUUUUUGAUCAAAAAUGCUUUGAAUAAUCUUAUUCAAUUUUUUAUAAUAGAUUAUUCAAGCUAAAAAUACCUUCAAUAAUCCUUUGAAAAACUCUUAAAACAUUAGAGGAAAUGAUUGAACCUACGACCUUAUGGUUAAUAGCCAAAUAUUCUAACUGACUGAGCUGCUCCAAUGUUUUUGUUAACAAAUUAUUCAAGGCAUUUUUUGUCAAAAACGCCUUGAAUAAUUUUCUUAUAAAAAUUGAAGGGGAUUAUUCAAGGUGUUUUUGACUAAAAAUACCUUAAAUAAUCCUAUUCAAUUUUUUGUAAGGGAUUAUUCAUGAUGUUUCUAGCCAAAAACGCUUGCAAUAAUCUCUUAGAAAACCCUCGAAAUACUAUAAAGAGGGAUUGAACCUAUAACCUUAUGAUUAAUAUCCGUAUACUCUAACCAACUAAACUGCUCUAGUGUUUUUAUUAAUGAAUUAUUCAAGGCGCAUAUUCAAUUUUUUUCUAAAAGAUUAUUCAAGGCGUUUCUAGCCAAAAACGCUUUCAAUAAUUCUUUGUAAAAUUUUUUAUAUGGAUUAUUGAAGAUAUUUUUUUUACCAAAAACGCCUUCAAUAAUCCCUCUCCAAAAUUUUUUGAAUGGGUUAUUAAAUGCAUUUUUUGUCAAAAAUGCCUUUAAUAAUCCCAUUCAAUUUUUUGUAAGCUAAUAAUUUUUUUAGCCUAUACUGAUGGUUACUUUAAUAACCAUCGGUAUAUAAUAUAUUUAUAUUGAUGGAUAAUCAUAUACCAUAAAAAAAUUUUUAUUUAUACUGAUGAUUAAAUAAAAUGUUGGUAUAAAUAUGAUAUAUUUUGACGGUAUUAAAAAUCCAUCAGUAAAAGUCUCUUUUACUGAUGGAAUUUAAUCGUUAGUAAAUAAUCUAUACAAAAAAAAUUUUGAAUGGAUUAUUGAAGUCAUUUUUGACCAAAAACGCCUUUAAUAAUCCCUCUCUAAAAUUUUUUGAAUGGAUUAUUGAAAGUAUUUUUGACAAAAAACGUCUUCAAUAGUCCCAUUCAAUUUUUUGUAAGCUAAUAGUUUUUUUGUUUUGAACUUAUACUGACAAUUACGUUAAUAACCGUUAGUAUAUAAUAUAUUUAUACUGACGGAUAUUCAUACACCAUUAGAAAAAAUUUAUUUAUACCAAUGGUUAAACAAAGUGAUGGUAUAAAUAUGGUAUUCUAACGGUAUUAAAAAUUCAUCCAUAAAAAUCUCUUUUACUGAUAAAAUUUGACCGUCAAUAAAAUCAAGCGUCAAUAUAUAAAAAUUUUUUUGUAAUAACAGUGAGAGCUUUAUGUAUCAGUAUACUUUUUUAUAAUAUAUUUGAAAAUAUGACAUAUUUCACAUUUUAAUCAUAUGUUCUUAUUAAUAGUCAAUUUGUAUCGAAUAAAAAAGAUUAUAAUCACAUAUAUAAUACAACAUAAAUACAAGAGUUUUUAACCUUUUCUCUUCUUUUAGAUUUUUAUUAAAAUGUUGGUCAAUAUUAGUAAAUUAAAAUUUUAAAAUUUUCAGUGGAUCAAUUCACCCCAUAUUUUAUAUGUGGCUAUGCCACUGGAUGCAUGGUUUCUAUUGGAUAAGAAAGCCUAGUGAAUUUCAUAAAGUCAGUGGAGAAACUAUAUGGUUGUUAUAAUCCUACAUAAAUAUAUAUAUAUAUAUAUAUAUAUAUAUAUACUAUAUGGUAUAAACCCUCAAGAAUAUGCUCAACUAUAAUUCAUUAAAAAUAAAACUAAUCAUAAAUCUCAGAAUUUAAUUCAAUUAAUUAGUUCAUGCAAUUAUUUUUAAAAGUAGCAUUUAGCAUUUAGCAUAUUUGAUUUUUGAAUCUCAAAACUUAUAAUCCCUUUUUCUAUUUCCAAACUCUAAUCUCCUUUAUAAAAACUUAAAAAAAAAAAAAAAAAAAACCCUUAUCAUAAGGCUCAAAAUGGAAAUUCAAAUCCCUAACUUUCCCUUUAUAUAAAUUCCAUGUUCCAACUACCUACAAGAAGAAUUACCUAUCUGAACCUCACAACUCACCCAGCCAAACCAUGUCCAUUUUCAUAUCCACUCAACUUCUUCAAGGUUUGCUUGGAGAAUUCCACUCUAGAAGGUUGCUGCUGCAUACCCCAUCUUUUCCAACCCUAACUACAGCAGCUCCUGCAAACCCUGAAAACAACCUCAAUUCUUCAGAUCCUUACACUGGUAAUAACGGCUUCGAUACAAACAUUGAUUAUGGUUCUGUCCGGUCCUCUUGUGUGCCCUUAAUUUGCUCACUAGGACUGAAUUUCAUUAUUAGGUGUUGGCUUAAGGUGCUCAAGUCUUGGUAGCGCUCAAGAAUUCCGUGGCCAGCGGCUCAGCUCGGGUAGCAACACAAGGGGUCAAGCGAAAAAGCCUUAAAGACCUUUCCAACAGUAAACUACUCUGUUGACUUGAAGCUGCCUGGCUUAGACUCCGAGUGUGUAAUAUGUCUAUCAGAUUUCACACCGGGUGACCGCGUGCGGCUUCUACCAAAGUGCAACCAUGGAUUCCAUGUUCGUUGCAUCGAUAAGUGGCUGAGCUGCCACUCGUCUUGCCCUAAAUGCAGGCACUGCCUCAUCGAGACAUGCCAAAAGAUUGUUGGCGGCGGUAGGCAGGCUAGGUCAUCAGAACCUCCACCAGUGCAGGAAACCAUUGUGACCAUAGCACCGGUAGAUCCUGAAGGUUUGAUACAUAGCUAUAGGUAGUCAAAGCUAGAAUUCAGCUCUGUACCUUGAAAAUUAGCAUCAGAAAGGUCAGCAGCCAGAACACCAUACAAAACCAAGUGUAAAGUUAAAGUUGUAAAUUUGUGCACGGUUUGAAAUUUUUUACUACUUGUUUUUAUCUUUUUUCCCUACCCUUCUUAUGAAAAACACUUCACAACUUAAAACAGAACAUAAUGAAAAUUUUCAGACAAAAGGGCGAGCAGCAUAGUUUAGAUUAAUUUCUUUUAAAAUAGUAAUUAGUAGCAUGAACAAAGGACGAAGCAAGUCAAAGAUUUGUGGUAGCUGACUAUACCUUACCGAAAAUGAAAAUCACUUAAACCAGCAAGUCCUGAAGAGGCACAACCAAUCUGCUUAAUUAAACAAAAUUCUUAAUUUUUUAAUAUGAAAAUUAAAGAAAUGGCCUCAUUUUAAUAAGAAUGGUUUUCAAACCAGGUUCAAAUAUAUUAGUAGUAGUAAAUCAUAAAGUGCAGGACCAUCACAUAGCAUUCUCAUAGGAAAAUAUGAAUGAAAAUUCAUUCAUAUAAUUAUUUUAAGUAGUGACAUUUAUCAGAAUUUAUUAUAAUCUUGAAUAUAAAAAAACUCAUGAACAUUUAUUUUCUGUGAGUUGUAUUAAUUAAAGAGAAUAUCAAAGUGUCUGAUGGUUUGGACUACUCGCAAAAAAUAAAUGUUCAUAAAUGUAUUAAUUUCUUUUGUUUACGUUUGCCGACUUAUGACAAUCAAGCACGUCAACCUAGAAUAUAAUAGUACCAAAGAAAAUUAUUGAGAUAACGCCAUCUCAAUCAAAUCCCACAAAAUUCGAUUCUAAACAUAGAAAGGAAAUUUGACUUAUUUCAAAUACCAUGCAGAGAGGAUGAACACUUUCCCAUGGAAACCCAUAUGUAACCUACCUUGACAAGAAAGAAACCAUAUUUAAAACACAAUAUCUUGAACCAAUGAUGGAGCAGAAAAUCAAUGGAAGCUGAAGGUGAAUCCACUAAUAUACUUUCAAAUCAGAAUAAUUUUUACCAAAAGGUGGAAUUUGUUUCUUAGUACUCACAUGAACCAUUUCGUAGAGGGAGCUGACUAAUAACCACACUAUCCCGGCCACCAGAAUUUGAUUUGUCGAGGCUUAUUGGCACGAAUUAUAGUUGAGAAGGUGGGCAAUUGAUGGCAAAGUAGAGCAUUAGCAUUGAAGGCUCUUACGACUGCAAUGCUGUGAGUGAUAAAUCGAUAUUUCCAGAUUCCAAUACCUCUAGAACUGGGCUCAAUAAAGAAAUCUCCAGCUUAAGAGGAGAUCCUAAUAAAUUAGGGAAACAAAUUGUUGCUAAUCACACAGUGGACCCUGGCUACCAAGAAAUUUGGUGCGUCAUGACAACCAAAGCUCAUAGCAAUCCGGGGUGGAGCUAUACGGGGCUUGGUGGCCUAAAACAAUUUUGAAAUUGUGUGUGUUUUAGAUAAAUUUUAAAAAGUCAUCAUUUUUCUAAUUUAUUUAUUGUUGAGACUAGCUUUGAUUCUAUCAAUUAUCAUUAUUACAAUAAAAAAAUAUAUAAAUUUUGAAGGAUAAACAUUUUGAAAUUUUGUAUACUUACUAAUUUAUUUGUUGUUGAAAUUCUGUGCUUUACAUAAAAUUUAAAAAGUUUUAAAAGUUUUCAUUUUUCUAAUUUAUUUGUUGUUGAAACAAGCUUUGAUUCUAUCAGUUAUCAUUAUUACAGUAAAAAAGUAUAAAUUUUCAAUGAUAAACAUUUUGAAAAUUUGUUUACUUACUAAUUUAUUUGUUGUUGAUAUUGGCAUUGGUUCUACCAGAUAUCAUUUUCAAUGAUAUACAUUUUGAAACUUGUUUACAUUCUAAUUCAUUUGUGGUUGAAAUUAGCAUAGGUUCCAUCUUAGAAAGCAUUUUCAACAAUAAAUAUAUUGAAGAUUCGUUUCUGUAACCGAAUGAAAAAUCACUAAUCGAAUGAUAACUUAGUUGUGUAUAUUAUUGGUAAUAAAGUUAUUAUUUAAUGUUUUUAAAAUAUUAAAUUGCCUAAAGAAUAAUAAUAAAUUUAAAAAAAAAGUUUAAUGUUUAUUAUUGUUAUUGUAUAAUUUAAUUUAUUUAAACUAAAUCUCACAAAAUCAAACUUUUAGCUCCCACUUCAUCAGAAAAAAAAAAAAAAAAAGGGACAGUUGUAUGUACUAAUUAUCAUGUUGAACAUCAUCCCAACUGAAAAAGAAAUAUUCGGUAUCAAACUGAUUGAAAGAAAAAAAAAGCAAGACGAUAUCCACGUAUCCGCACGGCACCAUGCCCUGUCGGACAACCAUUAGACAGGCACAUUGCAUUUCUCAGAUUUAUCCAAAUUUUGAAAGAUGGGUUAUUUGGACUCUUUCCAGGACUGCUCUGAUGCAUAUUGGACAGCCCAUGAACACUAGAGUGACACGUCUACUUGUUCCCUUCUUCAUUUCUAACAGUUCUAACAGAAAGAAUAAGAUUACGUAAAAAAUUAUUUUUAAAAAUAAUUUUUGAAAAUUAUUUAUAAUUUUUUAUUUGAAAUUUUUUUUAAAUUUGGAUGGGUUAAUAAAAAAUAUUUUUUGUUGUUUGAUUUUUUGAAAAAAUUUUAAUUUUUUUCAAAUAAUAUUAAUAUAACUAUUAAAAUAUUAAAAAUUAUUUAUUAUUAAAAUAUAUUGAAAUUAUUUAUUAUUAAAAUUAUUAAUAUUAAAAAAUAAUUAUAUUUUAAUAAUAAUAUUUAGUCUUAAAAUAUUAUGUUAAUAUAAAAAAUACUUAAAAUAAAGUUAUUUAUUAUUCUUUAUAUUAUUUAUUAAUAUAUUAUAAUAUUAUUUAUUAAUAUAAUAUUAUAAUAUUUAUUAAAUUAAUUAAUAAUAUUUAUUAUAUUAUUUAUUAAUAUAUGAUUUUAUUAAUAUAAUAUAUAAUUUUAUAAAUAUAAUAUUAUUUAUUUAUAUAAUAUUAUUUAUAAGUAAUAUUAUGCUCAAAAGUAUUAGUAAAUAAUUUACUUAUAAACAAUUCUUUUCGCAAAGUAAAAAGUCAAAUUAUACUAAAAAAUCGGAGUUUGAGUAAUGAAGCGGGUAUGGAUGAAAGAAGAGUAAAGGAUGAUUCGACUUUGAAGUUAAACGACAGUGUUUCGGGUGAAAUAAGCAUAUAUUUUUUAUUUUUUUUAGCAUUUUCUGGUAAUUUUAAGAGAGGAUUGCAGGGGAAGGGUAAAGGGAGGAAGUGAAGGAAGUAGAGGGUGAGAAGAAGGAGAAGGAGAAGAAGAAGAAGCAGAGGAAGAAAGGGAGAAACAAUUUUUUUUCUUUUUCUUGUGAGGAAAAAGAAAGUAUACAAGGAAAGAGAGAUUUUGAUGAGAUUUUCUUGGGAUUGUUCGGAAAGAUAUAAAAAAGGAGGGGGGGGGGGGGGUGUUUGGAACUUAUUAGAUUGACCUUUUUGGAAAAACCAUGAUGUCAUGAGAAAAGAGGGUGACCCAUAUGUCCAUUUCGGGUACUAUUUGGAUGGCAAAAAAAUAAGAAGGUUUUGAUCAAAAUAAAUAUCAUGAAAAGUAAAUGAAUUUAUUUGUUUAAAUUCGUAUUAUAAAUAAAAGGAGGAAAAACUCAAGUGUUGAUGUAUUUAGUUCAUUCAUUCAGCAUUUUUGCUUUUAAUUUGAGUAAUUUUUUUAUUUAUCUUUUUGUUUUUAAAUUUGAAAAAAAAUUCUUGUUAAAUAAAUGAUUUUUUCUCCUGCAACGAAAUGUAGAUAAUACUUUUAAGUAACGUUUGCUAUAUUUUAUAAAAUCAGUAUAAUAAUAUAAUUACUAGUUUUAUUACCAAAAUAAUUUUAUCAUUUAUGAUUUGAUAUCAUUUUAUUUGAUUAAUAAUGAUUAAUUCUUAAAAAUUAAAGAUCAUAUUUGAUAUUAUUAAAAAUUAAAUACUAUUUUAUUUAAAAGUAUAAAAAUAACUAUACAUAUUGUAAUAAUUACAUAAAUUAAUAAUUUUUUGUUGUUUAAAGAUAAUAAUUUGUAAGAUAUUAGUAAUAUUUAUUUAUUUUAUAAUAAAAUAUAAUUAAAUUAAUAAAUUAAUAAAUAUAUUUAUUGAUAGGUAAAUUUACUUUUAUAAUAUAAAUUAUGAAAAAAAAUAUUUAAAAUAGAAAACGAAACUAAUCUAUUAAAUUCAUAAUAAAAAAGAAAAUAUUAUAUUAUAUAAAUAUUAAAAAGUGAAAAAUAUAUAUACAAAUCAUUUUGAACUUGUUAUAAUAAAUAUUAAUUUAAAAUUUUUAAAUUUUAUAAUAUAAAAUAAUUACAAUUUUAAGAUAUAACAAGAUUUUUAUUUAUAUAUUAAAUUAGUAUAAUUGAUUAUUGUUAAUUUUAUACAUCAUUUCAUUUUAAUGAUAAAAAUUUUUUAUCUUCUUGAUUGAAAAGUAAAUCACCCUCUAAAUUAAUGAUCUAAUCACUUUUUAUGAUCUAAAAUUACCAUCAUUAUAUAAAAUUAUCAAGUAAUUAUUAAAAAUUUAAUAAUCUAAUUAUUAUAUGUGAAUUAUCAUAAUUUUUAAAAUAAUCAUCUUAUACCAAACUCUGUCUUAAUAUUUGUUUAAACAAAACCCAUCUACUUAAAUUUAAAAUGACAACAAACAAAGCUUUUGGUUUUACAAUGAUUGCCUUUGUACUUAUCCUUUUUAUUUAUCUAUCUAUUUAUAUAUUCAUUUUUUAGUGGACCAUUUUAGAGACAUCAACGAGACGGAUAAAGCAUUCCUCAUAUCCAUCAUCGAUUAUAUAAUUUUUUUCUCAUGUCCAAAUUUUUAAUAUACCCUCGUUCCAUUCCCAUCAAUGUGUACGGGGAUCUAACGAAUAUGAGAAAUCCUUGUACUCAUGUUCUUUUAAAAAAAAAAAAAAAAAAACCUAUUAAACCAAAUACAAUACAUGCAUUAAUACAAAUACAAAUCUAAAUAACAAAAAAUCACUUAAAAGCUAAUUAAUCUAAAAUAAAAUUAUAUUAUUAAAUAAAAAAUUAUUUACUAUAUAAAUAUAUUAGAUAAAAAAUGUGAAAUUAUCCGUCUCUAUUCUCUUAUCUAAUAGUUAUUUUAAAAUCAUAUUUAUCUCCAAAAUUUAAUAUUCAUAUUUAUCUUUAUUUGAAUAAAAAAAAUUAAAUUCUCUACCUUUGAAAGUUUGAUCUUGCCAUUGGAUUGGGUGAUAAUAUGAUGUUGUUGAUUUGUUGUAGAUAGAUAAUAUGACCCUGCUUAAUGGUUUGAAUUUAUAUGAAUGGUUUUUUUUUAUAGAUAGAUUCUGAGCAUAAUUUGCCAAGUUUAACUUAAUCUAAUGUUUCAUUUCCAUAGUUUCUAUAAGUUUUUUUCAAAAGUGAAUAAUGACACUUUUUUGGUUUUCCACAAAAAUAAUAUACUUUAUUUUUAUAAAAAUCUAAUACUACUAUGUAAUUUGCUCUAGCCCUUAAUCUAAUUGCUCAAUCAUUUUAAAAUCUGGUUUGCACGCUGAAAGCCUGGAGAGCGAAGGCCCAUGUGUAACAAAAAGGCCUUUUCUUAAACCCUUCGAAAACCAAGGCCCCUGCCGCUGCCCUCCAUUUUUGUUUGAGAAGGGGGCGAAUGGCGGGGCCGGCUUUGGGUGAGAGAUGAAAGAGAAAUUGAUCACUACACUGCAGGCGGCCUGAAACAUGUAGAUGAAAAGAGAAAAAAAAAAUUCUGAGAGGACUCUGAUGUCCGAGUUUCUCAAUUGAUUAUAGUUUUCAAUCUGAAUUUCGAAGCCUGGUCGUGUUUCUUCUUCGCUUUCUCUCCAUCAGCAUGGCCUUCCCUUAAUUCCUCCUCCCUGUGCCUUGUGAUGUUUGCUUUCUUCACAGCUAUAAAACUUCGUUAAUUAUAAUGAAAUAUUUAAUAUAAUAUUUAAAUUUUAAAAAAUUUUAAUAAAUUUUAAUAAAUAUCUAAAUUAAAAAUAUAUCAAUUAAUAUAAUAUUUAAAAAAUUAUUUUUUGUCAUCAUUUAAAAUUAAUGUCACUCUGUAUUACAUUAGUUACAUAUUUAUAAUUUAUGUAUUACAUUUAUAAAAUUUAAAUAUUAUAUUAAAUAUUUUUUAUAGUUUAAAGUCGUGACAUUAAAUUUUAAAAAAAAAAAAUCUUUGCCUGACUUUACUUGUCAAGCAAACCCUUAAUAGCUGACUCGUAAUAUUAAUAAAUGUUUCCUUUCGUGUCAGUAGAUAUUAUAAGAUAUAUCUUACAAAAGUGAAUAAGUAUGUUUUAUCUACAGAGCUGUAGUAGGCCCCCACCAAGCUCAAUGUCUUGAUCCACUUUACCUAUAAUGGACUUCCAUCAGGUUGUUUCCAUACUUUUGCUAAAUGCAUACGAGGACGUAAGUGACUUCUGGGAGGUUAUGAUUUUCCACUCUGAUCUUUUUUUGUCAGUAAGUGUUUCUGUUUUAGCAAAAAUAUUAAUUAAUUAUACAAAGGAAUGAAAACAUGUUAGAUUGCUCAUUAACAUGACUGACAAGCUUACUAUUCUUCCUUCCUAAUUGUAUCAUGCCAUAGAGGCAUUGACACAUCUAAAACAGAAUCAAGCAACCUCUAUCAAACCCUGCUUCAGCAUCUUUUAUCGAUUAAGUGAUGUUAGCUGGUGUUUUUAACCCAAUUUUCAGAAACACAUGGUUACAAGCACUUUGGUGACAAUGGAGGGCCAAGCUGUGCCCGGUCUGCUACCAAAUCAAGCCUCCGAACUCAUUGGAUUGGAGUUCUGGAUGUUAUACUUUACAUAGCAGCGGGUGUAAUCAACCUAAAGAAAAUUGUCUCAGAGUUUAAUAAUAGCAGGUAUGAACUCUCAGCAUGCAUUUGUUGUACAGUUUUUGGUAAUUAAUUUAAAUCAUAUUCAUUGUUUCAAUUAUGAUAAUUUUGCUAUAUUAUUUGGUUCCGUGCCUCUUUUGUUAUUAGCCUUUCCAUCACAUAGGAAAAGGAAUUCACUGGAUAUGCAACUGGUCAUGGAGUACUAUUCACGUAUACAAUGAGGAUGCAUUGUCAAUAAAGCAUUCUCUCCUGCAUCUCUAACAGCUAAUUUGGCUAGAUAUAUGAGUAAAACUGUCAGUUGCUCUGUUAAAAUUAACCAAAAAACUGGCACUGAAAGUUUAAGAGGUCAAUAAUCUUCAAAAUAACCCCAUGGUGAUGGUUUCUUUCAACUGGAAACUGAACCUACCAACAGCCACCAAUGAAUUUUCUCAACAAUUAUCCUGUUAUUGUACAAUCUGAUUUCAGUUGCUACAUUCCUUUCAGUAUGGUGUGAGCUUGUGUCUGUAAAGUGUUGUGCACUGCUCUUCAUUCCACCAAGAAAGUAUUUGCAUCUGAUGUCACUGUUUGGAAACUGGGUGCUGUACUUUCCACCACUCCAUCACAAUUGACUUUACAAAAUCCCUCCAUUAUAAAAUUGCCAAAGAACCCUACCUUCACUCACAUUGCCUUCCAACCUCCAUAUUGCUUCCACAGAUUCACUCAUAAGUCAUACCGCCACCAACAAACUCUACCAACCUCAAUUGUAUUUUAUACUUACUUUCAUGCUGAGCCAUACUGCCAUAUUCCCUGAUGUCAUAGUCAGACCCCCACUUGGAGUAACUUAGCUUCUUCUAAUGAAAAGGUAGACGGAAAAGUCACGCCUUAGCCUCUCCUCUCGCCUCAACUGCAGUCAUACAAAAUGGUAAAAGUACUCCCAUUCCUUUCUAGCAAAACAGCAUGAUGCCACCCAUGGGAGGGAAUUAUUCAAGAUAGCUAAUUGGCCAAACAACAGAUCUCUUCUGGCUUCGGGGGUUCCACAUGAACUUUGGACUAUAAGGAAAGCUAUUCAAAUCGGGCAGAACUAUGACCAUCUGGAUUAACAAAUUGUUUAUACGCUAAAAGUCUACUGUUGAUCAGAUUAUGAGAUCUCUCCAGCUUGAGCUUUCAGCUACCUACUAAUUCGUAAGGCUGUAUGUAACAUCAUAUAGUUUGGGUUCUCUAUUGCUUUUGCACCAAGGUAAAAGGAGUGAGAAAAAUAUUAUUUUAAUUGCAAUUCUAUUGGUGUCUCUUGUAUGUUCGUCGUCACAAUGUAUUGUAUAUCUGCAUCCAAAUGCCUAGGGCAGUAAGAGACCUUGAUAUUUGAUUUUAAAAGGGUCGAUUAAAAUUAUAUAUAUUUUAUUUAUUAUAUUACUUAAAAUUGAAAGUAAGUGUUAGAUAUGAAUAUAUAUCCAAUACGGAUAUAUUCAUUUUUUAAAAUUUUUUUUAUAUAUUUAAACUAUCCUACUUACAUACUGACAUUUAAAAUAAAAAACGUAACGUUUAUUAAAAUUUUAUUUUCAAAAUUUUGAAAUUUUAACAAAGAUUGUAAACAUUGUAAAAUGUUGCCACUCAUAAAAAAUUAAAAUAAAACGUUAAAUAUUUUUACUAAAUAUUAUUACAUAUAAAAUUUAAAAUAUAUUUACUUAAUAUUAUUACCUAUAAAAUUUAUUUUGAGGCUCCACCCACUACAACAAAAUGACGUAUUAGCAGCAGUUUUGUAGCGACCUUUCACUUACAAACGCCGUUAGCUUCCAUAUUUUUAGAAAAUUUCAGGCGUUUAUUAUCCAAACGCCACUAAAUAUUCAAAAAACAGCGCUGUUACUUAUAAACGUCACCCAAGACUUGAUAUUAUAGGCACUUCUCGAUUAAAACACCUUGAAUAUCUUUUAUUAAAAGUUUCGAUGAAUAGUUAAAGUGUAUUUUUGGCAGACAACGCCUUCAAUAAUCACGUCAUAAAAAAUUGUAUGAGAUUAAUGAAGACGUUGUCUAUAAGAAACGCCUUUAAUAUUCAAAAAUUUUUUUAGGCUUAUUAAAUUUAUUUUCUUCAAAAACUCAUCCAAUAUUAAGCUUAUCAAAUUGUUUGGAUCAUACGGAUGUUUACCAUAAAAUUGUUGGUUCGAUCUAUCCUUUAGCCUUUUUUUGGGUUUAGGCAUAGAUUAUUUGUUAGUGAUUAUUCUAGGCGUUUUUUUGGCAUAAAUGUCUUCACCAAUUGCUUUAAAAAAUUUAUCAUAGAAUAUUGAAGGCGUUUUUCGUGGAGAGACGCCCUUAAUAAUUGAUAGAAAAAAUAUGGGGUUGAUUAUUGAAGACGUUUUUUACCAAACUCGCCUUCUAUAAUCCAAUCAGUAAAUUUUUUUUUUGGAUUUUUAAAGGCGGUUUUGUAAUAAACGCCUUUAAUAUUCCAUAGACAAAACUUGAAUAGGAUGGUUGAAGGUGUUUUUGGCUCAAAACGCCUUAAAUAUUCCUAGGGAUAAUUUUUAAUGGUCAGAUUAUUGAAGGCAACUAUAUCCAAAAACACCUUCAUAAACAUUUUGUUUAGAUUAUUGAAGGCGUUACCCGUAGAAAAACGCCUUUCAUAAUUCAUUCGAUUAAUUUUUAGUUGGUAUUAUUGAAUACGUUUUUUAUCCAAAAUGCCUUCAAUAUUCCAGACAAUAAUUUUCUGGGGGAAAUAUUGAAGACGAUUUUGGUAAAAAAUACCUUUAAUGUUUUUUUGCAGGGGUGAAUGAAGGCGUUUUCUUACUAAAAAUGCUUUCAUUAAUCGCAUCAUAAAAGCAUAAUUGAUACUUUAUAUAUGAAGUCAAUUAUAAAUUUAUACCCAGAAAAAUGUUUGCUGUCAGUUGUAUAUUUAUGCUCAAAAAAUAUUUAGUUUAUAUAUCUGAUACUAAGAAUUAUAUUUUGAAAUUUGCAUAAUGAACAUUAUUGUAUUUCAAAAAAUUUACCACACAUUUGAAAUUAAAACUGAUAACGUUACCAUAUUAAUAUACUUUUCUGAAAUAAUCGUACUCAGUAAUUUAAUAAGUACACAUAGUGUUUUCAUAUUAAGUAUAACAAUAAUAUUAAACCAAUACCCCCAAUGUACAAACUUAAAGUUUCCAUUCAAUAUUGCAUGUUAAAAAUAUUAUAACAAUUUGUUCCAUAUAUAUUUAUAAUCAACCAACAAUGUCUAACCUGAAAGUUUAUCAACAUUGACAAAUGACAAUACAUAAUCACACCAUUCUUUACGGACUUCAUCCAGCUCCUCUUCCAUGAAGCUUUCUUUACUCUCCGACUAAAAAAAAUCAUAAGUAAAUGUUAAGAAAUUAGAACAUAAUGUACCAUUUUAUUUUUUUGAAUAUAUAAUGAGUUUAUGAAAUUUAUACUAACCUUGAAUGGUGUGAUCAUAAAAUCAUGUAACACUAUCUCUCGCAUAAAACGAAAGACAUAAUAUCCACAUUCAGUAUUAUCGGGUUGACGAGGUACCUGAAAAUUAAAUUGAAUCGAUUUAGAAAAUAGUUAUCUACACAAACUCAGCAUUAAAAGAAUAAAUUUGAUAUUUACCAAUAAUUACACCAUUUUCGGUUUCUUUAUCUUCUUAUUGAAUACAGAUAUUACCCUAAAUUGAUAAGAAAAAAAAUUAGUGGGAACAUAAAUAAAAUUUCUUAUGAAGAAAUAGAACAUAUAUAAUAUAAUAAAGUACUGUAAUACCUUUUUAUAAAAGUUUCAAUAUCGGGGUUAGGCAUCGUCAUUGGAUUAACUGAAUUAAGAAAGUAUGACGUUAAGGAUUUGGUGUCAAUCACAAUAAGCACCCAAUAAUAACUGCAAAAUAAUAACAAUGAUAUACUCAGAAUAAGCAUCAGAUCAUAGAAUGAAGUACGUUGGAGUAAUUAAGGUUGGAAUAUAGCUUAUUGCACAUUAUACGGGAGCAAAUAAUAAUCAGCCAAUCUUUUCAUGCAUUGGAUCACAUGAUUAGCACGAUACACGACUGUGCCACUCUGCUCACUAAUAAAGUUGAGGUCAAUGAAUCUAAAUAUGUUCGUCAACUGUCUCCCCUUUAGCUUUCUAUAUAGGAAGCUACAUGAUAACAAUCAACACUGUUGGUUAGUAUUACACCUUAAUACUAACUUACUACAUAUUGAAUAUGCAUAUUUGUAUUUAUAAGCUAGCCUCUUAAGUAAUGAUUUCAGCAGCUGAUAAUUCAUCAAUUUCACAAAAUUUUUUCACCUCAUCCACACCAAUGAAAGAAAAUGAUUGUUUAUCAAAUAAGUCUUCCUUAGACUCAAUGGAUAUGAAGUUUCCACCGGUACAAUUCUCUAACAAAUAUUUUGUUAAGUCAUCUAUGCAAGCCUGGACAAGGGUCAGAUGUUGAGUAUGAACAUCCUCCUACAAUAUUUAAUGAAAUAUAAGUAUUAAAACCAAAUCAAUCAAUACAAUAAAUAAAUUAAUAUUCAAAUUAUAAACAAUAUCAUACUUCUUGGGUGGUAGCGAAUGAUGGGAUGGCUUUUUUAUUUGCAACGACAGCUUCUCGCACGGGGACGAUGUUAUCAGGCUGGGGUACUGGCAUUACCUGCUGCAUUGCUGCCAACAUGGACUCCAAAGCAGCGAGUCUUUGCUGUUGGUCAUUGAGGUGUUACUCUUGGUCAUUAAUUUAUUAUUGUUGCUGCGAAAUUAUUACUUCAUAUUGUGCAUUUCUCAUUCAUGGGGUUUUUGGUAGUUUACCAAAAUACGUCGAUGGCAAGACAAAUUUACCAACCCUACGAAUUUGAUCAGGACUUUUUUUAGCGCCUAAUGCUAAAGACAAAAGAUCUUCACCAUACUAGGUUGUCAGUUCACUAGAUUUUACUUUGGAAGCAUAAUUAUCCUAAAAGACAAUAAUAAGUUAGGCUAUUAGAAUAAAUCUACACAAGCUAGUAUACACUCAUGCAUACAACCACAAUGCCAAUCAUACAUUAUAUCAAAAAAAUAGUUACACAUAAAAUCGUUUUUGCCAAUUCCUCGGUUGCUUCAUCUGUGAAUGAUCCAUCCUUCCAUAGAUGUCUUUGUUUCCAAAUAUCCAAUCUAAAAACUUUUGUGUUUGAGCUCACUGAUUCCCAUUAAAUUAUCGCAAUGAAAAAAUCAGAAUGAAUGAAAUGAAUGUUCAUGAAUAUUCAUUAAUGAGUAUAAAAUAAGUGUACGAAGACAUACAAGCUCAUACUUCACAAUUGCAUAUUAUUUUCUUACGUCCGAUGGUGAUAUUGUUGUUUGGCCCAAAUGUCUCGAUGUUGUUCUUUGAUUUUCUACAAAAUUAAGAAAUUAUGUCAAUCACAUAUGAAGAUCAAAGGCUAUAUUGCUUCAAAACUUAUAAACUUGGACUAAUUUGGUAAUGGAUUUGCAUACCGAGAAAUCUUCUGAAAGUCAAUAUUGAAUAAAAUUUAUCAAAUCUUUCACACUUAUGACAUCUAUAUAUGACAUAGGUGGAAUAGCCAAAACAUCACAUUCACCAACCCUCGAUAAAAUAUAUUGGGUUGUUAAUCUGCUUUUAAAGUCUCUUAAAGUUUUUUCAACAGAUUGCAAUACAAUCUUUUUACACUCAAUUGAGACGUCAAACUAUUCCUAAAUAACUUAACACAAAUAGUAUCAACAUAUUGAAUUUCAUUUAAAUGACCAUAUAACAAAUUUUAUGAAAUAGUUGAAUAAACAUAUCACAACAGACUGUCAUAUCUCAUCCUUUAGAUCAUCAGGAACUCAUCGUCAAUUGGUGUAUGUAAUUGAAAUCUUUCAACGGACGAUGGCUCUAAUAUGAGUAGCCAUCUUGCCAGCUCCUUCCGACACAAGUUACCCAUUUUGAUUGAAGUCAACAUGAAUUUUUGUGUCAGUCACUUUGAUUUGUUUAUUUAAGCCCCUUUUCUUUCUUUUUUGGCCUGUAUUUCUUUCUUCUGCAUGUUCAUUAGAAGGAGAAUGAUGUUGUUCGGAGUCCAUAUUACUUGCAAUAUUGAUCAUAAUUAUACAAAUUACACAAUAUUACCCUCUAAAUUAAUCAUUGUACUUAAUUUAAUACAACCAAUGCUAUACUAUGUACAGAAACAACAUUUAGCACACCAUUUAGCAAACCACUCAGAAAACACCAUUCAGUAAAACAACAUCAGACAACAAGUUCAGCAAACUAUUCAGCAUGAAAUAUUAUUCAGACCCCCAAUAUCAUACAAUAUCAUUCGACAAUACAAUAUCAGUCAACAAGGUUCGACAAACCACAAUAUUUAAUGCGUACUACACAAAAAUAGCAUACUUGCAAUAUGAAUAGAAUCUUGGAUGACUAUGCUAACGGUGAUGUUAAUGAAAAUAUAUAAAUGCAUAUGUCCAUAUUAAGGAACUAAAAAAAUAAAAAUUCUCUAUUGAAGGCAUAAAUAAUACAGUAAACUAAAAAAAAAGACUUAUCGGUUAAAACAGAGGUUCCCAGUGGUGAUUUGUUGAAGGUUGAAGGUGAGGAAUGAGAGAAAGAAAGUAAUGGUCUGCUAGAAAUGUGUUUAAGAGUUUGGUUUGUUUGGUUGAAUAACGUAACUUUUAAUCGUUUUGUGUACUAGGCCUUUGCAAAUUCCUAUGUUCAAGGUAGAUAAAUGAAUAUAAAAUUAAUUAAUAAAGGCAUUUCCAUGGAACAACGUCUUCAAUAAUCACUUGAAAAUUUUAUUGAAGAUUAUUGAAGGCUUUUCUUACAAAAAAAGACUCAUUUAAUUAUAAGCCUUUAAAAUUGUCCACCCAACUUAUUAAAGGUAUUUUUUAUAAAAAAAAUAUCUUUUCUAAUUCUUAAAAAUUAUAAAAGGCAUUUUCAGUAAAAAAUCGCCUUCAAUAAGUAUGGAUUUUCAAAGUUUAUAACAAAUUAUUGAAGGCGACUUAUAAUAAAAUACGCCUUUAAUAAUCCAAAAAUUUUUUUUUGAAAAAUUAUUGAAGGCGUUGUUAUUUGAAAUCACCUUCAAUAAUUAUAUACAAACUAUGAUAGAAAUUAUUAAAGGCAUCUAUCUUAAAAAUACGCCUUCAAUAAUAGUGUUACAAUUUAUGUGACGGUAUAUAGAAGGUAUUUUACAUUAGAAGACACCUUUAAUAAUUUUUAAAAUAUUUAGUGGGAAAAUUUUGAAGACGUCUGUUAUUAACAAAUGCCUUCAGUAAUUGAAGGUGCCUUUUUUAAUAAACACCUUCCAUUAUCAUCGUGGUAUAUCAAAGGCAUAUUAUAAUAAAAGACGCCUUUAAUAAUUCAAAAAAAUUUUAUUAAAAAAAUUAUUGAAGGCGUUAUUAUCUAAAACUAUCUUAAGUAAUUAUAUACAAACUGUGAUAAAAAUUAUUAAAAGCAUCUAUCUUAAAUAUACGCCUUAAAUAAUAGUGUUACAAUUUAUGUGACGGUUUAUAGAAGGCAUUUUACAGUAGAAAAUACCUUUAAUAAUUUUUAAAAUAUUUAGUGAAAAAAUUUUGAAGGCGUCUAUUAUUAACAAACGCCUUCAGUAAUUGAAGGUAUUUUUUCUAAUAAACGCAUUCCAUUACCAUCGUGGUAUAUCGAAGGCGUUUUACAAUAAAAUAUGCUUUUAAUAAUCCGAAAAAAUUUUAUUAGAAAAAUUAUUGAAGGCGUUGUUAUCUGAAAUCACCUUCAGUAAUUAUGUACAAACUGUGAUAAGAAUUAUUAAAAGCAUCUAUCUUAAAUAUACGCCUUCAAUAACAAUGUUACAAUUUGUGUGACAGUAUAUAAAAGGUAUUUUACAGUAGAAGAUGCCUUUAAUAAUUCUUAAAAUAUUUAGUGAAAAAAUUUUGAAGGCAUUUGUUACUAAAAAAUGCCUUCAAUAAUGGAUUCCUAAGUUUAAAAGUAUAUUGAAGACGCUUGUUCAAAUAAACGCCUUCCAUUACCAUCGUGGUAUAUUAAAGGUAUGUCAUAAUAAAAGACACCUUCAAUAAUCCAAGAAAAUUUUUUUAAUGAAAUUAUUGAAGGCAUUGUUUUCUACAACCGCUUUUAGUAAUUAACUACAAACUGUGAUAAAAAUUAUUAAAUGUGUCUUUCUUAGAUAUACGCUUUCAAUAACAGUGUUAGAAUUUAUAUAGCGAUAUGUUCAAGGCACCUAUAAUAUAUUCAAAAAAUAUUUAUGAGGUAAUUAUUCUUGACAUUUUUUGUUAAUAAACGCCAUCCAUAAUCUUGUCCAAUAAAAAUCUUUCCAAACUUAGCACAUCCAAUCACCAAUUUUAAGCUUCAUCUUCAUUAUUAUAUCUUUUCAGACCAAGUACAAUUUACUUUGCAUUUUCUUUUGCUUUUAGUAUUCGAGCAUUGUCUUUUAGAAUCCUAUUUUGACUAUUCAUAACUUAUUGACUUUAGUUUUUACUUCAUUCGACUAUUCCUUCAGCUCUUGCAAUUCGUGAUUUUCUUUUUCGUGAAAAAAAUUUUCUACAAAACCCACCUUAUUUCACCUUUUGUCAACCCUAACUACAAAUACUCUUGGGUACUAUCUAUUUAGCAGCAGAGUUUUAACAAUCAUAAUAUCUGGUAGCUGAUAAAUUACUUUACACCAAGGAGUUCAUGUUUUGUGUAAAUAAUAUUCUUGUUAUUAUCUUUUGUUUAAAACAUAGUAAACUAUGCAAUUAAACAUGUUCAUUUUCAUAUGAAUUAUUUAUAUAUAUUUGGUCUGAUAAUGUAGCAACUAAUAAAUGGAUAAGAGUUGGAUACAAAAGUCUAGAUUAAGUCAAGAGUAUAGAGAUGGAGUGAAAAAAUUUUUCAAUUUUGCAUUUGAGAAUACAAGUGAAGAUAAUAUGAUAUUAUGCCCAUGUAUGAAAUUUGCUAAUAUCGAGUGACAAAUGUGUCAAGUUAUUUAUGAGCAUUUAAUUUGUAUUAGAUUUUUAUCUGGAUAUGUUAAUUGAUAUUUUUAUAAAGAGUCUGUACUAUCAAGGUCUUCCACUACAAUUCCUUCAACAUCAAAGGCUUUUCAUCACCAACAUGAUCUCUUUAUAGCAUAUGACAUUGAAGGCAUAUUACGAAAUGCUUUUAACAUUCAUAACCAAAAUUUUCGUAAUCUUUCUCUCCAAAAUGAAAGAUUUAAUCAGUCCAAUGAUGAAAUGCAUGAAUUUGGUGAACCUGAGAUAAGUGUACGUGACUAACAACUUAGAGAAAAAGCAUCAAAGUUUUAUAGAUUGCUUGAGGAGAUGAAUGAAGAACUUUUUGAAGGAUCAAAGCAUUCAAAGUUAUCUUUCUGUGUUCAUCUUUUUCACUUAAAAUGCUUAUGUGGAUGGAUGAGAAACUCUUUGACUUUAUUAUUACAGUUUAUGAAAGAAAUAUUUUUUUUUUUAUAAAAAUCCAUGAAUCUUGUAAGAAAUCAAAGAAUAUGAUCAAGGAUUUAUGUCUUAGAUAUGAGAAAAUUUAUAGUUAUCCCAAUUAUUGCAUGUUGUAUCAGGGGAUAAAAAAAAUAAAAAACUUGUCAUUUGUGUGGUAUUUCUCGUUGGGUCGACAAAAACCUCGAUGAAAGGUUGAAUGAUGAUGGUGAUGAGGUAUGUGUCAAAAAAAGCCUAUUAAAGUUUUACGCUAUUUUUCAUUGAUACCAAGACUUCAGUGACUCUACAUGUCUUUCAAAACUGUAGAUUCAAUGAGGUGGCAUCAUGAUUUACGAAUGGAUGAUGGAUCGUUAAGGCAUCCUGUAGAUUUUUUGGCAUGGAAGUCACUUCAUUCUAGGUUUUCAGACUUUACAUUUGAUCCUUAAAAUAUUAUGCUUGGACUGACAUCUGAUGGAUUCAACCCCUUCCAAAUAAUGAGUACUUCUUAUAGUACUUGACCAGUUGUAUUGAUUCCUUAUAAUUUAUCAUCAUGGAUUGCUAUGAAGCAAUAGUCAUUUAUAUUGUCUAUAAUAAUACCUAAGGAAAAAGGUUCGGAUAAUAAUAUAAACAUCUACUUACAACCUCUUAUUAAAAAUUUAAAGCAAUUAUGGGAAUAAGUUGAGACCUAUGAUACAUCAAAAAUGGAAAACUUUAAUAUGCGUACUACUUUAUUAUAGACUAUCAAUGAUUUUUUUACUUAUGUGAAUUUAUCUGGUUGGAGUACAAAAGGUCAUUAUGCUUGUCCAUAUUGUGCUGCACAGAUAUGUUCAACGUGAUUACUAAUGGUAGAAAGUUUGGUUAUUUGAGACAUCAUCAAUGGUUAGAUGAUAAUCAUCAAUUUAGAUUCUAAAAAUAUCUCUUUGGUGAAACUGAAGAGUUAAAGAGAUCGUCUUUACCCAUUAGUGGGUCUAUUAUUUUGUCAAAGUUAAAAGAUAUCAAUUUCACAUAUGAAAAAAUAACUCCAUCAAGAAAAAGAGUGAGGGACAUCUUUGAAGGUAUCUGGCUUAGUAUUACGCAAGUUGGUGACAGUCAUAUAGAAGUUAGUGAUCUUAAUGUUCAAAGUGAUGAAGAGGACGAUGAAGUAAAUGACCCCAAUGAGUAUGAGUUGUGAAAAAAAGAAGUAUAUUUUUUGAGUUACCUUAUUGAGAAUAUAAUUUAUUACACCAUAACCUUAAUUUGAUACACAUAGAAAAAAAUAUUUACAAAAAUUUUAUUGGGACAAUUCUUAAUAUGAAUAGAAGAUCCAAAGAUGACUUAAAGAGUUGGUUUGACCUAAUUGAUAAGAAGAUUCACUCAGACCUCCAUUUGAUAUUGCUUCCUAAUGGUAAAUAUUGAUUGUCUGCUGCUUGUUUUGGGAUUUCUAAAGUCGAAAAAGAUGUGUUUUACAAAGUUUUAAAAAAUAUCAAAGUUUCAAAUGACUAUGUGUCAAAUAUAUCAAGAUGUGUGAAUAUGAAGAAGCAAAAACUUUCUUCAUUGAAGUCACAUGAUUAUCAUAUUUUGAUGCAAAACUUACUUUUAAUUGUUUUACACUCAUUAAUGUCAAAGCAAGUGACUUCUAUGGUAAUUAAAUUGAGUAACAUAUUAAAAUCUCUAUGUUAGAAAUAUAUGAAUGUGAAAGAGCUUGACAAAGUUCAAGAUCGAGCCGUGAUUACUUUAUACCAUUUAAAGAAGAUAUUUCCUCUAAACUUUUUCACUAUUAUGAUGCAUUUGGUUAUUCACCUUCCAUAUGAAAUAAAGGUCAAUGGGUCGAUUUAUUAUCGAUGAAUGUAUCCUAUUGAAAUGUAUUAUUUGUUAAUAGAUUGAUUACAUUUUUAUUGAUUAUCAAGCCAAUUUACUUAAAAUAAUAUAUGACUAAUAUUUUAUGCUAUACGUUUUUGGGAAGGUUAAAGUCUUAUUGUCGCAACAAAUGCUAUUUAAAAUGUUUUAUUGCUAAAGGAUAUUUAGCAUAAAAGUGUAUGACAUUUUGUUGUCGUUAUUUAAAAGAUGUUGAAACGAGAUUUAAUAGACCUUUGAGAAAUAUUGGUAUGCAACAUACAGACUCAGCCUACAAUUAUCUUUUUCAAAGUUUUAGACAACCCAUAGGCAAAGUUGAAUUGGUAGAGUUAGAUGAUAAAUCUUGGGUACAAGCACAUUGAUAUGUUUUUUUUCAUCAUGACUCAAUUGAAUCGUUUCGCACGUAAGUUGUUUAGCAAGGAAAUUAUUUAUUACAUUGGCAUAAUUUAUUGUGUUUUUUUUUAGUGUUAAUACUUUAUCAUGAUGUUUUAUAGUGAGUAUAAAAAUAAUUUGAGAAAUCCAGCACAUUAUCGACGAUCAAACCCUCAAGAGGUUGAUAAGUUAUUCGUUGAAAACUUUCAUGAAUGGUUAGGAGCAACUGUAAGUAAUGCCAUACUUUUCAUUAUUUUUUAUCUACAUAAAAUGCUUACGGUAAAAAUAACAUUAAUAACAUAUAUAUAUUUAUUCCAUUUUUAUAAGUUUGGAGUAGAAUGCUUAUUAGUAAAGAGGUGAAGUGUCUUUCACACAGUUUGAAUCGGAUUGUGAAACAAUACAAAAGUUUCAUCAUCAAUGGAUUUAGAUUUCACACAAAAUCUUGUGAGAGAUUUAGAAGUACAUAAAAUUUAAGAGUUGUUGUGACUUCAUCAACUACUAGCUAUGCUAGUGCUAGGGACACAAACCCUUUAAAGGAAAAUGUUAACUAUUAUGGCAUGAUUAAUGACAUCAUUGAGUUAAUUAUUAUGACAAGUGAAAAGUUAUCUUAUUUCGAUGUGAUUGGGCAUAUGUGAAUAGUGUGAAGGGUCUUAAGAAAAAUUAGACGGAUUUACACUUAUGAAUUUUUCUCGAUUAAUUCACACUGGACAACAAUUCAUCGAUGAACCUUAUGUAUUUUCAUCUCAAGUUAAACAAGUAUUUUACUCUGAAGAUCUCAAAAAAUUAGGUUGGUUUGUUGUUCUUUGAAACACACCUAGAGAUUUAUUUGAUAUGGGGUUAAAUACCAAAAAUGAUGUUGAACACAGAACUGAAUGUUAUUCUUUUGCUGAACAAAACUUGGAUGAGAAUAUCUUCAAUACCUAUGCUCAGUGGGUCCGCGAAGAUGUUACUGAAGACAUUUACAAACCAUGACUCUGUGCACCUAUAAUUUGUAAGUCGAGUGUUUAAGACAUAAUGUAGUAAAUAAUAGUAUGUAAAUAAUGUCACAUUUGCUGUUGUAUAAUUAUUGUCUUCUAAAUCAUACAUUAUAUUUUGAUUUAAUUAAAUCGAUAUGUUCUUUAUAUGUCGUAGGUUUUGAUUUCUUAAAUUGAAAAUGUCUUUAUAUAUCUUCUGAACUAAAAUUUUUUUUAUAUUCGCUUUUAUUAUAUAGGUAAGCUACAAUGCGAAGAAGUAGGUUGAAAGGAAAAUAUAUCAGAGAUAUUAGUUCAGAACCGUCUGCAGGACCUGUAGAUAUUGGCUAUGGACUGAAUCCUUUGGAAGUAAAUGAACGUACUAUCGGAUCUAACUCCGUCACUUUUAACCCUUCAACCAAUAUUGGAUCUGACAAUAUGAGAGGUUCAGGUUUAGAUAGUACCACAUCAAUUGAUUAUGCUUUAAAUUCGAUUGCAGGUAUGAUAUACUUCAAUUUUAGAAUUCGAGUAUAAUGAUAAUAGUAUUACGAUUUUACAAAUAUAUUAUAUAUUUGUUGCAGUUGAUAACAAUGGUCAACAAAGGACCAGAGGUCGAGCAACUUUGAAAGAAUUGUUUACACUACCUCCUAACGAGCGUAUUGUAGUGUCUGUAAACUCUUAUAGACAACCAAUUGAUGAAGAGACUCAACUAUUGGCUGAAUAUCUAGGCAUGCUAGCCCGUAAUGGAAUGAAAUUGUCUAUUCAUUAUGAAACAUGGCAUAAUAUUCCAGAAGAAGUUAAGGCCGAAGCAUUAAACUUUAUUGAGGUAUUAGUAUAAUUAAUUAGAUAUAUUCAAAUUUUUUAUUUUACAUUUUGUUUACUUAUUCAAACUUUUCUUAUUGUAUUAUUACAGUCAAGAUUUGUACUUGAAAUACCAACUUCAUAUGUGCUUAAGUCAUUGGGAAAGAAAUGGAAAGAUUAUAAGCAUAGUUUGAAGAAUAAAUAUUUUGAUUGAAAUAGUAUUGUAGAGGCAAUGAUGCAAAAUCUAUCCAGUAAUGUGAUUAGGUGGCAAUAUGAACAACUAGUUAGAUUUUGGUUCUAAAAAAAAAGAGAGGUACUAGUUUAUAACUUUGUAUAAUAGAAUGAAAUGAUGAAAGUAUUUGAUGGUUUCAGUUGGUAAUAUUUGUAUUUCUAUCAUAUAAGCAAUUAUUUUUUAUGACAGGAAAAAAACAAAUUGAGAUUAGUAGCAGAAAGUAACAAAAAUAUAGUCACAUAAGUGGAUCAAAAAGUUUUACAAGAAAGCAAAAAGAAAUCGUAAGUUUAUGAUAAUUAACUUAUUCCAAUGAAUGAACUUUUUCUGCCAUUGAAAGGUAAAUAUGGAAAUUAACAUUUAUUGUUCUGUUUUAAUAGAUUUAAUUAUUUCAAUAAAUGAUAUUAAACUUAUCGAAAGUUUUGAAUUUAGUUACAUAGAUGAUAUGUAUGAAAAGUUACUGUUUACAUAUAUUUAUACCUUUAUUAUCUGGUUGUUGUUAUUAUUGAUUUUUAACAGUUUUGAUAGCUUCAAUACUUGAUAUUAAGCUUAUCCGAUUGAUUGAACUUGGUUUCGAUAGUUGAUAUGGGAGAAAAAUUGUCAAUUAUGUCUAUUUGGGAAUAUUUUUACAUAUAAAAGGCAAAUAUACAAAUAAAUUUUGGAUGCCUUUCAACAUAUUGAAUGGCUUCAAUCCUUUAUUUUAAAUCGGGAGAAAAUAAUUGAAUUUAGUUUCCAUAAUCGAUAUGUGUGAAAGUCUAAAAUGCUUUUAUUCUUUGCAUAUAUUUAAGACUAUUGUGUUGUUACAAGACCAAAAUAUAAAUAAAAGAGAUUAAAGUUAUUCAAAAUUUUAAUACUUGAUUGGCAUGAUUGAUAUGCAUAAAUAAGUUACGGUUGAUAUAUAUCAUAUCAAAUAACAUAUGUUUUUGUAUAGGAGAAUGAGAUAGGUGGUACAAUUGGACGUGUGAAACUUUUUUGCGUAACACACACAAAAAAAUAGAUCUUACAUGAAUGUCGAAACACAAAAAAUUAUGAUAAUUUGUAUCAUCUAUUUUAACAUAAAGUAAAUAUUAACUCUUUUUAACAUAUAAUCAAUUAGUCAUUAAACUUGAUAGUUGUAUAUGACAAAUUCACAGGAGAAAGCAAAAGAGAAAAUGACUGCUGAGAUUGAAGUAGCAUCUAAAGGUUCUCUCAACAUGCAAGAAAUGAAAAAUCGGAUAUUCAUAGAAGUUGCUGAAAAAGAAAGGCAUAGACAGGUCCAAGGCCUUGGAUUGAGUCCAACACCAUCUGUUUACUAUGGACAUAACUCUCCGUAAUUUACACUCUCAGCAAGUCAAUUUUUGCAAGACAUUUCAAUAUUGAGAGGGGAGUUACAAACUAUGCAACGUUUUCAGCAAAUGGAAGCAAAAAGAAAACAGGAGCGUGCCAAAAUUGAAGAAGAACGUGCUAAAAUAAAGCUAGAGCAUGUAAAAUUUCAGUAGUUGCAUUAUUGAUUUGAUCAUCUUAUGAAUUUUGUGCAACAAUAAUUUUCAAGAAAUGAUUUUAGUGCUCCAUCAACUUAGGUAUUAUAUUUAGUAAAUAUUAAAAUUUUUAAAUAAAAAAUAAGCAUACAAUGAAGUGUUAAAAAUUGUAUGGUAUUAUUCAGUAAGUUGUUGAGCACGCUAGUGACCAAGGUAAAAAUUUUUCUUCAUCAAUUGACAGCCAGUAAAAUGUAUGUAGUCAUCCAUUUCAUACAUUUUAAUUUUUUAUUUGGUUAAUGUAUUUACAAUAUUUAAAUGUUAUUAUACUAGUUAUUAAACUUUGUAUUAAUUAGAUGUAUAUUUAAACGUGAAUGAAGUUAAUAUUAAUUUCAGUUUUUGAAUUUAAGCUCUUUACUGAAAAUAAAAUUUAUUAUAAAAAAUUAAAAAAAUAUAUUUUUAUAUAAUGACGGUUUUUGCAUUGGGCAAUGCCGCUAAAUGAAUAAUUUAGUCAUGUUUGUAGCAUAAAACACCACUAUAAGUAGUGGCGCUCUUUUCAGCAAACACCGCUAAUUAGGUGACGUUUUUUAUAGAAACGUCACAAAGCAACGACGUUUUUCUCAUAACAACGCCACUGAAUUAGUGGCACCUAAAAGAUACAAACGUCACAAAUAUUGAGGCGUUUUUAAAUUCAAAUGCCAUGCAAAGUAGCGGCAUUUUUUGUUACAAACAUUAUCAAUGUAACGACGUUUUUCUCAUAAAAAUAUCACUAAAAUAGCGACGAUUAAAAAAUACAAACGUCGCUAAUAUUAAGUCAUUUUCAUAUUCAAACGCCUCUAAAGUAGCGACGUUUCAAAGAUAUAAAUACCGCUAAAAUGAUGACGUUUCACAUAUAAAACGUCGCUAAGAUUGAGGUAUUUUUUCUAAAAUGUCGCUAUUUACUGCGACGCAUGUAUAGGCGGUACUCUACAUGAUGUUUUUUCGCAAACGUCGCAACCUUAUAGUAACGUUAAUAAAUGCUGCUAAGCAGUUAAAAAAAUAUCGCUAAAAACUAAAACCCCUGUAAUGACCCCUUGAAACCUUUAGGAAGGGGGUUUAACACCCCCUUUCCAACCCCAUAUAGACCUUAUUGCAAAUAUCGAUUUGUGUAUUUUCUCUUUGCAAAGAUAAUUAAUAUAAGAAUAAUAAUUAGAAUUGUAAUAUUAUCUUUGUUGAAAAUAUUUAAAAAUUUAAAAAAUUUUUAAUUUCAAUGAAAACAUGUUAUUUACAUGUAAAAUAUUAUGAAUGUCAUAUGUUAUUCAUAUAUCAUCAAAAAUAAUAUAAUAAAAAAUUUUAUUAGAUAAUAUUAUAUUUCUCUAAACUAUAUACAAAAUCCUUAUAUUUUUUAAAUUAACAAAACUCAAAAAUUAUAUAUUUUCAUUUAAUAUCAUUUUUUUCUUGAAAUAUAAAAAUCUUUGAAUCAAACAUAUCUUAAAAGUAAAAAAAUCUUUUUCAUUACAGGAUAGCUGUCAUUUUUCAAAGCUCUCAAAUCCUUUUAAUUUAUAGUAGUAUAGAUAAAUUAUAUGCUAGCAUUUGAAUUUCGUUGAAAGUGUAGUUUGUGGGAGGUUGUUGAACUGUAACGUGUUCCACCAUUGGACCUUAAAAUUUGAAGGCGUGUAUAGCCUAUUGUUGAGUACAUCCUCUUUUGUCCAAAUUUGAAAUUCAGUAUGGUAGGCAAUUUACCACUAGUCCUCUUUGAUUGAGAAAGAUACCUCUGGCGAAUGGGGAAUCCAAAGAGACAAAUUCAAUUGCAUUAAUGGCAGUGCCAGCCAUGUCAGUCUUUUCUGUGGUACAAAUAAUAUCAUAUCAUCUCAUCUCACGAAAGCAUCCUUCAUCUGUUUUUGCCGCUUCAAAUUUUCUGUCCUUUUAUCCCACCGCUUGAAAUAAAAGAAUUUCCAUCGACCUCUGCAUUUAGCCAUUCAUAUUGCAAAAAAAGAAAAAGGCUACGUACCUAAAUUACAAUAAUUUUUGGCUAGACAUCCCAUAUUUUUUAGAGUUGGACAAUUUCAAAGGCAAUCGGUAUUUAUAGUGCCAUUACUAUUUAAUUUAGUAUUAUUUCUUAUAAUAAUUAUUUUGGUGAUGCCACUCCCACCAACUCUGACUUUGACACUCUUCCAACAAAACGACCUCUUAUUCUUAAUACCUAAGCAAAAAUUAAUGACUUUAGGGUAACAUUUGUAACUUCAAUAUAACAUUAGUAGAACAUAUGUACCCUAAAAUGAUUAUAAUUUCUUUGCUUUGAAUUUACUUUUACAUUGAUCCAAUGGUCAAGGUAUAAUCUUGGUUAGGGUACAAUAAUUUAAAUAAUUAAUCUCCCUAAUUCUUUGUUUUUAAUUAAACCCAAUAAUUAACUUCAUCUUCAUUAAUUCUUUUAAAAUACUUGGAUAAAAUGAACAUGGUAAGGGAACUAACUUCAUUAAGUUGAUUUGUCUAUUUAUAUUUCUGUAUUUAUUAUAUUAAAAAUAAUAUUUUAAAACUAAAAUUAAAUUAAAUUAAUUAUUCAUUAAUGUAAUAAUAUCCAUUUUAAAAUUGAGGCCCAAGCUUGACCUAAAUUAAGUCAAAUCCAACCCGUUUUCGAUAGGUUUUGACCCGAUCCGACCUUAUGAGAUUGUUUUUUUUUUUUUAAAUUCGAGUUUCAGGUCGGAUCGGGUAAGGUUAUGAAACAAUUGAAGUCGGGUUCGGGUUUUAGACAAAUCCGACCCGAUAUUAUAUAAAAAAUUAUUUUUUAAUUAAUUAUUUAAUUUUUUAUUUAUAUAUAAAUUUAUAUAAUGAUAUGUUUAAAUAUUUAUAUUUUUAAAAUAAUAUUUUAUAUUUAAAAAAUAAUAUUUUAUUAAUUUCAGGUCGGAUCGAGUACGAUUUAUAUAGUAUUGGAUCAGGGUCGAGUUCGGAUAUAAAAAAAUAAAAAAAUUUCGGAUAAAAUUAAGUUCAGAUUUAAUAACACAUAAAAAUCAAGUCAAGUUCGGGACGAAUAAAAUCCAUCCUGAACCCGACCCAAUACUAACCCUAGUCAAGUCCUAGAGUGUAGACUUGGACGCGUUUAUUUCUAAUACAAGUACUAGUUUUUUGCACUACAUGUAACGAAGAGAAAUAAAACUAAUCGUUUAGGUACUUAAGUAUUAAUUAAUAUAUAUUAUAUUAUGAAUUUUGUUAACAACUAUCUUUAAGGCAUUUUUUAAAGUAAGUCGACAUACUAUUUACAGUACUAUUAAAUGCAAUAAUUCACUAUUAAUUUAAUGAUUUUCAAUAUAUUGUGUAACAAUAAAAUAGCAUCUUAAAACACUCCUCAACAUUUGGAAGUGAGUAUUUUAUUUGAGUUCGUUUUUUAUACUUUGCCUAAUAUAAUUAUCUAAUCCUAUAAGUAAAAUUAAGAGACUGAAACAAGCAUACAGCAAACACAACAUGCAUUAAUAUGUAUCACCACUAUGUAAGCAAAUGUUAUUUGGAUAAUCAAAAGGGAAGGUGUAACAUUAUUCUAAUGUAAAGAAUAUUUCCGAAUCAUAUCAUGGAAACUUCAUGGCCCAAGUUAUGGUGUGCCACUAAAUAAAUGAUAUGUCACUUUUUUCUGAUUUCUGUGGACGAAAUGUCUCUUUACAAUGUGGCAUAGCCACAAAGGCCAAACUUUAAUAAUUUGUAAUAAUAAUUUAGUAGGCUUGAUCGAUUAUCCUCGUUUCUUCCUUAAACUGGCUUUGUAUUUUAGGUGCUAACCUAGCCAACCGCUUUUCCAACUUCAUUGAUAAAUUUAGAUAGUAGUGAUUGUACUUUGCACAUGUUACCACGUGCAAGUUUAUAGGCCAAAAGGGCAAAAUUAUGAUCCAUUAUUAAGGUUUUGCUUUCAUGACACCUUGGUGUAUGAUCAAUCACGGUGCAAAUAAUAAAGAGAUUCUCUUUUUUUUUUUUUUCUUUUAUGAUGAAAAGGGAAAAACAUUAUAGAAAAUGUUAAUCGAUAUGUUUAAUCCACAUUUUCAAAUUUUGCUAAUGUAAACUAAUCAAGUUGCUCUCGCUUCACUUGAUAAAUACUCAAAUUCAACUUAAUGGCUGUCCAACCUGAGCUCAAACUCGAAUUAUUUAAGUAAUAAAUUGAGCCAAGUAUGAGCUUUUUAAUUCUUAAAUCUAAUGGUAAAAAUACUUGGAUCACUCAUAAAUCUUAUUGAUUUUUUUUUUAAUUUCUUCAUAUUAUAUGUAAAAAAUUAUAAUAUUAAUUUAUAUAUUUUAAAUUUUUAUUUGAGCUUUUAGAGUAAAUUUCAUCAAUUGAUUGUGAAUUUAUGUGAAGUUUCAUCUUCCUUCAUUCGCAUCUAAUAGCUCGAAUUUUCUUAUUUAUGACCUUUUCAAUUAAUCCAAAUGUAUUCUUCCUUUAACAUAACGCUAAAAUUUAGAUUACAUUUGUUGUGUAUGUCCAUCAAAAUGUCGGUAGCCAAUUUCAUCCAUAUUCUAUUCAAACUUUGUGCUCAACUUCAUCCAUAUUCCAUCCAAACUUUAAUGGUCGAGUAUUGAAGGAUUGAUGAAUUUGAAACAAAUUUAAAAGGUUAAAAAUAUAUAUAAAAAAAAAUUUCAAGUUUCGACUGAAAAUAAAAUUCUGAAAAAGUCAUAAGCAACUAUGUAAUUUAUUAAAAAUUUUAAAUUUGACACUAUAUCAGUUUUUUGAAAAAAAUUUAUUAAUAUUUUAUUUUUUAAAUCAAAUUAUAUUUUUAUUCAAAAAUGACAUAUAACAAUCAUAUAUACAUUUAUGUUAUAGCCAUUGUGCUCCAUGUAGAUGCCAUAUAUAAAAGCCAUAAAUAAUUUUAUGAUGACAUGGCAUGCUAACAUGGCACAUAAAUGCUAUGUGUUAUCAUCUCAUUAACUAGUUGUCAUAUCAACAUAUUUGUUAACGAUAUUAAUUCUAUGUAUCACAUUAUUAUAUAAUUUGAUACAGUAUAAUCGUAAAAGUGUUGCAUUGAACAUUUUUAAAGUGCAUGUUCUACAUCGAAAAAGUGUAUAAUAUAAGAACUAAAUAUGAAGUUAUAAAGUCCAGGAAAACCAACCCUUGCUAUAUGUAUUUUAUGUUAUAUUUUUUAAUUAUCAAAUUUGAAUGAUCUAUUGAUAAAAUGUUAAACUUUUAAUUUUAAUAAUUAAGGUUAGAAUUCUGCCAACAUUAUAUAAUAAAAAAAUAUUAUAAUUUAUAUGGCACAUGCAUGUUUGAUGUUCGUGUAAAUGAGCCUGCUAAUUAGAGAUAUUUCAUGAUAGAGAUAUUUCAUGAAAGGAUAAAUGCUCAAUACUCUCUUGUAAGUUAUAAAAAUAAAAGCCAAAAGGUUACAUGACAUAAAUCCACAAGAUGGCACAAUGUUGAUAGAAAAUGAUCAAUUAUCAGGAAGUAAGUUAAGUAGGCAUCCAGUUUUUAAUAAAUAACGUGUUAUUAUUAUUUGAGGACCAAAAGAUACGACACACGCAUGGCUUAAAACAUUUUAAAAAGUAAAUAAAUUUAGCAUAAUGUAAGGUCAUUAGUCAAUAGAGUCGGAUCUAUGAUCCCAUCCCCUUUUAGCUUCUGUAAUUUGUUCAAUUGUACAAGAAAAUAAUAGUAACAUAUUAAAAUACUAAUAUUUCUUAUAUUCUUUGUUCUUUUUUAUUUUGUAUUCCAUUAAUUAACAACUUUGGUAUACUAUAUUAAUUAUUAUUAUUAUUAUUAUUAUAAUGCGAUGGGCAAAAAGACGAUAGAUGAAGAAAUGUUAAAAGAUUUGUGUUUUGUAAGAUUCAAAUUCGAAAAUUAUGUUAAAUUGAAAAAUCAUUUAUCUUAAAAAUUUAAGUUGAUAAAACUUUAAUUAUUAUAUUUAAAUUCUAACACUCGAAUAAUAAUAAUUUAUUUUAUACAUAUAAAAUACAACAAAUCUAUAUUGGCUUAAGGCUGAAUUGAACUAACUGAUAAGUAAUAACUAUGUAGCAAAAUAGCUUAAAUUAAUUACUAAUAACAAAUGUAAAAAUAUAUAAUAACAAUGUAAAUGGAAAAAAGAAUAGCUUAAGCAGAAAACCAAGCCAAGUCGUAGUAUCUUAGAUAAAAAAUUUUUUUAACGGUGUCAAUGUUAUUAGUAUUUGAUGAAAAUGUCUUAUUUUUUACUCAAAUGAGAAUUAAAAUGGAUAUUAAAGUUUGGGAUGGGAUGAAAAUGGAUAUAAUUUUAAAUAUUUUAUCAAAUAUUAAAAUAGAUAAUAUAACAUUCGUCCUGUAUUUAUAUCCUAUAAAUAUGUUUAUAUGCAUUUAAUAAAUAUAUUUUUUAUUAAAUAAUAUAAAUUUUUAUUUAAAAUGACUUAGAACUAAUAUAUUUCUAUUUUAUAAAAAUAUAUUAAUAUAUAUUUAUAACAAAAUUUACAUAAAUAUGUAUGACAAAAAUAAAAAAGUUAAAAAAAUUAGUUUUUAUUUAAAAAAAUUAUAGGUGAUGGAUUAUUUGUACCCAUUAAGAUUCCGUUUGUUUUAAAUAAAUUUUCUUUCAAAAAAUAUUGCACUUUUCAGAAAAUUAGAGAUUUUUUUUUAUUUAAAUGAAUCAAUAAAAAAUAUUUUCAAUUGUUUGAUUGUUUUUUAGACAAUUUGUUUUUUUAAAUAAUAUUGAUAUAACUAUUAAAAUAUUAAUAAUUUUUUAUGACUAAAAUAUAUUGAAAUUACUUAUAUACUUUAAUAGUGGCAUUUAAUAAUAAAUAUUAUAUUAAUAUACAAAACACUUAAAACAAAACUAGUUAUUAUUUCUAUUAAUAUUUUAAAAUAUUUAAAAUGACAUUAUUAUUCUUAAAAUAUUAUUUUUGUUAAUAUAACAAUAAUAGUAAUAUUUAUAUUAAAAUAUUAAAAAUAUUUAUACUAUUAAAUAUUUAUAUUUUAUAUUGAAAGUAUUUAUUAUUAAAUCAUAACAAAAAAAUUUAUUUAUUUUAUUAUUCAAAUAAUAAUAUAAAUAUAUUAAUAAAUAAAAUAAAAAUAAUAUAUUUUAAAUUGAAAAAAAAUAAAUUAUUAAAAUAUUCCUUUUAUGAAAAUAAUAAUAUUAAUAUAUUAAUAAUAUUUUGGAUUGGGCUAAAUUAAAUUUGAGUAUGAAAAAAUCAUAUUUAAGAUCUGACAUAAAGAAAAUUGUGCUCAUGAGUUUGGUAAGUAAUCUUAUUCCUUUUCAAAUGGAGAAGAUAAUUUUAAAACUUAACUUUUUUUUUCAUUGAAUAAUAAAUUAUUUUUUGUUAACAAACUAAUUUUUUAUCAAACAAAUAUAAAAAAAAAUGCAAAAAUUAUCUUUUAAAGAUUAUUUUUUGUGAAACAAAUAGAUUCUAAAUAAUUGUGAAAAUAAAAAUAAAAAUAAAUUUAAAAUAUCGUUAAAUAUAAAUAAAAAUAUAUAAUAUAAAAAUGAAAAAAAAAAAUCUGCGCACCUCAUUUCCUGUCUGUUAAUAUCCUAUGUCUUUCUACGUGCUUUAACCCGACCCUUACCAAACGGAGAGCUGAUGCCUAGUACAUAGAGUUUAAGCUGAUAUAAAUGGUAGAUACAGCGUAUCUGAGGUUUAAUCCAACGGUAGUAAUUAGAUCAAAUCCCAAGGCGAAGAACAUGGUUGAAAGUGAGAAAACAAAAGCUGUCAGCCAGGUCACCCUAUCUUUUCCCUAUGGUGGCGCAAAUGAUUCCCCGUUCCCCACUGCUCUAUUUUUAAUUUAAUUUCCUCCAAAUUUCAUUUGCAUUUCAAAAAUUCCCCAAAGUCUUCCAAUAUAUAAACGCCCCUUUCUUUUCUUCUGCUCUCCAUCUCCGUCUCACCAGAGAGAAUAGAGAGAAAGGAAAAAAAAAAAAGAGUCCUCGUCAUCUGCUUCCUCUUCUAUUCUCUCUUUCUCUCUGAAACUCCUCGUUCUUUUCUUGUUGAGGUAAAUCUUUUGCUUUUGCCUUUAUUUUACUUCAAAUCCACCGAUCUGUGGAUUUUUUUUUUUUUUAUGUUUUGCCGAUCAUGGAACUGAGAUCUAGGGUUCUAGAAGUUUCUACAGAGUUGUAAGGAGUUAGAUUUGGCUUGAUCUGCUUCACUUUGUAUCUGGAUCUUUACUUACCUUGAUCUGCUUCUUUCCACUUGUGAUUUCUGUGUAGAUCUUAUGAGAGUUGGUUUUUUUUUUUUUGUCUUUAUUUUGAAUUUGAUCUUCUUCCAACUUGUACUGAUUAAUGCUUUCAGUUUGUAUAUUUAAUGCUUUUCGAAGGCCUCUUUUUGAGGUUAAGAAAAGGCUCUAAUCUUGAUCUUUAUUUCCUUUCGUAAUUGAUUUAAUUUGUUGUCCAAACGAAUUAUAGAGUAGCUUGUUUAGAUGCUGACAAAUGAAUGUUGUCUGCAUUUUGAACCGACUAAAUUUGGUCGACCCACUGCAGUAGCAAAACUUAUGUCUUUUAGCUAGCUAGGAUACUGAAUGGUUUUAUUUUAUGCUUUUAAAGAAAUGAAUUUUGAUUUGAGUGUUUCUUUUUUCACUAAGAGAAGCCACGACUUAAUUUGUUUGAAGGCUUUGAUUUGGCUUGUUUAGAUUAGUUGAAAGAGGUAUAUAAUCUAGGUUGGCAAGUGAUUUUUCUAUACUCACUAUCUCAAUUCUUGUUUCUAGUAUUGUAAAAGAUGGCCGAUGCUGAGGAUAUUCAACCCCUCGUCUGUGACAAUGGAACUGGAAUGGUGAAGGUUAGUUGAUUUCUAGACCUGAGUUAUAUUCUCCAUUAUUGUUUAUUUCUUUAUGAAAGAUGUGUUACUUUGCCGUGGUUGAUCUGAUUUUGUUUAUCAUGCAGGCUGGUUUUGCUGGUGAUGAUGCUCCCAGGGCAGUUUUUCCCAGUAUUGUUGGUCGACCCCGGCACACUGGUGUCAUGGUUGGUAUGGGUCAGAAGGAUGCCUAUGUAGGAGAUGAGGCACAAUCUAAGAGAGGUAUCCUUACUUUGAAAUAUCCCAUUGAGCAUGGUAUUGUCAGCAACUGGGAUGAUAUGGAAAAGAUCUGGCAUCAUACAUUCUACAAUGAGCUCCGUGUUGCUCCUGAGGAGCACCCUGUGCUUCUCACAGAGGCACCUCUUAACCCCAAGGCCAACAGAGAAAAGAUGACCCAGAUCAUGUUUGAGACCUUCAAUGUGCCGGCCAUGUAUGUUGCCAUCCAGGCCGUUCUCUCUUUGUAUGCCAGUGGUCGUACAACAGGUUUGUUAAAAUAGAACAUCUUUGGAUUUAUCAUAUUUUUAGAACAUUCCUAAUCAAGCUAACACUGAAUUAUUUCCCUAUUGGAACAGGUAUUGUGCUGGAUUCGGGUGAUGGUGUUUCCCACACUGUGCCAAUCUAUGAAGGCUAUGCCCUUCCACAUGCCAUCCUUCGUCUAGACCUUGCUGGUCGUGAUCUCACUGAUGCUUUGAUGAAGAUACUUACCGAGAGAGGUUACAUGUUCACCACCACUGCUGAACGGGAAAUUGUUCGUGACAUGAAGGAGAAGCUUGCUUAUGUUGCCCUGGACUAUGAGCAGGAACUGGAGACUGCCAAGAGCAGUUCUUCUGUUGAGAAGAACUAUGAGUUGCCUGAUGGACAAGUCAUUACUAUUGGAGCUGAGAGAUUCCGUUGUCCAGAAGUCCUCUUCCAGCCAUCUCUCAUUGGGAUGGAAGCUGCUGGAAUCCAUGAAACUACCUACAACUCUAUCAUGAAGUGUGAUGUGGAUAUCAGGAAGGAUCUUUAUGGUAACAUUGUGCUCAGUGGUGGUUCAACCAUGUUCCCUGGUAUUGCAGACCGUAUGAGCAAGGAGAUCACUGCCCUUGCUCCUAGUAGCAUGAAGAUUAAGGUUGUUGCACCACCAGAGAGAAAGUACAGUGUCUGGAUUGGAGGAUCUAUCUUGGCAUCACUCAGCACCUUCCAGCAGGUGAAAUAUAUUUUCUUAUAUUUGGCUCAUGUUUUACUUUUGUGUAAAUUCAUUGCCCAAGACUGACAUUCUUGCUUUCGCUGUUGCAUCAGAUGUGGAUCUCCAAGGGCGAGUAUGAUGAGUCUGGACCAUCCAUUGUCCACAGGAAGUGCUUCUAAGUUUUAUAAGUGCUUUGAUGGUGAGUUACAUUUUCGAGUUAGUUGGCUUUUUGUGUCCUGUGUCAAGUGAAUUCAAAGUCUGGUUGAUGUGGGAAGGGUUGAAGGUGGGGAUCAUUGAAGGAGGGUGUUCUUUGAUUUUGGUGUAUUAUAUAACCCUUUCAUCAGUUGUGACUUAUUAUGCUCAUGGUGUCACUGCUAUUGAAAUGAUGGCCCUCAAGAUGUGGUGGUGGACUGGUGGACGGACAAUUGGUGCUUAUUUCCUUCCUUUCCAUGCAUCUUUCAACGAUGUUGCCUAGUAGGAUGUUUGUAGCUGGAGAGUGAUUGUGAUGAUUCUGUCUUAUAUUUUCUUUAAUUUCAGAUUAAGGGGUUUUUUUGCCCUGAGAACAUUAAUGUUAAUAGCUAUUGUAUGAGAAAAUUUAAAUUAGUGUCAGUUUGCGGUCAUAAACUUUUAUGGAAACUAUAUUUGAUACCUGAUUUUGAAAUCUAAGGGGGAAUGCUUUCUCUCUGAACUCAUAUGGUGUAAAAUCUGUUUGAAGAUUUCUUGUUAAUUGUGGUGAAUGGGGUUUCUUUAGAGGCAUGCCUCAAAAUAACAAUAUGUCUGCUCAGUUGUAAUUAUUAUGGAAACCAUUAGUAAGUAUGCAUACCGUUGCCCGGAUGAUUCCAGAGUCUUGGGUGAAACCACACCCAGAAUGGGAUGCUAUUUUAUGUUUUAUCGACGUAUCUUUUAAGGCAUCUUUAGGGAAACAAUUUCCAUAUGAUGUUAGGAUUAAAAAUAUAAAAAAUUUAAGUCUGCUAUGAGUAAGGAUUGCCUGCAUUUGCAGAUUGAUCAUAUGAUUCAUGCACUCUGUGUCACUUAUAUUAUGAUUACUAAUAUCCGUUGAAUGGUUGCUUCCUCGGGUAGAUCUUUCUGCUUAUGCACCAUAAUUUUCUGGUCAUGUACUGCUCUCCUUGAGUAUCAUUCUUCGCAGGUUUUUUUGGCUCCUGUCACACUAACUCGAAAGGAAAAUAAAGAAGCCCCAUCCGAAAAACUUAAACCUCUUCUUUUAUAUUAACAACUUGCAUUGUUUUAUAUAAGCAUUUAGCAUGAGGUUUCUUGUUUUGUUGAUGCUUGGAGCAUGAUUCUAGACGUUUGGAGAUUAGGGAUUCGAAUAAAUUUAUGUUUGAAAUAUUCUCUUCAGGCACGUAAGUAGAUAUAACUUGUGUGGAGGUUAGGUGUAGAUUAUGAAAUUCAGAAAGUUUAUUUUAUCUAAAAAUAAAAUUUAACAAAAAUGUAAGUAUUUAUUUUUUUAAUAAAAUAACAACUUGAGGUACAAAUCCCAAAAAAGAAGCCCAAUCAAUGAUGCGUAAACAGAUUUCGCCUGAUGUUAUUAACUAUUGCACAUUUGUCAAUGGAUAUUGUCUUCAAGUAAGGUGAACUUGAUGCAUUGAACUUGUUCAAGAACAUGGAGGAGAAGGGUCACAAGCCUGAUGUUAUUUCUUACUGUGUCCUUCUCGGGGGCUUUGCUAGAAAUGGCCUUGCACGAGAGGCAGUCAAUCUUUUGAAUUAUAUAGAGGCACAACAUAAUCAUUAAAGGCUUAUUAUGUAUAUGUGGUCGUUAAGGUAAGGAAGCUGAAGCUUUCUUUAGAUAGUCUGCCAGAGAAGUAUUUGGGAAAUUAUGCUGCCUUGGUUCAUGGCUAUUUUGAAUCAAGCCUCCCCAAACGUCUGUGAAUUAUUUGUUAAGCUGUCUAAGCAGGGAUUUAUAGUAAGGCUUUUUGCUCAAAACUCCUUGUCUUUGCAUGGAUGGGGAUAAUGUUCUUUUUGAAUACUGAACCUACCAAAUCUUAUAUAUAAAUACUGAACCUACCAAAUCUUAUAUAUAAAUACUGAACGUCACGUGUUGAGCAUUCAUUUUACCAUGUGGCAGUCACUUCAUUUUUAAUUUUUAUUUUAUUUUUUGGACCUUCUAAAUACAUCACAAAAUUUUCUUUAUACAUAAAUUUUUUUUUUCAAAACUACCCUCAUAACAAAUAUAAAUUUUAACCUUAGAUAAAUGAUGAAAAUAUUCUCAAUAGUUUAUACAUCCCAACGCCACUUUUCUUAAAUCUUGAAAAUCGAUUUUCAAGAAUUAUAUUACGUUCUUGAAAAUGGAUUUUGUUUAGAGAUUUUUGAGAAGUCAUCUUGUAUUCUCAAGAAUCCAUUUUUGAAAAUACAUAAUUUUUUGUUUAAAUAUAUAUUUAAUUAUAAGCUCUUAAUAACGUUUAAUUUUAAUUUAAAUAAAAUAAAUACAUUUAAUAUUAAAAUAAAUAAUGCUAAAAUAAAUAAAUUUGAUGUUCUAGGAUCUCCAAACAUCUCUACUAAUUUUUUCGAGGUAUAGCUUAAUUCUGACAAUAAGGAUCUCUAAUCUUUAAGCCACCAGUAUCCUGAUGGCUAAAAAAUACGGAUGGUCGAAAAAUUAGAGGUCUUUACUGUCAUAUUUGUUAGUUUGUUGAUGACAUUGUGAAAGUCAAUGUUCUAUAAAAUGUUCGAGCUUAGACCAACAUAAAUACACACACAUAAGUCAUUGACGUGCCCAUUCUUACUUGAUCAUACGUAUAAAUGGAAGAGACAUAUUAGUUCUCAAGCAUGCAUAAGCAUAAAUGUGCUUUUGUCUUGAGACCAAAACUCAAAAACACAUUUUUAUCUAUACAAAACCAAAAAAAAUCAUAAAAUACUGUUCUUGAUUUUCUAAAGGUUCAAGAAAAAGAACAAGUUUAUGCCAUGCAUGUUGAGAAUGUUGAUUUUAGUUUCAUUUACAUACAUGAUCAAGUAAAUAAAUUUAUAAGCGCAUGCUUAAGGUUUUCAAUUAUUAAAAGUGAAAUCGAAGUUCUCAAAAAUAGAUAUCCAAGAAGACUUAAAGCUUCUUGGAUAUUCAUUUUCGAAAAGAUUCAAAAUUUUUUAAAAAUGAAUAUUCAAGAAGUUUGAGUCUUUUUGAAAAUGAAUAUCCAAAAAUCUUUAAAGCUUCUAGGAUAUGGAUAUUCAAGAAUCCUUAAAACUUAUCGAAUAUCCAUUUUUAAGAAACCUUAAAGCUUAUCGAAUAUUCAUUUUUAAAAAAUUCAAUUUUAGAAAAUAAAGAGAGAAAAAUGAUAGGAAUGAAAAAUAAAAAGAGAGGGGUGACGGUGUAUUUAGUAGAAAUAAAAAUUAAGUUUUUGAAUUUGGUGUGUAUUUAGAAAUUGAGUGUAUAAAAUAGAAAUGGGGUGUAAAUAGAAUUUUUAGUUUUUUUAUCGUAGGUUUCAACUUUUUUUAAACAAUUUUUAUAAGACAUGUAAGCCACAUUUUUCUUUUUGUUUUAAGGUGUGGACUUUUUUUUUCAAUCAUUUUUUUUGUUUUUUUAAUUGGGGGGCUCACAUGAUUUUUUAAAAAAAUUCUUUUAAAAGAUGUGGGACUCAUUUUUUUAAAAAAUUUAUCUUCUGUUUUUUUUUUUUGAAAUUUUUUAUUAUAUUUAAUAUUUUAAAAAUUUUCGUGAGACUCACUUAUGCCAAUUUUUUCUACCCUUUUUAACUUUUUAAACAAAAUUUAUCUUUUUCAUUUUAAUUUUAUUUUCAUAAUAUGAAUUUUUGAUAAAAACUUAUCGUAAUUGACGUCACAUGCAAAAUAAAUUUCUUUAGAAAUGAUUAUAAUGUCCUUUUAAUUACUUCACUAUUGAGUUACAUGCAUUCAAAUUAAUUGUGAUGCAUCUUUUUCUAUGAUUAACUAAAUCUACAACCAUUAUUACGAAAAUACUCUCUUACCAAGAUUUGCCAAAAUGACUAUAAUACCUCUCCUACUAUAUUUAUGAAAAUUCUCAUAUUAUUGUCAAAAUACUAUAAUACCUUCUAACCAUAAUUAACAAAAAUAUUAUUUUAUCAUAAUUACGAAAAUACCUAUUAUAUUUUAAUGAGUUAGAAUUACUAUAAUACCCACUAACUAUAAUUACAAAAAAACCCAUUUUGAUUGCUCCAUAUAAUGCCUCUCCAAUCAUAAUUACAAAAAUACCAAUCAUAUUAUAAUUAAUCAAAAUUACUAUAAUACCCUUUAAGCAUAAGUAUGAAAAUACCUUUGAUUGUUUCAUAAUUAUGCAUUAAUUUUAACAUUCGUAUAAUAAUAUAAAAUUAAUCCUCUUAAAAAUAAUUAUAAUGCUUUUUAAUUACUUGACAAUUGAAUUACAUGUAUUGAAAUUCAUUAUAAUGCCCUUUUUCUAUAAUUAACUAAAAUAACUAUAAUAUCCCUCUUAAUAUAAUUACUAAAAUCCCCCUUUUAUUAUAAUUGCCAAUAUUACUCUAAUGGCCCUACAUCCAUAAUUACAUAAAUGCAUUCCUACCAUAAUUACAAAAAUACCUCUCAUAUAAUUUGCCAAAAUUACUAUAAUAUCAUCUAACCAUAAGUAUAAAAAUGCCCUUUAUUAUAAUUACAAAAAUAACACUUAUAUUAUAAUUGACUAAAAUUACUAUAAUAUCUUUUACCAUAAUUACAAAAUACCCUUUUGAUUGCUUUAUUAAUGCUUUUCCUACCAUAAUUACCAAAAUACCACUGAUAUUAAAAUUUGCCAAAAUUAAUAUAAUUACGAAAAUGCCUUCUAACUAUAAUUAUGAAAAUACCCUCUCAUAUUAUAAUUGGUUAAAAUUAUUAUAAUAUUCUUUAACCAUAAUUACAAAAAAAAAAAAAGAAAAACCCUUUUGGUUGCUUCAUAUAAUGAUUCUCUUACCAUAAUUAUGAAAAUACCCCUUAUAUUAUAAUUGAUCAAAUUACUAUAAUAUCCUCUAAGUAUAAUUAUGAAAAUAUCAUUUUUAUUAUUUCAUAGUUAUGCAUUAAUUUUACAUCCUGCAAUAAUAUGAAAUUAAUCCUUUUUAAAAUAAUCAUAAUACCCUUUUAAUCACUUAAUUAUUAAAUUACAUGCAUCCAAAUUGACUGUAACGCUCUUUUCUUAUGAUUAACUAAAUUAUUAUAAUUGCUCCUCUCAACAUAUUUACUAAGAUACCCUCUUAUCAUAAUUGGCUAAAGUUAAUAUAAUAUCCCAACAAUCAUAAUUACGAAAAUGACCUCCUACUAUCAUUUACCCAAAUUAUUAUAGUGUCUUUUUUAUCAUAAUUACGAAAAUACUCUUUAUAUUAUAAUUUACCAAAGUUACUAUGAAGCCUUUCUUACAUAAUUAUAAAAAUAUCAUUUUUAUUGUUUUAUAAUUACAUGUUAAAUUUGAAUAUACAUAUAAUUAUAUGAAAGUUAAUCUCAUUGAAAUGAUCAUAAUGCUUUCUAAUUAUGUGGACAUUUGAAUGAUAUACAUCCAAAUUGACUAUAAUACCCCUCAUAUAAUUAACUAAAAUUAUUAUAAUUCCCUCCUAACAUAAUUACUAAAAUACAUCUUUUACCAUAAUCAGUCAAAGUUAUUACAAUGCUUUGGCAAUCAUAAUUACAGAAAUGCCCUUCUAUACUAUUGGUCAAAAUUACUAUAAUACCCCUCCUAUCAAAUUAAAAUUAUUGAUUUUUUUCUUUAAAAAUUUAAGUUGAACGGGAGAGAUAUUAGUAGGCUUUGAUUCCAUGAAUAAACGGGUUUGAAUUUGAUAAUUGAUCAAUGUUGAUAAUAGAUAAAUAUUUAAUUGGUAGGUUAGAUUUUCAUGUAUAUAUUAUUGGGUUUUGAUUUAAUUUAUAUAAUUUUUUUAAAGUAAUCUUUUUUAUUUAAAAUAAAAAUUGAUAUCUGACAAUUACAAUUGAAUGAUACAGUUCGAGUAUCAUUUUUUUAUUUUUUUCAAAAGAUAAAAAUAAAAAAAAACCAAUAAAAUACUAAAAAAUAUUUAUUUUUAAUUAUUAAAUAAAUUUUGUAUAAUUUAUAUUUCAUUAAAAUAAAAAAAUUUGUAACGGGGCGUAGUAGGGUAGUUUUUCUAGUUAAUGUAAACUAAACUCAUUAGUGCAUUUUGUCAGGCAGGAAAUUUGAAAAAGGCCCCAGCUGUUGUUUGAUAUUAUGAUUGAGAAAGGGCUAACACCCGAUCUAGUUAUCUACAUAAUAAUGAUAAGUGGCUACUGUAAAGUGAAAUUUUUUGCAGGAAGCCUUGGAUCUUUUCAACAUUAUGAAGGAGAGAGGGAUUAAACCUGGUUUUAUCAGUUACGCGGUCUUGCUUAACAGCCAUGCAAAUAUAAAUUUGAGGUCGCUUUCUAGUCCUGAUGUGACACAAACAAAGACAAGACGAUAAUGGAUGCCUUCAAUUUUAUGGAAAGAAAUUGAAGCACCUGGGGGUAGAACCUGAUGUUGUUUGCUAUACUGUUUUGAUUGAUCAGUAGGGCAAACAACCUUCGGGAUACAAUUAGGAUGUUUGAUGAAAUGAUUGAUACAGGAUUGAAGCCUGAUAAUGUGACAUAUACAGCUCUUAUAUAUGGCUAUUGUAAAAGAGGAUAUGCAGAGAAGGCUGUAAUCCUUGUCAACGAAACGUCAAGUGGGGCAUACAGCCAGACACCUGUAUCAUGUCAGCUUUGCACCAUGGUAUAUUGAAAGGAUUAAACUUUUACAAACCCCUUAAAAUAAAUAUACAAAAAAAAUAAUUUUCACAAGAUUUUCCAAAGAGCAGCAGCACGUUCAGUUCUGAGUGAACUUGGAAUUGAUCCAACCCAAAGAGACGGUUUUUCAGUUUCUGACGCAUCUCCAGCAGUAUCUUUGGGUGGUUAUUUUCUUUUUCUGCAUUGCUCUUUUCUCAAACUCUGGGUUCAACAAGUGCCUGAUCCUUUCAUCAGAUCUAGCAGUCCAUUGCAGGACCAGAGAUCCUUAUUCUGGUAUGUCAAUUUCACCCGUAUCAAGUCCAUUGGCAACAGGAGAAGGGGAUUUGUUUUUGACCAAAACCAAGUUGAAACUCAUAAAACAGGGAGGAAGCCAGUCACCCACAUCUCGUCGAACAAACUGACAGGAUAGUGGUAGUAGGCCUAUCUUAUAGUCUUUUAAAUCAUGUUAUAAAUCAAUCACAUUGUUCAUGUAAUAGAUAAUAACCAAAUGUUAUGGAAGCCAUUUAUGAAUUCAAUUGGAUUAAUUGACAUUUUAUUAUUUUAUUAUGUUAUAUGUGGUGUUAUUUUAUCAGUAUUUUCUUCCUCAAUCGCCCCACUGCCCGCUCGCUGCAUGUUCUGUUUGGUUGCUAAAUCACCAUGAGUUUUUGCAACAAUCACCGCUGGAAGUAUUUAUUGUGUACAAGGUCAAUAGAUAUUACGCAACCAGCGGUAGGCAUAGGCAGUAGGCAAUAGGUAAUAGCAGCCCAAGUUGGUGACAUUUCAAGCUUACAGCUUCUAACACUAGAAUCUCUACUCUCACCUUAUUCAAAAGGGCAAAAGGGGUUAACGAAAUGAAGAUGCUGCCUCACUUUGACGACAUGAUAAUGUUAUGCUAAAACAACCAUGCUGUGAUUUAGAAAGUAAAUUCCAAUAAUUAGCGUUCAUCUUUCUAUAACUCAUGAAGUACCAUUCAAACAUAGAAAAACGCAAAUUAUCUUAAACUAUUUCACACAAAAUUGUCAUAUAGAGCAUUCCCUUUAUACUUCUCUCCACAUAAAGCAAAUAUCGACCAAAGCAUAGCUGAGAAGAAGCCCAUUUAAAACAUUAACGUCAAACUAUACCCAAAAACUCGAACCAUCGGAUAUUACAAAUUCCUUCAAGCAGCUUGUUUUGUUGACUCCAUAAGCUUUAUGAAUUCUCUAAAAGCUGUACCAAGAAAUAACUUGAUUUGAGCAAGAGAAAUCAUUUUAACAAACAUAGAAAUCUGCAAUCUGUCAAAAUUAGGCAUAGGAAAGAAAUUUUUACCUAAAUCUGAAUCAUGAGGUCCUGGCGAUGCUUCAGGAUGGUAUUGAAGAGACAUAAUAUUUAACGCAGGAUAAGCUAGACCAGCGCAGCUUCCAUCAUUAAGAUUAACAUGAGUCACUUCUACACCCUCAGGGAGUGAUGCAGGAUCAACUGCAUAGUUGUGAUUCUGCCAAUCAUAAAUUCUAAGGUGAAAACACAACCCCAAAGAAAUAUUGCAACUUCAAACACAUGGAAGCUGAAUACUUAGCAGAAAUAUAUCCAAACUUAUAAAUACUCCACAACAUUGUCAAAAAAUAUAUUGAUUAGAUCUGCAAUAUUCAAUGAAUAUAUCAAUUUUUUUUUUUAAUUUCUUUUGCGUGUGUGUGUGUUUUGUUAAGUGUGGGGGUUAAGUGGGGUUGAUCAUCCUAGGGGUGUAAUCGAGCCAAAUCAAGACAAUACAGUGAAAAACUCGAGCUUGAGCUCGACUCCUAACUCGCGACUCAAUACUCAGCUUGAACAUAAUCGAGUUUCAUUUUCCUAGCUUGAGCUUAAUUUACGAUUGAAAUCAAACUACUCGAACUCACUUGAUUAAGCUCGAUUAAUAUAUAAAAAUAAACUCGAUUCUUAUACUUGACAAAAGUUCGAUUCUCAAGAUCGAGAUCUUUUAUAACUAUUUUUUAUCAAACCUAAUAAAAAAUGCUUUAAAUAAUCCCCUGUCAUUUUUUUUUAGUUUAUUCAAGACAUUUUUUUGCCUUGAAUAAUUCCUUACAAAAAAUUGAAUGGGGUUAUUAAAUGUAUUUUUAGCCAAAAACCCCUUGAAUAAUCAUCUUCAAUUUUUAUAAGAGGAUUAUUUAAGAUGUUUUUAGCCAAAAACGCAUUGAAUAAUCUCAUUUAAUUUUUUAUUGCGAGUUAUUCAAAGCGUUUCUAGCAAAAAAUGCCUUUAAUAAUUUCCUUCAAUUUUUAUGAGAAGAUUAUUUAAAGUGUUUUUGACAAAAAAUGCAUUGAAUAAUCUCAUCAAAUUUUUUAGAAGGGAUUAUAUAUAUUUUUUGGGAUUAUUCAAGAUGUUUUUGGCCAAAAAUACCUUAAAUAAUCCCUUACAAAAAAUUGAAUGAGGUUAUUCAAGACAUUUCUGGCCAAAAACGCUUUGAAUAAUCCCCUUCAAUUAUUAUGAAAAGAUUAUUCAAGGCGUUUUUAGCAAAACAUGUCUUGAAUAAUCUCCUCUAAUUUUUUAUUAGGGAUUAUUCAAGAAAUUUUUGCUCAGAAAAUACCUAAGCAAAAACACCUUGAAUAAUCUCUUAUAAAAAAUUGAAUGGGAAUAUUUAAAGAAAAAAGAAAAGGGAUUAUUCAGGCGUUUUUUGCCAUAAUCCGCCAAUAAAAAAUUGAAUGGGAAAUAUUUCUCAAAAAAAAAAAAAGGAUUAUUUAAUAUAUAUUUUUUAUAAAAACCACUUGAAUAAUCCUUCAAUUUUUAUUAAGGAAUUAUUCAAGGCAUUUUUACUCAAAAUAACCUUGAAUAAUCCAUUAUAAAAUUUAAUGAAAAUAUUCUAAAAAAAAAAGAGGGAUUAUCAAGAGUUUGGCCAAAACACCUUGAAUAAUUCCUCAUAAAAAUUGAAAGGGAUUAUUUAAGUCCUUUUUUGCAAAAAAACGUAUAGAAAUAAUCCCUUACAAAAAAUUUAAAGGGGAUUAUUCAAGGUGUUUUAGUGCUAAAAACGCCUUAAAUAACUCUCUUCAAUUUUUGUAAGAGAUUAUUCAUUUUUGAUCAAAAAAACACCUUGAAUAACCCCAUCAAAUAUAUAUAAUAGAAAAACUUAUUAGAUUGCGAGCUAUUCAAACCGAGUACUAAUAUGCUCGAACUAGACUCAUUCGAUAAGUCGAGCUACUCGAGCUUUAGCUCGGCUCGAUAAUUAUCGAAUCAAAUUCAAAUUUUAAACGAAUCGAAUCCGAGUAGCUUGCGAGUACUAAUGUAUUAUUUACACCUUUAGGUCAUCCCAUCGUAAAAUCUAAAUCCAUGCUAACAACACUAUACUUGCAUACAAGGGAUGUAUCGGUUAGCGAAUUAUUCAAUGGAAACACAUUGGCUACUUAAACACACCUGAGCACUAAUCUCAACAUGACCAUUGCAAAGAUUGCGAACAGGAUGAUUUCCUCCAUGGUGACCAAACUUCAUCUUAAAGGUUUUACCACCCAAAGCCUGCCCAAGUAACUGAUGGCCCAUGCAAACUCCAAAAACAGGAACUUUUCCCAGAAUUUCCUUGACUGUUUCAACAGCAUAAGGAACAGCAGAUGGAUCUCCUGGACCAUUGCUUAAAAGAACUCCAUCUGGCUUCAGCUUAAGGGUUUCAGCUGCUGGCCAAGUGGACGGCACAACAGUGAUUUUACAGCCAUAAGAUGCUAAACGUCGAAGUAUAUUAUGCUUGAUCCCAAAAUCAUACGCAACAACCUUCAAUUUAAAAGAAAUGGAGAAAUGUAAGAGCAGACACAAAGCAAAGAUCUAAAAGCACCAACAUAAACUUCAAAAAUAUUUCUAACUGUGUAAGUCUCUUGAUCUCUUCCAUUAGAGUUGAACUCCCAUUCUGAUUUUUGUUUUAUCAACCCACUCAUAAGGGGCAUUGCAGGUAACGCCACUUAUUAAAUCAACACCUGCAAAAAUAAAGACAAGAAUAAUAGAGAUACAGUUAAUCUUAAACUUUUAAAAAUACUCGUAACUUUCAAAUAAGAUCCAACUAUUCUUACCUACAAUGUCCCAUGAACGUGACAUCUUCAAAAGUUCUUCAUCACUUCUAGAUUGUUCUGUGCUCAAAACUCCAAUAAGACUUCCAUCUUGCCUCAAUCUGCGGGUGAUUGCACGUGUGUCAACAUCAUCUGCCAUUAUAGGAAAGCAUCAAGAUACAAAGGAGGUCAGAAGCUAUGCCCAGAGAACAAACAAAUUUUUUAUGAGCAUGUUUUCUAAAGUUAAGCAGUCUACUAACUAGAUAUCCAGUGCCAUAUAUACAACUUACAAAUUCCCAUAAUAUUUCUUUCUGCUAAAUAAUAACUAAGUGUUUCUGCACAUCUCCAAUUCGAAGUACUGCAAAACAUUUAAUUAAAAUUUGAUAAAUAAAUGAGGAAACCUUUUGUUCCAAAGCUGUAAAUUGCAUAUCUAAGAUGUUAAAAGAGGAAAUUUACGAAAUACUUAGACUUCUGAUCACCAGACCAGCAAGAAAGCACUGCCUUGAUUCUUCAUCAUCUGAUGGGGUAGGCAUCAACAUCAGAUCAUAUAUAGUUUUCAACAAGUCAGCAUUGAAAUGAUCAAAAGAUAAAUUUCACUUACCAAAAAUUUACUCCGGUAUUGCCAAUAUGUGGAUUGGUCAUCAGGACAAACUGACCAGCAUAACUAGGGUCUGUUAAAAUUUCCUGAUAACUGCACAACAAUUGUAUUUUGGCCAUGAAUUAGACUAUGAAUACAGAAACUUCUUUUUCCAAAGUCAUAACAGGGAAGAAAGUCUACAAAUACACUGCAAAAGAAAUAAUAAGAGCAAAAACGAUCUUUUGAAGGCCAGCCCAAAUAAAAACAACAGUGAAUUAAAACAAGUCUGUAACUUCAAUGAUUCAAUUAUUAUGCAAACUCUAUAUAAUCUUACUGAAAAUAACUUCAAAUUCAAAAUUUUACUAAAACUUUAGAUUUAUCCAACCUCACCUUAUUUCGGGCAAUCCAUUGUUCAAUACCCCACAUUACGCAUCAGUAAAAAAUUUCUUUAAUUUAGUUAAAAUUCUAAAGAGAAACAGAAAUCCAGAAUACUAUAUCAUCUUACCCUGUUAAAGAAGUGUUAAAAACCACCUCGCCGACUUGGGUUCCAGAGGCACCAAAAGAUUUAGCCCUCCAAAUAGAACCAUCUUCAAGAGCCAGCCUAGCAUCCGCUACCUUCCAUGGCCUCUCCGCCAAUCCUUAAACCACCCAUCACCAAAGAUAUUUCCACAUUAUUUCAAAACUAUAUAGGAAAAAAGAAAGACAAAAUUUGGAAGGAAAAAGUGAAAAAGAGUUUACCAGUGGCGGCACCGUCAGAGGAGANNNNNNNNNNNNNNNNNNNNNNNNNNNNNNNNNNNNNNNNNNNNNNNNNNNNNNNNNNNNNNNNNNNNNNNNNNNNNNNNNNNNNNNNNNNNNNNNNNNNNNNNNNNNNNNNNNNNNNNNNNNNNNNNNNNNNNNNNNNNNNNNNNNNNNNNNNNNNNNNNNNNNNNNNNNNNNNNNNNNNNNNNNNNNNNNNNNNNNNNNNNNNNNNNNNNNNNNNNNNNNNNNNNNNNNNNNNNNNNNNNNNNNNNNNNNNNNNNNNNNNNNNNNNNNNNNNNNNNNNNNNNNNNNNNNNNNNNNNNNNNNNNNNNNNNNNNNNNNNNNNNNNNNNNNNNNNNNNNNNNNNNNNNNNNNNNNNNNNNNNNNNNNNNNNNNNNNNNNNNNNNNNNNNNNNNNNNNNNNNNNNNNNNNNNNNNNNNNNNNNNNNNNNNNNNNNNNNNNNNNNNNNNNNNNNNNNNNNNNNNNNNNNNNNNNNNNNNNNNNNNNNNNNNNNNNNNNNNNNNNNNNNNNNNNNNNNNNNNNNNNNNNNNNNNNNNNNNNNNNNNNNNNNNNNNNNNNNNNNNNNNNNNNNNNNNNNNNNNNNNNNNNNNNNNNNNNNNNNNNNNNNNNNNNNNNNNNNNNNNNNNNNNNNNNNNNNNNNNNNNNNNNNNNNNNNNNNNNNNNNNNNNNNNNNNNNNNNNNNNNNNNNNNNNNNNNNNNNNNNNNNNNNNNNNNNNNNNNNNNNNNNNNNNNNNNNNNNNNNNNNNNNNNNNNNNNNNNNNNNNNNNNNNNNNNNNNNNNNNNNNNNNNNNNNNNNNNNNNNNNNNNNNNNNNNNNNNNNNNNNNNNNNNNNNNNNNNNNNNNNNNNNNNNNNNNNNNNNNNNNNNNNNNNNNNNNNNNNNNNNNNNNNNNNNNNNNNNNNNNNNNNNNNNNNNNNNNNNNNNNNNNNNNNNNNNNNNNNNNNNNNNNNNNNNNNNNNNNNNNNNNNNNNNNNNNNNNNNNNNNNNNNNNNNNNNNNNNNNNNCUUUUUUUCAAAAACAAUCCAGCCAUUUUUCAAGGAAAAAGCUUUCAACAUUAAACAUCCUAAUCCUUUUUACCAUUUUGGCUUUACCAAUCUCUUCCAUUAAAAAAAAAAAUUCCUUUCACUAUAAUCUGAUCCUACCAUAUUCAUAGCCUCAAAACACAGCAAAAAUUAAAAGUAAAAAAGCUAUGAUUCCCAUUCGGCCACCUUCCCAUUAUUCACCAUUGACAAUCCACCCUCAAACACGUAAACUUCACUACUCUUGAACCUUCAACAAAAAAACCAAAAUUAAACUCGUCAUCGAGACCACCACUUUUAGCUACACCAACCACUAUCACCCUUAGCCAUCCCCCAACCCGAGAUAAACACCAUCAACCAUCCACCACCAUUUAACCUCUACUCAACACCCACCUCAAUUUCAAUCACUACCUGAAAGUUUUAACCAAAUACCCAUACUACCAUCAAUACGCAAAACCCAAAAAAAAAAAAAAACAAGAAAAAAUUAACCUCAUUUCCCAAAAAGGUAAGCCAUAGAAGAAACCAAAGAUACAAAAAAAAUUUUAGGGUGGAGGUUUUGGUUUUCUUGAGAUUAAUUAGGCUUUGGAGUUUUUUUUUUUUAAAAAAAAUUGGUUUGGAUUUGUAAAGAAAAAAAGGGAAACAAGGAAAGAUAAAAGGGGAGGCCAUCAACACCAUUAGAAAUAGCGGCGACUUAAAGAGAAUGACGAUGGCGACGAGCCUUCUGAGCAAUUUGAAACCAUGGUUUGGAAAGUCAUGGAAUUGAUAAAAACAUACUUUGGUUUUGGCUGGUUUAGGUGACAGCAAAGGUGUUUUCCAACCAUAAAAAGUUUUGACCUUCACACUCAGAUCGAGGAAAAUCUAGGGUGUUUUUGAAAAAUAUAUUUGGAGAUUUGAGAAGAAAAGGCCAAGAAAAAGCCAUGGUGAAAAUCCGGGAUUCAAAUGAUGCUGGCCAGCAUCGACAAUCGAUGAUGAUGGUGACAGUAAUGAUGGGCUAAUGCUAGAAACUGGGCAUGGCUAAAGGAAGCAUUUGGCUUGUGAUUUGUUUUUGAUGGAGAGAAAUUUUUUUUUAAACAAAGAAGGAAAAUGAAUUACAAAAAAAGAAUGAGUUUUUAUACUGAGUUUAAAAAAAAAAAAAAAAGACAAGCUAUUGGGUUAAACCCGAACCACGUAAAGUCAGACUUGAAACUCGUUGCCUGACCUGCUUUAAAUUUGACCCAAUUGACCUACUCAUCUAGUGGCCUACGCACAACUCAAGCUUUAUUUGGAUCUGAUCCAUACCUAUUAGACCCAUCACCGAAUAAGGCCAUAAACAAAGCCUAAGCCUCAACCCACUUACUUUGGACUCUUCCAUUAAAUUAGGUUUUGACCCAACUUAUGGUAAUUUAUUUUAAACUAAUUUAGUUACUCGUUGAUUUUUGUAUGCAUAUUUUAAUAGAUAUAUAUUUAAUUAUUUUAAAUCAUUGAUAAUAAAAAAUAAAAUUAGUAUUAUUAUCAUUUUUAAAAUAUAUUAAAUGACUAAGGUUAUAAUUUUAAUUUAACUUUGUGAAAUUAUAUUUAUAUAUGUAACGAAAUUAAAAUUAAAUAAAAGUCUUCGAAUAAUGAGAUUUCAAAAAGUCUGAGUAGUAAUUCUUGAUAAUUUCUUAAGUGAGAAGUUUUUAGAAAUUAUUAAAAUAAUGAAAUUUUUAGAAACUCUUUUCAAUACAAGAAUAUUUUUUCUUUUAAUUUAAAUAAUUUUCUUGUAAAAAUAUAAGAAUAUUUAUUAAAAAAAAAAAACGCAUCUUUUAGGAAAUAGAUUUAUUUAUGGAUAAUUAUAUUGUUGCAUAACUUUUCAAAUGAAAUAUUAAUAAUUAAUGAAGAUUUUUCCUAUGAUGAGAUACUAAAUAAGUUCAAGUAAUGAUUCUUCAGAAAUUUUUAGGUAAGAAAUUUAUCUAAAAUAUUACCAAUGUAUUGGAGUAUUUAGAAUAAUUUUUUAUAAAAAAUUUUUGUUUUUAAAAUAAAUAGAAUAAGAAAUAAAUUUUUUAGAAAAUAUUAUUUGGAUUAAAUUAUAGACAUCAUAUUUUAUUAUAUGCUUAGUAAAUAUAAAUAUUAUGAACCAUCAAGGAUGAGAUACUUGAAAAGUCUGAGUAGUGAGUUUUAAGAAAUCCUUAAGUGAGAAAAUUUCUCUUAACAUUGUCAGAGCAUUGGAAUAUUUUUAGAGAUUUUUCAAUAUACAAGGUUCUUAAUUUUUUAGCAAACAACUAAAAAUAAAAAUAUGUUUUUUUAUUACAAUAAAGAAAAUAAAGAAAAUUAAUUUUAAAUACCAAAAUUAAGAUAUUUUUAUUAAAAUUAAAGGAUAAUACAUAAUUAAUUAGUAUUGUUUUUUAUGGGCGCUAUGGGAGUACUAAUCCUUCCUCAUGAGUAAUUGACUUCCAAACUUAAAUUGUUUUCGCAAACCCAAAAAUUAGCAUUUUAAUAAAUUUUAAUUAAUUUUGAGAUUUUAUUAAAAAUGUAAGUUUUAAUAAGUAGCUAAUCACACCAAACUAAAAAAAAUUGAUAGUCACCUAACUGUUACCAUAAUCAUGAAAGGCAACAACCACAUGGCACCUUCUUUACAAAAAGUGGGAUGCAUGCAAAUAGAAACAUAAAUGAGUAGCGCUUCGAUUAACCAUUCGUGAAUAUAUCCGAUUUUUACUCGUUUAUAUUCAUUUAUUAAGUUUAACAAAUGAUCUUAAAUAGCAUUUUUAUAUUCAUUUAUUAAACCAACAAAACACAAAUAAAGAUCUAUUUAGUUCAUUUAUAUUCGUAAAUAAAUUCAUUUAAAAUUCAUUUAAAACUCAUUUCUUUUUAUUUGUUUAUUGUCCAUUUGUUGUUUGCUUAUAAUAACAAUAACAACAACAACAACAACAACAAUAAUAAUAAUAAUAAUAAUAAUAAUUUUACAUUUUUAUCUUUUAGCCUAAUCAUAUUUUAAGAUUUGUUUAGGUUUAUUUGUUUAAACUUAUUUGAUCAUGAUUUGUUUAUUUCUCAUGAACAUAUUCAUUUAUAUAUGUUCAUAAACAUAUUUGUUUAAUAGUCACGAACAAAUUCAUUUAAUUUAAUUAAACUGAAUACAAAUGAGAUAAUAUAUUUUAUAGUUUUCUAAAUUUACAACUUUCGGUUUUAACAUAUUUUUUUCAAUAUGUAAUGUAUAUAUAAUAUUGUAUUUAUAUAAUCAAAGUUGAAAUAUGACCCAUUGAAAAUUUUUUCUAGUUAUGCCGCUACAUGUAAGGGUAUAAACGAAUAGAAUAUGAAUGAACGAAUGUAUGUAUAUGGUUUGUUCAUUUAUUCCAAUUAGCAAAUCAAAUUAACAAUCAAUAAUCAAUCAAUAUGUUCUUUUAGAUAAAACCAACAUUUGAUGAAACUUGAACCUAAAGAUUCAAAGGUUUGAAGGCUUCCUCUUAUUGUUAAGAUAAGAUUUCAUUAACAAAUAAAUAAUAUUUUCAAUUAAGUAUAAGUUAAAAAAUUAUAUGUACAUUAGAUUAUUCUGCAGAUCUUAUGUACACACUACAAGAAAUUUGACAUAUAAUGAUGCUAAAAAAAGUAUUGAUAAAACUUCAAAAUCCGUCAAUAUAACACCACAAACCUUAUAUCGACGGUCAAAAUAUAUAUUCUAAUGAAUUUUUAAUCUUUAGUAUAUCCUUUAUCUGUAUAGACUUAUAUUGACAAUUUUUAAGAUAUCGAAAUAGCUUACAGAAAUGUGCAUAUGGUUUAAAACAGUCAAUAAAUGUAUAUUUAUUGGUAUAGCAUCUGUUGUAUGUUAAACCAUUAUAACUUUUAUCGACGGUUAACACCCUUCAGUAGAGACUUGUAUGUUUUAAUUUUUCUUACAUAUACCAGUAGUUAAUGCUCAUCAGUAUAGACUGUCAGUAUAGCCUGAAAUAUUUCAAUAGUAAAACAUGUUGAUAUAAAUUUUAAGGCAUCGAUAAAAUUUUUUUUUUGAAUUAUAUUUUCAAUUAUUAACAUUAAUUUAUUUAUAAUCAUAAUAUGAUAUGGUUUCAUAUAAAGUAAAAAUAAACAAAAAAGUAAAAAUAUUUAAUAACAUUUGAAAUAAAACAAUAACCAAAUUGUUUUAUAAUUCACAAAUUUAAAAUAAGUCAAGAACUAACAUCAUUAUACCAAAUCUAGUAAAAAAAAGAACACUAAUAUCUAUGAUUGAAUGUCUACAAACAUAGUGCUCGAAAUUUGCAUCAAAGAAUCCUCAUCGUGCUAUUACUAAUAGCUGAACCUCAAAUCCUUUAUAUAUAUUAUGAACAAUGUUUUGAAGAUUGUUCACAUCAGAUGCAUAUUGAUCCGCUGCAACUCUUGUUCCAAUGCCGAAGCCAUACAAUUCAUUUCUUGAUAAGCUAGAUUGUUAUUUAAGAAAUUCCUAUAAAAAUGAAAUAAGCAUUAAAAUUUCAAAAAGAAAGAUUUUUUUUCUAUGAUGUUUUUAUCCGAGAGGUCUAAGGAUAAGUUGCUUGCUAGAUUAAGAAAAGAACAUGUUUCAAUGUCACAUUUAUUAAGAGGCUACCAAUCCACAAUAGAACAGAUGAAGUUUUCAUUUGUUUUUCCUAUUAAAACUAUUUUAUUAACAAAAACAAUGUCGCUAAUAACAUUUUCAAGCCUUCUUUUACUUUUCGAUGUGAGAAAGACUAAGCCUUAAUUCAUUUAAUACAGCCAACAAUACAAAAAAAAGGCAUGUUCGAUGACAUAAACUUGAAAUGUAGAAAAUGAAAAAUACCUUUGAGAAAUGACAAGAGCCUUGAUGCUUCAACUUUGAUUCAGCUCUAAAAUAAAAUCGGUUUCGAUGGGUUUAAGUUUGUAGAGUGACAAGUGGAGAGAGUUGGUGGAAAGUGGAGAUUAAAUAUGUAGAGUCGAUGGGAAGUGAAGGUAAAUAAAAUGAUUUAAAUUCAUAAGCCCAUCAUUUUUUUUUUUUGGAUUAUUCAAAGCAUUUCUAGUAAAAAACAUCUUGAAUAAUCUGUUAACAAAAACAUUUGAGUAACUCAGUCGGUUAAAGUAUACGGCUAUUAACUAUAAGGUCAUAGGUGUAAUCCCUCCCUCUAGCAUUUUGAUGAUUUUUCAACCUUAUGGUUAAUAGCUGUAUGCUCUAACCAACUAAGUUACUCUAGUGUUUUUGUUAAUGGAUUAUUUAAGGCGUUAGGCAUUUUUGACCAAAAAUAUUUUGAAUAAUCCAUUUUAAUUUUUUGUAACGAAUUAUUCAAGCUAAAAAAGCCUUCAAUAAUCAUUUGAAAAACUCUUAAAAUGUUAGAAGAAAAGAUCGAACCUACGAUCUUAUGGUUAAUAGCUAUAUAUUCUAACCGACUAAGCUACUCUAGUAUUUUGUUAACAAAUUAUUCAAGGUGUUUUUGACAAAAAAUGCCUUGAAUAAUUUUCUUAUAAAAAUUGAAGGGGAUUAUUCAAGGCAUUUUUAACUAAAAAUGUCUUAAAUAAUCUUAUUCAAUUUUUGUAAGAGAUUAUUCAUAACAUUUCAAGCCAAAAAAGCCUACAAUAAUUCCUUAAAAAAUCCUCAAAACGCUAUAAGGAAUGAUUGAACCUACGACCUUAUGGUUAAUACCCAUAUACUCUAACCAAUUAAACUACUCAAGUGUUUUUGUUAAUAGAUUAUUCAAUUUUUUGUAAAGGAUUAUUCAAGAUGUUUCUAACCAAAAACGCUUUUAAUAAUCCUUUGUAAAAUUUUUUGUAUGGAUUAUUGAAAAUGUUUUUUUAUCAAAAACGCUUUCAAUAAUCCCUUUCUAAAAUUUUUUAAAUGGGUUAUUAAAGGCAUUUUUUACCAAAAAUGACUUUAAUAAUCUCAUUCAAUUUUUUGUAAGCUAAUAGUUUUUUUUAGCCUAUACUGACAGUUAUUUACGAUUACUUUAAUAAUCAUCAAUAUAUAACAUAUUUAUAUUGACGAAUAGUCAUAUACCAUCAAAAAAAAUUUAUUUAUACCGACGGUUAAAUAAAAUAUUGAUAUAAGUAUGGUAUAUUUUAACGGUAUUAAAAAUUCAUCAGUAAAAGUCUCUUUUACUAACGAAAAUUAAUCGUCAGUAAAUAAUCCAUACAAAAAAAUUUUUGUAUAGAUUAUUGAAGUUUUUUUUAGUCGAAAAUGCCUUCAAUAAUCCAUCUCUAAAAUUUUUUGAAUGGAUUAUUGAAGGCGUUUUCGAUCAAAAAUGCCUUCAAUAGUCUCAUUCAAUUUUUUGCAAGCUAAUAAUUUUUUUUUUUUUGUUUUGAGCCUAUACUGACAGUUAUGUUAAUAACAGUUAGUAUAUAAUAUAUCUAUACUGACAGAUAAUCACAUACUGUUAUAAAAAGUUUAUUUAUACCAACGGUUAAACAAAAUAUUUGUAUAAGUAUGGUAUAAGUAUGGUAUUCUAAUAGUAUUAAAAAUUCAUCCAUAAAAGUCUCUUUUACUAACAGAAUUUGAUCAUUAAUAUAACCAAACAUCAAUAUACAAAAAAUUUUUUUAUAAUAAUAGCGAGAGCUUUAUGUAUCAAUAUACCUUUUUUAUAAUAUAUUUGAAAAUAUGACAUAUUUCACAUUUUAAUCAUAUGUUCUUAUUAAUAAUCAAUUUGUAUCAAAUAAAAAAAAUUAUAAUCACAUAUAUAAUAUAACAUAAAUACAAGAGUUUUUAACCUUUUCUCUUCUUUUAGAUUUUUAUUAAAAUGUUGUUCAAUAUUAGUAAAUUAUACAAAAAUUUAUUAAAACACUCGUAGUAAAUUAAAAUUUUAAAAAUUUGAGUCGAUCAAUUCACCCAUAUUUUAUAUGUGGCUAUGCCACUGGAUGCAUGGUUUCUAUUGGAUAAGAAAGCCUAGUGAAUUUCAUAAAGUCAGUGGAGAAACUAUAUGGUUGUUAUAAUCCCACAUAAAAAAAUAUAUAUACUAUAUGGUAUAAACCACCAAGAAUAUGCUCAACUAUAAUUCAUUAAAAAUAAAACUAAUCAUAAAUCUUAGAAUUUAAUUCAAUUAAUUAGUUCAUGCAAUUAUUUUUAAAAGUAGUAUUUAGCAUUUAGCAUAUUUGAUUUUUGAAUCUCAACAUUUAUAAUCCCUUUUUUUUAUUUUCAAACUCUAAUCUUCUUUAUAAAAACUUAAAAAAAAAAAAAAAAAAAACCCUUAUCAUAAGGCUCAAAAUGGAAAUUCAAACCCCUAACUUUCCCUUUAUAUAAAUUCCAUGCUCCAACUACCUUCAAGAAGAAUUACCCAUCUGAACCUCACAACUCACCCAGCCAAACCAUGUCCAUUUUCAUAUCCACUCAACUUCUUCAAGGUUUGCUUGGAGAAUUCCACUCUAGAAGGUUGCUGCUGCAUACCCCAUCUUUUCCAACCCUAACUACAGCAGCUUCUACAAACCCUGAAAACAACCUCAAUUCUUCAGAUCCUUACACUGGUAAUAGCGGCUUCGAUACAAACAUUGUUAUGGUUCUGUCGGUCCUCUUGUGUGCCCUAAUUUGCUCACUAGCACUGAAUUUCAUUAUUAGGUGUACAUUAAGGUGCUCAAGUUUGGUAGCCUCAGAAUCCCUCGCCAGCAGCUCAGCUCGGUUAGCAAACACAGGGGUCAAGCGAAAAGCCUUAAAGACCUUUCCAACAGUAAACUACUCUGUUGACUUGAAGCUGCCUGGCUUAGACUCCGAGUGUGUAAUAUGUCUAUCAGAUUUCACACCUGGUGACCGCGUGCGGCUUCUACCAAAGUGCAACCAUGGAUUCCAUGUUCGUUGCAUCGAUAAGUGGCUGAGCUGCCACUCGUCUUGCCCUAAAUGCAGGCACUGCCUCAUCGAGACAUGCCAAAAGAUUGUUGGCGGCAGUAGGCAGGCUAGGUCAUCAGAACCUCCUCCAGUGCAGGAAACCAUUGUGACCAUAGCACCGGUAGAUCCUGAAGGUUUGAUACAUAGCUAUAGGUAGUCAAAGCUAGAAUUCAGCUCUGUACCUUGAAAAUUAGCAUCAGAAAGGUCAGCAGCCAGAACACCAUACAAAACCAAGUGUAAAGUUAAAGUUGUAAAUUUGUGCACGGUUUGAAAUUUGUUACUACUUGUUUUUAUCUUUUUUCCUUAGCCUUCUUAUGAAAAACACUUCACAACUUAAAACAGAACAUAAUGAAAAUUUUCAGACGAAAGGGCGAGCAACAUAGUUUAGAUUAAUUUCUUUUAAAAUAGUAAUUAGUAGCAUGAACAAAGGACGAAGCAAGUCAAAGAUUUGUGGUAGCUGACUAUACCUUACCGAAAAUGAAAAUCACUUAAACCAGCAAGUCCUGAAGAGGCACAACCAAUCAGCUUAAUUAAACAAAUUUCUUAAUUUUUAAUAUGAAAAUUAAAGAAAUGGCCUCAUUUUAAUAAGAAUGGUUUUCAAACCAGGUUCAAAUAUAUUAGUAGUAGUAAAUCAUAAAGAGCAGGACCAUCACACAGCAUUCUCAUAAGAAAAUAUGAAUGAAAAUUCAUUCAUAUAAUUAUUUUAAGUAGUGACAUUUAUCAGAUUUAGGAUUUAAAUCCCACUGUCUGCUACAUUUUUUCUUAUCUCACUCUAUAACCCCCUUUAUAUGUAUAUAUAUAUAUAAAAAAAAAAAAAAAAAAGGAAUUGGUGUGUUAACAUCUUUUUAAAAACCAACAUUCAAUUCUCCUCAAAGCUCUUAGUUAAGAAUAUUGUUACUUUGUCUGAAAGUUAUGUGAAUGUUCACAAAUAACAUAAAUACAAUAAGUAACAAACACGUCACGGAAAAAUAUUAGAUUCCUAAUUGUACUUAUCAGAAUUUAUUAUAAUCUUAAAUAUAAAAAAACUCAUGAACAUUUAUUUUCUGUGAGUUGUAUUAAUUAAAGAGAAUAUCAAAGUGUCUGAUGGUUUGGACUACUCGCAAAAAAUAAAUGUUCAUAAAUGUAUUAAUUUAUUUUGUUUACGUUAUUUGUGAUGAUUUGCCGACUUAUGACAAUCAAGCACGUCAACCUAGAAUAUAAUAGUACCAAAGAAAAUUAUUGAGAUAACGCCAUCUCAAUCAAAUCCCACAAAAUUCGAUUCUAAACAUAUAAAGGAAAUUUGACUUAUUUCAAAUACCAUGCAGAGAGGAUGAACACUUUCCCAUGGAGACCCAGAUGUAACCUACCUUGACAAGAAAGAAACCAUAUUUAAAACACAAUAUCUUGAACCAAUGAUGGAGCAGAAAAUCAAUGGAAGCUGAAGGUGAAUCCACUAAUAUACUUUCAAAUCAGAAUAAUUUUUACCAAAAGGUGCAAUUUGUUUCUUAGUACUCACAUGAACCAUUUCGUAGAGGGAGCUGACUAAUAACCACACUAUCCCGGCCACCAGAAUUUGAUUUGUCGAGGCUUAUUGGCAUGAAUUAUAGUUUGAGAAGGUGGGCAAUUGAUGGCAAAGUAGAGCAUUAGCAUUGAAGGUUCUUACGACUGCAAUGCUGUGAGUGAUAAAUCGAUAUUUCCAGAUUCCAAUACCUCUAGAACUGGGCUCAAUAAAGAACACUCCAGCAUAAGAGGAGAUCCUAAUAAAUUAGGGAAACCAAUUGUUGCUAAUCACACAGUGGACCCUGGCUACCAAGAAAAUUGGUGCGUCAUGACAACCAAAGCUCAUAGCAAUCCGGGGUGGAGCUAUACGGGGCUUGGUGGCCUAAAACAAUUUUGAAAUUGUGUGUGUGUUUUAGAUAAAAUUUAAAAAGUCAUCAUUUUUCUAAUUUAUUUAUUGUUGAGACUAGCUUUGAUUCUAUCAAUUAUCAUUAUUACAAUAAAAAAAUAUAUAAAUUUUCAAGGAUAAACGUUUUGAAAUUUUGUAUACUUACUAAUUUAUUUGUUGUUGAAAUUCUGUGUUUUACAUAAAAUUUAAAAAGUUUUAAAAGUUUUCAUUUUCUAAUUUAUUUGUUGUUGAAACAAGCUUUGAUUCUAUCAGUUAUCAUUAUUACAGUAAAAAAGUAUAAAUUUUCAAUGAUAAACAUUUUGAAAAUUUGUUUACUUACUAAUUUAUUUGUUGUUGAUGCUGGCAUUGGUUCUACCAGUUAUCAUUUUCAAUGAUAUACAUUUUGAAACUUGUUUACAUUCUAAUUCAUUUGUGGUUGAAAUUAGCAUAGGUUCCAUCUUAGAAAGCAUUUUCAACAAUAAACAUAUUGAAGAUUCGUUUCUGUAACCGAAUGAAAAAUCACUAAUCGAAUGAUAACUUAGUUUGUAUAUUAUUAGUAAUAAAGUUAUUAUUUAAUGUUUUUAAAAUAUUAAAUUGCCUAAAGAAUAAUAAUAAAUUUUUUAAAAAAGUUUAAUGUUUAUUAUUAUUAUUGUAUAAUUUAAUUUAUUUAAACUAAAUCUCACAAAAUCAAACUUUUAGCUCCCACUUCAUCAGAAAAAAAAAAAAAAGAAAAGAAAGGGACAGUUGUAUGUACUAAUUAUCAUGUUGAACAUCAUCUCAACUGAAAAAGAAAUAUUCGGUAUCAAACUGAUUGAAAGAAAAAAAGGAAGAAGAUAUCCACAUAUCCGCACGGCACCAUGCCUUGUCGGACAACCAUUAGACAGGCACAUUGCAUUUCUCAGAUUUUUCCAAAUUUUGAAAGAUGGGUUAUUUGGACUCUUCCCAGGACUGCUCUGAUGCAUAUUGGACAGCCCAUGAACAGUAGAGUGACACGUCUACUUGUUCCGUUCUUUAUUUCUAACAGUUCUAACAGAAAGAAUAAGAUUACGUAAAAAAUUAUUUUUAAAAAUAAUUUUUGAAAAUUAUUUAUAUUUUUUUAUUUGAAAAAAAAAUUAUUUGGAUGGGUUAAUAAAAAAUAUUUUUUGUUGUUUGAUUUUUUGAAAAAAUUUAAUUUUUUUCAAAUAAUAUUAAUAUAACUAUUAAAAUAUUAAAAUUAUUUAUUAUUAAAAUAUAUUAAAAUUAUUUAUUAUUAAAAUUAUUAAUAUUAAAAAAUAAUUAUAUUUAAUAAUAAUAUUUAAUAUUAAAAUAUUAUGUUAAUAUAAAAAAUACUUAAAAUAAAGUUAUUUUUUAUUCUUUAUAUUAUUUAUUAAUAUAUUAAUAUAUUAUUUAUUAAUAUACUAUUAUAAUAUUUAUUAAAUUAAUUAAUAAUAUUGAUUACUAUAUUAUUUAUUAAAAUAUAAUUUUAUUAAUAUAAUAUAUAAUUUUAUUAAUAUAAUAUUAUUUAUUUAUAUAAUAUUAUUUAUAAGUAAUAUUAUGAUCAUUGGUAAAUAAUUUACUUAUAAACAAUUUUUUUCGAAAAGUAAAAAGUCAAAUUAUACUAAAAAAUCGGAGUUUGAGUAAUGAAGGGGGUAUGGAUGAAAGAAGAAUUAAAGGGUGAUUCGACUUUGAAGUUAAACGACAGUGUUUCAGGUGAGAUAAGCAUAUAUUUGUUAUUUUUUUUAGCAUUUUCUGGUAAUUUUAAGGGAGGAUUGCAGGGGAAGGGUAAAGGGGCGAAGUGAAGGAAGUAGAGGGUGAGAAGAAGGAGAAGGAGAAGAAGAAGAAGCAGAGGAAGAAAGGGAGAAACAAAUUUUUUUCUUUUUCUUGGGAGGAAAAAGAAAGUAUACAAGGAAAGAGAGAUUUUGAUGAGAUUUUCUUGGGAUUCUUUUAAAAAAGGAGGGGGGUGGUGGUGGGGUUUGGAACUUAUUAGAUUGACAUUUUUUGAAAAGCCAUGAUGUCAUGAGAAAAGAGGGUGACCCAUACGUCCAUUUCGAGUACUAUUUGGAUGGCUAAAAAAUAAGAAGCUUUUGAUCAAAAUAAAUAUCAUGAAAAGUAAAUGAAUUUAUUUGUUUAAAUUCGUAUUAUAAAUAAAAGGAGGAAAAACUCAAGUGUUGAUGUGUUUAGUUCAUUCAUUCAGCAUUUUUGCUUUUAAUUUGAGUAAUCUUUUUAUUUAUCUUUUUGUUUUUAAAUUUGAAAAAAAAUUCUUGUUAAAUAAAUGAUUUUUUUUCUUGCAACGAAAUGUGGAUAAUACUUUUAGGUAAGGUUUGUUAUAUUUUAUAAAAUCAAUAUGAUAAUAUAACUACUAGUUUUAUUACCAAAAUAAUUUUAUCAUUUAUGAUUUAAAAUCAUUUUAUUUGAUUAAUAAUGAUUAAUUCUUAAAAAUUAAAGAUCAUGUUUGAUAUUAUUAAAAAUUAAAUAUUAUUUUAUUUAAAAGUAUAAAAAUAACUAUACAUAUUGUAAUAAUUACAUAAAUUAAUAAUUUUUUGGUUGUUUAAAAAUAAUAAUUUGUAAGAUAUUAGUAAUAUUUAUUUAUUUUAUAAUAAAAUAUAAUUAAAUUAAUAAAUAUAUUUAUUGAUAGGUAAUUUUAUUUUUAUAAUAUAAAUUAUGAAAAAAAUAUUUAAAAUAGAAAACAAAACUAAUCUAUCAAAUUCAUAAUAAAAAAGAAAAACUUAUAUUAUAUAAAUAUUAAAAAGUGAAAAAUAUAUAUACAAAUCAUUUUGAACUUGUUAUAUAAAUAUUAAUUUAAAAUUUUAAAUUUUAUAAUAUAAAAUAAUUACAAUUUUAAGAUAUAACAAGAUUUUUAUUUAUAUAUUAAAUUAGUAUAAUUGAUUAUUGUUAAUUUUAUACAUCAUUUUAUUUUAAUGAUAAAAAUUUUUUAUCUUCUUGAUUGGAAAGUAAAUCACCUUCUAAAUUAAUGAUCUAAUCAUUUUUUAUGAUCUAAAAUUACCAUCAUUAUAUAAAAUUAUCAAGUAUUUAUCAAACAUAUUAAUCUAAUUAUUAUAUGUGAAUUAUCAUAAUUUUUAAAAUAAUCAUUCUAUACCAAACUCUGUCUUAAUAUUUGAUUAAACAAAACCCAUCGACUUAAAUUUAGAAUGACAACAAACAAAGCUUUUGGUUUUACAAUGAUUGCCUUUGUACUUAUCCUUUUUAUUUAUCUAUCUAUUUAUAUAUUCAUAUUUUAGUGGAUCAUUUUAGAGAUAUCAAUGAGACGGAUAAACCAUUCCUCAUAUCCAUCAUCGAUUAUAUAAUUUUGUUCUCAUCUCCAAAAUUUUAAUAUACCCUCUUUCCAUUCCCAUCAAUGUGUACGGGGAUCUAACGAAUAUGAGAAAUCCUUGUACUCAUGUUCUUUAAAGAAAAAAAAAACCUAUGAAACCAAAUACAAUACAUGCAUUAAUACAAAUACAAAUUUAAAUAACAAAAAAUCACUUAAAAGCUAAUUAAUCUAAAAUAAAAUUAUAUUAUUAAAUUAAAAAUUUAUUUACUAUAUAAAUAUAUUAGAUAAGAAAUGUGAAAUUAUCUGUCUUUAUUCUCUUAUCUAACAGUUAUUUUAAAAUCAUGUUUAUUUCUAAAAUUUAAUACUCAUACUUAUCUUUAUUUGAAUAAAAAAAAUUAAAUUCUCUAUGAAAUUUAGAUAAAAUUAAUAUUUCUAGAUAAAAUCUCUAUGAAAUGAUAACUUAGUUGUGUAUAUUAAUGUUAACAAAGUUAUUGUUUAAUAUUUUUAAAAUAUUAAAUUGCCUAAAGCAUAAUGAUAAAUUUUUUCAAAAAAAUUUAAUGUUUAUUAGUAUUAUUAUUAUUGUUAUUAUUAUAUAAUUUAAUUUAUUUAAACUAAAUCUCACAAAAUCAAAUUUUUAGCUCCCACUUCAUCAGAAAAAAAAAAAAAAAGGGACAGUUGUAUUUUCUAAUUAUCAUGUUGAACAUUAUCCCAACUGAAAAAGAAAUAUUCGGUAUCAAACUGAUUGAAAGAAAAAGAAAAGCAAGACGACAUCCACAUAUCCGCACGGCACCAUGCCCUGUCGGACAACCAUUAGACAGGCACAUUGCAUUUCUCAGAUUUAUCCAAAUUUUGAAAGAUGGGUUAUUUGGACUCUUUCCAGGACUGCUCUGAUGCAUAUUGGACAGCCCAUGAACACUAGAGUGACACGUCUACCUGUUCCCUUCUUUAUUUCUAACAGUUCUAACAGAAAGAAUAAGAUUACGUAAAAAAUUAUUUUUAAAAAUUAUUUUUGAAAAUUAUUUAUAUUUUUUUAUUUGAAAAAAAAAAUUUAUUUGGAUGGAUUAAUAAAAAAAUUGUUUGUUGUUUGAUUUUUUUAAAAAAAUUUAAUUUUUUUCAAAUAAUAUUAAUAUAACUAUUAAAAUAUUAAAAAUUAUUUAUUAUUAAAAUUAUUAAUAUUAAAAAUAAUUAUAUUUUAAUAAUAAUAUUUAAUAUUAAAAUAUUAUGUUAAUAUAAAAAAAUACUUAAAAUGAAGUUAUUUAUUAUUCUUUAUAUUAUUUAUUAAUAUAAUAUUAUAAUAUUCAAUUAAUUAAUAAUAUUUAUUAUUAUAUUAUUUAUUAAUAUAUGAUUUUAUUAAUAUAAUAUAAUAUUAUUUAUAUAAUAUUAUUUAUAAGUAAAUUAUGCUAAAAAAUAUUGAUAAAUAAUUUACUUAUAAACAAUUCUUUUCGAAAAGUAAAAAGUCAAAUUAUACUAAAAAAUCGGAGUUUGAGUAAUGAAGGGGGUAUGGAUGAAAGAAGAGUAAAAGGGUGAUUCGACUUUGAAGUUAAACGACAGUGUUUCAGGUGAGAUAAGCAUAUAUUUUUUAUUUCUUUUAGCAUUUUCUGGUAAUUUUAAGGGAGGAUUGCAGGGGAAGGGUAAAGGGAGGAAGAGAAGGAAGUAGAGGGUGAGAAGAAGAGAAGGAGGAGAAGAAGAAGAAGCAGAGGAAGAAAGGGAGAAACAAAUUUUUUUCUUUUUCUUGGAAGGAAAAAGAAAGUAUACAAGGAAAGAGAGAUUUUGAUGAGAUUUUCUUGGGAUUGUUCAGAAAGAUUUAAAAAAGGAGGGGGGUGGUGGGGUUUGGAACUUAUUAGAUUGAUAUUUUAUUGUUAAUUUUAUACAUUAUUUUAUUUUAAUGAUAAAAUUUUUUUAUCUUUUUGAUUGGAAAGUAAAUCAUCUUCUAAAUUUUUGAUUUAAUCACUUUUUAUGAUUUAAAAUUAUCAUCAUUAUAUAAAAUUAUCAAAUAUUUAUCAAACAUAAUAAUCUAAUUAUUAUAUGUGAAUUAUCAUAAUUUUUAAUUAUCGUAAUUUUUAAAAUAAUCAUCUUAUACCAAUCUCUGUCUUAAUAUUUGUUUAAACAAAACCCAUCUACUUAAAUUUAAAAUGACAACAAACAAAGCUUUUGGUUUUACAAUGAUUUCCUUUGUACUUAUCCUUUUUAUUUAUCUAUCUAUUUAUAUAUUCAUAUUUUAGUGGACCAUUUUAGAGAUAUCAAUGAGACGGAUAAAGCAUUCCUCAUAUCCAUCAUCGAUUAUAUAAUUUUUUUCUCAUGUCCAAAUUUUUAAUAUACCCUCGUUCCAUUCCCAUCAAUGUGUACGGGGAUCUAACGAAUAUGAGAAAUCCUUAAACUCAUGUUCUUUUUAAAAAAAAAAAAAAAACCUACUAAACCAAAUACAAUACAUGCAUUAAUACUAAUACAAAUACAAAUCUAAAUAACAAAAAAUCACUUAAAAGCUAAUUAAUCUAAAAUAAAAUUAUAUUAUUAAAUAAAAAAAUUUAUUUACUAUAUAAAUAUAUUAGAUAAAAAUGUGAAAUUGUCCGUCUCUAUUCUCUUAUCUAAUAGUUAUUUUAAAAUCAUGUUUAUCUUCAAAAUUUAAUACCCAUACUUAUCUUUAUUUGAAUAAAAAAAAUUAAAUUCUCUAUAAAAUUUAGAUAAAAUUAACAUUUCUAGACCACCUGCGUUAUUUUCACUACCUUUGAAAGUUUGAUCUUGCCAUUGGAUUGGGUGAUAAUAUGAUAUUGUGGAUUUAUUGUAGAUAGAUAAUAUGACCCUGCUUAAUGGUUUGAAUUUAUAUGAAUGGUUUUUUUUUUUUUUUUUAUAGAUAGAUUCUGAGCAUAAUUUGCCAAGUUUAACUUAAUCUAAUGUUUCAUUUCCAUAGUUUCUAUAGGUUUUUUUCAAAAGUGAAUAAUGACACUUUUUUUGGUUUUCCACAAAAAUAAUAUACUUUAUUUUCAUAAAAAUCUAAUACUACCGUGUAAUUUGCUCUAGCCCCUAAUCUAAUUGCUCAAAUCAUUUUUGAAUCUGGUUUGUACGCUGAAAGCCUGGAGAGCGAAGGCCCAUGUGUAAGAAAAAGGCCUUUUCUUAAACCCUUCGAAAACCAAGGCCCCUGCCGCUGCCCUCCAUUUUUGUUUGAGAAGGGGGAGAAUGGCGGGGCCGGCUUUGGGUGAGAGAUGAAAGAGAAAUUGAUCACUACACUGCAAGCGGCCUCAAACACGUAGAUGAAAAGAGAAAAAAAAAAAUUUCAGAGGGGACUCUGAUGUCCGAGUUUCUCAAUUGAUUAUUGUUUUCAAUCUGAAUUUCGAAGCCUGGUCGUGUUUCUUCUUCGCUUUCUCUCCAUCAGCAUGGCCUUCCCUUAAUUCCUCCUCCCUGUGCCUUGUGAUGUUUGCUUUCUUCACGGCUUUAAAAUUUCAUUAAUUAUAAUAAAAUAUUUAAUAUAAUAUUAAAUUUUAAAAAAAUUUAAUAAAUAUCUAAAUUAAAUAUAUAUCAACUAAAAUAAUAUUUAAAAAAUUAUUUUUCGUCAUCAUUUAAAAUUAAUGUCACUCUGUAUUACAUUAAUUACAUAUUUAUAAUUUAUCUAUUAUAAUUAUAAAAUUUAAAUAUUAUAUUAAAUAUUUUUUAUAAUUUAAAGUCAUUCAUGACAUUAAAUUUUUUUAAAAAAAAUCUUUGUCUGACUUUACUUGUCAAGCAAACCCUUAAUAGCUGACUCGUAAUAUUAAUAAAUGUUUCCUUUCGUGUCAGUAGAUAUUAUAAGAUAUAUCUUACAAAAGUGAAUAAGCAUGUUUUAUCUACAUAGCUGUAGUAGGCCCCCACCAAGCUCAAUGUCUCGAUCCACUUUACCUAUAAUGGACUUCCGUCAGGUUCUUUCCAUACUUUUGCUAAAUGCAUACGAGGACGUAAGUGACUUCUGGGAGGUUAUGAUUUUCCAGUCUGAUCUUUUUUUGUCAGUAAGUGUUUCUGUUUUAGCAAAAGUAGUAAUUAAUUAUACAAAGGAAUGAAAACAUGUUAGAUUGCUCAUUAACAUUACUGACAAGCUUACUAUUCUUCCUUCCUAAUUGUAUCAUGCCAUAGAGGCAUUGACACAUCUAAAACAGAAUCAAGCAACCUCUAUCAAACCCUGCUUCAGCAUCUUUUAUCGAUUAAGUGAUGUUAGCUGGUGUUUUUAACCCAAUUUUCAGAAACACAUGGUUACAAGCACUUUGGUGACAAUGGAAGGCCAAGCUGUGCCCGGUCUGCUACCAAAUCAAGCCUCCGAACUCAUUGGAUUGGAGUUCUGGAUGUUAUACUUUACAUAGCAGCGGGUGUAAUCAACCUAAUGAAAAUUGUCUCAGAGUUUAAUAAUAGCAGGUAUGAACUCUCAGCAUGCAUUUGUUGUUCCGUUUUUGGUAAUUAAUUUAAAUCAUAUUCAUUGUUUCAAUUCUGAUAAUUUUGCUAUAUUAUUUGGUUCCAUGCCUCUUUUAUUAUUAGCCUUUCCAUCACAUAGGAAAAGGAAUUCACUGGAUAUGCAACUUGUCAUGGAGUACUAUUCACGUAUACAAUGAGGAUGCAUUGUCAAUAAAGCAUUCUCUCCUGCAUCUCUAAUAGCUAAUUUGGCUAGAUAUAUGAGUAAAACUGUCAGUUGCUUUGUUAAAAUUAACCAAAAAACUGGCACUGAAAGUUUAAGUGGUCAAUAAUCUUCAAAAUAACCCCAUGAUGAUGGUUUCUUUCAACUGGAAACUGAACCUACCAACAGCCACCAAUGAAUUUUCUCAACAAUCAUCCAGUUAUUGUACAAUCUGAUUUCAGUUGCUACAUUCCUUUCAGUAUGGUGUGAGCUUGUGUCUGUAAAGUGUUGUGCACUGCUCUUCAUUCCACCAAGAAACUAUUUGCAUCUGAUGUCGCUGUUUGGAAACUUGGUGCUGUACUUUCCGCCACUCCAUCACAAUUGACUUUACAAAAUCCCUCCAUUAUAAAAUUGCCAAAGAACCCUACCUUCACUCACAUUGCGUUCCAACCUCCAUAUUGCUUCCACAGAUUCACUCAUAAGUCAUACCGCCACCAACAAACUCUACCAACCUCAAUUGUAUUUUAUACUUACUUUCAUGUUGAGCCAUACUGCCAUAUUCCCAGAUGUCAUAGUCAGACCCCCACUUGGAGUAACUUAGCUUCUUCUAAUGAAAAGGUAGACGGAAAAGUCACGCCUUAGCCUCUCCUCCCGCCUCAACUGCAGUCAUACAAAAUGGUAAAAGUACUCCCAUUCCUUUCUAGCAAAACAGCAUGAUGCCACCCAUGGGAGGGAAUUAUUCAAGAUAGCUAAUUGGCCAAACAACAGAUCUCUUCUGGCUUCGGGGGUUCCGCAUGAACUUUGGACUAUAAGGAAAGCUAUUCAAAUCGGGCAGAACUAUGACCAUCUGGAUUAACAAAUUGUUUAUACGCUAAAAGUCUACUGUUGAUCAGAUUAUGAGAUCUCUCCAGCUUGAGCUUUCAGCUACCUACUAAUUCGUAAGGCUGUAUGCAACAUCAUGUAGUUUGGGUUCUCUAUUGCUUUUGCACCAAGGCAAAAGGAGUGAAAAAAAUAUUAUUUUAAUUGCGAUUCUAUUGGUGUCUCUUGUAUGUUCGUCUUCACAAUGUAUUGUAUAUCUGCAUCCAAAUGCCUAGGGCAGUAAGAGACCUUGAUAUUUGAUUUUAAAAGGGUCGAUUAAAAUUAUAUAUAUUUUAUUUAUUAUAUUACUUAAAAUUGAAAGUAAGUGUUAGAUAUGAAUAUAUAUAUCCAAUACGGAUAUGUUCAUUUUUUAAAAGUUUUUUAUAUAUUUGAACUAUCCGACUUACAUACUAACAUUUAAAAUAAAAAACGUAAUGUAUAUUAAAAUUUUAUUUUCAAAAUUUUGAAAUUUUAACAAAGAUUGUAAACAUUGUAAAAUGUUGCUACUCAUAAAAAUUUAAAAUAAAACGUAAAAUAUUUUUACUAAAUAUUAUUACAUAUAAAAUUUAAAAUAUAUUUACUUAAUAUUAUUACUUAUAAAAUUUAUUUUGAGGCUCCGCCCACUAUAGCAAAAUGACAUAUUAGCAACAGUUUUGUAACGGCAGUUUUGUAGCGGCCUUUCACUUACAAACGUCACUAACUUUCGUGUUUUUACAAAAUUUUAGGCGUUUAUUAUCCAAACGCUACUAAAUAUUCAAAUAGCGACAUUGUUAUUUAUAAACGCCACCCAAUACUUGAUAUUAUAGGCACUUUUCGACUAAAACGCCUUGAAUAUCUUUUAUUAAAAGUUUCAGUGAAUAGUUAAAAUGUAUUUUUAGCAUACAACACUUUCAAUAAUCACGUCAUAAAAAAUUGUAUGAGAUUAAUGAAGACGUUGUCUACAAGAAACGCCUUUAAUAUUUAGACUAAAAAUUUUUCCAGGCUCAUUAAAUUUAUUUUCUUCAAAAACUCAUCCAAUAUUAAGCUUAUCAAAUUAUUUGGAUCAUUCGGAUGUUUACCAUAAGAUUGUUGGUUCGAUCUAUCCUUUAGCCUUUUUUUGGGUUUAGGCACAGAUUAUUUGUUAGUGAUUAUUCUAGGUGUUUUCUUGGCAUAAAUGCCUUCACCAAUUGCUUUAAAAAAUUUAUCAUAGAAUAUUGAAGGCGUUUUUCGUAGAGAGACGCCUUUAAUAAUCGAUAGAAAAAAUAUGGGGUUGAUUAUUGAAGGCGUUUUUGAUCGAACUCGCAUUUUAUAAUCCAAUCAGUAAAUUUUUUUUUCGAAUUUUUAAAGGUGGUUUUGUAAUAAACGCCUUCAAUAUUUCAUAGACAAAACUUGGAUGGGAUAGUUGAAGGUAUUUUUGGCUCAAAACGCCUUUAAUAUUCCUAGAGAUAAUUUUUAAUGGUCGGAUUAUUGAAGGCAACUAUAUCCAAAAAUGCCUUCAUAAACAUUUUGUUUAGAUUAUUGAAGGCGUUACCCGUAAGAAAACGCCCUUGAUAAUCCAUUCAAUUAAUUUUUAGUUGGUAUUAUUGAAGGUGUUUUUUGUCCAAAAUGCCUUUAAUAUUUCAGACAAUAAUUUUCUAGGGGAAAUAUUGAAGAUGAUUUUAGUAAAAAAUGCCUUUAAUGUUUUCUGUAAGAGUGAAUGAAGGUGUUUUCUUGCUAAAAAUACCUUCAUUAAUCACAUCAAAAAAACAUAAUUGAUACUUUAUAUAUGAAGUCAGUUGUAAGUUUAUGCCCAGAAAAACGUUUGCUGUCAGUUGUAUAUUUAUGCCUAGAAAAUAUUUAGUUUAUAUAUCUGAUACUAUGAAUUACAUUUUAGAAUUUGCAUAAUGAACAUUGUUGUAUUUCAAAAAAUUUACUACACAUCUGAAAUUAAAACUGAUAACGUUGCUAUAUUAAUAAACUUUUCUGAAAUAAUCGUACUCAGUAAUUUAAUAAAUACACAUAGUGUAUUCAUAUUAAGUAUAACAAUAAUAUUAAAGCAAUACCACCAAUGUACAAACUUAAAGUUUCCAUUCAAUAUUGCAUGUUAAAAACAUUAUAACAAUUUGUUCCAUAUAUAUUUAUAAUCAACCAACAAUGUCUAACCUGAAAGUUUAUCAACAUUGACAAAUGACAAUACAUAAUCACAUCAUUCUUUACGGACUUCAUCCAGCUCCUCUUCCGUGAAGCUUUCUUUACUCUCCCACUAAAAAAAAUCAAAAGUAAAUGUUAAGAAAUUAUAACAUAAUGUACCAUUUUAUUUUUUUGAAUAUAUAAUGAGUUUAUGAAAUUUAUACUAACCUUGAAUGGUGUGGUCAUAAAAUCAUGUAACACUAUCUCCCGCAUAAAGCAAAAGACAUAAUAUUCACAUUCAGUAUUACCGGGUUGACGAGGUACCUUAAAAUUAAAUUGAGUCGAUUUAAAAAAUAGUUAUCUACACAAACUCAGCAUUAAAAUAAUAAAUUUGACAUUUACCGAUAAUGACACCAAUUUCGGUUUCUUUAUCUUCUUAUUGAAUGCAGAUAUUAUCUAAAAUUGAUAAGAAAAAAAUUAGUGGGAACAUAAAUAAAAUUUCUUAUGAAAAAAUAGAACAUAUAUAAUAUAAUAAAGUAUUGUAACACCUUUUUAUAAAAGUUUCAAUAUCGGGGUUAGGCAUCGUUGUUGGAUUAACUGAAUUAAAAAAAUAUGACGUUAAGGAUUUGGUGUUAAUCACAAUAAACACUCAAUGACGACUGCAAAAUAAUAACAAUGAUAUACUUAGAAUAAGCAUCAGAUCAUAGAAUGAAGCAGGUUGGAGUAAUUAAGGUUGGAAUAUAGCUUAUUGCGCAUUAUACGGGAGCAAAUAAUAAUCAGCCAGUCUUUUCAUGCAUUUCAGUCUUUUCAUGUAUUGGAUCACAUGAUUAGCACGAUACACGACUGUGCCACUCUGCUCACUAAUAAAGUUGGAGUCAAUAAAUCUAAAUCUGUUCGUCAACUGUCUCCUCUUUAGCUUUCGAUAUAAGAAGCUACAUGAUAACAAUCAACAUUGCUGGUUCGUAUUACACCCUAAUACUAACUUACUACAUAUUGAAUAUGCAUAUUUGUAUUUAUAAGCUAACCUCAUAAGUAACGAUUUCAACAGCUGAUAAUUCAUCAAUUUCAUAAAAUUCUUUCACCUCAUCCACACCAAUGAAAGAAAAUUAUUGUUUAUCAAACAAGUCUUCCUCAGACUCAAUGGAUAUGAAGUUUCCACCGAUACAAUUCUCUAACAAAUAUUUUGUUAACUCAUCUAUGGAAGCCUGGGCAAAGGUCAGACAUUGAGUAUGAACAUCCUUUUACAAUAUUUAAUGAAAUAUAAGCAUUAAAACGAAAUCAAUCAAUAUAAUAAACAAAUUAAUAUUCAAAUUAUAAACAAUAUCAUACUUCUUGGGUGGUAACGAAUGAUGGGAUGGCUUCCUUACUUGCAACGACAACUUUUCGCACGGAGACGAUAUUAUCAAGCUGAGGUACUAGCAUUACCUAUUGCAUUGCUGCCAACAUGGACUCCAAAGUAGCGAGUCUUUGCAGUUGGUCAUUGAGGUAUUGCUCCUGAUUAUUAAUUUAUUGAUGUUGCUGCGAACUUAUUACUUCAUAUUGUGCAUUUCUCAUUCGUGGGAUUUUUGGUUGUUUACCAAAAUAAGUAGAUGGCAAGACAAAUUUACUAACCCCAUGAAUUUGAUCAGGCUUUUCUUUAGCAUCUAAUGCUAAAGAUAAAAUAUCUUCAUCAUACCGGGUUGCCAGUUCACUAGAUUUUACUUUGGUAGCAUAGUUAUCUUAAAAGAUAAUAAUAAGUUAGGCUGUUAGAACAAAUCUACACAAGCUAGUAUACACUAAUGCAUACAACCACAAUGCCAAUCAUACAUUAUAUCAAAAAAAUAGUUACACAUAAAAUCUUUUUUGCCAAUUCCUCGGUUGCUUCAUCUGCGAAUGAUCCAUUUUUCUAUAGAUGUCCUUGUUUUCAAACAUCCCAUCUGAAAAUUUCUGUGUUUGAGCUCACUGAUUCCUAUUAAAUUAUCACAAUGAAAAAAUCAGAAUAUAUGAAAUGAAUGUUCAUGAAUAUUCAUUAAUGAGUAUAAAAUAAGUGUGCGAAGAUAUACAAGCUUAUACUUCACAAUUGCAUAUCCUUUUCUUGCUGUCUGAUGGUGAUAUUGUUGUUUGGCCUAAAUGUCUCGAUGUUGUUCUUUGAUUUUCUACAAAAUUAAGAAAUUAUGUCAAUCACAUAUGAAGAUCAAAUGCUAUAUUGCUUCAAAACUUAUAAACUUGGACUAAUUUGGUAAUGGAUUUGCAUACCAAGAAAUCUUUUGAAAGUCGAGAUUGAAUAAAAUUUAUCCAAUCUUCCACACUUAUGACAUAUACAUAUGACAUAGGUAGAACAGCCAAAACAUCACCUCACCAGCCAUCGGUAAAAUAUAUUGGGUUAUAAAUCUGCUUUUAAACUCUCUUAAAGCUUUCUCAACAGAUUGUAAUACAAUAUUUUUACACUCAAUUGAGACGUCGAACCGUUCCUAAAUAACUUAACACAAAUAGUAUCAACACAUUGAAUUUCAUUUAAAUGACCAUAUAACAAAUUUUAUGAAAUAGUUGAAUAAACAUAUCACAACGAACUAUCAUAUCUCAUCCUUUAGAUCAUCAGAAACUCAUCGUCAAUUGAUAUAUGUAAUUGAAAUCUUUCGAUGGACGAUGGCUCUAAUAUGAGUAGCCAUCUUAGCAGCUCCUUCCGACACAGGUUACCCACUUUGAUUGAAGUCAACAUGAAUUUUUGUGUCAGUCACUUUGAUUUGUUUAUUUGAGCCCCUUUCUUUUCUUUUUUGGCUUGUAUUUCUUUCUUUUGCAUGUUCAUUAGAAGGAGAAUGAUGUUGUUUGGAGUCCAUAUUACUUGUAAUAUUGAUCAUAAUUAUACGAAUUGCACAAUAUGACCCUCUAAAUUAAUCAUUGUACUUACUUUAAUACAACCAAUACUAUACUAUGUAUAGAAACAGCAUUUAGCACACCAUUCAGCAAAUCACUCAGAAACACCAUUCAGUAAAAUAACAUCAGACAACAAGUUCAACAAACCAUUCAGCAUGAAAUAUUAUUCAGACCCCCAAUAUCAUAUAAUAUCAUUCGACAAUACAAUAUCAGUCAACAAGAUUCAACAAACCAUAAUAUUUAAUGCGUACUACAUAAAAAUAGCAUACUUGCAAUAUGAAUAGAAUCUUGGAUGACUAUGCUGACGGUGAUGUUAAUGAAAAUAUAUAAACGCAUAUGCCAAUAUUAAGGAACUAAAAAAAUAAAAAUUCUCUAUUGAAGGCGUAAAUAAUACAGUAAACUAAAAAAAAAAAAAACUUGUCGAUUAAAAUAGAGGUUCGCAGUGGUGAUUUGUUGAAAGUCGGAGGUGAAGAAUGGGAGAAAGAAAGCAAUGGUCUGCUAGAAAUAUGUUUAAGGGUUUGGUUUGUUUGGUUGAAUAACGUAACUUUUAAUCGUUUUGUGUACUAGGCCUCUGUAAAUUCCUAUGUUCAAGGUAGAGAAAUGAAUAUAAAAUUAAUUAAUAAAGGCAUUUCCAUGGAACAACACCUUCAAUAAUCACUUAAAAAUUUUAUUGGAUAUUAUUGAAGGCGUUUCUUACAAAAAAAAAGACUCAUUUAAUUAUAAGCCUUUAAAAUUGUCCACCCAACUUAUUAAAGGCAUUUUUUAUAAAAAAAAAAAAAUGUCUUUUCUAAUUCUUAAAAAUUAUAAAAGGCAUUUUUAGUAAAAAAUCACCUUCAAUAAGUAUGGAUUUUCAAAGUUUAUAACAAAUUAUUGAAGGUGACUUAUAAUAAAAUAUGCUUUUAAUAAUCCAAAAAAAUUUUUUUGACAAAUUAUUGAAGGCAAUGUUAUCUGAAAUCACCUUCAGUAAUUAUAUACAAACUGUGAUAGAAAUUAUUAAAGGUAUCUAUCUUAAAUAUACACCUUCAAUAACAAUAUUACAAUUUGUGUGACGGUAUAUAGAAGGUAUUUUACAUUAGAAGACACCUUUAAUAAUUUUUAAAAUAUUUAGUGGAAAAAUUUUGAAGAUGUCUGUUAUUAACAAACGCCUUCAGUAAUUGAAGGUACCUUUUUUAAUAAACACAUUUCAUUACCAUCGUGAUAUAUCAAAGGUGUAUUAUAAUAAAAGACGCCUUUAAUAAUCCGAAAAAAUUUUAUUAGGAAAAUUAUUGAAGACGUUGUUAUCUAAAACUGCCUUCAGUAAUUAUAUACAAACUGUGAUAAAAAUUAUUAAAGGUGUCUAUCUUAAAUAUACGCCUUAAAUAAUAGUGUUACAAUUUAUGUGACGGUUUAUAGAAGGUAUUUUACAGUAAAAAAUACCUUUAAUAAUUCUCAAAAUAUUUAGUGAAAAAAUUUUAAAGGUGUCUGUUAUUAACAAACGCCUUCAGUAAUUGAAGGUAUUUUUUUUUAAUAAACGCCUUCCAUUACCAUCGCGGUAUAUCGAAGGUGCUUUACAAUAAAAGAUGCUUUUGAUAAUCCAAAAAAAUUUUAUUAAGAAAAUUAUUGAAGGCGUUAUCUGAAAUCACCUUCAGUAAUUAUAUACAAACUGUGAUAAAAAUUAUUAAAGGCAUCUAUCUUAAAUAUACACCUUCAAUAACAGUGUUACAAUUUGUGUGGCAGUAUAUAUAAUGUAUUUUACAGUAAAAGACGCCUUUAAUAAUUUUCAAAAUAUUUAGUGAGAAAAUUUUGAAGGCGUCUGUUACUAACAAACGCCUUCAGUAAUUGAAGGCGCCUUUUCUAAUAAACACCUUUCAUUAUCAUUGUGGUAUAUUGAAGAGGUUUUAUAAUAAAAGAUGCCUUUAAUAAUCUAAAAAAAAUUUAUUAGGAAAAUUAUUGAAGGCGUUGUUUUCUAAAACCACCUUCAGUAAAUAUAUACAAACUGUGAUAAAAAUUAUUAAAGGCGUUUAUCUUAAAUAUACGCCUUCAAUAACAAUGUUACAAUUUGUGUGACGGUAUAUAAAAGGUAUUUUACAGUAAAAAACGCAUUAAUAAUUCUCAAAAUAUUUAGUAAAAAAAUUUUAAAGGCGUUUGUUACUAACAAACACCUUCAAUAAUGGAUUACUAAGUUUAAAGGUAUAUUGAAGGCACCUGUUCAAAUAAACGCCUUUCAUUACCAUCAUGGUAUAUUGAAGGUGUGUCAUAAUAAAAGACGCCUUCAAUAAUCUAAGAAAAAUUUUUUAGUGAAAUUAUUGAAGGCGUUAUUUUCUGCAACCGCCUUCAGUAAUUAACUACAAACUAUGAUAGGAAUUAUUAAAGGCGUCUUUCUUAGAUAUAUGCCUUCAAUAACAGUGUUAGAAUUUAUAUGGCGAUAUGUUCAAGGUGUCUAUAAUAUAUUCAAAAAAUAUUUACGAGGUAAUUAUUCUUGACGUUUUUUGUUAAUAAACGCCAUCCAUAAUCUUGUCUAAUAAAAAUCUUUCCAAACUUAGCACAUCCAAUCACCAACUUUAAGCUUCAUCUUCAUUAUUAUAUCUUUUCAAACCAAGUACAAUUUACUUUUCAUUUCCUUUCGCUUUUAGUAUUCAAGCAUUGUCUUUUAGAACCUUAUUUCGACUAUUCAUAACUUAUUGACUUUAGCUUUUACUUUAUUCGACUAUUCUUUCAGCUCUUGCAAUUCAUGAUUUUUUUUUUUUGUGAAAAAAAUUUUCUACAAAACCCACUUUAUUUUACCUUAUGUCAACCCUAACUACAAAUACUCUUGGGUACUGUCUACGUUAGCAACAGAGUUUUAACAAGUGUAAUAUUUGGUAGCUGAUAAAUUACUUUACACCAAGGAGUUCUAGUUUUGUGUAAGUAUUAUUCUUGUUAUUAUCUUUUGUUUAAAACAUAGUAAACUAUGCAAUUACACAUGUUCAUUUUCAUAUUAAUUAUUUAUGUAUAUUUGGUCUGAUAAUGUAGCAACUAAUAAAUGGAUAAGAGUUGGAUACAAAAGUCUAGAUUAAGUCAAGAGUAUAGAGAUGGAGUGAAAAAUUUUUUUAAUUUUACAUUUGAGAAUACAAGUGAAGAUAAUAUGAUAUUAUGCCCAUGCGUGAAAUGUACUAAUAUCGAGUGACAAAUGAGUCAAGUUGUUUAUAAGCAUUUAAUUUAUAUUAGAUUUUUAUCUGAAUAUGUUAAUUGGUAUUUUUAUAGAGAGUCUGUACUGUCAAGGUCUUCCACUAUAGUUUCUUUAACAUCAAAGGCUCUUCAUCACCAACAUGAUCUUUUUAUAGCAUAUGACAUUGAAGGCAUAUUGCGAAAUACUUUUAACAUUCAUAACCAAAAUUUUCGUAAUCUUUCUCUCCAAAAUGAAGGAUUUAAUCAGUCCAAUAAUGAAAUGCAUGAAUUUGGUGAACCUGGGAUAGGUGUAUGUGACUAACAACCUAGAUGAGAAGCAUCAAAGUUUUAUAGGUUGCUUGAGAAAAUGAAUGAAAAACUUUUUGAAGGAUCGAAGCAUUCAAGGUUAUCUUUCUGUGUUCAUCUUUUUCACUUAAAAUGCUUAUGUGGAUGGACAAAAAACUCUCUGACUUUAUUAUUACAGUUUAUGAAAGAAAUGUUUCUUUUUAUAAAAAUUCAUGAAUCUUGUAAGAAAUCAAAGAAUAUGAUCAAGGAUUUAGGUCUUAGAUAUGAGAAAAUUCAUAGUUAUCCCAAUUAUUGCAUGUUGUAUUGGGGGAUAGAAAAAAUAAAAAAUCUUAUCAUUUGUGUGGUAUUUCUCAUUAGGUCAACAAAAACUUCCAUGAAAGGUUGAAUGAUUAUGGUGAUGAGGUAUGUGUCAAAAAUAAGCCUAUUAAAAUUUUACGCUAUUUUUCAUUGAUACUAAGACUUCAAUAACUCUACAUGUCUUCCAGAACUACAGAUUCAAUGAGGUGGCAUCAUGAUUUACGGAUGGAUGAUGGAUCAUUGAGGCAUUUUGCAGAUUUUUUGGUAUGAAAGUCAUUUCAUUCUAGGUUUUCAAACUUUGAAAUUGAUCCUCAAAAUGUUAUGCUUGGACUGACAUCUGAUGGAUUCAACCCAUUCCAAAUGAUAAGUAUUUCUUAUAAUACUUGACCAAUUGUAUUGAUUACUUAUAAUUUGUCAUCAUGGAUUGCUAUGAAGUAACAGUCAUUUAUAUUGUCUAUGAUAAUUUUCAAGAAAAAAAGUUUGGAUAAUGAUAUAAACAUCUACUUACAACCUCUUAUUAAAAAUUGAAAGCAAUUAUGAGAAUAAAUUGAGACCUAUGAUGCAUCAAAAGUGAAGAACUUCAAUCUGCGUGCUACUUUAUUAUGGACUAUCAACGAUUUUUUUACUUAUGCGAAUUUAUUUGGUUGGAAUACAAAAGGUCGUUAUGCUUGUUUAUGUUGUACUACACAGACAUGUUCAAUGUGGUUAUUAAUGAUAGAAAGUUUGGUUAUAUGGGACAUCAUUGAUGGUUAGAUGGUAAUCAUCAAUUUAGAUUUCAAAAAUAUCUCUUUGAUAAAAUUGAAGAGUUGAAGAGAUUGUCUUUACCCAUUAGUGGGUCUACUAUCUUGUCAAAGUUAAAAGAUAUAAAUUUCACAUAUGAAAAAAUGACUUCAUCAAGAAAAAGAGUGAGAAAAUUUUUGAAGGUAUCUGGCCUCGUAUUACGUAAGUUGGUGAUAGUCAUACAGAAGUUGGUGAUCUUGAUGUUCAAAGUGAUGAAGAGGACGAUGAAGUAGAUAACCCCAAUGAGUAUGAGUUGUGAAAAAAAAGUAUAUUUUUUGAGUUACCUUAUUGGAAAUAUAAUUUAUUACACUAUAACCUUAAUUUGAUACACAUAGAGAAAAAUAUUUACGAAAAUUUUAUUGGGACAAUUUUUAAUAUGAAUAGAAGAUCCAAAGAUGACUUAAAGAGUUGGUUUGACCUAAUUAAUAAGGGGAUUCCUAGACCUCCAUCCGAUGUUACUUUCUAAUGGUAAAUAUCGAUUGCCUACUACUUGUUUUGGGAUUUCUAAAGCUGAAAAAGAUGUGUUUUGUAAAGUUUUAAAAAAUGUCAAAGUUUCGGAUGACUAUGCGUCAAAUAUAUCAAGAUGUGUGAAUAUGAAGAAGUGAAAACUUUCUUCAUUGAAGUCAAAUGAUUAUCACAUUUUGAUGCAAGACUUACUUUUAAUUGUUUUACGCUUAUUAAUGUCAAAGCAAGUGACUUCUGUGAUAAUUGAAUUAAGUAACAUAUUAAAAUCUCUAUGUUAAAAAUGUAUGAAUGUGGAAGAGCAUGACAAAGUUCAAGAUCGAGCCGCGAUUACUUUAUACCAUUUAAAGAAGUUAUUCACUCUAAACUUUUUCAUUAUUAUGAUGCAUUUGGUUAUCCACAUUCUAUAUGAAGCAAAGGUCGGUGGGUCGAUUUAUUAUCGAUAGAUGUAUCCUAUUGAAAUGUAUUAUUUGUUAAUAGAUUGAUUACAUUUUUAUUGAUUAUCAAGCCAAUUUACUUAAAAUAACAUAUGACUUAUGUUUUAUGCUAUAGGUUUUUGGGGAGAUUAAAGUCUUAUUGUCACAACAAACGCUAUUCAGAAGGUUUUAUUGCUAAAAGAUAUUUAGCAUAAGAGUGUAUGACAUUUUGUUGUCAUUAUUUAGAAGAUGUUGAAACGAGAUUUAAUAGAUCUUUGAGAAAUAUUGGUAUGCAGCAUACAGACUUGGCCUACAAUUAUCUUUUUCAAAGUUUUAGACAACCCAUAAGCAAAGUUGAAUUGGUGGAGUUAGAUGAUAAAUCUUGGGCACAAGCACAUUGAUAUGUUCUUUUUCAUCAUGACUCAAUUGAAUUGUUUCGCACGUAAGUUGUUUAGCAAGGAAAUUAUUCAUUACAUUAGGCAUAAUUUUUUGUGUUUUUUUUUUAGUGUUAAUACUUUAUCAUGAUACUUUAUAAUGAGUAUAAAAAUAAUUUAAGAGAUCCAGCACAUUAUCAACGAUCAAACUCUCGAGAGGUUGAUAAGUUGUUCGCUAAAAACUUUCAUGAAUGGCUAGGAGCAACUGUAAGUAAUGCCAUACUUUUCAUUAUUUUUUAUCUACAUAAAAUGCUUACGGUAAAAAUAACAUUAAUAACAUAUAUAUAUUUAUUCCAUUUUUAUAAGUUUGGAGUAGAAUGCUUGUUAGUAAAGAGGUGAAAUGUCUUUUACACAAUCUGAAUCAGAUUGUGAAACAAUACAAAGGUUUCAUCAUCAAUGGAUUUAGAUUUCACACAAAAUCCUGUGAGAGAUUUAAAAGUACACAAAAUUUAAGAGUUGUUGUGACUUCAUCAACUACUAGCUAUGCUAGUGCUAGGGACACAAACCCUUUAGAGGAAAAUGUUGACUAUUAUAGCAUGAUUAAUGACAUCAUUUAGUUAAUUAUUAUGACAAAUGAAAAGUUAUCUUAUUUCGGUGUGAUUGGGCAUAUGUGAAUAGUGCAAAAAGUCUUAAGAAAGAUUAGUAUGGAUUUAUACUUGUGAAUUUUUCUCGAUUAAUUCACACUGGACAACAACUCAUCGAUGAACCUUAUAUAUUUUCAUCUCAAGUCAAACAAGUAUUUUACUCUGAAGAUCUCAAAAAAUUGGGUUGGUUUGUUGUUCUUCGAAACACACCUAGAGAUUUAUUUGAUAUGGGGUUAAAUACCAAAAAUGAUGUUGAACAUGGAACUGAAUAUUAUUCUUUUGCUGAACAAAACUUGGAUGAGAAUAUCUUCAGUACCUAUGCUCAGUGGGUCCGCGAAGAUGUUACUGAAGACAUUUACAAACCUUGAUUCUGUGCACCUAUAAUUUGUAAGUCGAGUGUUUAAGAAAUAAUGUAGUAAAUAAUAGUAUGUAAAUAAUGUCACAUUCGCUAUUGUAUAAUUAUUGUCUUCUAAAUCAUACAUUAUAUUUUGAUUUAAUUAAAUCGAUAUGUUCUUUAUAUGUCGUAGGUUUUGAUUUCUUAAGUUGAAAAUGUCUUUAUAUAUCUUCUGAACAAAAAUUUUUUCUAUAUUCGUUUUUAUGAUAUAGGUAAGCUACAAUACAAAGAAGUAAGUUGAAAAGAAAACAUAUCAGAGAUAUUAGUUCAGAAUCGUCUGUGGGACCUGUAGAUAUUGGUUAUGGACUGAAUCCUUUGAAGGUAAAUGAAUGUACUGUCAGAUCUAAUUUCGUCACUUCUAACCCUUCGACCAAUAUUGGAUCAACAAUAUGGGAGGUCUAGGUUUAGAUAGUAUCCCAUCAAUUGAUUAUGCUUUAAAUUCGAAUGCAGGUAUGAUAUACUCCAAUUUAGAAUUCGAGUAUAAUGAUAAAAGUAUUAUGAUUUUACAAAUAUAUUAUAUAUUUGUUGCAAUUGAUAACAAUGGUCAACAGAAGAUCAGAGGUCGGACAACUUUGAAGGAAUUUUCUGCACUAUCUCCCAACGAGCAUAUUGUAGUGUCUAUAAACUCUGAUAGGCAACCAAUUGAUGAAGAGGCUCAACUAUUGGCUGAAUUUCUAGGCAUGCUAGCCCAUAAUGGAAUGAAAUUGCCUAUUCAUUAUGAAACAUGGCAUAAUAUUUCAAAAAAAGUUAAGGUCGAUACGUUAAACUUUAUUGAGGUAUUAGUAUAAUUAAUUAGAUAUAUUCAAAUUUUUUAUUUUACAUUUUGUUUACUUAUUCAAACUUUUCUUAUUGUAUUAUUACAGUCAAGAUUUGUACUUGAAAUACCAACUUCAUAUGUGCUUAAGUCAUUGGAAAAGAAAUGGAAAGAUUAUAAGCAUAGUUUGAAGAAUAAAUAUUUCGAUUGAAAUAGUACUGUAAAGGCAAUGAUGUAAAAUCUAUCCAUUAAUGUGAUUAGGUGGCAGUAUGAACAACUGAUUAGAUUUUGAUUCUAAAAAAAAAGAGAGGUACUAGUUUAUAACUUUGUAUAAUAAAAUGAAAUGAUAAAAGUGUUUGAUGGUUUCAGUUGGUAAUAUUUGUAUUUUUAUCAUAUAAGCAAUUAUUUUUUAUGACAGAAAAGAGAACAGAUUGGGAUUGGUAGCAGAAAGCAACAAAAAUAUAGCCAUACAAGUGGAUCAAAAAGUUUUGCAAGAAAGCAAAAAGAAAUUGUAAGUUUAUGAUAAUUAACUUAUUCUAAUGAAUGAACUUUUUCUGUCAUUGAAAGGUAAAUAUAGAAAUUAACAUUUAUUGUUCUGUUUUAAUAGAUUUAAUUAUUUCAAUACAUGAUAUUAAACUUACCAAAAUUUUGAAUUUAGUUACACAGAUGAUAUGUAUGAAAAGUUAUUGUUUACAUAUAUUUACGCCUUUAUUAUUUGGUUGUUGUUAUUGUUGAUUUUUAACAGUUUUGAUAGAUUCAAUACUUGAUAUUAAGCUUGUCCGAUUGAUUGACCUUAGUUUCAAUAGUUGAUAUGGGAGAAAAAGUUGUCAGUUAUGUCUGUUUGGAAAUAUUUGUACAUAUAAAAGGCAAAUAUACAAAUAAAUUUUGGAUGCCUUUCAACAUAUUGAAUGGCUUCAAUCCUUCAUUUUAAAUCGAAAGAAAAUAAUUAAAUUUGGUUUCCAUGAUCGAUAUGUGUGAAAGUCCAAAAUACUUUUAUUCUUUGCAUAUAUUUAAGACUAUUGUGUUGUUACAGGACCAAAAUAUAAAUAAAGGAGAUUAAAGUUAUUCGAAAUUUUAAUACUUGAUUGACAGGAUUGAUAUGCAUAAAUAAGUUACGAUUGAUAUAUAUCCUAUCAAAUAACAUGUUUUUGUAUAGGAGAAUGAGAUGGGCAGUACAAUUGGACGUGUGAAACUUUUUUGCCUAACACACAAAAAAAAUGAAUCUUACAUGAAUGUCGAAAUACAAGAAAUUAUGGUAAUUUGUAUCAUCUAUUUUAACAUAAAGUAAAUAUUAACUCUUUUUUACAUAUAAUCAAUUAGUCAUUAAACUUGAUAGUUAUAUAUGACAAAUUCACAAAAGAAAGCAAAAGAAAAAAUGGUUGCUGAGAUUGAAGUAGCAUCUGAAGAUUCUCUCAACAUGCAAGAAAUGAAAAAUCGGAUAUUCAUAGAAGUUGCUGAAAAAGAAAGGCAUGGAUGGGUCCGACGCCUUGGAUUGAGUCUAACACCAUCUGCCUAUUAUGGACAUAACUCUCCGUAAUUUACACUCUCAGCAAGUCAGUUUUUAUGAGACAUUUCAAUAUUGAAAGCAGAAAGAAAACAAAAGCGUGUCAAAAUUGAAGAAGAACGAGCUAAAAUAAAGCUAGAGCGUGCAAAAUUUCAACAGUUGCAUGAUUGAUUUGAUCAUCUUAUGAAUUUUAUGCAACAACAAUUUUCAAGAAAUGAUUUUAGUGCUCCACCAACUUAGGUAUUAUAUUUAGUAAAUAUUAAAAUUUUUAAAUAAAAAAUAAGCAUACAAUGAAGUGUUAAAAAUUGUAUGGUAUUAUUCAGUAGGUGGUUAAGCACGCUAGUGACUAAGGUGAAAAUUUUUCUUCAUCAAUUGGCAGCCAGUAAAAUGUAUGUAGUCAUCCAUUUCAUACAUUUUAAUUUUUUAUUUUGUUAAUGUAUUUACAAUAUUUGAAUGUUAUUAUUAAACUUUGUAUUAAUUAGAUGUAUAUUUAAACGUGAAUGAAGUUAAUAUUAAUUUCAGUUUCUGAAUUUAAGCUCUUUACUAAAAAUAAAAUUUAUUAUAAAAAAUUAAAAAAAUAUAUUUUUACAUAAUGACGGCGUUUGCAUUGGGCAAUGCCGCUAAAUUAAUAAUUUAGUCAUGUUUGUAGCAUAAAACACCACUAUAAGUAGCGACGCUCUUUUCAGCAAACACUGCUAGUUAGAUGACGUUUUUUAUAGAAACGUCACUAAAGUAACGGUGUUUUUCUCAUAACAACAUCACUAAAUUAGUGACGCCUAAAAGAUACAAACGUCACAAAUAUUGAGGCGUUUUCAAAUCAAACGCCAUGCAAAGUAGCGGCGUUUUUUGUAACAAACGUUAUCAAUGCAACGACGUUUUUUUUUCAUAAAAAUGUCACUAAAAUAACAGCGAUUAAAAGAUACAAAUGCCGUUAAUAUUGAGCCAUUUUCAUAUUCAAAUGCCUCUAAAGUAGCGGCAUUUUAAAGAUAUAAAAUACCGUUAAAAUGACGACGUUUCACAUAUAAACGCCGUUAAGAUUAAGGUAUUUUUUUUUUAAAACGUCGCUAUUUACUGCGACAUAUGUAUAGGCGGUACUCUACAUGACAUUUUUUCACAAACGCCACAACCUUAUAGUAACGUUAAUAAAUGCUGUUAAACGAUUAAAAAAACAUCGCUAAAAACUAAAACUCCUGUAAUGACCCCUUGAAACCUUUAAGAAGGGAGUUUAACACCCCCUUUCCAACCCCAUAUAGACCCUAUUGCAAAUAUCGGUUUAUGUAUUUUCUCUUUGUAGAGAUAAUUAAUAUAAGAAUAAUAAUUAGAAUUGUGAUAUUAUCUUUGUUGAAAAUAUUUAAAAAUUUUAAAAAAAUUUUAAUUUCAAUGAAAACAUGUUAUUUACAUGUAAAAUAUUAUGAAUGUCAUAUGUUAUUUAUAUAUCAUCAAAAAUAAUAUAAUAAAAAAUUUGAUUAGAUAAUAUUAUAUUUCUCUAAACUAUAUACAAAAUCUUUAUAUUUUUUAAAUUAACAAAACUCAAAAAUUAUAUAUUUUCAUUUAAUAUCAUUUUUCUUCUUGAAAUAUAAAAAUCUUUGAAUCAAACAUAUCUUAAAAGUAAAAAAAUCUUUUUCAUUACAGGAUAGCUGUCAUUUUUCAAAGCUCUCAAAUCAUUUUAAUUUAUAGUAGUAUAGAUAAAUUAUAUGCUAGCAUUUGAAUUUCAUUGAAACUGUAGUUUGUGGGAGGUUGUUGAAACGUGUUCCAGCAUUGGACCUUAAAAUUUGAAGGGGUGUAUGGCCUAUUGUUGAGUACAUCCUCUUUUGUUUAAAUUUGAAAUUCAAUAUGGCAGGCAAUUUACCACUAGUCCUCUUUGAUUGAGAAAGAUACCUCUGGCGAAUGCGGAAUCCAAAGAGACAAAUUCAAUUGCAUUAAUGGCAGUGCCAGCCAUGUCAGUCUUUUCUGUGGUACAAAUAAUAUCAUCUCAUCUCAUCUCACGAAAGCAUCCUUCAUCUGUUUUUGCCGCUUCAAAUUUUCUGUCCUUUUAUCCUACCGCUUGAAAUAAAAGAAUUUCCAUCGACCUCUGCAUUUAGCCAUUCAUAUUGCAAAAAAAGAAAAAGGCUACGUACCUAAAUUACAAUAAGUUUUGGCUGGACAUCCCAUAUUUUUUAGAGUUGGACAAUUUCAAAGGCAAUCGGUAUUUAUAGUGCCAUUACUAUUUAAUUUAGUAAUAUUUCUUAUAAUAAUUAUUUUGGUGAUGCCACUCCCACCAACUCUGACUUUGACACUCUUCCAACAAAACGACCUCUUAUUCUUAAUACCUAAGUAAAAAUUAAUGAUUUUAGGGUAACAUUUGUAACCUCAAUAUAACAUUAGUAGAACAUAUGUACCCUAAAAUGAUUAUAAUUUCUUUGCUUUGAAUUUACUUUUACAUUGAUCCAAUGGUCAAGGUAUAAUCUUCGUUAUGGUACAAUAAUUUAAAUAAUUAAUCUCCCUAAUUCUUUGUUUUUAAUUAAACCCAAUAAUUAACUUCAUCUUCAUUAAUUCUUUUAAAAUACUUGGAUAAAAUGAACAUGGUAAGGGAACUAACUUCAUUAAGUUGAUUUGUCUAUUUAUAUUUUUGUAUUUAUUAUAUUAAAAAUAAUAUUUUAAAACUAAAAUUAAAUUAAAUUAAUUAUUCAUUAAUGUAAUAAUAUCCAUUUUAAAAUUAAGGUCCAAGCCUGACUUAAAUUGAGUCAAAUCCAACCCGUUUUCGAUAGGUUUCGACCCGACCCUAUGAAGUCAUUUUUUUUUUUUAAUUCGGGUUUCGGGUCGGGUAAGGUUAUGAAAUAAUUGAAGUCGGGUUCGGGUUUUAGGUAAACCCGAUCCGAUAUUAUAUAAAAAUUAUUUUUUAAUUAAUUAUUUAAUUUUUUAUUUAUAUAUAUAUAUAUAUUUAUAUAAUGAUAUUUUUAAAUAUUUAUAUUUUAAAAAUAAUAUUUUAUAUUUUAAAAAUAAUAUUUUAUUAAUUUCAAAUCUGAUCGAGUAUGAUUUAUAUAGUAUCGGAUCGGGUUCGGGUGUAAAAAAAUAAAAAAAUUUUGGAUAAAAUUAAAUUCGAAUUUAAUAACAUAUAAAAAUCAGGUCGAAUUCGAAACGAGCAAAACACAUCCCGAACCCUAUCCGAUGUCAACCCUAAUCAAGCCCUAGAAUGUAGACCUGGACGCGUCUAUUUUUAAUACAAGUACUAGUUUUCUGCACUACAUGUAACGAAGGGAAAUAAAACUAAUUGUUUAGGUACUUAAGUAUUAAUUAAUAUAUAUUAUAUUAUGAAUUUUGUUAACAACUAUCUUUAAGGCAUUUUUUAAAUUAAUUCAAUAUACUAUUUAUAGUACUAUUAAAUGCAAUAAUUCACUAUUAAUUUAAUGAUUUUCAAUAUAUUGUGUAACAAUAAAAUAGCAUCUUAAAACACUCCUCAACAUUUGGAAGUGAGUAUUUUAUUUGAGUUCGUUUUUUAUACUUUGCCUAAUAUAAUUAUCUAAUCCCAUAAGUAAAAUUAAGAGACUGAAACAAGCAUACAGCAAAUACAACAUGCAUUAACAUGUAUCACCACUAUAUAAGCAAAUGUUAUUUGGAUAAUCAAAAGGGAAGGUGUAACAUUAUUCUAAUGUAAAGAAUAUUUCCGAAUCAUAUCAUGGAAACUUCAUGGCCCAAGUUAUGGUGUUCCACUAAAUAAAUGAUAUGUCACUUUUUUUUUUAUUUCUGUGACGAAAUGUCUCUUUACAAUGUGGCAUAGCCACAAAGGCCAAACUUUAAUAAUUUGUAAUAAUAAUUUAGUAGGCUUGAUCGAUUAUCCUCGUUUCUUCCUUAAACUGGCUUUGUAUUUUAGGUGCUAACCUAGCCAACCGCUUUUCCAACUUCAUUGAUAAAUUUAGAUAGUAGUGAUUGUACUUUGCACAUGUUACCACGUGCAAGUUUAUAGGCCAAAAGGGCAAAAUUAUGAUCCAUUAUUAAGGUUUUGCUUUUAUGACACCUUGGUGUAUGAUCAAUCACGGUGCAAAUAAUAAAGAGAUUCUCUUUUUUUUUUUUUUCCUUUAUGAUGAAAAGGGAAAAACAUUAUAAAAAUGUUAAUCAUAUGUUUAAUCCACAUUUUCAAAUUUUGCUAAUGUAAACUAAUCAAGUUGCUCUAGCUUCACUUGAUAAAUACUCAAAUUCAACUUAAUGGCUGUCCAACCUGAGCUCAAACUCGAAAUUAUUUAAGUAAUAAAUUGAGCCAAGUAUGAGCUUUUAAUUCUUAAAUCUAAUGGUAAAAAUACUUGGAUCACUCAUAAAUCUAUUGAUUUUUUUUUAAUUUCUUCAUAUUAUAUGUAAAAAUUAUAAUAUUAAUUUAUAUAUUUUAAAUUUUUAUUUGAGCUUUUAGAGUAAAUUUCAUCAAUUGAUUGUGAAUUUAUGUGAAGUUUCAUCUUCCUUCAUUCGCAUCUAAAGCUCGAAUUUUCUUAUUUACGACCUUUUCAAUUAAUCCAAAUGUAUUCUUCCUUUAACAUAACGCUAAAAUUUAGAUUACAUUUGUUGUGUAUGUCCAUCAAAAUGUCGGUAGCCAAUUUCAUCCAUAUUCUAUUCAAACUUUGUGCUCAACUUCAUCCAUAUUCCAUCCAAACUUUAAUGGUCGAGUAUUGAAGGAUUGAUGAAUUUGAAACAAAUUUAAAAGGUUAAAAAUAUAAAAAAAAAAUAAAAACUUUCAAGUUUCGACUGAAAAUAAAAUUCUAGAAAAAUCAUAAGCAACGAUGUAAUUUAUUAAAAAUUUUAAAUUUGACACUAUAUCAGUUCUUUUGAAAAAAAUUUAUUAAUAUUUUAUUUUUUUAAAUCAAAUUAUAUUUUUAUUCAAAAAUGACAUAUAACAAUCAUAUAUACAUUUAUGUUAUAGCCAUUGUGCUCCAUGUAGAUGCCAUAUAUAAAAGCCAUAAAUAAUUUUAUGAUGACAUGGCAUGCUAACAUGGCACAUAAAUGCUAUGUGUUAUCAUCUCAUUAACUAGUUGUCUUAUCAGCAUAUUUGUUAACGAUAUUAAUUCUAUGUAUCACAUUAUUAUAUAAUUUGAUAUAGUAUAAUUGUAAAAGUGUUGCAUUGAACAUUUUUAAAGUGCAUGUUCUACAUCGAAAAAAUGCAUAAUAUAAGAACUAAAUAUGAAGUUAUAAAGUCUAGGAAACCAACCCUUGCUAUAUAUAUUUUAUGUUAUAUUUUUUAAUUAUCAAAUUUGAAUGAUCUAUUGGUAAAAUGUUGAACUUUUAAUUUUAAUAAUUAAGGUUAGAAUUCUGCCAACUUUAUAUAAUAAAAAAAAUAUUAUAAUUUAUAUGGCACAUGCAUGUUUGAUGUUCGUGUAAAUGAGCCUACUAAUUAGAGAUAUCUCAUGAAAGCAUAAAUGCUCAAUACUCUCUUGUAAGUUAUAAAAAUAAAAGCCAAAAGGUUACAUGACAUAAAUCCACAAGAUGGCACAAUGUUGAUAGAAAAUGAUCAAUUAUCAGGAAGUAAGUUAAGUAGGCAUCCAGUUUUUUAAUAAAAUAACGUGUUAUUAUUAUUUGAGGACCAAAAGAUACGACACACGCAUGGCUUAAAACAUUUUAAAAAGUAAAUAAAUUUAGCAUAAUGUGAGGUCAUUAGUCAAUAGAGUCGGAUCCAUGAUCCCAUCCCCUUUUAGCUUCUGUAAUUUGUUCAAUUGUACAAGAAAAUAAUAGUAACAUAUUAAAAUACUAAUAUUUCUUAUUUUCUUUGUUCUUUUUUAUUUUGUAUUCCAUUAAUUAACAACUUUGGUAUACUAUAUUAAUUAUUAUUAUUAUUAUUAUUAUAAUGCGAUGGGCAAAAAGACAAUAGAUGAAGAAAUGUUAAAAGAUUUGUGUUUUGUAAGAUUCAAAUUCGAAAACUAUGUUAAAUUGAAAAAUCAUUUAUCUUAAAAAUUUAAGUUUGAUAAAACUUUAAUUAUUAUAUUUAAAUUCUAACACUCGAAUAAUAAUAAUUUAUUUUAUACAUAUAAAAUACAACAAGUCUAUAUUGGCUUAAGGCUGAAUUGAACUUACUGAUAAGUAAUAACUAAGUAGCAAAAUAGCUUAAAUUAAUUACUAAUAACAAAUGUAAAAAUAUAUAAUAACAAUGUAAAUGGAAAAAAGAAUAGCUUAAGCAGAAAACCAAGCCAAGUCGUAGUAUCUUAGAUAAAAAAAAAUUUUUAACGGUGUCAAUGUUAUUAAUAUUUGAUGAAAAGUCUUAUUUUUUACUCAAAUGAGAAUUAAAAUGGAUAUUAAAGUUUGGGAUGGGAUGAAAAUGGAUAUAAUUUUAAAUAUUUUAUCGAAUAUUAAAAUAAAUAAUAUAACAUUCGUUCUAUAUUUGUAUCUUAUAAAUAUGUUUAUAUGCAUUUAAUAAAUAUAUUUUUAUUAAAUAAUAUAAAUUUUUAUUUAAAUGAAUUAGAAUUAAUAUAUUUUAUUUUAUAAAAAUAUAUUAAUAUAUAUUUAAAACAAAAUUUACAUAAAUAUGUAUGAUAAAAAUUAAAAAGUUUAAAAAAUUAGUUUUUAUUUAAAAAAAAUUAUAGGUGAUGGAUUAUUUGUACCCAUUAAGAUUCCGUUUGUUUUAAAUAAAUUUUCUUUCAAAAAAUAUUGCACUUUUCAGAAAAGUAGAGAUUUUUUAUUAUUUAAAUGAAUCAAUAAAAAAUAUUUUCAAUUGUUUGAUUAUUUUUUAGACAAUUUUUUUAAAAAUAAUAUUGAUAUAACUAUUAAAAUAUUAAUAAUUUUUUAUGACUAAAAUAUAUUGAAAUUACUUAUAUACUUUAAUAGUGGUAUUUAAUAAUCAAAUUUUAUAUUAAUAUACAAAACACUUAAAACAAAACUAGUUAUUAUUUUUAUUAAUAUUUUAAAAUAUUUAAAAUGACAUUAUUAUUCUUAAAAUAUUAUUUUUGUUAAUAUAACAAUAAUAGUAAUAUUUAUAUUAAAAUAUUAAAAAUAUUUAUACUAUUAAAAUAUUUAUAUUUUAUAUUGAAAGUAUUUAUUAUUAAAUCAUAACAAAAAAAUUUAUUUGUUUUAUUAUUCAAAUAAUAAUAUAAAUAUAUUAAUAAAUAAAAUAAAAAUAAUAUAUUUUAAAUUAAAAACAAUAAUAAAUUAUUAAAAUAUUCAUUUUAUGAAAAUAAUAAUAUUAAUAUAUUAAUAAUAUUUUGGAUUGGGCUAAAUUAAAUUUGAGUAUGAAAAAAUCAUAUUUAAGAUCUGACUUAAAUAAAAUUGUGCUCAUGAGUUUGGUAAGUAAUUUUAUUCCUUUUCAAAUGGAGAAGAUAAUUUUAAAAUAUGAACUUUUUUUUCAUUGAAUAAUAAAUGAUUUUUUGUUAACAAACUAAUUUUUUAUCAAAAAAAUAUAAAAAAAAAUGCAAAAAUUAUCUUUUAAAGAUUAUUUUUUGUGAAACAAAUAGAUUCUAAAUAAUUGUGAAAAUAAAAAUAAAAAUAAAUUUUAAAUAUCGUUAAAUAUAAAUAAAAAUAUAUAAUAUAAAAAUGAAAAAAAAAAUCUGCGCACCUCAUUUCCUGUCUGUUAAUAUCCUAUUUCUUUCUACGUGCUUUAACCCGACCCUUACCAAACGGAGAGCUGAUGCCUAGUACAUAGAGUUUAAGCUGAUAUAAAUGGUAGAUACAGCGUAUCUGAGGUUUAAUCCAACGGUAGUAAUUAGAUCAAAAUCCCAAGGCGGAGAACAUGGUUAGAAGUGAGAAAACAAAGGCUGUCAGCCAGGUCACCCUAUCUUUUCCUCAUGGUGGCGCCAAUGAUUCCCCGUUCCCCCCUGCUCUAUUUUUAAUUUAAUUUCCUCCAAAUUUCAUUUGCAUUUCAAAAAUUUCCCAAAGUCUUCCAAUAUAUAAACGCCCCUUUCUUUUCUUCAGCUCUCCAUCUCCGUCUCACCAGAGAGAAUAGAGAGAAAGGAAAAAAAAAAAAAAGUCCUCGUCAUCUGCUUCCUCUUCUACUCUCUCUUUCUCUCUGAAACUCCUCGUUCUUUUCUUGUUGAGGUAAAUCUUUUGUUUUUGCCUUUAUUUUACUUCAAAUCCACCUAUCUGUGGAUGUUUUUUAUGUUUUGCCGAUCAUGGAAUUGAGAUCUAGGGUUCUAGAAGUUUCUACGGAGUUGUAGGGAGUUAGAUUUGGCUUGAUCUGCUUCACUUUGUAUCUGGAUCUUUACUUAGCUUGAUCUGCUUCUUUACACUUGUGAUUUCUGUGUAGAUCUUAUGAGAAUUGGUUUUUGUUUUUGUCUUUAUUUUGAAUUUGAUCUUCUUCCAACUUGUACUGAUUAAUGCUUUCAGUUUGUAAAUUUAAUGCUUUUCGAAGGCCUCUUUUUGAGGUUAAGAAAAGGCUCUAAUCUUGAUCUUUAUUUCCUUUCGUAAUUGAUUCAAUUUGUUGUCCAACGAAUUAUAGAGUUGCUUGUUUAGAUGCUGACAAAUGAAUGUUGUUUGCAUUUUGAACCGACUAAAUUUGGUCGACCCACUGCAGUAGCAAAACUUAUGUCUUUUAGCUAGCUAGGAUACUGAAUGGUUUUAUUUUAUGCUUUUAAAGAAAUGAAUUUUGAUUUAAGUGUUUCUUUUUUCACUAAGAGAAGCCACAACUUAAUUUGUUUGAAGGCUUUGAUUUGUCUUGUUUAGAUUAGUUGAAAGAGGUAUAUAAUCUAGGUUGGCAAGUGAUUUUUCUAUACUCACUAUCUCAAUUCUUGUUUCUAGUAUUGUAAAAGAUGGCCGAUGCUGAGGAUAUUCAACCCCUCGUCUGUGACAAUGGAACUGGAAUGGUGAAGGUUAGUUGAUUUCUAGACCUGAGUUAUAUUCUCCAUUAUUGUUUAUUUCUUUAUGAAAGAUGUGUUACUUUGCCGUGGUUGAUCUGAUUUUGUUUAUCAUGCAGGCUGGUUUUGCUGGUGAUGAUGCUCCCAGGGCAGUUUUCCCAGUAUUGUUGGUCGACCCCGGCACACUGGUGUCAUGGUUGGUAUGGGUCAGAAGGAUGCCUAUGUAGGAGAUGAGGCACAAUCUAAGAGAGGUAUCCUUACUUUGAAAUAUCCCAUUGAGCAUGGUAUUGUCAGCAACUGGGAUGAUAUGGAAAAGAUCUGGCAUCAUACAUUCUACAAUGAGCUCCGUGUUGCUCCUGAGGAGCACCCUGUGCUUCUCACAGAGGCACCUCUUAACCCCAAGGCCAACAGAGAAAAGAUGACCCAGAUCAUGUUUGAGACCUUCAAUGUGCCUGCCAUGUAUGUUGCCAUCCAGGCCGUUCUCUCUUUGUAUGCCAGUGGUCGUACAACAGGUUUGUUAAAAUAGAACAUCUUUGGAUUUAUCAUAUUUUUAGAACAUUCCUAAUCAAGCUAACACUGAAUUAUUUCCCUAUUGGAACAGGUAUUGUGCUGGAUUCUGGUGAUGGUGUUUCCCACACUGUGCCAAUCUAUGAAGGCUAUGCCCUUCCACAUGCCAUCCUUCGUCUAGACCUUGCUGGUCGUGAUCUUACUGAUGCUUUGAUGAAGAUACUUACCGAGAGAGGUUACAUGUUCACCACCACUGCUGAACGGGAAAUUGUUCGUGACAUGAAGGAGAAGCUUGCUUAUGUUGCCCUGGACUAUGAGCAGGAACUGGAGACUGCCAAGAGCAGCUCUUCUGUUGAGAAGAACUAUGAGUUGCCUGAUGGACAAGUCAUUACUAUUGGAGCUGAGAGAUUCCGUUGUCCAGAAGUUCUCUUCCAGCCAUCUCUCAUUGGGAUGGAAGCUGCUGGAAUCCAUGAAACUACCUACAACUCUAUCAUGAAGUGUGAUGUGGAUAUCAGGAAGGAUCUUUAUGGUAACAUUGUGCUCAGUGGUGGUUCAACCAUGUUCCCUGGUAUUGCAGACCGUAUGAGCAAGGAGAUCACUGCCCUUGCUCCUAGUAGCAUGAAGAUUAAGGUUGUUGCACCACCAGAGAGAAAGUACAGUGUCUGGAUUGGAGGAUCUAUCUUGGCAUCACUCAGCACCUUCCAGCAGGUGAAAUAUAUUUUCUUAUAUUUGGCUCAUGUUUUACUUUUUGUGUAAAUUCAUUGCCCAAGACUGACAUUCUUGCUUUCGCUGUUGCAUCAGAUGUGGAUCUCCAAGGGCGAGUAUGAUGAGUCUGGACCAUCCAUUGUCCACAGGAAGUGCUUCUAAGUUUUAUAAGUGCUUUGAUGGUGAGUUACAUUUUCGAGUUAGUUGGCUUUUUGUGUCCUGUGUCAAUGAAUUCAAAGUCUGGUUGAUGUGGGAAGGGUUGAAGGUGGGGAUCAUUGAAGGAGGGUGUUCUUUGAUUUUGGUGUAUUAUAUAACCCUUUCAUCAGUUGUGACUUAUUAUGCUCAUGGUGUCACUGCUAUUGAAAUGAUGGCCCUCAAGAUGUGGUGGUGGACUGGUGGACGGACAAUUGGUGCUUAUUUCCUUCCUUUCCAUGCAUCUUUCAACGAUGUUGCCUAGUAGGAUGUUUGUAGCUGGAGAGUGAUUGUGAUGAUUCUGUCUUAUAUUUUCUUUAAUUUCAGAUUAAGGGGUUUUUUUGCCCUGAGAACAUUAAUGUUAAUAGCUAUUGUAUGAGAAAAUUUAAAUUAGUGUCAGUUUGCGGUCAUAAACUUUUAUGGAAACUAUAUUUGAUACCUGAUUUUGAAAUCUAAGGGGGAAUGCUUUCUCUCUGAACUCAUAUGGUGUAAAAUCUGUUUGAAGAUUUCUUGUUAAUUGUGGUGAAUGGGGUUUCUUUAGAGGCAUGCCUCAAAAUAACAAUAUGUCUGCUCAGUUGUAAUUAUUAUGGAAACCAUUAGUAAGUAUGCAUACCGUUGCCCGGAUGAUUCCAGAGUCUUGGGUGAAACCACACCCAGAAUGGGAUGCUAUUUUAUGUUUUAUCGACGUAUCUUUUAAGGCAUCUUUAGGGAAACAAUUUCCAUAUGAUGUUAGGAUUAAAAAUAUAAAAAAUUUAAGUCUGCUAUGAGUAAGGAUUGCCUGCAUUUGCAGAUUGAUCAUAUGAUUCAUGCACUCUGUGUCACUUAUAUUAUGAUUACUAAUAUCCGUUGAAUGGUUGCUUCCUCGGGUAGAUCUUUCUGCUUAUGCACCAUAAUUUUCUGGUCAUGUACUGCUCUCCUUGAGUAUCAUUCUUCGCAGGUUUUUUUGGCUCCUGUCACACUAACUCGAAAGGAAAAUAAAGAAGCCCCAUCCGAAAAACUUAAACCUCUUCUUUUAUAUUAACAACUUGCAUUGUUUUAUAUAAGCAUUUAGCAUGAGGUUUCUUGUUUUGUUGAUGCUUGGAGCAUGAUUCUAGACGUUUGGAGAUUAGGGAUUCGAAUAAAUUUAUGUUUGAAAUAUUCUCUUCAGGCACGUAAGUAGAUAUAACUUGUGUGGAGGUUAGGUGUAGAUUAUGAAAUUCAGAAAGUUUAUUUUAUCUAAAAAUAAAAUUUAACAAAAAUGUAAGUAUUUAUUUUUUUAAUAAAAUAACAACUUGAGGUACAAAUCCCAAAAAAGAAGCCCAAUCAAUGAUGCGUAAACAGAUUUCGCCUGAUGUUAUUAACUAUUGCACAUUUGUCAAUGGAUAUUGUCUUCAAGUAAGGUGAACUUGAUGCAUUGAACUUGUUCAAGAACAUGGAGGAGAAGGGUCACAAGCCUGAUGUUAUUUCUUACUGUGUCCUUCUCGGGGGCUUUGCUAGAAAUGGCCUUGCACGAGAGGCAGUCAAUCUUUUGAAUUAUAUAGAGGCACAACAUAAUCAUUAAAGGCUUAUUAUGUAUAUGUGGUCGUUAAGGUAAGGAAGCUGAAGCUUUCUUUAGAUAGUCUGCCAGAGAAGUAUUUGGGAAAUUAUGCUGCCUUGGUUCAUGGCUAUUUUGAAUCAAGCCUCCCCAAACGUCUGUGAAUUAUUUGUUAAGCUGUCUAAGCAGGGAUUUAUAGUAAGGCUUUUUGCUCAAAACUCCUUGUCUUUGCAUGGAUGGGGAUAAUGUUCUUUUUGAAUACUGAACCUACCAAAUCUUAUAUAUAAAUACUGAACCUACCAAAUCUUAUAUAUAAAUACUGAACGUCACGUGUUGAGCAUUCAUUUUACCAUGUGGCAGUCACUUCAUUUUUAAUUUUUAUUUUAUUUUUUGGACCUUCUAAAUACAUCACAAAAUUUUCUUUAUACAUAAAUUUUUUUUUUCAAAACUACCCUCAUAACAAAUAUAAAUUUUAACCUUAGAUAAAUGAUGAAAAUAUUCUCAAUAGUUUAUACAUCCCAACGCCACUUUUCUUAAAUCUUGAAAAUCGAUUUUCAAGAAUUAUAUUACGUUCUUGAAAAUGGAUUUUGUUUAGAGAUUUUUGAGAAGUCAUCUUGUAUUCUCAAGAAUCCAUUUUUGAAAAUACAUAAUUUUUGUUUAAAUAUAUAUUUAAUUAUAAGCUCUUAAUAACGUUUAAUUUUAAUUUAAAUAAAAUAAAUACAUUUAAUAUUAAAAUAAAUAAUGCUAAAAUAAAUAAAUUUGAUGUUCUAGGAUCUCCAAACAUCUCUACUAAUUUUUUCGAGGUAUAGCUUAAUUCUGACAAUAAGGAUCUCUAAUCUUUAAGCCACCAGUAUCCUGAUGGCUAAAAAAUACGGAUGGUCGAAAAAUUAGAGGUCUUUACUGUCAUAUUUGUUAGUUUGUUGAUGACAUUGUGAAAGUCAAUGUUCUAUAAAAUGUUCGAGCUUAGACCAACAUAAAUACACACACAUAAGUCAUUGACGUGCCCAUUCUUACUUGAUCAUACGUAUAAAUGGAAGAGACAUAUUAGUUCUCAAGCAUGCAUAAGCAUAAAUGUGCUUUUGUCUUGAGACCAAAAACUCAAAAACACAUUUUUAUCUAUACAAAACCAAAAAAAAUCAUAAAAUACUGUUCUUGAUUUUCUAAAGGUUCAAGAAAAAGAACAAGUUUAUGCCAUGCAUGUUGAGAAUGUUGAUUUUAGUUUCAUUUACAUACAUGAUCAAGUAAAUAAAUUUAUAAGCGCAUGCUUAAGGUUUUCAAUUAUUAAAAGUGAAAUCGAAGUUCUCAAAAAUAGAUAUCCAAGAAGACUUAAAGCUUCUUGGAUAUUCAUUUUCGAAAAGAUUCAAAAUUUUUUAAAAAUGAAUAUUCAAGAAGUUUGAGUCUUUUUGAAAAUGAAUAUCCAAAAAUCUUUAAAGCUUCUAGGAUAUGGAUAUUCAAGAAUCCUUAAAACUUAUCGAAUAUCCAUUUUUAAGAAACCUUAAAGCUUAUCGAAUAUUCAUUUUUAAAAAAUUCAAUUUUAGAAAAUAAAGAGAGAAAAAUGAUAGGAAUGAAAAAUAAAAAGAGAGGGGUGACGGUGUAUUUAGUAGAAAUAAAAAAUUAAGUUUUGAAUUUGGUGUGUAUUUAGAAAUUGAGUGUAUAAAAUAGAAAAUGGGGUGUAAAUAGAAUUUUUAGUUUUUUUAUCGUAGGUUUCAACUUUUUUUAAAACAAUUUUUAUAAAGACAUGUAAGCCACAUUUUUCUUUUUGUUUUUAAGGUGUGGACUUUUUUUUCAAUCAUUUUUUUUUGUUUUUUUAAUUGGGGGGCUCACAUGAUUUUUUAAAAAAAUUCUUUUAAAAGAUGUGGGACUCAUUUUUUUAAAAAAUUUAUCUUCUGUUUUUUUUUUUUGAAUUUUUUAUUAUAUUUAAUAUUUUAAAAAAUUUUCGUGAGACUCACUUAUGCCAAUUUUUUUCUACCCUUUUUAACUUUUUAAACAAAAUUUAUCUUUUUCAUUUUAAUUUUAUUUUCAUAAUAUGAAUUUUUGAUAAAAACUUAUCGUAAUUGACGUCACAUGCAAAAUAAAUUUCUUUAGAAAUGAUUAUAAUGUCCUUUUAAUUACUUCACUAUUGAGUUACAUGCAUUCAAAUUAAUUGUGAUGCAUCUUUUUCUAUGAUUAACUAAAUCUACAACCAUUAUUACGAAAAUACUCUCUUACCAAGAUUUGCCAAAAUGACUAUAAUACCUCUCCUACUAUAUUUAUGAAAAUUCUCAUAUUAUUGUCAAAAAUACUAUAAUACCUUCUAACCAUAAUUACAAAAAUAUUAUUUUAUCAUAAUUACGAAAAUACCUAUUAUAUUUUAAUGAGUUAGAAUUACUAUAAUACCCACUAACUAUAAUUACAAAAAAACCCAUUUUGAUUGCUCCAUAUAAUGCCUCUCCAAUCAUAAUUACAAAAAUACCAAUCAUAUUAUAAUUAAUCAAAAUUACUAUAAUACCCUUUAAGCAUAAGUAUGAAAAUACCUUUUGAUUGUUUCAUAAUUAUGCAUUAAAUUUUAACAUUCGUAUAAUAAUAUAAAAUUAAUCCUCUUAAAAAUAAUUAUAAUGCUUUUUAAUUACUUGACAAUUGAAUUACAUGUAUUGAAAUUCAUUAUAAUGCCCUUUUUCUAUAAUUAACUAAAAUAACUAUAAUAUCCCUCUUAAUAUAAUUACUAAAAUCCCCCUUUUAUUAUAAUUGCCAAUAUUACUCUAAUGGCCCUACAUCCAUAAUUACAUAAAUGCAUUCCUACCAUAAUUACAAAAAUACCUCUCAUAUAAUUUGCCAAAAUUACUAUAAUAUCAUCUAACCAUAAGUAUAAAAAUGCCCUUUUAUUAUAAUUACAAAAAUAACACUUAUAUUAUAAUUGACUAAAAUUACUAUAAUAUCUUUUACCAUAAUUACAAAAUACCCUUUUGAUUGCUUUAUUAAUGCUUUUCCUACCAUAAUUACCAAAAUACCACUGAUAUUAAAAUUUGCCAAAAUUAAUAUAAUUACGAAAAUGCCUUCUUAAUAUAAUUAUGAAAAUACUAAUAUUAUAAUUGGUUAAAAUUAUUAUAAUACCUUUUGCCAUAAUUACAAAAAAAAAAAAAGAAAAACCCUUUUGGUUGCUUCAUAUAAUGAUUCUCUUACCAUAAUUAUGAAAAUACCCCUUAUAUUAUAAUUGAUCAAAUUACUAUAAUAUCCUCUAAGUAUAAUUAUGAAAAUAUCAUUUUUAUUAUUUCAUAGUUAUGCAUUAAAUUUUACAUCCUGCAAUAAUAUGAAAUUAAUCCUUUUUAAAAUAAUCAUAAUACCCUUUUAAUCACUUAAUUAUUAAAUUACAUGCAUCCAAAUUGACUGUAACGCUCUUUUCUUAUGAUUAACUAAAAUUAUUAUAAUGCUCCUCUCAACAUAUUUACUAAGAUACCCCUCUUAUCAUAAUUGGCUAAAGUUAAUAUAAUAUCCCAACAAUCAUAAUUACGAAAAUGACCUCCUACUAUCAUUUACCCAAAUUAUUAUAGUGUCUUUUUUAUCAUAAUUACGAAAAUACUCUUUAUAUUAUAAUUUACCAAAGUUACUAUGAAGCCUUCUUACCAUAAUUAUAAAAAUAUCAUUUUUAUUGUUUUAUAAUUACAUGUUAAAUUUGAAUAUACAUAUAAUUAUAUGAAAGUAAUCUCAUUGGAAAUGAUCAUAAUGCUUUUCUAAUUAUGUGACAUUUGAAUGAUAUACAUCCAAAUUGACUAUAAUACCCCUCAUAUAAUUAACUAAAAUUAUUAUAAUUCCCCUCCUAACAUAAUUACUAAAAUACAUCUUUUACCAUAAUCAGUCAAAGUUAUUACAAUGCUUUGCAAUCAUAAUUACAGAAAUGCCCUUCUAUACUAUUGGUCAAAAUUACUAUAAUACCCCUCCUAUCAAAUUAAAAUUAUUGAUUUUUUUCUUUAAAAAUUUAAGUUGAACGGGAGAGAUAUUAGUAGGCUUUGAUUCCAUGAAUAAACGGGUUUGAAUUUGAUAAUUGAUCAAUGUUGAUAAUAGAUAAAUAUUUAAUUGGUAGGUUAGAUUUUCAUGUAUAUAUUAUUGGGUUUUGAUUUAAUUUAUAUAAUUUUUUUAAAGUAAUCUUUUUUAUUUAAAAUAAAAAUUGAUAUCUGACAAUUACAAUUGAAUGAUACAGUUCGAGUAUCAUUUUUUUAUUUUUUUCAAAAGAUAAAAAUAAAAAAAAACCAAUAAAAUACUAAAAAAUAUUUAUUUUUAAUUAUUAAAUAAAUUUUGUAUAAUUUAUAUUUCAUUAAAAUAAAAAAAUUUGUAACGGGGCGUAGUAGGGUAGUUUUUCUAGUUAAUGUAAACUAAACUCAUUAGUGCAUUUUGUCAGGCAGGAAAUUUGAAAAAGGCCCCAGCUGUUGUUUGAUAUUAUGAUUGAGAAAGGGCUAACACCCGAUCUAGUUAUCUACAUAAUAAUGAUAAGUGGCUACUGUAAAGUGAAAUUUUUUGCAGGAAGCCUUGGAUCUUUUCAACAUUAUGAAGGAGAGAGGGAUUAAACCUGGUUUUAUCAGUUACGCGGUCUUGCUUAACAGCCAUGCAAAUAUAAAUUUGAGGUCGCUUUCUAGUCCUGAUGUGACACAAAACAAAGACAAGACGAUAAUGGAUGCUUCAAUUUUAUGGAAAGAAAUUGAAGCACCUGGGGGUAGAACCUGAUGUUGUUUGCUAUACUGUUUUGAUUGAUCAGUAGGGCAAACAACCUUCGGGAUACAAUUAGGAUGUUUGAUGAAAUGAUUGAUACAGGAUUGAAGCCUGAUAAUGUGACAUAUACAGCUCUUAUAUAUGGCUAUUGUAAAAGAGGAUAUGCAGAGAAGGCUGUAAUCCUUGUCAACGAAACGUCAAGUGGGGCAUACAGCCAGACACCUGUAUCAUGUCAGCUUUGCACCAUGGUAUAUUGAAAGGAUUAAACUUUUACAAACCCCUUAAAAUAAAUAUACAAAAAAAAUAAUUUUCACAAGAUUUUCCAAAGAGCAGCAGCACGUUCAGUUCUGAGUGAACUUGGAAUUGAUCCAACCCAAAGAGACGGUUUUUCAGUUUCUGACGCAUCUCCAGCAGUAUCUUUGGGUGGUUAUUUUCUUUUUCUGCAUUGCUCUUUUCUCAAACUCUGGGUUCAACAAGUGCUGAUCCUUUCAUCAGAUCUAGCAGUCCAUUGCAGGACCAGAGAUCCUUAUUCUGGUAUGUCAAUUUCACCCGUAUCAAGUCCAUUGGCAACAGGAGAAGGGGAUUUGUUUUUGACCAAAACCAAGUUGAAACUCAUAAAACAGGGAGGAAGCCAGUCACCCACAUCUCGUCGAACAAACUGACAGGAUAGUGGUAGUAGGCCUAUCUUAUAGUCUUUUAAAUCAUGUUAUAAAUCAAUCACAUUGUUCAUGUAAUAGAUAAUAACCAAAUGUUAUGGAAGCAUUUAUGAAUUCAAUUGGAUUAAUUGACAUUUUAUUAUUUUAAUUAUGUUAUAUGUGGUGUUAUUUUAUCAGUAUUUUCUUUCCUCAAUCGCCCACUGCCCGCUCGCUGCAUGUUCUGUUUGGUUGCUAAAUCACCAUGAGUUUUUGCAACAAUCACCGCUGGAAGUAUUUAUUGUGUACAAGGUCAAUAGAUAUUACGCAACAAGCGGUAGGCAUAGGCAGUAGGCAAUAGGUAAUAGCAGCCCAAGUUGGGUGACAUUUCAAGCUUACAGCUUCUAACACUAGAAUCUCUACUCUCACCUUAUUAAAAGGGCAAAAGGGGUUAACGGAAAUGAAGAUGCUGCCUCACUUUGACGACAUGAUAAUGUUAUGCUAAAACAACCAUGCUGUGAUUUAGAAAGUAAAUUCCAAUAAUUAGCGUUCAUCUUUCUAUAACUCAUGAAGUACCAUUCAAACAUAGAAAAACGCAAAUUAUCUUAAACUAUUUCACACAAAAUUGUCAUAUAGAGCAUUCCCUUUAUACUUCUCUCCACAUAAAGCAAAUAUCGACCAAAGCAUAGCUGAGAAGAAGCCCAUUUAAAACAUUAACGUCAAACUAUACCCAAAAACUCGAACCAUCGGAUAUUACAAAUUCCUUCAAGCAGCUUGUUUUGUUGACUCCAUAAGCUUUAUGAAUUCUCUAAAAGCUGUACCAAGAAAUAACUUGAUUUGAGCAAGAGAAAUCAUUUUAACAAACAUAGAAAUCUGCAAUCUGUCAAAAUUAGGCAUAGGAAAGAAAUUUUUACCUAAAUCUGAAUCAUGAGGUCCUGGCGAUGCUUCAGGAUGGUAUUGAAGAGACAUAAUAUUUAACGCAGGAUAAGCUAGACCAGCGCAGCUUCCAUCAUUAAGAUUAACAUGAGUCACUUCUACACCCUCAGGGAGUGAUGCAGGAUCAACUGCAUAGUUGUGAUUCUGCCAAUCAUAAAUUCUAAGGUGAAAACACAACCCCAAAGAAAUAUUGCAACUUCAAACACAUGGAAGCUGAAUACUUAGCAGAAAUAUAUCCAAACUUAUAAAUACUCCACAACAUUGUCAAAAAAUAUAUUGAUUAGAUCUGCAAUAUUCAAUGAAUAUAUCAAUUUUUUUUUUUAAUUUCUUUUGCGUGUGUGUGUGUUUUGUUAAGUGUGGGGGUUAAGUGGGGUUGAUCAUCCUAGGGGUGUAAUCGAGCCAAAUCAAGACAAUACAGUGAAAAACUCGAGCUUGAGCUCGACUCCUAACUCGCGACUCAAUACUCAGCUUGAACAUAAUCGAGUUUCAUUUUCCUAGCUUGAGCUUAAUUUACGAUUGAAAUCAAACUACUCGAACUCACUUGAUUAAGCUCGAUUAAUAUAUAAAAAUAAACUCGAUUCUUAUACUUGACAAAAGUUCGAUUCUCAAGAUCGAGAUCUUUUAUAACUAUUUUUUAUCAAACCUAAUAAAAAAUGCUUUAAAUAAUCCCCUGUCAUUUUUUUUUAGUUUAUUCAAGACAUUUUUUUGCCUUGAAUAAUUCCUUACAAAAAAUUGAAUGGGGUUAUUAAAUGUAUUUUUAGCCAAAAACCCCUUGAAUAAUCAUCUUCAAUUUUUAUAAGAGGAUUAUUUAAGAUGUUUUUAGCCAAAAACGCAUUGAAUAAUCUCAUUUAAUUUUUUAUUGCGAGUUAUUCAAAGCGUUUCUAGCAAAAAAUGCCUUUAAUAAUUUCCUUCAAUUUUUAUGAGAAGAUUAUUUAAAGUGUUUUUGACAAAAAAUGCAUUGAAUAAUCUCAUCAAAUUUUUUAGAAGGGAUUAUAUAUAUUUUUUGGGAUUAUUCAAGAUGUUUUUGGCCAAAAAUACCUUAAAUAAUCCCUUACAAAAAAUUGAAUGAGGUUAUUCAAGACAUUUCUGGCCAAAAACGCUUUGAAUAAUCCCCUUCAAUUAUUAUGAAAAGAUUAUUCAAGGCGUUUUUAGCAAAACAUGUCUUGAAUAAUCUCCUCUAAUUUUUUAUUAGGGAUUAUUCAAGAAAUUUUUGCUCAGAAAAUACCUAAGCAAAAACACCUUGAAUAAUCUCUUAUAAAAAAUUGAAUGGGAAUAUUUAAAGAAAAAAGAAAAGGGAUUAUUCAAGGCGUUUUUUGCCAUAAUCCCCAAUAAAAAAUUGAAUGGGAAUAUUUCUCAAAAAAAAAAAAGGAUUAUUUAAUAUAUAUUUUUUAUAAAAACCACCUUGAAUAAUCCCUUGCAAUUUUUUAUUAAGGAUUAUUCAAGGCAUUUUUACUCAAAAUACACCUUGAAUAAUCCAUUAUAAAAAAUUUAAUGAAAAUAUUCUAAAAAAAAAAAGAGAGGAUUAUUCAAGACGUUUUAGGCCCAAAACACCUUGAAUAAUUCCCUCAUAAAAAUUGAAAGGGAUUAUUUAAGUCCUUUUCUUGCAAAAAACGUAUAGAAUAAUCCCUUACAAAAAUUUAAAGGGGGAUUAUUCAAGGUGUUUUAUGCUAAAAACGCCUUAAAUAACUCUCUUCAAUUUUUGUAAGAGAUUAUUCAUUUUUGAUCAAAAAACACCUUGAAUAACCCCAUUCAAAUAUAUAUAAUAGAAAAACUUAAUUAGAUUUGCGAGCUAUUCAAACCGAGUACUAAUAUGCUCGAACUAGACUCAUUCGAUAAGUCGAGCUACUCGAGCUUUAGCUCGGCUCGAUAAUUAUCGAAUCAAAUUCAAAUUUUAAACGAAUCGAAUCCGAGUAGCUUGCGAGUACUAAUGUAUUAUUUACACCUUUAGGUCAUCCCAUCGUAAAAUCUAAAUCCAUGCUAACAACACUAUACUUGCAUACAAGGGAUGUAUCGGUUAGCGAAUUAUUCAAUGGAAACACAUUGGCUACUUAAACACACCUGAGCACUAAUCUCAACAUGACCAUUGCAAAGAUUGCGAACAGGAUGAUUUCCUCCAUGGUGACCAAACUUCAUCUUAAAGGUUUUACCACCCAAAGCCUGCCCAAGUAACUGAUGGCCCAUGCAAACUCCAAAAACAGGAACUUUUCCCAGAAUUUCCUUGACUGUUUCAACAGCAUAAGGAACAGCAGAUGGAUCUCCUGGACCAUUGCUUAAAAGAACUCCAUCUGGCUUCAGCUUAAGGGUUUCAGCUGCUGGCCAAGUGGACGGCACAACAGUGAUUUUACAGCCAUAAGAUGCUAAACGUCGAAGUAUAUUAUGCUUGAUCCCAAAAUCAUACGCAACAACCUUCAAUUUAAAAGAAAUGGAGAAAUGUAAGAGCAGACACAAAGCAAAGAUCUAAAAGCACCAACAUAAACUUUCAAAAAUAUUUCUAACUGUGUAAGUCUCUUGAUCUCUUCCAUUAGAGUUGAACUCCCAUUCUGAUUUUGUUUUAUCAACCCACUCAUAAGGGGCAUUGCAGGUAACGCCACUUAUUAAAUCAACACCUGCAAAAUAAAGACAAGAAUAAUAGAGAUACAGUUAAUCUUAAACUUUUAAAAAUACUCGUAACUUUCAAAUAAGAUCCAACUAUUCUUACCUACAAUGUCCCAUGAACGUGACAUCUUCAAAAGUUCUUCAUCACUUCUAGAUUGUUCUGUGCUCAAAACUCCAAUAAGACUUCCAUCUUGCCUCAAUCUGCGGGUGAUUGCACGUGUGUCAACAUCAUCUGCCAUUAUAGGAAAGCAUCAAGAUACAAAGGAGGUCAGAAGCUAUGCCCAGAGAACAAACAAAUUUUUUAUGAGCAUGUUUUCUAAAGUUAAGCAGUCUACUAACUAGAUAUCCAGUGCCAUAUAUACAACUUACAAAUUCCCAUAAUAUUUCUUUCUGCUAAAUAAUAACUAAGUGUUUCUGCACAUCUCCAAUUCGAAGUCUGCAAAACAUUUAAUUAAAAUUUGAUAAAUAAAUGAGGAAACCUUUUGUUCCAAAGCUGUAAAUUGCAUAUCUAAGAUGUUAAAAGAGGAAAUUUACGAAAUACUUAGACUUCUGAUCACCAGACCAGCAAGAAAGCACUGCCUUGAUUCUUCAUCAUCUGAUGGGGUAGGCAUCAACAUCAGAUCAUAUAUAGUUUUCAACAAGUCAGCAUUGAAAUGAUCAAAAGAUAAAUUUCACUUACCAAAAUUUACUCCGGUAUUGCCAAUAUGUGGAUUGGUCAUCAGGACAAACUGACCAGCAUAACUAGGGUCUGUUAAAAUUUCCUGAUAACUGCACAACAAUUGUAUUUUGGCCAUGAAUUAGACUAUGAAUACAGAAACUUCUUUUUCCAAAGUCAUAACAGGGAAGAAAGUCUACAAAUACACUGCAAAAGAAAUAAUAAGAGCAAAAACGAUCUUUUGAAGGCCAGCCCAAAUAAAAACAACAGUGAAUUAAAACAAGUCUGUAACUUCAAUGAUUCAAUUAUUAUGCAAACUCUAUAUAAUCUUACUGAAAAUAACUUCAAAUUCAAAAUUUUACUAAAACUUUAGAUUUAUCCAACCUCACCUUAUUUCGGGCAAUCCAUUGUUCAAUACCCCACAUUACGCAUCAGUAAAAAUUUCUUUAAUUUAGUUAAAAUUCUAAAGAGAAACAGAAAUCCAGAAUACUAUAUCAUCUUACCCUGUUAAAGAAGUGUUAAAAACCACCUCGCCGACUUGGGUUCCAGAGGCACCAAAAGAUUUAGCCCUCCAAAUAGAACCAUCUUCAAGAGCCAGCCUAGCAUCCGCUACCUUCCAUGGCCUCUCCGCCAAUCCUUAAACCACCCAUCACCAAAGAUAUUUCCACAUUAUUUCAAAACUAUAUAGGAAAAAAGAAAGACAAAAUUUGGAAGGAAAAAGUGAAAAAGAGUUUACCAGUGGCGGCACCGUCAGAGGAGAGAGGGAGGGAGCACCUGACAGUGAUAAAUCGAAGUUUGGAGGAAGGUUUUGGCGGGUUUCGGGAAAAGCAAAAAGAUGGUUUGUAACUGAGUGAAAAAUCCAUUGCUUUGAUGCCCAUUUUCUUUCUCUGGAAGUGGUUUUUGUAUUUUGUAGUUAGGGUUUUAUUGUGAGUCCGAGUUACAAAGCUAACAACAAUAAAGGUUUGUCUUUUGGAUUUCGGCUAAACAACAACUAAACAAUUGCUGCUCUGAGACGUGUAGGCUGCCCUUUGCUCAUUUGCAAAAGAUUCUUGUGGGUUUCUGGACAUAGCUAAAGCUGGGUAUUUUGGGAAAUCCAAGGUCAAGGCGUUUGGGCUAUCAUCAACCUCUUUCCUUCUUUUCAUACGAGUAGGGUUGUACAAGGUCGGGCCGACUUAGGUUAAAUCCGGUUAAUAUUUUUAGGGAUUUAUUCAAGUUCGGCUUACUUCAAGAAAAUUAAUUUAGGUCUAUUGUUAUUAUUAUUUAAAAUAUUAAAAUCAUUGCACAUAAAUCCCUCAUGUAAUCAAAUUAAACUUUAAUAAAUCAAAUAAAAAGUAAUUAAAUUUUAAAACCAUUAUGAAAAUUAUUUAAAAUAGUUAUCCAAUUUUUUUAAAAGAUAAAAAUUUCUAUUUUUCUUUUAACAUAUUGGCCAUAUCAAGAAUAAAAUGAAAAUGAAAAUGAAAAUAUUUUACAAAAUUAAAUGGGUCCUAAAAAUCCACUAUAGCAAUUAAAUGGUACAUGGGCCACAGGUGGGUUCAGGUUCGGGACUCCAACUAGGUUUAAUCAACUUCCCCGAAGACCAUUUCUGAUAAAACCCGAAAGCACAGUUGUUUGAUACAAAGCAAAGGCAUUUUUCAAUUUCUGUGAUAAACCCUUAAACCCCAGAAACACCAUGAUCCGAAUCGCGAGAAACCCAAGGCCUCUAACAACUCUGAGUAACCAACUCCUCCAACGCUUCAACGUCAGCGGAACCGCGAAAGGCAAGUCCAAACUCAAAGCCGGCCAACCUUUAAAACGCUCCAAAAUCUCCACUAAAAAAGGCAAGGGCGGUGCUCCUAUCGACGAUUCCCUCCCAAAAGGCGGCCGUAUCCCCGACGAAAGGCAAAGACUUUACGAACAGUGCCUCAAUGCACCCACGCCGGUCCGUCAUCUCUCCCCAAAAGAGCGAGCUCGUGAAUCCGAACGGGAAAAAUUGGGAUUAAUUAGCAAAGAAAGGCAACGAGAAAGGGAGAUUUUGAAGAAAGGAGGAAGACAAGCAAUGGGGGUUCCUGAUGAGCCUAUGAUAAUGGGAACACCUGGGCUGGAUUUGAUUACUCUGGGCCUUGUUGAUGCUGAUAAGAUACCCAAGUACGAUCUGACGGUGGAGGAUGGACGGAGAUUGGCUAAGGAGUAUAGUCGAGUUUUAAUGAGGAAGCAUAGGGCAAGGCAGGCUGCUGAGACUAAUUUGUUGAGAAUGAAAAAGGAGGCGAUUGAGGCAUUGCCGGAGAAGCUUAAGGAGGCGGCUAUGAUACCCGAUUUGACCCCAUUUCCUGCAAAUCGGUUUAUGGCGACUUUGACUCCGCCUAUCGAAGGGUAUAUUGAGAAGGUUAAGGAAGCGGCGAAGCAAAGUUCCGCCAAACAGAAGCUUAGGUGAAGUUUGGGUGAAGGUAAUUUUUUUUCUGUUCAAAGUGUUUUAAUUUUAAAACUGGGUUCUUGAUGAAUUGUUAGGUAGGUGUUUUAGAAUAAAGCUGUUUUUGUUAUUAAAAUUUCUAUUUUUGACCGAAUGUAUAUGCAACUUUUUGUUUUUUUUUUUUUUUUUUGCGGGGGUCGAAUCUAAUUCAGUUAAAAACCAAAUAUGAGUUUAGUUUUGUUGGUUUGAUAUCAGUUUGGCAUCACUUUGACGUUCUGAAUUAGUUUAUAGUUGAAAUUCACCUUACUUAGAAACCAUUUUUGGUUUGGAACAGAAUGGCUGGAGUUUUUUUUGGCCAAAAGAAUGCUUGGAGUUGGACACUUCUUUUUUCAAUCUUGGUUAACUGAUAACAUUUAGCGCUCUUUUGAUGGCGCUGAAAUUGACUAAUCUCUUAAUUCCAGUUGGUUCAUGCAUGCAGUAAUUCUUAAGUGAUGACAUCCAACAACUCUAGGAUUCAAAUCUUAAUAUCUGUAAUUCUAUCUUAAGUUGCAACCUUCUUUAUACCAAAAAAAAGAAAAUCGACUAAUCUCUAGGCUUGAAAUUGAUUUGUUAAAGGCGGAAGUGAUAUGUCAGCCGAUUGAUUUUUAUACUUGCUAGUGCUACCAUUCAAAACUCAAGUUUGUGAAAGAAAGGGCCUGCUUGUGUGACAUCCCAAGGCUAGAAGGAUGCUAUUUGUGACUGAUUUUGACAAAAGAUGUUCCAUUACUUGAUGGCUUUGUUUGAAACAGUCAUUUUGACAAUGUUCAUUAGGACGUAGGACAUGAUUUUACUUGAAAAAUUCCAUUGUUGGAUCACUAGUCCUUUAAUUGCCAAAGACAACAAUAUUGGUGAUCAACUUAUGUUAUACAAAAAGUGUUUCCUGCUCAGGCUGAGUUCUAAUGAGGGCAUCUUGUUCUUGGUCCUUAAAAUCCACCAUAUUGGCAUGUUAAAGUUUCAUAGUAUUGGCAUCAUUUUUAUUGUUCAAUCUGACUUCCAAUUUGAGAAAUUUUUGUACAAAUCUUUCUUUUUAAUAUUUGUUGUGGAUUAGACAUCUAGUUUUAUCUGAUAGUAAGAAUUUGUUGAAUAUGGUCCAGAAUACAAACAUCACACAUUCAUUUCUUAUGCAUAAAGUAUUUAGGAGCAGUGAUAUUUUUUAUUUUUACUUGAUUCAUUAAUUGCUUGCUGGCAAGAACUUCCCGUGCUGCUCCUGUAUCAUUAACCUUUGCAAUUCUGGCACCUUAUUGCUAUCCUUGUGGCUCUACAAUUUGGAACUUUGAUGGUUUUAUACUAUGAACUUGCUUGUUUUAGUGAAUACUGUAUAUGUUUUUCUUAUUCUAGAAUCUUUUGUGGCUGCAGCAGGCAGGGAUGAUGCUCACUUAUGAAACUGAUGAUCCAUUAUAUAGCAGCAGUGUAGUGUGAUUUUCUGGAUGGAAGAGGGUUUGAAAAUAGUUUGGUGAAAAUUGAUGAAUGUCCUACUUUCUAGUUCAACAUUGAAACUGCCUUCUUCAUGGUUUGUUGUAACUGGUAAUCCAAGCAUAGUCAAGUUACAAUGAUGCUUUUUGAUAAUUGCAUGCAAUAAUCUGAUGGCUCAAAUUGAAGUCUUUGUUAUUGUUGUUGUUUUUUACUGGAUUUCACCUUGGUUUUUUCCAGAAUAGAAGCUUUAGAAUUUUCUUGUGGAAGGCAUGGGACUGGAUUUGUAUCAUCAACUUCAACCUUGUUGAAUGUUGAUUGUGCUUGUGUGUAUUUUUGGUUGUUACCUAGUUUUACUUUUUUUUUUUUUUCUAAUUUUAGCAAUAUCAAAUCAUCUUGAAUUGUUCAUAGUCAAUUAAAGUAAUUUUAAGUUACAAAUGAUAAAAUUAUUUUAAUAAUAAGAUUAUUUCUAGGAUUAAAUUAAUACAAUGAUUUUAAAAAUAAUAUAAAAAAAUAAAUUUGAAAAAUGAUGAAAUUUAGACACGUGCCUUGCACGAGCCGCCUAAAUUACUAACUUCCCUCGUCUUGUUGGGUAUUGUUGGUUCUUAUCAACUUUCAGUAGGGGAGUGCUGCACCAAGCUUCACCAAUUAACGCUCGACGCAGCAAAGGGCCACAUAAUUGCACUUUCUAAGUUCAAAACCGGUAACUUGUUUAUCACAAGUUUAAUGAGACAAAAUCAAUGCUUUACACUUUAUGGCUUUUCAAACAUGUUAGCCCAAACUCCACGUAGCAUUCGAAAAGAAAAUAAUAAUAUCAUAUUUCAUUUUUUUAUAGUUGUGGUGCAUUUGUUUUUACUAUAUAUUUGUUUUUAUUUUUUGAAAAAUAAAUAAUAAAAUGCAUAAUCGGAUAUAAAUAAAUCAAUAUUUUUUAAGAUUUGUAAAUAAAUAUUUAAUUUAUUUAGUUAAUAAAAUGGUGACCGUGCUUUUAUUAAUUAUUACUUGCAUUUUAAAUCAAUGUUACAUUUUAAUUAGUUAUAAUUUUACUUUUUAUAUCUUUCAGUUCAAAAUGACUUUUGAAGAGCAAAAAAAUCAGAAUUUUAUACUUUUUGUUCUAUUUUAUAUUCAUAUAUAUAUUUUUUAUUUAAACACAAUUUUUUACUUAUUUAAUUAACUCAUUUAUAUAGGCAAGAGCGGAGUUCAAAUAAAAAAACAUUUGAAAUCAUGUGUGCUUAAAAAAAGUCCAAAUAGUUUUCUUUUUUUUUUUUCAUUUAGUUUACUUCUUGUUGAGAUUAAUAUUAAUUUUACAAGUUGCCGGUAUAACAACAAAGAGCAUUUUCAACAAAUAACAUCUUGAGAAUUUAUUUACGUAAUCCAAUGUAGAAUCAAUGACUGAAUGCUAACUUAAAUUGUAUAUAUUAAAAAAAACAUGUUCAAAAAUAUUAAUAACAACACAGUACAACGUUUACAAAAUAUAAAAACAUAACAAAAAUAAUUGUAAAAUUUUUAAUAAUUAUAACGGAUAUGAAAAUUUUAAUUUUUUAUUACUAUUAUCAUUAUUAUCAUUAUUGUUAUUUUUUAUAAGUUAAUAUAUUCGAAUUAAUUUCCACUAUAUAAAAUUUUUGGCUCACCAGUGUAUAUAAAUGCAUGUAUAUUUUUACCUACAAUGUAAAUCUUGAUGAUCUACAUCAACUCGAAAUUGUGGUACACUUGAUGAUAUAAAAAAUUGUUUCCCAGUAAUAAAUAAAUUUAAUGCAUGUUUACUGAUGAUUUUAUUAAAUAAAAAUAAUAAUAUGUAAAUAUGAUUUUAAUAGGGAAAAUAACAAACACCAAAUUUCCUUUGAUAUUUUUUAAAAUAUCAUACUUUCUUUUAAUAAAAUUUAACUAUAAAAAAAUUUAGAUUUAAAAGAAUUUUUGAGCAAAUAUAAAAAAAAAAGUGAAAAGUAGUAUAAAACAAUUUCAAUUUAAUAAAAGAAUUCUAAAAGGUAUUAGGGUAAAAACACGUUCAAGAGUUUAUAUAUUAUAUAAUAUUUAUGGCAAAAAAGGUUAUUUUGAUUAAAAUACUAACACAGCAUGAAUGGGAAUUUUGUCUCAUAAAAUCUUUAUUUUUUAAUUUAUUAUCUCAUAAAAUCAUUGGUAAAAAAUGCCAACACCAACUCCCUCUUACUUUUAUUUGAUUUAACCCUCUUACUUUCAUCUUUACCGUAUGGGAACAAGUUACCGGUUUUAAACUUAAAAAAUGUGAUUACGUGGCCUCGACUGUUGGACGGCGAUAAGAUGUUAAGGUAUUGGAAGGUACAGUCUUUUUCAUUUUCAAUCUUAAAUUUUUAUAUUAUAUUUAUUUUUAUAUUCUUAUUUAAUGAGUAUUUUAAACUCAUUUUUAUUUUCAUUUUCAUAAAUUUUUAAUAGAAAUAAAUAAUUAUUAUACCCAUAAUUUUAAAAAAUAAUAAAAACCAAAAUUUUUUUUUAAUUUUUAUCUUAUAUAUUUAUGUAAUUUUUUAUAAAUAAUUAUUAAUUUUUUUAAUAAAAAUAUAUUAAUUUUAAUUAUUUUAAUAAAAAUUUAUUUAUUAAAUAUAUAAAAAAUAAAUAUAUAAGUAUUGAUACAAUACGAGUGUUAUAGUACUCAACUUUAUUUUUAUACCUAAUAAAAAUUUUAAAUCAUAUUUAUCUAAAUUUUAUUUUCAUAUUCAUAAUGUAAUAUUUAUUUGAGUUAAAAAUUAAAUUUUUCAUUGGAUAUGAAUAAAAUUAAUAUUUUUAAUAGUCAAAUCUAGUUGGUGUUACCCUUAGCAUCUUUUUUUUUUUCAAUAGGGAUGUGCAAAUUUUAGUUUUAAUCAAAUUAAUCAACUAAAUUGAUUUAAUUUGAUUAACUAAUCAAUUAAUAAAUUAAAUCGGUUGGAUUUUUUAAAAUAAUUUUGAACAAAAUUUAAUUUUCAAUUAAUUUGAUUUAAAAAUUAAAUUAAUUGAGUUGAUUAAAUAAUUAACUAAAAUUUUGGUAUGUCAUUCAAGUAAAAAAUAUGUUUUCAAACUCCACAAUAAAUUUUAUAAUAUCCUACAUCAAAAUAAACUUGAAUUUUGUAGCACUUUACAAUCCAAGUGAUGAAAACAUAUCCAAAGAGAUCGUUGUAAUUUUCUUUUACAACUUGUGUGUGACCUUUAUAUCUCUACCAAUAAGCUUACUAGCAGAGCCAAACUUAGAGCUCUUGGAGAUUAAGUCUAACACCUAGUAUAGCAAUUGUAGGAGAUUACCGAUACACUCGGUAAUAAUAGUAAUUAAUUGCAAUUGUUUAACUACAUAAUUUGUAGUAUCUAAAUGUAAUUUUUUUAAUCAGUAUGAUAUAAUCUAAAUGGUUUGAAUAUUCCAAGAGCAAUAACAAAAAAAAAAAAAAAAAACUGAAAUUUACCCGAAUCAAUUAAAAUUAAUUCAAUCGAUUAAUUUUUAAAAAUAAAAAUUUCAGGUUAAUGAAACAAAAAUAAAAUAUUUUGAUUAAUUUAAUUUUUAAAUAAUUGGAUUCCAUUUAUUUAUAGGUUUAACUCUCAUUCUCUGUCGCUAGAACUUAAACCCUCUCAGAAUACACCUCUCUCCUUUUCAACACCCCAAUCGGAGAAAAAAAAAAUGGCUCGAAACGAAGAGAAAGCCCAGUCCAUGCUCAAUCGAUUCAUAGCCCUAAAAGCCGAGGAAAAGAAGAAACCCAAAGAACGCCGUCCUUUCCUCGCAUCCGAAUGCCGCGACCUUGCCGAGGCCGACAAAUGGCGUCAACAAAUCAUGCGAGAGAUCGGCCGCAAAGUCGCCGAGAUUCAAAACGAAGGCCUUGGAGAACACCGCCUCCGCGAUCUUAAUGACGAGAUUAACAAGCUCAUCCGCGAGAAGUCACAUUGGGAACGCCGUAUCGUUGAACUUGGCGGCCCGAAUUACGCCAAACACGGCGCUAAAAUGACGGAUUUAGAAGGGAAUAUAGUUGAUGUUCCGAAUCCUAGCGGACGUGGGCCUGGAUAUCGGUAUUUUGGAGCGGCGAAGAAGUUGCCGGGGGUUAGAGAAUUGUUUGAGAAGCCGCCGGAGUUGCGAAAGAGGAGAACUAGAUAUGAUAUUUACAAGAGGAUUGAUGCGAGUUAUUAUGGGUAUAGGGAUGAAGAGGAUGGGGUUUUGGAGAGAGUGGAGGGGCCAGCGGAGGCAAAGAUAAGGGCUGAAGCUGAGGAGGAAUGGAGGAGAGUAGAGGAGAUUAGGAGAGAGGCAAGGAGAGGGGCGAAGGAAGUGGUUAGUGUGGGGGCUGUGGCGAGGGAAGUGUUGUUUGAGGAAGAGGAGGAUGUGGUGGAGGAGGAGAGGAGGGAGAGAGAGGAGAAGGAGAGAAAAGAUAAGGAGAGGGAGUUUGUCGUGCACGUGCCUUUACCUGAUGAGAAGGAGAUUGAGAGGAUGGUUGUGGAGAAGAAGAAGAUGGAGCUUUUGAGUAAGUAUGCGAGUGAAGGGUUGUUGGAGGAGCAGACUGAAGCCAAGGAUAUGCUUAACAUUCAGCACUAGAAUAGCUGAUGGUAAUGUUGUAUUUUUUUUACUUUAAAUUUAGACUCUGAUUACAUAACAUUUCUGUUUUGGUUAGAUUGCCUUUAUAUUUAUGUGGAAUUUGAGUUUGAAGAAUUACUUUUCCAUAUGCAACUUCGUGAUUAUGUGGAAAAGAGCUAGAAAAUUGUUUAUAUUUGCAAAUUGUGAUAAUGGCUUUCUUUGUUGGAUGAAAUAAGAGAUUAUAAGGGGAAUGUUGAUUAAUCAUUGAUGUUGCUUUGAGUAACAGUCAUUCGCACUAGUGUUGGAUGUAAAACUGGAAUUGUUGUGUCAGUAAAAUGCUACUCAACAUUGGCCUCUGAGUCUUUUGCAUAUUUAUAACAGUUUACAGGCACUAUAACAAGUUUUGCUGGGUUUAAAAGAGAGUCCAUAGAUAGUAUAAAUUCUGCUGAUAGACAACAUUUAUGUGAUCUGAUGAAAUAUAAAGACAAUUUUAGACCAUUUAACCCAUGCUGGCCUUCCAACAUGUUUUAUUCCUUAAACUUUAACUCCAUUUUUGGAGUUGACUUUAAGUGAAAGAUAUAUAACUUUUGAAUGAACCUAAUGUUUUAGGCUAGCAUGAUCUAGGGAAUUCCAACACGGCAGUAGAUUCUAAUCUAACUGAUAAGAUCUUAAUUAAAGGAAAAAUAAGAAAAAAAAAUCUCAUGCUGGUGCUGUUCUGGUACAUGAGUUGUUGUAGGUUUUCUAACCUGUUUAAGUACCUAUACUUUGUGAAAAUGUUGCAUGCUUUCACUUUAACCAUGGUAUUAGUAUGAGGGAAACCUUCCUAGAAUUAGUGGAAAAUGAAUUAAUCAUUUUAAUAGAUAGAAAAUUGGUGUCAUUGCAGUUUAUCAUAGCAUUUAUUUUUUUAUUAAUGAUGUUUGCUAUCAUACAGGAAAAUGACAUGCCACCUGUGAUCUUUAUCAACAAAGAGAUGCCACCAACCUGUUACUUUAAAGAUCUGUGCUGGUGAUAAACAUAUAGUAGAAAUUUAUGUCUAAAACAUAGAUGCUAUAUUUUAGUAACUUUUGACUUAGCAGUUUUUAUGAAGUAACUUUAGGAUAUCUGAUCAUGCAUAGGGUUCUUUGAGUCAAGACUGUCUGAUCUUAAAUUGAUCAAGGAAACUCCUAGGACAAUAUGCUGUAAUAGUGUAACCAGUUGCUGCAUUUAGUUGUUCUCUAGUUCUCAUUCAUAUAUCCUUUUUAUCCUUUGAGAAAGCAAUUUUUUCUUGAAACAAAAUCUGGAGAGUAACAUAACCAUUUAUAAUCUUCAUUAUCAUUUUCUUCUGCCCAAAUUCUGUUUUUUUUUUUUUUUUUGGGUAUACGACAUGCCAAAAUUAUUCGAAAUCAUUUUCGAAGAGGUAGUAAAUCAAAUGUACUUUCUGCUUUGAAGCAGUCAAAAGUAGACAAAUCAGUGCAUUUAUUCUGCUAAAACAAUAUGUAAGGGCUGUAUUCUAUAUUUCUACCACUAGACCACUAGACCACUGCUGCUUCUUAAACACAUCUGAUAUAUGAUGUUCAGGAAUUUGUUUGCAUGUAUCAAAUUGUGUUUGAAAUUGCAAUUUGGUGUGCGGCCUUUGCCUUUCUAUUGACUGUUUGAAAUUGGUUGAAUCCAAUAUGUGGUCAUUGUAAGCACUGAUUUUUGCAUAUUUUCCUGGUUAGUGUUAUUAUUUCUCAUUUAAGCUUGUGACCUAAAUGGGUGUUAGGGCAGUGCAUAGGUUGUGUGCAUUUGUUUGGGUCGGGUGUGUGUGAAAGGGAAGGAAGUGAGAUGAGAUGUAGGUCUAAUGUCUAUCUCCAAGUCAUUCUUAUUAUUCCAUAACAAGAGGACUCUUCCUUCUGUCCCCAUAAAGUUCCACUAUUCCUUGAUUUGGAAACCUAACUUUGAGCUGAGGAUGAGAGCUAUUAUGAGCAUGUUGAGAGCAGUGUCAUAAAAGUUAUUGUUGCGGAAAAUGUUGCUGUUGAGGUCAACAGUCAUUGAAAGAAGCCAACACAUGCUUUCAGCCAUGUGGUUUGCUGAGAGCUAAAGUUUGUUGAAUGGAACUGGUUUUGCCUCCGAAAUCUUACUUUUAGAGGGGUACACUUAUGUACACAUGCCAACAAAAGUUAGUUAUAUGAGAUGCAAAAUGCUUUACUUCUCGUUUGAAAACUUCCUAAAAAGUGAAGGAGGAAAAUGUGGAACUGGUUUCAAUUCGGCAUUCUUGUUAUCUUGGGGAAACCUGUUCUAGAGGAAUACGCAUAACGCUUCUUUCUAUCAAAACAAAGACAUAUAUAUCUCGUUUAAGUUGCUGAAUUCCAUUCUGCUAGUUUCUAUCUUGCUCGCAAUUAUUUGUCAAUAUCAAUAGCAGAGUAAGUGAAAGGUAUUUGAAAUUCUAAUUAAUUAAUUAAAGAUAGAAUUCAUUGGUUUAUCAUAGUUGUGUUUCUGGCUUUCUGCAGUUAUAGAAGAACGUUACGACAAUGGUUUGCAAAAGUGAAGAUUUUGUUCAUUGCUUCAUGCUUAUGCAUUAGUUUGAUUAAAAGGUUUAAUCUGGAGACAAAAUCUUUGGGUGCUUCACAAAGUCACAAAAACCAAAACAAGACUUCUCCCACUUGGAAUUUGCUUUACCAAAAAUAGAUAUCUUCUGGAAAUAUUGGAUUAGGCACAGCGCUUGUUGAAUGAAAUGAAAUAGACAUUCUCGCCGAAAAUAGAAAGGUAUUAGUUAGUUUCGUUUCUAAAUCGAAACAUAGGAAUAUAGGAAGAAUACUAUAAAAUGUGCAAUUUCAAAGUUAAAAUUUGCAGUUAGUUGAAAUCAGAGAAAUCCUAGUAGCGUCAUAGAAUUACCAUUGUUAAAAAUACAUAAAAUAAGCUGCUUCAGCAGGAAAGUCUCACAUUGAAGGAAAACAAGAAAUAGCAAACCCGCCCUUUUCUUUAGAAUAAAUCACAUUUCACCCAUUCAAACUGUGGAGCCAUAUAGCGAGCACAACGUGAGCUAUUCUUUCGCCUUUUACUAGAGAAUACCGUGUGCUCACUGCUUAAAACGGCAUACACCAAUUUUUGGAGGGGCUAUUCUACAAAGAAUGCUUCCAAACAAUUCUAGUUAAAAUUUUUCUGACAAUGGCAAAACAUCAAACAAUCGAAGUCGCAGAGAUAUCUAUAUUAAUUUCUGCUGCUAAUGCACUGCUGGUCCUUAUAUACAGCGACCUAGUUUUAUGAUUAUCGAUGUUUCUGAAGAUUGAUAACUAUAAUAAGAAAUAAAUUUACGAGUAACAAGCCACUGUUUGAAAAUAGUUGUAGUUGAUUAACUACCAUGUUUGCCACUACUGGUGGAUUAUUUUGGCUUUGCUCUCUUUAUUUGUGAUCUCCAGGUUUUGCAUUCUUUACUAGUGGAGUUAUUUUUGGAACACCUGUGUUAAAUAUAAAAGGAAAUGUUUCAUGCAAACUUUAUGAUAAAGUUGUAAAAUAAAGAAUAAUACGUUUCAAAGAAUAUAUUACUCAUAAAACUGAUAAUGUUACACCAUGUCCUAACGUUACUCACAUGUUAUGCUUUUAUAAUUCUUUUGAAAAUAUUGUUGUUAAUUUCUCAAUAAAAAUUAUAAAAUUACAUAAGCAUAUGCAACUAAUUUUCGCCCUUUUUCUUAACUAUAUUAUUAAUAGGAAUAGUAAGAGAAAGUAUGAUGAAACUAUUUCAAGAAAGCAAAUAAAAAAAAGCCGACAACAAAAGGAGAAAAAAUGAAUUUUUAUAACAAUUAAGAGGGGAACAUGAUUAUGAAGGAUUUAUUGAUGAAGACACCUCUACCAGACAAGCCAUGCGAGAUAAUAUCCAAUCACAAUAUGAGUGACAUAGAAGACAAGAAUUUAGACAAAAAACUAGUGGUUAGAAUAACAUAUGAAGAGGGAUGCAGCUCUCAUAACUCAGUUGCUAAAUAUUUUGAAGAGAAAACAAGGAAAUCAACUCCAUAUGAGUUUGAAUUUUCAUUAAAAAAAGUUAUACUUGAAUUGGUUAGAGUAAGAGUUCAAGGUAACUAAAAAUAAGUGAUUCAAUUUUUAAGACAUUAAGAAGGAAGGGGGGUGAAUUAGUAUCAAAUUUUUGAUAUAUGAUUGACUUCCUUUUCAGUUAGCAAACUCUACAUGGUUGCAUAAUUUGAUUUCUGUGGCAGUAGAAGUUGGCCAACAUGUGAAGCUUCUAACACCUUAUGUGGUCUCAGAUGUGUAUUUAGAGUCUGAGUAUCAACAAAUUCAUGAAUGUGUUAAAGGAUUACAAGCUCAUUGGAAUGAAUUAGAUGUCACUUUGAUGAGUGAUGGUUGGACCAACAGUUUGAAUCAAAUGCAUAUCAUUAAUUUUCUUAUUUACUGUAGUAAAUGGACCAUUUUUUGAAAAUCUAUAGAUAUCUCAAGUAUUCAUAAUAUAGAUGCAAACUUUUACUACAUAUUAUUGGAUAACACUAUGGAAGAAAUUAGGAAAAAAUACAUUGUUCAAAUAGUCACUGAUAAUGAGGUAGCAAUUAAGGUUGCAGGAAAAAGACUAAUGGAGAAGAGAAAAUAUUUGUAUUAGAUAGCAUGUUUAGCUCAUUGUUUGGACUUGUGCCUUGAAGAUAUUGGUAAGAAAAAAAAUAUGGCAAAGGUUUUGGAUGAUGCAAAAAAAGUGACUUGUUUUAUAUACAAUUACAUUUGAAUUGUUAAUUUAAUGAAGAAAUAUACACAAGGGAAACAAAUACUUUAUGCUGCUUUUACUUGAUUUGCCAUUCAUUUUAUACAGUUAGAAGAAAUAAUGAGGCAAAAGAAAGGUUUGAAAGAGAUAUUCAAUUCAAAUGUUAGUACUUAGUAAUUAAUAUUACUAUUUAAAUCUAACAUCUUUUUAUGAUGUGAUUGUUUAAAAUAUUAAUUUAAAAUAUAUUACUUUAAAAAUUUAUUGAUGAAAAUAUAGAAAUUUAAAGAAUCAAAAUGGAGACAAGAAAAAUCAGGCCUACUUAUGAAGUCAAAAAAAAUCAUUUUGGGAAAAAAAUUUUGAAAAAAAAGCAAGUGAUAUAAUAAAAGUUUAUGAGCUUUUAGUAAAAGUGUUACGCCUUGUGGAUGGUGAUGAAAAACCAACAAUGGGCUUUAUUUACGAGGUUGUGGAUAGAGCUAAAUAAGCAAUUUAGUAAAAUUAUUGUUAUUCUGUUGAAUAUGAAAAGAUUAGCGAUAAUAGAAGGAGUUUCAUGCACUCUGACUUGUAUUUAGUUGGUAAGUAAACUAAGAAUAUAGAUGGUAUUUAAAAAAAAAUGUUUAUUUUUUACACUUAAAUUGCUUAUAUAAUAUUUUUUAUUACUUUAAUAUAAUAUUGUUAUGAAUUAUGUUUAGGUUACUAUCUAAAUCCACAAUUUCAAUUUGGAGUCAAACAUUUUGCAAAUGUAUUUAAAGAAACAUUAAAAGGUAUAAAAACAAUUAUGGAAAUAUUAGAACCUUUUAUAGAUACUCAAAUUAGAAUAAUCAAUUAGGUUAGUAUUUAAUAUUAUUUUAUAACUUUGAAAUUUAUUUUAUGUAUUAAAAAUAGAAUUAUUUUUAUUUAUUCAUUUAUUAUUAUAUUUUUAAUCAAUGUAGUUGUUAUUAUUUCAAAACAAGUAUGAACAUUUGAUACUUCCAGGUACAAAGAGCUUGGAAGCAAAUGAAUCUAAGUACAUAGUAAAUUAAAUAAUUAUAAUUUAUUUAUAUUAUUUAAUUGUAUAGCAUAUUCAAAUUUAAUUUAAAUAAUUUUAUACAGCUGAGUAGUGAAUGAUAUAUGGCACUUGUGUUCCUGAAUUACAAAAAUUAGUAAUCAAAGUGCUUAGUCAAACAAUAUUUGCAUCAAAUUGUGAACGUAAUUGGAGCACAUUUAGCUAUAUUCACACUAAAACAAGAAACAGAUUGAAGUUUAAAAAACUUCAAAAACUUGCAUACACCUAUUACAACAUGAGGCUAAAGAUAAGACAUCAAAAAAGAAUAAGCAUUGACAAGAUAAAUAAUAGUUUUAAUCUAUUAACCUUGACUAUAUUUUUAAAGAUGAUGAUCCACUAACAAAAUGCUUGCAAAAGAAAAAAAAUCAUUAGUUUGAUAGUCAAAACUCUGAUUGGUUACCCACAGAUAAUUUUGAUAAUGAAAUGAAUGUUAAACAAUCACAUCAAUCUUAAGAAAGGAAUGUGUCUCAUUCAAGUUCAAGUUCAAGUCUAACACCAAAUUUGAAUGAUGAUGGUAGGGGUUUAAAUCCAUAUGAUGAUGAUGGUGUUGGUGAUGGUGAUGGUGAUGGUAUAAAUUUUUGUGGUAAUAUAGAUGCAAAUUAACCUUACAACCCACUUGGAGGAUAACUUAGGCUUGUUGCUACUAGUGGACUUUUUAUUAACAUGGUAGAAUAUAGAAUAAAUCUAUCUGAUGAAUAUAGUGAGGGUCAAAGUGCAUGUCUAGCUUGAUAAAAAAAAAAACCCAAGAAGCAUCACUAUGAUAUUUUUAAAUACUAUUCAUCAUCAAUAGGAGACCAAAUUCUAGUAACUUUGAAUAUAGUGAAUCAUUUGCUAGUACUUAAGGACAUUAUUAUCCACCGAAACAACAUAAUUUUCAACCUCCUCAUUAUUAUUCACCUCUAUAUGGUUAUUAUCCACCACAAAUGUAUCCCCCACCUCAAAUGUAUCAUUUACCACAAAUUUAUCCCCACCACAAAUGUAUCAUCUUCAUAUAUAUCCUUAAUCUCAAAUGUAUCAAGAAUAAAGGCCACAGGGAUGAGGAUGGAGUCAACUUGGCUUUCAAAGUGAAGAUAGAGAAUUUGAUUUUCUCAUCAUUUUACCAUGUGAUAAAAUUUGAAUAUAUAUCAAUAAUUGUAGUUGAUGAAAUUUGAAAUUAUUAUAUUUUUAAAUUUAUAAUUUUAUUAAAUAUCGAUGUUUGGUAUUUAACAUAUUAUGUUUUGUUAAUAUUUGAUUUGUCUAGAAUUAAUCUUGAAUAUGAACUUGGCUCAAACAGAAUUUUGUGGAUAAACCAAAUAUUAAUGCUUUAUUAUAAUCUAAAUAAAAUUAUGAAUAAUUUUUUAAAAAAUAAAAAAUAGUGUCAUAAACUAUUUUUAAAAUCAUUAAAUAAGAGUUUUUAUGGGAAAACACUUAUUUACAGCUACUUGUAAUCUGUAUAUUUAUAUUUGUAUCCCUAGAAUUAAGUAUUUGUAUCCUUAGAAUUAAGGACAAAAAAAUUAGGAUAGACAAUCUCUCAAUUAUAGGAUUAGUUUUUUAGGAAGAUUUAGUUUCCUAGUUUAACCCCUAGUUAUAUAAACCUAAGGUUUUUGUAUAAUUCUCAAUUAGCAAUUUUUCAAUAUACAUUUAGUUUCUACAUUGAUUUAUUUAUUAGUUUUUUCACAUGGUAUCAGAGCUUUAGGCUCUUCUUGAGAAGUAAAAUUUUUAGCCUUCAUUGCUGACUUUUCUAGAUCUUUAUUGUCGAAUCCUGUUUAGGCUUUCUUUGUCGAACCCUUUCAAAGAAAGAUAUCACUAUCACCCAAUUUGAGAAAAUGUUAACUGAAAAAAUCAUUGGAGUACUACAGAUGUCUCAGAAACAAGGAGAGUUCGACAUGGAAAAGAUUGAAAAGCUGAGAAAUUUAUUGAAAAUCCUUGAAAAGCCUACUGUGGUAUAUUCUUUGGGUAAAGUUUUUAAUUCAGGUAAGCUUUCGAUUUUCAUGGAUUAAAUGUCUCAGUUAAGCCUAUUACGAGUUCUUGGAUUAUUGACUCAGGAGCCACAGACCACAUGACACAUUUCUCACAAAAGUUUAGUACAUAUAACAUGUGUCAUAGUAAUAAGAAAAUUAUUGUUGCAGAUGGUUCAUUUACCACAGUGACAGGAUUAGGAGAUGUUCAAGUUAAUCCCUCGUUUGUUCUAAAAAAUAUUCUUCAUAUUCCUAGAUUGUUUACUAAUAUGAUACCUAUACAAAAACUUACCAGAGAUAUAAAUUACAAAGUAACUUUUUAUCCCUCUUAUUGUGAAUUUCAGGACUAGAGUUCAAGGAAGAUGAUUGGACUUGCUAAGGAGAAGGAUGUACUAUACUAUUUUGAGACAUCAAAUAAACAAGUAAUAUCAAAAAUAGUUUACCUUUGUCAUUUCUUUAUGAAAAAUCUUCUAAUAAAGACAAAAUUUGACUUUAUCAUUUUUAUCUUGGACAUCUUUCUUUUAGAACCUUGAGAAACAUGUUUCCUUCUUUGUUCAAAGGAUCAAAUGUCAAAGAUUUUCAUUGUGAUAUUUACGAACUUUUAAAGUAUAGACAUGUGUCUUUUCCAAUCAGUAACAAAAGAAGUUUUACUCUCUUUUACUUGAUUCAUAGUGAUAUUUGGGGUCUCUCUACAAUUUUUAAUAUUUUUGAUGCGAGAUGAUUUGUUUCGUUUAUAGAUGAUUGUACCAGGAUCUCUUGGAUUUUUUUACUUAAAUCUAAAUCAAAUGUGAAUAAUGUAUUUUUAAGCUUUCAAAAUAUGAUCUAAAAUCAAUUUAGAGUGAGAAUCAAGAGAUUUAGGUCUGAUAAUGCAAUAGACUACUUCAACCAGAGUCUAUUUACCUAUUUCUAAAAAGAGAAGAUUAUCCAUGAGUCAUCUUGUGUUAAUACUCCACAGCAGAAUAGAGUGAUAGAGAGAAAAAAUAACCAUUUACUAGUCACAACUCGAGCUUUUUUUUUCAAGCAAAUGUACCUAAAUUUUACUGAAAGAAAGUUGUUCUUACUGCCACAUAUAUUAUAAAUAAGCUACCUUCAAGGGUUUUGGGAUUUAAAACUCCUAUGAAACUACUCUUAUAAUUUUAUCCCAACCUCAAUACCAUAAACAAUCUCACACCUAAGAUAUUUGGUUGUAUAUCAUUUGUUCAUGUUCAUAGUCAUAACAGGAAAAAGUUGGAUCCAAGAGCGAUUAAGUAUAUUUUUAUGGGGUAUUCUUUAACUUAAAAAGGAUAUAAGUGCUAUCAUUCUCUUACAAAAAAAUUUUAUGUGUCUGCAGAUGUCACUUUUGAAGAAAGUAAAUAAUUUUUUACUCAACCUUAUCUUCAGGGAGAGAUUUCAUUCAUGAAAGAUAAGGAUAAAAAUUUUUUUUGCUUGAUUUAUCCCAUUCUUUAACAUUUACACCCAUUAAUUCUUCUGAGUCGAAACUUGUUUCUGCUGAACCUAAGUCAAACACUAAAUUUGAGUCUGAACUCAUUCCAAAUAUAAAAGAUGUAACAAAGGAUAAUAUUGUUUUUUAUUCUAUGAAGGAAUUACAAGUGUACUUAAGAAGAAAAGUUUCAGAUCCUCAACCAGUACCAGUCCAAGAAUCUGAUCCUAACUUUGAAAAUGAGGUAACUACAAUUUUUGACUCUAUUUCUUAAAAUGAGCAUGAAUCUUUUAAAACUAUAACUAGUGAUUAUGAUCAACCUAUAGCCAUUAGAAAAGGAACCAGAGAAUGUACUAAGCAUCCACUAUACCCAAUAUCUAAUUUUGUGUCAUUUAAAAAAUUUUCACCAUCCCACAAAAAUAUUCUUGUGAGCCUAAACACUAUUUCGUUCCAACUACAUUAUUCGAGGCAUUAUCUAGUGAGAAAUAGAUACAAGCCAUUAAAAUAAAAAUGGAGGCCUUAGAGAAAAAUCAGACAUGGAAACUGGUAGAGUUGCCUAAAGAAAAAAAUUCAGUGGGGUGUAAAUGGGUUUUCACUGUAAAAUAUAAAGCAGAUGGUACUGUUGAAAGGUAUAAAGCUAGGUUAGUGACUAAAGGCUACACUCAAACCUAUGGAGUGGAUUAUCAAGAAACCUUUGCUCCAGUUAUCAAGAUGAAUACAGUUAAGAUUUUAUUAUCAUUGGCUGCAAAUUAUAAUUAGCAGCUUCAACAAUUUGAUGUAAAGAAUGCUUUUCUACAUGGUGAUUUGGAAGAAGAAAUAUAUAUGAAGGUUCCACCAGGAUUUAGAGAUCAUAUAGAAGCAAACAAAGUAUGCAUGUUAAAAAAGGCUUUAUAUGGCCUUAAACAGUCUCCUAAGGCUUGGUUUGAGAGAUUUACCAAAAUGAUGCUAGCAAUGGGAUAUAAAUUGAGUCAAGGAGAUCACACAUUGUUUGUCAAGCACUCUGAUUCAGGGAAAGUCAUAGUUCUAUUAGUGUAUGUUGAUGAUAUAAUUGUAACUAAAGAUGAUGAAAAAGAGAAAGAAUCUCUAAAAUAGUAUUUAGUUAGAGAAUUUGAGAUAAAAGAGCUAGAGAGAUUGAAAUACUUCCUAGGAAUUGAAGUAGCUCACUCACGAUAUGGUAUCUUCAUCUCAUAAUAAAAAUAUGUGAUGGAUCUUCUGAAGAAAACUAAAAAACUCGUAUGUAAACCUGCAAAUACCCUUAUAGAUUCUAAUCAUAAAAUUAGAGAAGUUAAUAAAGAUGCUACUGUAAAUAGAGAGAUAUAUCAAAGAUUAGUUGGAAGACUCAUUUAUUUCUCACAUACUAGACCUGAUAUAGCAUAUACUGUGAGUGUAGUAAGUCAAUUUAUGCAUAGUCCUAAAGAAGUGCACCUACAGGCUAUCUACCAUAUAUUGUACUAUUUGAAGGCCAAUCUUAGAAGAAGUAUCUUAUUUAAAAAAAAAAUUCAGGGUUAGUUCUAGAAGCAUAUACAGAUGCUGAUUAUGCAGGUUCAGUAACUGAUAGAAGAUUCACUUCAGGCUACUACACUUUCUUAGAUGAUAAUCUUGUGACUUGGAGGAGUAAAAAAUAGAAUGUGAUAGCAAGAUCAAGUGAUGAAGUAGAGUUCAGAACAAUGGUUCAAGGAAUUUGUGAACUACUAUUGUUAAAGAUUAUCCUAAAAAACUUGAAGAUCAAGUGGGAUGGACCAAUGAGACUCUAUUGUGAUAACAAGUCUGCAAUAAGCAUUGCACAUAAUCCUGUGUAACAUGAUAGAACAAAACACAUUGAAGUAAAUCGACAUUUCAUAAAUGAGAAACUAGACAGUGGGUUGAUUUGUACACCUUAUGUAUCAAUCAAGGGUUAGCUGCAGACGUGUUGACUAAAAGUCUCACAGUACAACAUUUCAAGAAAUUAUUUUCAAGCUGGGAAUGGAAAACACCUGUUCAUCAGCUUGAGGGGGAGUGUUGGAAAACAUUUAUUUACAGCUAGUUGUAAUCUUGUAAUCUGUAUAUUUAUAUUUGUAUCCCUAGAAUUAAGGAUAAAAAAUUAAGAUAGACAAUCUCUCAAUUAUAGGAUUAGUUUUUUAGGAAGAUUUAGUUUCCUAGUUUAACCUCUAGUUAGUUGUAUAUAAACCUAAGGUUCUUAUAUAAUUCUUAAUGAGUAUUUUUUCAAUAUACAUUCAGUUUUCACACUAAUUUAUUUCUUAAUUUUUCUACAAUUUUUAUAAUUAUAAGUAUUAUAUUUUAUAAUAAAUUAUGUAAAAAUAAAAAAUUCAUUACUGCGGUGACUAUAAUGAUUACAAUAAUCUUCGUUAUAUUUGAAAAUGCAAUAAAUACAAUGCAAUAAAAUACGUGAUUGUAACCGUAAUUUAAAUCCCAAAUAACAAGAGGACUCUUUCUCUUUACCCCGUUAAGUUCCACUAUUCCUUGAUUUGGAAACCUAACUUCAAGCCGAGGACGAGAGCUAUUAUGAACCUCGUGAGAGCAGUGUCAUAAAAGUGAUUAUUGGGGAAAAUGUUGCUCUUGAGGUCAACAGUCAUUGAAAGAAGCCAACACAUGCUUUCAGCCAUGUGGCUUGCUCAGAGCAAAAGUUUGUUGAAUGGAACUGGUUUUGCCUUCUAAAUCAUACUUUGAGAGGGGUACACUUAUGUACGCAUGCCAACAAAAGCUUGUUAUAUGAGAUGCAAAAUGCUUUACUUCUCGUUUGAAAACUUCCUAAAAGGUGAAGGAGGAAAAUGUGGAACUGGUUUCAAUCCGGCAUUCUUGUUGUCUUGGGGAAGCCUGUUCUAGAGGAAUACCCAUAACGCAUAUUUCCAUCAAAACAAAGGCAUAUAUCUCAAUUAAGUUGCUGAAUUCCAUUCGGCUAGUUUCUAUCGGAUAUCUUGCUCGCAAUUAUUUGUCAAUAUCAAUAGCAGAGUAAGUGAAAGGUAUUUGAAGUUCUAAUUAAUUAAUUAAAGAUAGAAUUCAUUGGUUUAUCAUAGUUGUGUUUCUGGCUUUCUGCAGUUAUAGAAGAACGUUACCAAAAUGGUUUGCAAAAGCGAAUAUUUUGUUCAUUGCUUUAUGCUUAUGCAUUGCUUUGAUUAAAAGGUUUAACCUGGAGACAAAAUCUUUUGGUGCUUCACACAGUCACAAAAACCAAAACCAGACUUCUCCCACUUGGAAUUUGAUUACCAAAAAUAGAUACCUUCAGGAAAUAUUGGAAUAGGCACAGCGCUUGCUGAAUAAAAUGAAAUAGAUAUUCUCUCCGAAAAUAGAACAGGUAUUAGUUAGUUUCGUUUCUAAAUCGAAACAUAGGAAUAUAGGAAGAAUACUAUAAAAUGUGCAAUUUCAAAGUUAAAAUUUGCAGUUUAGUUGAAAUCAGAGAAAUACUAGUAGCGUCGUAGAAUUAUCGUUGUUAAAAAUACAUAAAAUAAUUGUUUUUAAAAUGGUAACGUUCACAGCUACUUCAGCAGGAAAGUCCCACAUUGAAGGAAAACAAGAAAUAAGAAACAUGCUUUUUUAUUUAUAACAAAUCACAUCUCACUUCAGAAAACAUGGAGCCGUGUAGUGAGCACAAAGCGAACUAUUCUUUCGCCUUUUACUAAAGAAUACCGUGUGCUAGCUGCUUAAAACGGCAUACACCAAUUUUUGGAGAGGUAUUCUUCUAAGAAUGCCUCCAAACAAUAUUAGGUAAAUGUUUUUCUGACAAAGGCAAAGCUCGAAAAGGUAUACACAAAUUUUUGGAGCGGAUGUUCUUCUAAGAAAAUUUUUCUGAUGGACAAUCGAAGUCGCAGAGAAAUCUGUACUAGUUUCUGCUGCUAAUGCACUGCUGGUCGUUGUAUAUAGAGACCUAGUUGACAAAGGCAAAGCUUGAAACGGCAUACACCAAUUUUUGGAGCGGCUGUUCUUCUAAGAAAUUUUUCUGACGGACAAUUGAAGUCGCAGAGAAAUCUGUACUAGUUUCUGUUGCUAAUGCACUGCUGGUCCUUGUAUAUAGAGACCUAGUUUUAUGAUUAUCGAUGUUUCUGAAGAUUGAUAACUAUAGUACGAAAUAAAUUUACGAGUAACAAGCCACUGAUUGAAAAUAGUUGUAGUUGAUUAACAACCAUGUCUACCACUACUAGUGGAUUAGUUUGCCUUUGCUCUCUUUUAUUUGUGAUCUCCAGGUUUUGCAUUCUUUACUUGUGGAGUUAUUUCUGUACAAUCAAGCUACCCUAUACAUUGCAUGCAAUUUAGUUUUCGCAUUAUCCUACAGAUUGAAAAUUGAUAGCCAUGUUGAAGCUAAAAAGAACGUACUGUCAUGUUCCUUCUACCAAGCAGCUUCCUGCAUUUUUACCUUGGCAAUUCGUUACAGGUUCUUAGCUCUCUUCUUCAAUUUCCAAAGAAAAAAAUGUGAAUAAAUCUCGAUAUCCUCAGCUUUUUGUUUCAAAUCUCGAGAAAAACACCACCUCGUAGGUAGAGUGAUAUCCAGCUGCUAAAAUCAAAGGAGUCAGUCCCGCAUUUGGAGAAAACCUGAGAGAAUGGAUGGCACUCAUUAUAAAACUGAUCCCUGGAGAAACGUUUAAACAUACUUACUGGACGAGGUCCACGGGUGAUCAAGGAGUCCCACGGCCUAGGCAUGCGGCCUCCAUUGCACUUGGGAGGUGCAUCCGUCUGCGGUCUCCUAAGUAGUAGAUCUACGUCAUAAUUUCUGGUAGUGGGGCCUGCGUUCGCCCAGCCCCUGUCCAAUUCUCAACGAAAUUUUUUGUUGGCACUGGUCAACGUGUUCUUUGGUGCUUAAAAGUUAGCCAUCUGUAAUAAGAAAUCAGAAACUAAGUUUAAUAAUUUGAAGCAUGAAAAUAUAUCAAUGAAUUCAUCACUUUGCCUCACUAUUUUUGUUGAUGUUUCAGCAAGAGGAGGUGAUAGGAAAAAAGUAUGAAUUUCAAGGAGGAGAGCUUCUUGCUAGAUAAAGUGAUAGAUUUUGCCAUAAACACCAGAGAGAAGAAUUCAUCUAAUCAUCUUUGUGAAGCUUGACAGAUUGAUCAAGAAAGAAAUGACUUAAGAUUACGUUAUGUUUAGUAUUUCAGUCUGGUAUAUUUUUCUCAGAAAACACGUUCAAAAUCCCACAUUAAUUGUUCACGAAAUAGGAAUUUUUGUGUUGGCUAUAAAAGAAAUGUUAAGCCGUACCUUUCACAGCCUUGGCUAUUAGGCAUUGACGCAGCCAGUAAGGUAUUAACCGAGGCGCGCAUUUUUCUGGUUGAAAUUUAUUGUGAAUCCCCACCGAGAUUAGCUCUUGGGUCACGGUCUUGAAGUAAAGUCAGGAAUUUUACAUCACUUGAGUAGUAGAGAUGAUAUUGGGAUAUAAGGAUUUACACACUUUUUAUCUUAUGAGAUUUUUUUUGUGAGAUAAAAUUAUGAAGUCAGAGAGACAUUCUUUUUCUUAUGAGAUGCUUUUUAUGAGACAAAAUUAUGAAAUCAGAGAGAUCAGAGCCAACAAUACCUUACAAGGGUGUGAACCGUAGUAAGUAGGUUGAUCUAGAACGUCGUUGGAGUGAGGGAUCCUGAAGUGAAGUCAAAAAUCCCACAUCGAUUAAGUACUAGAGUUGAUUUUGGGAUAUAAAUGUUCACACAUUCUUUUUCUUGUGAGGCGUUUUUUAUGAGAUAAAACCGUGAGGCUAAAAGGGUUAAAGCGGAUAAUAUCUCACAAGAGUGUGGACCGUGACAGGUAGGUUGAUUUGGACCGUUGGAUGAGUGCAUGCCCAGGUUCUGGAGUUGCACAGACUUGGAGGUUGAGUCUCGGCCCUGAUGGCCUUGGAGAAUUUCUAGAAAGGCACUUUUUGUUAGAUUAAUUCUUAAUUGUCUAGUUAUAUUUUAGGUACUAUUUUCGAACCUAAUAUCCAAAUUUUCUAUAAUAUUAUAGGUUCUUUGUUAAUGUAAAAAAAUCUAAUAAUUUCAUUUGAACUAUUGGUAGUUGCUGGGGCAUUACUACUUUUAUUGAAUAAUUAACUUUGUAAUAUGUUAACUUAAUUUCAAAUAUUGUUAAUUUAAUAUAUGAAGUUAUGGGAAAAUACCCUUUUCUUUACCUUUGAAAUUGAAUGAUUUUAAAUUGAAUAUAAAAACAAAUAAAAAUUAAUUAAAAAUAAUUUAAAUAAAUAGUAAUCAUAAAUUUAGGUAGAUGUACAUUAUUAACCCUAAUGAAAACUUUCAUUAUUUUUUAAAUAGCGAAGAGAAUUCUUUUUUUUCAUCGACAUACUAAUGUUGAAAUUUCAUAUAGUCUACUUCUAUGUUUAACUUGAAAGAUCUCUCAAUUCCAAAUCUACUUCACUUAAAAUCAAUCAUAUGAACUUUUUUUAUUUUUUUUAUGGGCAAUAUUUUAACAUUGUUUAUUUUUUUUAAAAAAAUUAUUUCUGAUUUUGUUAAUGCAUAUUUCAUAGUUUUAUUAAAAGUUAAAAUUUUAAAUAUAGAAAACUAAUUAUGAAAUUAAGGAAACCACAAAAUUAUUGCUAUAUGAGAGAAGAUGAUGGAUCAACUUAUAUAGUGUAAAAUUUUUUAGUUUUUUAUAUAUUUUUUUAAUAAUUGAUUUCAAAAUAUCUAAUAGAUGAGAUUAAACAAAUUUUUUUUUCUAUAUUUGCUUGUCUUUGUCAUCCAUUGAAUAUAUUAAAAUCAAGGGUUAAAAUUUUAUAUAAAACUAAAAAGGUUUUACACUGUAUAAGUUGAUUUCACACGAAAAAAAUAAAUAAUUAAAAAUCUUGAGCAUGCUAUAUGGUCAAUGAUCUUUCAUAAUUAUAACUUAUGAUCUUUCAAAAUUAUUUCUAUAUUUUAGUUGGUCAAUGAAUAUAGCAAGUCUAAAGUCAUGUUAUUAAGAAAAUUUUAUGCCUAUUUCUACAUACUUGAAUUAUGAAUUUAAUGCAAUAAACUUAAUAACUAAAUCAAAAACAUAUAAUCAUAUAUUUCUUAUUCUAAUAAGAAAAAAAAUUAAACGGAUUUUUUUGUUUUAUAUAUUUUUAAUUUUAUAUGAGGUACAUAUAAUUAUAUUAAAAGAGAAGACAAUGAAAUUACAUUAAAGGACCUAAGAUAAAUAAGGAGGGAUACUAGUAUAAGUGUUACAUAUUUUAUUUAUAUUUGGAUUAAAAUUAAAGUUAAAACACUUACACUUGGCCAUUUUGAUCCAAGAGUAAAAAAAUGUGUAAAUCUUAUAUUGAUGUAAGUGGAUCCCUCCUCAAAAUAAAUUAAUAGCAUUGUGUGGUCAAAAGUUUACUUUAUUACAACUAAAUCGAUAGACUUUUAGGUUUUUGGAGAGUGACCUUCAAACAGUCUUAACUUGUAAUGGUUCUCAGUUUAUAAUAUGAAUUAGGGAAAUUGUUAUAAGUUUUAAAGAAAAAUUUAUGCAAAGCAAUUACAAAGAGUUAUUUAUUAUUUAUGUAGCAUGAUUUUUAUGUUGAAAACUCUAGGCUUUCACAUUUUGAAAAUUUUAAGCUAAGAUUUUGUAUAGAUUGUAAAAAUUAGUAUAGGAAAAGUGUUGAAAGUGAAAGUUUAGUUGAUAAAGUGUAAACGGCGGUCAAAACAUUACCUAUAUAUAAUAUAUUCUCUAAACUUACAUCAUGGAAAAAAUUAAGCAAAUAUUUUGGCUUAAUUAUUUCCUUUGAAUCAAAUAUGCCUAUAUCGGUUAAUUAAAUAGGAAGUUAAUUCUUACAUUAAAAUUGUUAGUUAAAUUUAUAUGCAAGAUAUAUAUACAUACAUGAACAUAAUUAUAUAUACUUAUUUGUUAAGUGAAAGCGAAAGUGAAAACUCGACUUAAAUUACUGAACGUUGAAUAAGAUCAUAAUACAAAAUUUGUUAGAUUCCAAAGCGUAAGUCCUUUACACCGAAUACAAGAAUUCCUCACUGAGAGUUGUUUAAAUUCCUCACUGAGAGACUUUCUCUCUUUCUCUCUCUAUAAAUAUAUAUUUAAUGGCCGAAUGGCUUUUUUUAUGUCUUAAAAAAGAUGAACAACAAUUCUUAUUAAUUGCCUAAAGCAAUUUACAUUUUUCACAAAAAACUGCUUAAAGGUAGUUUUUCUUUUCAUGGGUUGUAACCACCUAUUUUGGGUGAUUGUGCCUUCAUCUCCCACUAGCAUCAAAUGGGUGCCAAACUCUCAUGAUCUCGAGAACGUUUUCUCUAUUUUUUGUAUCAGGUUCAUAUAAUGAAAUAAGUCGUAUGACCAACAUACUUCAAUAACUCAGUUGCUAUACGACUAUUAGGCGCAUAUAGCUACUCAUAAUCACAUUUAGUCACUUAUACAAUUGUUACAUAUGUAGAGUAACUCUCAAAUACAAGUAGAGUAAGUAUGUAGCAUCCUAGACCCAUUCAGUCACAUUUCAAGUUUUUUUACAAUCUCUCUUAUAUCAUAGUUCAUGAUGUACUUGUGUAUUUACAAUUAUAUUUGACAUUUCAAACAUAAUUGGUUGACCUGUGAAUACAAUCAAAUGUGACACUAGAAUGAUUUUCUCUUCUUAUAAAAUCUCUUCAUUUCAAUUCAACUGCUAUCCAAAUACAUCAUAUUAGAUUGAAUCAUCCAUAACCAUUGGCAAUAAUCCAAGAUAGCUAAUAUUGAACUAAAACUUUAAGAAACUAUUGAAAGACCUUGGGAGUACCAAAUAUGUGAUCUUCUACUCUCAAGGUCUUACACAACAAAAGCAGAGAUCUAUUCUUCUGUAACCCUUGUGGGUCAAACAAUGCACAUGUAAUAUGAAACAUAUGUCACGGAUUACUCUUUUUUUCUCAAGGAGCAUAUAUUUUUCAUCAUUUUAUAUAUCAAUACUAUUCAAGUGAUAGUUUCGAUACUCCUAGUAUCUAACUUGAGUCCAUAACUUUAUUUGAUUUCAUUUAAUCAAUAGGACUUUUACUUGGCAUAUUAAGACAAACAAAGCUAAUUAUGGGUUUAUUUACUUUCGAUCACAAAUCUUAAUAUUAAGUGACCUCAUCUUGAUCCCUUAUCAAGGCGAUUCCAUUUUAAACUUGGGCUCUCGAUCCACAGCUUAUAGCUAAUCUCAUUUUCAUAGUGCCAAACUAUUGAGGCGAUUGCCUAUGUACGAAGGUUAUCAUUUGUCUGACAUACUUUUUCAAUCAUAUCAUAUAUAUUUAUAUACAUAUACAUGUGUGCAUGCAUUUCAAAUAAAGUACUAAACUUUAAUGACAUUAAUUGUAUUCAAUAUAAGUCAACUCAAAUGAAAAAAAAUCAUACAUUGUUUAUAUAGAACUAUUUAAUCAAUACAUAAGCUUCAAUAUCUACACAAUCCUAGAGAUCUUAUAUGGCUAUUAAACACAUCUCUAAAUUUAGGCCUAGUAAAUGGAUCUACAAUCAUCUUAUGUAUAUAAAUGUACUAUAUGUUGACUUUUUUUUUAUACAAUCAUGUUUCUUACAUAAUUAUAUUUGGUAUCUAUAUGUUUGGUCGUAGAAUAAUAUUUGAGAUCCUUUGUGAAUGUAAUUGCAGCUUGACUAUCACAAUUCACCAACGCUUAGUUAGACUUAUCUUUUCUUAAAUUUCGAAUGGUUCAAGAAUUUUUUAAGUUAAACAUCUAUUGUACUACCACUGAAAAUCUUACAAAUUCAACUUCCAUUAUGGAUAAUGCUAUACAAAUUUGUUUUUUACUGCUACGUGAAAUAGACCCAUUAUUCAGCAAGAAAAUAUAGCCAGAGGUAGAUUUUCUUUCAUUUAAAUCUCCUCCCAAUCGACAUUCAUAUAGUUGACCAAAUGUAGAUUACUUCUUUAAUAGCACAACAAGUAAUCCACAUUGCCUUUUAGAUAUCUUAAUAUCUUUUUAACGGCUUUCCAAUGGAGUUGGCCUGGAUUGGAUUAAUAUUUGCUUACCAAGCCCAUGGCAUAGCAGAUGUCUGACCUUAUGCAUAUUAUAGCAUACAUAAAGUUUUUAACAGCACUAGAGUAAGGAACUCUUGCCAUUUGUUCCUUUUCUUGUGAAAUAUUAGGAUACAUUCUCUGGCUAUGGCCUUUACAUUUUGCCAUAAGAGUAUUUAUUGGCUUCAAGUUUUUUAUAUUGAAUUGUUUUAGAACUUUUUUAAUGUAUUGCUAUUGUGAAAGACCUAACAACUUCUAGGAGCGAUCUCUCAUAAUUGUUACACUAAUUAUGUAAGCUAUUUCACCUAUGUCUUUUAUUUAAAUUUUAUGGAAACCAUGUUUUUAUCUAAGCAAUAUACUUUUUAUCAUCGCCAGCUAAUAGUAUGUUAUCUACAUAAAGUGACAAGAUCAUGAAUUUAUCUUCGUCUUUUUUUAUAUACACAGAGUGGUACUCAUCAAUCAUGACAAAAUCAUAUGAAAUUAUUGUUUGAUAAAAUCUAAUAUACCAUUGUUUGAAAGAUUGUUUAAGGCCAUAAAUUAAUUUUAAAGCCUGCAUACUUUAUGUUUUUUACCCUUGUCAAUGAAACCUAUAGGUUGUUCCAUAUAGAUUUUCUCUUCUAGUCCUCCAUUUAAAAAGGUAGUUUUCAAAUUUGUUUGAUAUAACUUUAAAUCUAAAUUGGUUACAAUGGCUAAAAUUAAAUGUAUUGAGGUAAAUCUCACAACAAGAGAGAAAGUUUCUUCAUAAUCAAUUCCCUUUUGUUGAGUAUACCAUUUUGCUACAAAACAGGCUUGAUAUCUUUCAAUUGUCCCGUCUAACUUAUGUUUAAUCUAGAUAACCCAUUUGUUCUUAAUUGUUUUACGUCUUGUAAAAAGAUCAACUAAUUCCCAAACAUGGUUUGAUCUUAUAGAUUCCAUCCCCCUUUCCAUUACUUUUAUCCAUUUUUUUUUACAAAAGAUGAAAAAACUUCUUUAACAUUUUUUUAGCUCUUUUUCAUCUUGUGGGGUAAUCAAGAAUACUUUCUUUUUUAUGUCAAAAUGACAUCGAAGAAUAUUUUUACGAUUACUUCGCUUGACUUGUGAUUCUUGAUAAACUAAUUCAUCAAUUUCAUUAUCUUUAGUCAUGUUCUCACUUGGAUGAUAUACUAUUGGUUCUUGAUUACGAACAUGCUUUAAUUGAUUUGGAACUAACAAAUCAUUUGCUUUUUCAAUUUUGUAAAAACACAUUUGAAUGCUUUGAGUAUCUUACAAAUAUACUUUUUUUAUCCCAAGGACCUAGGUUGCCAUGUGGAUGAGUAGUCUCAUGUAUAUAGGUAACACAACCUUAAGGUCUCAAAUUAUUAAGAUUAGAUUUUUUUCUAAUCCAUAAUUCAUAAGGGGUGGACGUAACAGAUUUGAAAGAUACUCUAUUGAGUAUAUAGGUAGCAGUUAAUAGUGCAUCACCUUAAAAGGUGAUUGACAAAUUUGCUUGGGCCAUCUAGACUUCACCGUUUCCAAAAAAGUCUUAUUUCUUCUCUUUGUAACACUAUUUUGUUAUGGAGUCCUAGGAAUGGUCAACUGCAUAUCAAUACCUUUUUCAUCACAUAAUUUUUUGAACUAAUAAGAUAAAUACUCACAUCCUUGGUUUGUUCUUAAUGCCUUAAGAUUUUUAUCAAAUUGAUUCUUUGCCAAGGUCAUAUAUUUUCUAAAAUACUCUAAUGUUUCAGACUUGUGAUAAAUUAAAUAGAUGAACUCGAAGUGUGUAAAAUCAUCGAUAAAUGUGAUGAAAUACUGACCUCCUAUUCGUGGCCUAACAUUCAUCGAACCACAAAUGUUGAAAUGUAUUAGCUACAAUGAAACUUUAGCUCUAGUUUCUUUACCAAAUGGUUUUCGUAUAAUUUUUUUUUGCUAAAUAACUUUCACAUAAUGGUAAAUAAACUUUCUCAAUAGGACCUAGUAAUCCUUCUUUGGCUAACUAUCCAUUCUUUGUUGACUUAUAUGGCCAAGUCUAGCAUGUCAAAUAUUUACAUCAAUAUUCAUGUUAGAAUUUAUCAUAAGAGUAUCAUAACAUCUAGAUCUGGGGAUCUAUCGCUAGAUAUUGACUUUAGGAGUCACCACCAAUCUUUUUUGUUUAGGUGCGAUUGGUCACCUAAGGAAUCUAUCCUUUCAAAGAAUACCUAAGCUUAAGGGUCUCUAAAAAAAUAGGUUUGGGUCUAUUAAUUAGAACAGAGUUCAAGAAUUUGGUUAUGAGUGAGGAAGGUUAUAAUACCUUCAUAACGCACUUCAAAAGAUGGUACUAACUUGAUUUCGUGUUAUCCAUUAAGCCUAAAAAAUACCAAGUAAUUAAUUAUUAGAAAUUAUUCUUAAUUGACUCCAAUACUUUUGGCAAAAAAAUUAAUUAAAUUUUCUCACCUCAAGAGUAUACAAGAAAACUAUUGUUUCUCUUGUAGAUGCUUCAUCGUCGGAUUAUUUAACAUUUAAAAAUUUUCCAAAAAAAGAAAGAAAAAAAAUAAUGAUCCGACUUUUGAUAUAAAUCUUUUUCUUUUUGUUUUAUAUAUAUAAAAAAACUCAUUGCUUUUAUAUAAGGAAAAUUGAUACUUUCAACUUUUCCUCAAAAUGCUUUUUUUUUUUUAAAUUUUAUUUUCAAGAACAAUUGAUACUUUCAACUUUUCCUUAAAAAUAAUUUUCUAAAAAAUUUAAUUUAUAUUUUUUUCUAUUAUUUUUUUAAAAAUUUAUUCAUGCAAAAAUACUCUUAAAAAUAAACAAACACAUAAAUAAAAUAAAUAAAAUAAAAAAUACCAAAAGUUUUUUUUUGAAAUGGCUCGGUUGGGAAUUCGACGCGACUUGGCAUCAGGCACAGACAACGGUUGGAUGGCUUGAUAUGCGGCUUGACUCAGUGGCUCGGCUCGGCUGAACCAAAGGUAGGGACACGGGUCAGCGAACUUGGGUUGGCGCUUAGGCCGGGUCACCCACUGGCAAAAUGCACGGAUCCUUGGUUUAUUAAUGCCAAAAACGACGUUGUUUAUGGUGCUAUAAAAGGUUAAUUUCAGCUUUUUUUAGUAUAAUUCUCUUCCUCCCUCUCUCUCUACUUUUUUUUUCUCUCUCUCUCUAAGUUUUCUAAAAAUACCAGUUGAAGCUUGUCGGAUUCUAAAAAAUAUGAUCGAAAUCUGAGUUUUUCGUCGAAAAAGUCAUUGAAAAACUUGAAUUUUGCUUAAAAGUUUCACCUGAUUUUGAAAAUUUUCUGAAAAUUUUCUAGAAAAAGAAUUGCCAAAAAUUCUAGAAAAUUUUCUAAAAAAAUGCUAGGAUCCCUGUAGCCCUUCUAAACAAUUUUCUUACUUCUGCUUUCUGUUCUUUCUCUUUCGUUCUCUAUUUUUUGUUCUGUGUCUCUACCUUUGAUCUAUGGAUCUAUUUAUAAGCUUUAAAACCACAGACUUCAAAGCUAAAUAGGAAUCCUAAUUUUUUUUGGACUUUUAGUUCUGUUUAAUCUCUUCCAGUUUAUCUCAAAUUUCUCAACCCAGUUUUACACCAAUUUAACCACCCGUUUUUGUUUUUUCAUUUUUAUUAUUUUUUAUUAAUUAACAAAACCAAAAAAAGAUCCCGAACAGAUUGGGUGUCUACAAAAAGAAAAGCUUAAAUUGUUGUACAAAAUAAUAUCUAACAUAAUAAAAUCAUUUGAUAAAUAUCCAGAUGCAUAAUAAGUUGUAUCCAAAUACAAAUUUAAACUAGUAUUAUUGAAAUUCAAAAUACAUCUUAAACUAAGAAGAACAGUGAUAGAAACCAAAUUUUAUCAAAUAUCAAGAGCAAAAAUGCAUCAUGUAAGAUAAAGGUUUUUUCACCACACAUACAUAGCUUGCAGGUGCCAAUUCCCCUUAUUUUUAUUCAAGAAUUGUUUCUUACAUCGAUCCAUUUUGUUUUUUGUGGAAUCUGACAAAAAUCUACAACGUAUUCUUGUCUUAUGCUAUAUGGUUGAGGCCUUUGAUCUACAAUCCACAAAUGAUGUGAUUCAAUCAUUAAAAUAGUAUUAGAAACAAACACAAUACUUUCAACAUUACGUAAAAAUACUUUAAGGAUUUGUACCUUUUUUGGUUCAUUACAUUCACGAGCAAAAUGACCCAUUUGCUACAGUUAAAGAACUUGACUAUCAAUUCAUUCUUUUUAGGAUAAGCCUUGGGAUUUUAUCUCUUACUGGUUUGGCGAUUCUUUAUGUUUUUAGGAGCUUUCUUUUUGUUCCCACCAUGUGACUUAUGCUUGAAGUAUUAAGUUUUUUUUGAAUUGGAUAGUGCCAUAUAGGCAUUAGCACAAAGCUUAUAUGUUUCCAUACGAUCUUCUUUCAAUUGAAGAUGAUGGAAAACAUUAUCGAGAGUCAUUAUACUCUCAUUAGAAGUAAAAUACACUUUUAUGUGCUCUUAGCUGUGGCAAAAGAAUGGAUAAUAGCUCGAAUCUGUUAUUUAUCUGUCAAAGUAUGGCUAGCCUCUUUUAACUUGCUUGUCAUGUUUGACAUCUCACUCACAUGCUGUCUCAUAUUAUGAUUAGGUUACUUUUUAUAUGUGUUAAACAUGAUAGUAAGCUACCUUAGUUUGGUAACUGAAGUUGCACCAAACUUUGCUUUCAGGGCACUCCAUAUAUUUUUUACUAUUUCAUAAGUUCGAAACUCAUUCAUAAUAUCAUUCUCCAUACUGCUAAGCAAUGUGAUGCAUGCAAUAGAGUUUUUUUUCAAGCCUCAUAAUCCUUUCGGUCCCUCUUAUGCUGAAACAUAUUUUCUUUCUCAGGCUCAUAAAAGACAUUGUUCAGAAUAUCAAGAACCUCUUAUUUUUCAAGUACAUACUGGAUUUUCAUACUUCAGAUCUCAUAAUUAUGCCUAUUCAGCUUUUCACCCUUGUAUAAGUUAGCAAUAAUGUUCUUAAAAGCAGAAGGCAUUUCUAAAUAUAAUUCUACAUUUGAGAGGCAGAUGCACUAAUUAAUGCCUAAUACUGCACACUUCUCAUUUUUUACAAUUUUAUAAAUAAAAUAAUAACAAUUAUUUACAUAAAAAUGAAACUAAAAAGUUAUUGUGUUCGCAAUCAAAUUUUAUUUUUUUAAUGUGUUUGAUUAUAACUAUUUUAUUUCAUUGCGCAAAAUAAUCAUUCUAAGAUAGAAUAAAUCAAUUAUCUUAGAACUUUCACUAACUAUAAGGUUACAUAUUGAUUUCACAAAAGCAAGUCUUACAAAACAUAAUUCAAAUCCAAAAAUAUGUUAAAAAAAAUAUACAUACUAAACGUUAAUUAAAUAUGUUCCUAAUUAUUUCGAAUGACUUGUCUAAGAGUAGUGAUUGAUUUUAAAAAAUUCCUUUGAUAGUUCUGCUUUGACAUUGCCCAUCCAUGGAAAUCUAACAAUUUUGUGUUUUCCAUUAUGGAGACUUAGGCAGAUUGAGAAGGUCACACUCAUCUUGCUUCCGUUCUAACAUAUUCCUUCACAAAAUUCUUAAUUAAUGUUUCAUACUUAGUAUUACUCCAUAAAGACAUCUAAAUAUCUUGAAGAAGAUUCUUUUAUCUAAGUGUCAAAAGUGUAUUUAUUUGCAUUUCGUAUUUGAUCUAAUCAUUCCUAAUGUGCUUGCUAGGACAUCAGAUUAAUUCUUGGAUCAUGUCGUUGGCCUUGAUGAUAUGCUUCUCAAAAUCAUUAUUUGAAUCCAUUUAGUAUUAUCUCAAUUCCACUAUCAACCUUAUAGCUUUUAGAAAUUGUGCUAGUAUCCUUGGAACGAUGAGAGUCUUCACUAAAAUAGUCAUAAUUUUUUGUAAUAACAUAUGACAAAAAUUCAUGAAUUUAUGAGUCAGCAUAAUUCCAAAAAAUAAUUAAUACACAUCUUAAUCAUUCUUGUGUGAUUCAACAUCCCAAAGUCAAUAAAGAUUUUUUUUUUUUUGCUUAAUACCAAUGAAAAAAAUGAUCCAAAAUGGCAACAUCAAUAGCAUUUUCUUAUUCAAGAACUAUCACAACAACAUUAAUUAUAUUAAGAACAUAAAAAAAUCAACUCCUAUAGAUAUACAUAAUCAUGCAAAAACACAUCAUGUUUUGGUUAUUAAAAAUGUACAAACAAACAAGAAAACAAGCCAACCUGGUUCUAAUACUAAUAUAAGAUAAAUUUACAUACAAGAUAUAUAUACGAAAAUAAUCACAUAUACUUAUUUGUUAAGCGAAAGAGGAACUAAAAACCUAGCUUGAAUUACUGGUCAUUGAAUAAGAUCAUAAUACGAAAAUUGUUUGAUUUCACAGUGUAAGUCAUUCAUACCGAAUGCAAGAAUUUCUCAUUGAGAGUUGUUCAAAUGUAUGUCUAACUCUCUUUCCUUUUUCUUCUUUUCUCCUCGUGAGAGACUUUCUCUCUUUCUCUCUCUCUCUCUCUCUCUCUCUCUCUCUCUCUCUCUUUUUAUAUAUAUAUAUGUAUAUUAAUGGCCAAAUGGCUGUUUUCAUGUUUUAAAAAUGAUGGGCAGCAAUUCAUAUUAACUUCCCAAGGCAGUUUACAUUUUUCACCAAAAACUGCCUUUAUCCCAAGGCAAUUUACAAAAACUACUUAAAGGUAAUUUUUCUUUUCAUGGGUUGUAACCACCCAUUUUGGGCGAUUAUGUCUUUAAAAACUUAGAAAUAUAAUACCAAUUAAUUACACUUUGAUUACAUUUUCUUUCUUUUAAUAAUUUUAUUAUAUUUUCCUAAAAAAAAGUAAUGUAAUUAAAUUGGUUAGAAUAAAAUCAAUUAAGUAUUAAAAUUAACUAUGAAAGUGAUUUAAACUACUAUGAAAGAGAUUUAAACUAACUUAUAUCAAUGUAAUUAAUUUGGACAAAAUUAAAUGAAAUUAAAUAAAAAAAUUUAAUAAUAAACACAUGGCAAUUAUUCAAGGUUAUCCAAGUGUAAGCUAUGGAAGUUAAUAAUAUUAUGUUAUUUUAUUUCAUAAAAAAUUCAAGUUAAAAUUUUGAAUUGGCCAUCAUUAAUUACAUUAAAUUCAAAUUUAAGGUUUGAAAAAUUGACUAUGAAUUAAGCGUGAAUAAUAUAAGAAAAUUGUAAUGAUAUUUUUUUAAAAAUAUAAUGGCAUUAAAUUUAGUUGUGAAAAUUAAAAGAAUAGUUUCAAAUUAUUUUAAUAAGGACAAUAAAUUAUUUACAAUUAAUUUGGUGUUCUAGUAAAAAAUUAAUUUUUUGUAUUAAUUAGUAAAUAGAUGUCUUUUAUUUAGAUUAUCCUCAUGUUGAAAAGUGUAUUUUUGUCGUAAAAAAUAUAUUUUCAAUUAUUAUACUAUUUUCCUCGAUAGAAAAAAUUAUACUAAAUUACUAAGAAGACAUAGGAUCACAUAUAAUGCUUGAUUACUUAUAAAGAUGUAUUUUGAACUCAAAUGACACCAUCAAAUUUAGGAAUGAAAUGAAUAAAAUCAAGUGUAAUUAAUUCUUAUUUGUUUUUAUUGUAGAUAGGCAAAUAAAAGUUAUUGAUAUAUAUAUAUGUAUGUAUGUAUGUAUGUAUACACACACAUACAUACAUACAUAUAUAUAUAUUUUGAUGUUCAAAUAUUUUAAUGGCAAGUCUAAUUUUAAUGAAUGCAAACAUGGAAUGACAAAUAAAGAUAAUAGAAAAUAUGGUAAUUGUAUUGAAAUAUGUGAUUUCAAUAAGCAUAUUAUUUGAAUGGCAAAUCAAGUUUUGAAAUAUUAUGAAUGAGAUAUCGCAAAAAAGUUUAAAAAGUAAAUAUUUAAGCAUAUUAAUUAUCUAAAUGCUCCAACAUUUGUAAAUAAGGAAUAUAUAUAUAUGUGGAUAUAAAUGUUUUAUAUUUAUAGUUAACUAAUCAAAUAAUCAAAAUAUUUAUAUUAUGUUCGUGAAACUUUUUUUUAUAAAUUUGUUCAUAAAACGUUUUAUGUGAACACAAUGUCAUUAUAACUUACAAACCAAAGUAUAAAGUAUAUCCAAUACUAUCUAUUACUAUAUCACCACUUCAAACACCAUCUGGUGCUAUAUAAAAUAAUUUGCAGACACGUAUAUUAAAAUGUAAUAAAAAUGUAAAAAAAAAAAUCUCAUAUAUUUUAACCAAAAAUAUAAUAAUAUAAUUCCUGCACACUUAUAAUUUUUUUAACGCCAAUAAUAAAACUUUACAAAACAAAAAAUAAAAAGAAAAAGAGAGAAUGGUAGACAAAAACAUGUAGAACCCAUAAUUUUAUAUUAAAAAUCAACUUUUGAAGCAUCUAUUUACAAUAGUGUGAUAGAAGACAAAUUAGUUAAUAACUUAGAUGUAGACAUUUAAUGUAUUUUAGCGUAAAAAGAAAAGAACUCUUUGCAAAUUAUUUAGUUUUAAUUAUAAAUUUGAAAUUUGACUUUAGAAAUGUAAAGUAAUUAAAAGACACAUGUCAAUUUUUUAAACCCGUCACAUGUAAAAAAUAUAGGUUAUCCACGUAGGAUUAUUUCUUUUUUUGUCAAAAGUUUUGACUUAUAUAUAUAUAUAUAUAUAUAAGAUUUAUAUAUAUUGUAAAUCUACUAAAGGAUUGAUUGUUUCUUAAAUGCAAACACAAAAUCUUAUAUGGCAGUAGGAGAUACCCUAAGCCCUACAUUUUAGAAAAAAAAUUUGUUAAAUAGCAUGAAAUAUAUCAAUAAAAUUUUUUUCUUGUAUAUUAAUUACUAUAUUUGCAUAUAUAAUAACUAAAAAUUGAAGUUUAAUCCCUAUAGCAAGUAGAAUGAAAUUACUUAUCAAAUAAGAUGUUAUGAGAAAAGUAGAGUUUCCAUCCUAUUUGUCUUACUUUAAUUUCGGUUUGUAAAAGAAAAACAAUAACUAAAAGAUCUAGAAUUUUUUUCUAUAAAACAUAAAUAUUAUAUGAUAAUUUAAUAAUUAUACAAUUUUGAUUUAGCCAAUAAGAUUAUGUAUAAUACCAUAAUACCAUUAUUAUAUUUUAUAGCAAAAAAUAAAAUAAUAUAAAAAAAUAAAACACUAAUAGGAAAAUCAUGGGAUCAACAAACAAUAUCACGUAAAGAUGGAGAAGAAAAAGUCAAAAUAACUUAUUAAAAAGAAUCUAGAGAGAGAAUAGGACACAAAAAGGUAAAAAAAAAAAAAAAAGAGUUAAACAAUUAUAUUCAUUGAAAUUAUUACACCAUUCUUAAGAUAGUACUGGUAAUAUUUUUUCUUGCAUAUACAUGAAGAUUUUAAUCAUAAAAUUUUUGUUUUCGUGGUUAAAGAUCAUGCAGGAGGGAAAAUUUUAAAUGUUUUUAUAUGAAUUUUUUUAUUGAUGAAAGAAAUCCACAACGUCAUAAAUAUAAUAUCAUUCAUACCUUAAAAGGGCUCCAAAAUCUAUAUUUCUCACAUCUUUGCCAUUAGAAAAUUAAGCCAUCAAUUGAACAGUGCAAAUAAGGAGAGGAUGAAUCUAUACAUUUUAAACUACAAUUAGCAAAUCAAAUACACAAGUAUUCUAUUCCAUAAGAUGCAUAACAAGAGAAGAAAAAGAAUUAAAAAGACAUAAUAAAAAUUAUGUUAAUUUAUAAGAGAUUAACAAAUAAAAAAGUGAUUAAAUAUAUAACUAAGAAAGGUUUAAUAACAGAUGAUACUGCAUAUUAAAUAUAGAUAUUCAAAAUACUUGAUAUUGACAAAAUUCACUCACCACCCACAAAUCUAUAAAUGUCAAAGCAUACGAAAAAAGCUAACAAAUUGACAUUAAAAAGGAAAAAAAAUGAAAGCUAUGAUCUAUCAAGUGAUACUUACAAACGAUGCAAAUAUUUAAAUAAAAAAGUAAUGGAAUCAUCUUAUUAAGAACCUAAUAUUUAUCAUAUUGAAUAAAAAGAGAGUAAUAAUAGAAUUCAAUGAUAGUAAUUAAUGAGUUUUGAUAGAAAGGAAAAGAUAUAUUUUGAAUUAAUUUAGUAUUCAAUUUUUAAAUUUGAAUUUUUUAUUGAAGAUGAUUAAAGAAAAUGUUUAUAUAUUGUAGAUGUGUUGGCAAAAUUGGCUUGUUAAUUUAAAUUUAAAAAGCAUAUAUGAGGUAAUAUAAAUUAGUUUUAAAAAAUUAAUUAAAGAGAAAAUUAAUUGGUUGGUUUUCAAUGAAUGAUUUUUAUUUUUUGAACAUAUCAUGGCAACCGGUAUGUAAACCAAAAACCUAUUUUUGGAACAUAUCAUGGAAACAUAUCAUUAAAAUUAAGAAUAGUUGUUGAUCUUUUCUCAUAAAAUAAUUGGUUUUUUUAUAAAAUUAUUAGAGGUGAUUUAAAAUAAUUAAUUUUAAAUUAACGCCUACUUUGACCGUUUCCACUUUAGUGCAAUAAUCUUGUUUUAUAUUGGAAAGCCUAUGUUUAAUAUUUUGAAAAGUUUUUAUUAAAGAGUAAAUUAUGCAUGCAAAUAUGUGUGAUUUUAAAUAGAAAGAAAUAUAAAAAAAUGUUUUCAACUAAUUAGGCUUUUUAAUUUAGUUUUGAAUUUCUAGCAUUAUAUAUUUGGCUUAUAUAUUCAUUUAGAUUAAUAAAUGCAUAAAUUAUUUCUUAAAUAAACACUAAAAUACGGCUAUUAAGUAGUCAAUACUUUUAAAGCAUAUUUUUUAUUUAUAGCAGUCGUGUUUGAUGCUUAAAAUUAAGAAUUGAAUUUUUGAAAGUGGUUUAAGAUAAUUGAUUUGUAAUAUAUAUAUAAAUAAAAGGAAAGAAUAUUUUAUGCUUAUAAAAUAAUAAAGAUAUUUAAUUUAGUCAAAUUAAAUCUUUUAAAUAAAUAAAAUUUAUAUAAAAUCAAAUCAAAAUAAUUAAAUGUAGUAGACAUGAAGAAUUUUCAAAAUUAUCUACAUGUCAAUAAUAUAGACUAUUCACAUUGGAUAAUUUUCAUUUUUGCCCAAGGUUUUAACUUUUAUAUAUAUUUAUAUAAGAUGCUAUUUGCUCGUCACCUUAAGCGGCAUAUGCAAAUUUUUGAAAGGGUAUUCCUAUUAAGCGCCUGACACCAAUGUUAGUAUAAAAGUCACUUGAGUUACAUUUGUCUUCAAACUGCUUCUCUACCAUUGUUAGUUUAAAAAUCAUAUUUGUUCUAUUUGUUUUCUAAAUGCAUAAACUUGAUGACAUCUUAUUGGUUUUUUGUUUGAAAUUGGUUGAAUCCAAUAUGUGGUCAUUGUAAGCACUGAUUUUUGCAUAUUUUCGUGGUUAGUGUUAUUAUUUUUCAUUUAAGCUUGUGUCCCAGAUGGGUAUUAGGGCAGUAUAUAGGUUGUGUGCAUUUAUAUGGGUCGGGUGUUGUGAAAGGGGAGGGAGUGAGAUGAGAUGUAGGUCUAAUGUCUAUCUAUCGCCAAGUCAUUCUUAUUAUUCUAUAACAAUAGGACUCUCCCUCCUGUCCCCAUAAAGUUCCAUUAUUCCUUGAUUUGGAAACCUAACUUUGAGCCGUCGACGAGAGCUACUAUGAGCCUGGUGAGAGCAGUGUCACAAAACAAAGACAUAUAUAUCUCAUUUAAGUUGCUGAAUUCCAUUCUGCUAGUUUCUAUCGGAUAUCUUGCUCGCAAUUAUUUGUCAAUAUCAAUAGCAGAGUAAGUGAAAGGUUUUUGAAAUUCUAAUUAAUUAAUUAAAGAUAGAAUUCAUAGGUUUAUCCUAGUUGUGUUUCUGGCUUUCCGCAGUUAUAGAAGAACGUUACCAAAAUGGUUUGCAAAAGCGAAUAUUUUGUUCAUUGCUUCAUGCUUAUGCAUUGGUUUGAUUAAAAGGUUUAUUCUGGAGACAAAAUCUUUUGGUGCUUCACAAAGUCACAAAAACCAAAACCAGACUUCUCCCACUUGGAAUUUGAUUACCAAAAAUAGAUAUCUUCUGGAAAUAUUGGAAUAGGCACAGCGCUUGUUGAAUGAAAUGAGAUAGAUAUUCUCUCCGAAAAUAGAACAGGUAUUAGUUAGUUUCCUUUCUAAAUCGAAAUAUAGGAAUAUAGGAAGAAUACUAUAAAAUGUGCAAUUUCAAAGUUAAAAUUUGCAGUUUAGUUGAAAUCAGAGAAAUCGUAGUAGCGUCAUAGAAUUAUCGUUGUUAAAAAUACAUAAAAUACUUUGUUUUUAAAAUGGUAACGUUCACAGCUACUUCAGCAGGAAAGUUCACAGCUACUUCAACAGGAAAGUCCCUCAUAGAAGGAAAACAAGAAAUAAUAAACACGCUCUUUUCUUAUAACAAAUCACAUCUUACCCUUGCAAAACAUGGAGCCGUGUAGUGAGCACAAAGCGAACUAUUCUUUCGCCUUUUACUAAAGAAUACCGUGUGCUCAUUGCUGAAAACGGCAUACAUUAAUUUUUGGAGGGGUAUUCUUCUAAGAAUGCCUCCAAACAAUCCUAGUUAAAUAUUAGGCAAUCCAGGUUAAAAGCUAAAUAUGUCUCAGACAAUAAUAAAAACAUGAAACAAUUGAAGUUUCAGGCGUAUGUGUAUUAAAUUCUGUGGCUAGUGCACUGCUGGUUCUUACGUUUACAGGGAUCGAGUUUUAUGAUUAUCGAUGUUUCUGAAGAUUGAUAACUAUAAUACGAAAUAAAUUUACGAGUAACAAGCCAUUGUUUGAAAAUAGUUGUUGAUUAACUACAUGUCUGCCACUACUAGUGGAUUAGUUUGGCUUUGCUCUCUUUAUUUGCGAUCUCCAGGUUUUGCAUUCUUUACUUGUGGAGUUAUUUUUGUACAAUCAAGCUACCCAAUCUAAUGCAUGCAAUUUAGGUUUCCAUUAUCCCAAACAAAUUGAAACUGAUAGCCAGUUUUGAAGCUAAAAGAAAUGGUUACUGCCCAUGUUCCUUCUACCAAGCAGCUUGCUGAAUUUUUACCUUGGCAAUUCGUUACAGGUUCUUAGCUCUCUUCUUCAAUUUCCAUAGAAAAAUAUGUGAAUAAAUCUCGAUAUUCUCAGCUUUUCGUUUCAAAUCUCUUGAGAAAAGGCACUUAUACUUCAUAGGUAGAGUGACAUCCAGCUGCUAAAACAAAGGAGUCAGUCCCGCAUUUGGAGAAAACCUGAGAGAAUGAAUGGCACUCAUUGUAAAACUGAUACAUGGAGCAACGUUUAAACAUACUUACCUGGACGGGGUCCAUGGGUGAUCAAGGAGGCCCACGGCCUAGUCAUGUGGCCUCAAUUGCACUUGGGAGUUGCACCUGUCUGAGGUCUCCUGAAGUAGUAGAUCUACGUCAUAAUUUCUGGUACCUGUCCAAUUCUCAACGAAAGUUUUUGUUGGCACUGGUCAACAUGUGUUCUUUGGUGCUUAAAAGUUAGCCAUCUGUAAUAAGAAAUCAGAAACUAUGUUUAACAAUUUGAAGCAUGAAAAUAUAAUAUAUCAAUGAAUUCAUCACUUUGCCUCUCUAUUUUUGUUGAUAUUUCAGCAAGAGGAGGUCAUUGGAAAAAAGUAUGAAUUUCAAGGAGGAGCGCUUCUUGCUAGAUGAAGUGAUAGAUUUUGCCAUAAACACCAGUGAGAAGAAGAAUUCAUCUAAUCGUCUUUGUGAAGCUUGACAGAUUGAUCAAGAAAGAAAUGGAUUAAGAAUGUCUAGUUAUAUUUUGGGUACUAUUUCCGAACCUAAUAUCCAAGUUUUCUAAAUUGUAGGUUCUUUGCCAAAAAAUCUAAUAAUUUCAUUUGAACUAUUGGUACUUGCUGGGGCAUUACUACUUUUAUUGAAUAAUUAACUUUGUAAUAUGUUAAUUUAAUUUCAAAUAUUAUAUGAAGUAAUGGGAAAAAAAUCAUUUUCUUUACUUUUGAAAUUGAAUGAUUUUAAAUUGAAUAUAAAAACAAAUAAAAAUUAAUCAAAAAUAAUUUAAAUAAAUAUUAAUAAUAAAUUUAGGUAAAUGUGUGUUAUUAACCCUAUGAAAACUUUCAUUAUUUUUUAAAUAGUGAACAUAAUUCUUUUUUUCAUCGACAUACUAAUGUUGAAAUUUCAUAUAGUCUAAUUUUAUGUUUAACUUGAAAGAUUUCUCAAUUUCAAAGACAUCUAACUGAGAAAUUUGAGGAGAUGUGAUGUCGUAAAUUGAGGUUUGAGAUAUGAAAAUUAAUUGCAAAUAGAAAAAUUCACAAAGAAGAUAACUCAUAAUAAUUUGAAUAAUAGCAAAAUAUAAUUAUUGGAUUAAAAAAAAUAAAAGUUCACCACCAAGACUAGAAACUAAAUGAUACAGAAACACCACCCUAAGAAUUCUAAUCAAGGAUACAGAACAAUAAAAGUUCAUCACUCUAGGAAAUCCACCUAAGAAAUACAGAACUUGAAGAACAAUCUAAAAGAUUGCUUAAGGAUAAAAAAAACUCUCUUCUACCUUUUACCAAAGAAUAAUAGAAAAUAUAUAAGCUAGGAACAUCCCACUAAGCAUGAAAACUUUCAGAUUGCAUUACUAGAAUCAUGCCUAAAAUCAUGGGAUUUGCAUGUGAACAUAAUCUACCCAUUUACUCUUGCAGUUUACAUGAUAAUGAACCUGACCACAAUUUCAUCCAUAUUCAUGCUCUUCUUUUUCAGCUAGUAUGAACGUAAUCUCCCUUCUCUAGCUCAUCUUAUUUCUUCAUUUAUUUAGUGGAUUUAGACCAAGGAUAGGCCCAUCUUAUUUUUGAAUAAGUCUAUCUUAGUCUUAGCCCAAGUUGUAUGUAGUGCAAACAAUCCGAUGUUAAUCUCCUUUGGUUGGAAAAAACUUGUCCUCAAGUUUGAACUAGCAUUCUCUCCGUGGUAGGGUGACAAAUCAGCAACAUUGAAAGUGGAAGAUACUCUAUAAAUGUCAAAAAGCUUUAUCUUAUAAGCAUUCUCCCUAAUAUGUUGGAGAACUCUAAAUGGACCAUCUGUCUUAGGUUGUAAUUUGUCAAACUUCUUUGAAGGAAACCUUUCUUUCCAUAAGUUAACACACCAAAUCAUGUUCUUUGAACUUCACAUGUCUUCGAAGCAUGAUUAUUGCCCUUUUAUAUUUCUCAUUUUUUUACAAAAUUCUAUUUUGAACCUAUUCAUGAAAUAUUUUGAUAUUCUUGGCUCUUUCUUCUACAUCUUUAUCUAAAUGUUGGUUAGUGUAAAGUUGAAUUAAAUCCAAAGGACAGAUUGCAUUCUUACCAAGAACAAUUUCAAAAGGGCUAUCUUCUUUCUCAACAUGUACAUCAUUCAAGCUAUAUUGUAUAAUAAGUGAGGACUCAAAAUCACCAUAGGUUUUCUUAACACCUUGUUCAAGAUCCUGGUGUACUUCAAUAGGUCCUCUUUCAACAUCUUCAAGAACGUCAUCUUCAACCAACGUAACUAUCUUGAGAUUUGGACACUUAAAAUGUAUAUGCCCAACUCUUUGGCACUUGAAAUCUUUUUGAGUUUUAGUGUUGACAAUACUAGAUUGUGGUUUGUUGGGAAUAACUCAUUCUUUCUUUAGGUAUAGAUCUGAAAGGGGGUUUGGUAGAAACACUGGUCUUAGACAUGGUUCCUUUGUUAAUGUAUUCUUUCACCAAAAGAUCUUUUUAUUUUAAGUUAUGGAGCCUAAAAAAGACAUCUUAUCAAAAGUUAUAUGAGAGAUACUUUCUCUUCAACUCUCUUUUCAUCUUCUCUCAAGUUAUAAUUUUUUUCCUGCUUUCUCUUUUCCUUUGCUUCUUUAGAUUUUCUCACUAAAAGAAUGCAUAUUUUUUUAGUUUGAUGGCCACUAGCUUCAUCUUGCAAUGUUCAAGUGCAUCAUGGUAUUCAAAUAUGUGUUUCACUGUGUGUAGCCAAUCUAAGAAUUCUUCAAGUUGUAUCUUUCCUUUGAACUCAAGAAUUUCUAUCUUCGGAUUGAAUAAGCUAGGUAGAAGUAGAUUUCUACGCAGAUAGUCUUGAACUUACCGUAGGUGAGAUAGGAUGUUAUCAUUAGAAUUAUCGUUAUAUUCAUAGAAUGGAUUGGUUUCUCUUUCAUCUUCUUUGUUUUUUCUUCGUUACCUUCUUAUCUCUUUUUUUUCUUCUUGUAUAUACAGUCGAUACUGUAGUUGAAGGAUCUGUUACUACAUCUCCUCUAUGAGGGCAUCCUUUGGGUCAACAUUGAUAGUUGCUGCAAUGUCAGUGUUGGCUUCAACCUCUUCUAUUAGUGCUUGAAGACGACGAUCGACCAUAGCUCUAAUACCAAUUUGAUGCCGUAUAUUAAGGUUUGAGAUAUGAAGAUUAAUUGUAAAUAGAAAAACUUACUAAGAAGAUAACUCACAACGAUUUGAAUAAUGAUAGAAUAUGAUUAUUAGAUUAAAAGGAUAAAAGUUCACCAUCAAGACUAUAAACUAAGGGAGACAAAAAUAUCACCCUAAGAAUUCUAAUUAAAGAUACAGAAUAAUAAAAGUUUACCACUCUAGAAAAUCUACCUAAGAGAUACAAAACUUGAAGAACAAUCUAAAAGAUUGCUUAAGUAUAAAGAAAACUCUAAUCUGCCUUUUACCAAAGAACAACAAAAAAUAUAUAGGCUAGGAACAUCCCACUAAGCAUGAAAACUUUCAGAUUACAUUGCUAGAAUCAUGCCUAAAAUCAUGGGAUUUGCAUGUGAAUAUAAUCUGCCCAUUUACUAUUGUAGAUUACACGAUAAUGAACCUGACCACAAUCCUAUCCAUAUUCAUGCUCUUCUUUUUCAGCUAGUGUGAAUGCAAUUUCUCUACUCCAGCCCACCUUAUUUCUUCAUUUAUUUAGUGGAUUUAGACUAAGGAUAUGCCCAUCUUAUUUUUGAAUAAGUCCUCUUUAGUCUAAGCCUAAGUUGUAUGUAGUGUAAACACUCCGGUGUCGAGAUGGAAAGCUUUCUUGACUACAAGAUCGAUAUAUGUUGAUAGUCCUUUCAAUCUUUAACCUACUACUACUACCCAACUUGGAAGGCUAUCUGUAAAAAGAAAGGUGAUAGACAGCUGCUUACUGAAUAUUAUUUUUAGAUUUUUUUUUAAUUUGAAGUAUUUUGUUUUUCAAAAACCAAACUCGAUUCUAAUCAAAUACUUUAAAAGGCAUGUCUCACGUCAUACUCAAAAAGCAAGUAGCUGCUUCUCAGGCUUAUAAAGUAGCAUGGAUCAGUGCUCUUAAUUUAAAGUGGUGAGCAUAAAGCCAACCAUUCUUUCGCCUCUGAUUACAGAAUUAGUUUUAAUUUUCUUUGGUUUAAGGAUAUGUAAUUAUAUAUAUUUAAUUAUAUUAUAAUUAAUAAAUUUUAUAUAAAAAUAUAAAAACUUUAAUAUAAAAUAAGUAAUUAGGAAAAAAAAUUACGGAUUAAUAUAUAACUAUAUAAUAACAAAAUUUAAAGAAAGAUAUUUUUUUGUCUAAUUUCAUAUAAUGAUAUUUAAACAAAAUCGAAUAGAAUUUUAUUCUAAAUGGUUGAAAUCUACUUCACUUAAAAUCAAUCUAUCAUAUAGACUUUUUUUAUUUUUUUGGGCAAUAUUUUAACAUUUUUUAUUUUUUUUAAAAUUUUAUUUUUGAUUUUGUUAAUGCAUAUUUCAUAGUUUUAUUAAAACUUAAAAUUUUAAAUAUAGAAAACUAAUUAUGAAAUUAAAGAAACCACAAAAUUAUUGCUAUAUGAGAUAAGAUGAGGGUUCAACUUAUAUAAUGUAAAAUUUUUUAGUUUUUUUUAUAUUUUUUAAUAAUUGAUUUCAAAAUAUCUUAUAGAUGAGAAUAAAUGAAAUUUUUUUCUAUAUUUACUUGUCCUUGUCAUCCAUUGAAUAUAUUAAAAUCAAGAGUUAAAAAAUUAUGUAAAAAUAGAAAGUUUUAUACUGUAUAAGUUGAUUUCUCAUGAAAAAAAAAAUUAAAAAUCUCGAGCAUGCUAUAUGGUCAAUGAUCUUUCAUAAUUAUAACUUAUAAUCUUUCAAAAUUAUUUCUAUAUUUUAGGUGGUCAAUGAAUAUAGCAAGUCUAAAGUCAUGCUAUUAAGAAAAUUUUAUGCCUAUUUCUACAGACUUGAAUUAUGAAUUUAAUGCAACAAACUUAAUAUCUAAAUUAAAAACAUAAAAUCAUAAUUUUCUUAUUAUAAAGAAAAAUUAAGCAGAUUUUUUUAUUUUAUAUGUUUUUAAUUUCAUAUGAGGUACAUAUAUUUAUAUUAAAAGAGAAGAAAAUGAAAUUACAUUAAAGGACCUAAGAUUGAUAAGGAGGGAUACCAAUAUAAGUGUUACACAUUUUAUUUAUAUUUGGAUUAAAAUUAAAGUUAUAACACUUACACUUGGCCAUUUUGAUCCAAAAGUAAAGAAAAGUGUAAAUCUUAUAUUGAUGUAAGUGGAUCCUUCCUCAAAAUAAAUUAAUAGAAUUGUGUGGUCAAAAGUUUACUUUAUUACAACUAAAUCGAUAGACUUUGAGGUUUUCGGAGAGUGACCUUCAAACAAUCAUAGCUUGUAAUGGUUUUCAGUUUAAAAUAUGAGCUAGGGAGAUUUUUAUAAGUUUUAAAGAAAAAUUUAUGCAAAACAAUUACAAUGAGUUAUUAAUUAUUUAUGUAGCAUGGUUUUUAUGUUGAAAACUCUAGGCUUUCAAUUUUAAAAAUUUUAAGCAAAAAUUUAGUAUAGAUUGUAAAAGUUAGUAUGGGAAAAAUGUUGAAAGUGAGUGUUUAGUUAAUAAAGUGUAAACGGUGGUCAAAAUAUUAAUUAUAUAUAAUAUACUCUCUAAACUUACAUCAUGGAAAAAAUUAAACAAAUAUUUUGGCUUAAUUAUUAUUUUUUGAAUUAAAGAUGGCUCUAUCGAUUAAUUAAAUAGGAAGUUAAUUCUCACAUUAAAAUUGUUAGUUAAAUUCACAUGCAAGAUAUAUAUAUAUAUAUGUAUAAACAUAAUUAUAUAUACUUGUUAAGUAAAAGCAGAAGUGAAAAACUAACUUAAAUUACUGGUCGUUGAACAAGAUCACAAUACGAAAAUUAUUUGAUUCCACAGCGUAAGUCAUUUACACCUAAUAUAAGAAAUUUCCACUGAGAGUUGUUCAAAUGCCUAUCUGACUCUCUUUUUUUUUUUUCCUUUUCUUAUCGUGAGAGACUUUCUCUCUCUCUAUAAAUAUAUAUUUAAUGGCUGAAUGACUUUUUUAUGAUUUAAAAAAGAUGCAUGGCAAUUCAUAUUAACUGCCCAACGCAGUUUACAUUUUUCACCAAAAAUUGUUUAAAGCCAGCUUUUCUUUUCAUGGGUUGUAACCGCCCAUUUUGGGAUAUUAUGCCUUUAUUGUCAAACUCUUAUGAUCUUGAAAAUAUUUUUUCUAUUUUUUGCAUCGAGUUCAUAUAAUGAAAGAAGUCAUAUGACCAACAUAUUUCAAUAGUUCAGUUGCUAUACGACUGUUAGGUGCAUAAAACUACUCAUAAUCACAUUUAGUCACUUAUACAAUUGUUACACAUGUAUAAUAACUCUCAAGUACAAGUAGAGUAAGUAUGCAGCACCUUAGACCUAUUCAAUCACAUUUUAAGUUUUUUAUAAUCUCUCUUGUAUCAUAUUUCAUGAUAUACUUGUGUGUUCACAAUUAUAUUUGACAUUUCAAACAUAAAUGGUCCACCUGUGAAUACAACUAAAUAUGACACUAGAAUGAUCUUCCCUUCUUCUAAAAUGUCUCUAUUUCUUUCAAUUGCUAUCCAGAUAUAUCCCAUUAGAUUGAAUUAUCCAUGAGCAUUGGCAAUAAUCCAAGAUAGCUAAUAUUAAACUAAAACUUUAAAAAAUAGUCAAAAGUUCUUGAAAGUACUAAAUAUGAUAUCCUUUGAUCUCAAGGGUCUCACACAACAAGAAGCAAAGAUCUAUUCUUUUGUUACCUUUAUUGGUUAAACAAUGCACAUAUGGUAUGAAACAUAUGUUAUGGUAUUACUCUUCUUUUCUCUGGAAGUGAAUGUUUUUCAUCAUUUAUGUAUCAAUAUUGUACAAGCAAUAGUUUAGAUACUCCCAGUAUCUAACUUGAGUCCAUAACUUUACUUGAUUUCAUUUAAUCAAUAAGACUUCUACUUGGUAUAUUAAGACAAACAAAGUUAAUUGUGGGUUUAUUCACUUUCGAUCACAAAUCUCAAUAUCAAGUGACUUCAUCUUGAUCUCUUAUCAAGGCGAUUUCAUUUUAAACUUGGGCUCUUGAUCCAUAGCUUAUAACUAAUCUCAUCUCCAUAGUGCCAAACCAUUGAGGUAAUUGCUUGUGUGAGAAAGUUAAUCAUCUGUCUAAUAUGCUUUUCCAAUCAUAUCAUAUAUAUAUAUACAUAUAGAAGUGUGCAUGCAUUUCAAAUAAAGUACUAAACUUUAAUGGCAUUAAUUGUAUUCAAUAUAAGUUAACUCAAAUGGAAAAAUAUCAUACAUUGUUUAUAUAGAACUAUUCAAUCAGUAUAUAUGCUUCAACAUCUACACAAUCUUAGAGAUCUUUUAUGGCUAUAAAACACAUCUCAAGGUAUAGGUUUAGUAAAUGGAUCUGUAAUCAUCUUAUGUAUAGAAAUGUACUACAUGUUGACUUUCUUUUGUAUAACCAUGUCUCUCACAUAAUUAUAUUUGAUAUCUAUUUGUUUGGUCUUAAAAUGAUAUUUGGGAUCCUUUAUAAAUGCAAUUGCAACUUGACUAUUACAAUUCACUAACACUGAGCUGGACUCACCCUUCUCAAAUCCCAAAUGAUUCAAGAAUCUUUUAAGUCGAACACCUCUCGUAUUGCUGCUAAAAAUGCUACAAAUUCAACUUUCAUUAUGGAUAAUACUAUAUAAGUCUAUUUUUUAUUGCUACAUGAAAUAGUCCCACAAUUUAGCAAGAAAAUAUAGCUAGAGGUAGUUUUUUUUUCAUUUAAAUCUCCUCUCAAUCGACGUUCAUAUAGUUGACCAAAUACAGAUUACUUCUUUGAUAGCAUAAUGAAUGAUCCACAUUAUCUUUUAGAUAUCUCAAUAUCCUUUUAACAACUUUUCAAUUGGGUUGAACUGAAUUGGAUUAAUAUUUGUUUACCAAAGCCACGGUAUAGUAGAUGUCCAACCUCAUGGAUAUCAUAGUAUAUAUAAAGUUUUCAACAACACUAAAGUAAAGAACUCUUGCCAUUUAUUCUUUUUUUUUUUUGUGAAGUAUUAGGAUACAUUCUCUAGCUAAGGCCUUCACCUUUCAUCAUAGGCAUAUCUAUCAACUUGCAAUUUUAUAUAUUGAAUUGUUCUAGAACUUUUUUAAUGUAUUGCUAAUGCAAAAGAGCUAACAACUUUUUGGGAUGAUUUCUCAUAAUUUUUACACUAAUUAUGUAAGCUGUUUGGCCUAUUUCUUUCAUUUCAAAUUUUGAGGAAACGAAGUUUUCAUCUUAGUAUUAUACUUUUUAUCAUUGCUAGCUAAUAGUAUAUCAUCUACAUUAAGUGAUAAGAUCACAAAUUUAUCUGUCUUUUUUCACAUACACACAUGGUACUUUUCUAUCAUGAUAAAAUCAUAUGAAAUUAUUGUUUGAUAAAAUCUAAUAAACCACUAUUUGAAAGAUUGUUUAAGUCCGUAAAUUGAUUUUAAAGCCUGCAUACUUUGUGUUCUUGACCGUUGUCAAUGAAACCUAUAGGUUGUUCUAUAUAGAUUUCCUCUUCUAGUCCUCCAUUUAAAAUGGCAGUUUUCAAAUCCAUUUGAUAUAACUUCAAAUCUAAAUUGUUUACAAUGGCUAGAAUUAAACAUAUCAAGGUAAAUCUCACAACAGGAGAGAAAGUUUUUUCAUAAUCAAUUUCUUCUUGUUAAAUAUAUCUUUUCACUAAAAAACAGGCUUUAUAGCUUUCACUUGUCCCAUCUAACUUAUGCUUAAUCUAGAGAACCCAUUUGUUCAUAAUCAUUUUGUGUCUUGUAGGAAGAUCAACCAAUUUUUAAAUACGGUUUGAUCUCAUAAACUCUAUCUCAUUUUUCAUUACUUUCAUCCAUUUUUUUAUGAAAAAUGAAAGAGCUUUUUUAACAUUUUUUUGGCUCUUCUUCAUCUUGUGGGGUAAUCAAGAAUGCUUCAUCUUCUAUGUCAAAAUGAUGUUGGUGAAUAUUUUUAUGAUUACUUCACUUUAAUUGUGAUUCUUGGGAAACUAAUUCACCAAAUUCAUCAUCUUUAGUUAUGCUCCCACUUGAAUGAAAUACUAUUGGUUCUUGAUCAGGAACAUACAUUAAUUGAUUUGGAUUUAACAAAUUAUUUACUUCUCAAUCUCGUAAAGACACAUUUUUUUAUUUAUCUCACCUCUCUUUGGAAAUUCUCUUUCAAAAAAGUGGCAUCCCAAGAUUCAAAUUCAGCUACACUCACACUUGAUUGUUCACUUAUGAACACGUAUCCCUUUGAAAGCUUGGAGUAUCUUACAAAUAUACUCAUUUAUUCUCAAGAACCUAGCUUGCCAUAAGGAUGAGUAGUCUCACGUAUAUAGGUAACAUAACCUCAAGGUCUAUAAUUACUGAGAUUAGGUUUUUUCCCAAUCUAUAAUUCAUAAUGGAUGGAUGUAUCCGAUUUGAAAGAUAUUCUAUUGAGUAUAUAGGUAGCAGUUAACAAUGCAUCACCUCAAAAGGUGAUUAACAAAUUUGCUUAGGUCAUCAUAGAUCUCACCAUUUUUAAAAAAGUCUUAUUUAUUCUAUUUGUAACACUAUUUUAUUGUGGAGUCCUAGGAAUGGUCAACUACCUAUCAAUACCCUUUUCAUCACAUAAUUGUCUGAACUAAUCAGACAAAUACUCACAUCCUCAGUCUGUUCUUAAUGCCUUAACAUUUUUAUCUAAUUGAUUCUCCACCAAGGUCACAUACUUUCUAAAAUACUCUAAUGUUUUAGACUCGUGAGGAAUCAAAUAGAUAAACCCAAAGUGUGUAAAAUCAUCGAUAAAUGUGAUAAAAUAUUACCUCUAUUUCAUGACCUAACAUUCAUUGGGCCAUAAAUGUUAAAAUGUAUUAACUACAAUGGAACUUCAGUUCUAGUUCCUUUGCCAAAUAGUUUUCUUAUAUUUGUUUUUGUUAAAUAACUUUCUUAUAAUAGUAAAUAAACUUUCUCAAUAGGACCUAGUAAUCCUUCUUUGGCUAAUCUAUCCAUUUUUUGUUGACUUGUGUGGCCAAGUCUAGCAUGCCAAAUAUUUACAUCAAUAUUCGUGUCAGAAUUUAUCAUAAGAAAAAACUUAGAUUAUUGUACGAAACAAUAUCUAAUAUAAUAAAACCAUUUGAUAAAUAUCCAAAUCCAUAAUAAGUUGUAGCCAAAUACAAACUUAAACUAGUACUAUUGAAAUCCAAAACAAAUCUUAAACUAAGAAAAAUAGUGAUAUAAACCAAAUUCCAUCGAAUAUCGGAGCAAAAAAUGCAUCAUGUAAGAUAAAGGUUUUUCCACCACGCAUACAUAGCUUGCAGGUGCCAAUUCUCUUUAUUUCAAUAUGAGAAUUAUUUUCUGCAUAGAUUUAUUUUAUUUCUUGUGGAGUUUAACAAAAAUCUACAACGCAUUCCUGUUUUAUGCUACAUGAUCCGUGGCCUUUGAAUCUAUAAUCCAUAAAGGAUGUGAUUUAAUCAUUAUAAUAGUACUAGAAAAAAACACAAUAUUUUUAGCAUUACGUAAAAAUACUUUAACGGUUUGUACUUUUUUUGCCUCAUUACAUUUACAAGCAAAAUGACCUUUUUGCUAUAGUUAAAGAACUUAACUUUAAGUUUAUUCUUUUUAUGAUGAGCCUUAGGAUCUUAUCUUUUACCAAUUUGGUCACUUUUUAUCCUUUUAGAAGUUUUCUUUUUAUUCUCACCAUGUGACUUAUGCUUGAAGCAUCAAGCUUCUUUUAAACUAGAUAAUGCCAUAUAAGUAUCAGCAUAAAGCUUAGAUGCUUCCAUUCGAUCUUCUUCUAGUUGAAGAUGAUGGAAAAAAUUAUCAAAAGUCAUUAUACUCUCAUUGAGGGUAAAAUGCACUUUUAUGUGCUCCUAACUAUGUAGCAAAUAAUGGAUAAUAAAUUGAACCUAUUGUUUAUCUAUCAAAGUGUGGCCAGCCUCCUUUAGCUUGCUUGUCAUGUUUGACAUCUCAUUCGCAUGCUGCCUUAUAUUAUGAUUAGGCUACUUUUUAUAUGUGUCAAACUUGAUAGUAAGCUGCCUUAGUUUGGUAAUUAAAGUUGCAUCAAACUUUGCUUUUAGGGCACUCCACAUCUUUUUGACUAUUUUAUAAGAAUGAAACUCACUUAUAAUAUCAUUCUUCAUACUGCUAAGCAAUGUAAUGCAUACAAUGGAGUUUUUUUUUUCUAGACCUCAUAAGCCUUUCAGUCCCUCGUGUGCUAAGACGUAUUUCCUUCCCAGGCUCAUAAAAGACAUUGUUUAGAAUAUCAAGACCUUCUUAUUCUUUAAGUACAUACUGGACUUUCAUACUUCAGAUCUCAUAAUUGUGCCCAUUCAGCUUCCCACCCUUGUUUAACUCAGUAAUAAUGUUAUUAGAAGUAAAAGAUAUUUCAAAAUAUAAUUCUACCAUUCGAGAGAGAGAUGCACUAAUUAAUGCCUAGCAUUGCACACUUCUCAUUUUGCUACAAUGUUACAAAUAAAAUAAUGAUAAUCAUUCACAUAAAAAUGAAACCAAAAGGUCACUGUGUUCACAAUCAGAUUUUAUUUUUUUAAUCUGUUUGAUUAUAACUAUUUUAUUUCAUUACGAAAAAUAUUCAAUCUAAGAUAGAAUAAAUCAAUUAUUUUAGAACUCCCACUAACCAUAAGGUUACAUAUUGAUCUCACAAAACCAGGUCUUACAAAACAUAAUUCAAAUCCAAAAAUAUGUUUGAAAAAAAAUAUACAUACUAAAUGUUAAUUAAAUAUGUUCCUAAUCAUUUCGAAUGACUUGUCUAAAAGCAUGGAUUGAUUUUAAAAAAUUCCUUUGAUAGUUUUACUUUUCCACUGCCCAUCCAUAGAGGUAUAUGAAUUUUAUGUUUCCUAUUACAAAGACUUAGACAGAUUAAAAAGGUCACAUUCGUCUUGCUCCCAUUCUCACAUAUUCCUUCACAAAAUUCUUAUUUAAUGUUUCAUACUUAGAAUUACUCCCUAACAACAUCUAGAUAUCUUGAAAAAUAUUCUUUUCUCUAAGAGUCAAAAGUGUAUCAUCAACAUUUCAUAUUUGAUCUAGUCAUUCCUAAUGUGUGUGCUAUGACAUCAGAUCAAUUCUUGGAUCAUGCUAUUAACCUUGAUGAUAUGCUUCUCAAAAUUAUCAUUUGGAUCCAUUCAAUAUUGUCUCAAUUCCACCAUUAGCCUUAUGACUCUUAAAAAUUGUGCCAGUGUCCUUAGAACGAUGGGAGUCUUCACUAGAAUAGUCAUGAUUUUUGGUAACAACAUCAGAUAAAAAAUCAUUAUUUUAUAAGUCAACACAAGUCCAAAAAAUGAUUAAUAUUCAUUUCAAUCAUUCUUGUGCAAUUAAACAUCCCAACGUCAACAAGGAUAAUUUUUUCAUGCUUAAUACCGAUAAAAAAAUGAUCCAAAAUGGCAACAUCAAUGGCAUUUUCUUAUUUAAGAACUAUCACAACAUUAAUUAUAUUAAGAACACAAAAUAAUGUCAUCUCUUAUGGAUAUGCGUAAUCAUGCAAGAACAUAUCAUGUUUUGGUUAUUAAAAACAUACAAACGAACCAAAAAAUAAGCCAACUUGGUUCUGAUACCAAUAUAAGAUAAAUUUACACACAAGAUAUAUAUAUAUAUAUAUAAAUAUAAUCAUAUAUACUUAUUUCUUAAGCAGAAGAGGAAAUGAAAACCCAGCUUAUAUUACAACAUUUUUAAAAUAGUACUGAUAAUGUUUUUUCAUACAUGUACACGAAGAUUUUAAUCAUAAAAUUUUUGGGGAUGGGCAUUGUUUUUGUGGUUGGAGAUCGUGUAAGAGAGAAAAUUUUUAAAGUUGUUGCAUUAAUAUUUUUUUUGAUAAAAGAAAUCCACAAACUCAAUGAUAUUAUAUCAUUCAUACCUUAAAGGGGCUCCAAAAUCUAUAUUUCUCACAUCUUUGCCAUUAGAAAAUUAAGCCAUCAAUUGAACAGUGUAACUAAAGAGAAGAUGAAUCUGAACAUUUUAAUUUGCAUUUAGCAAAUUAAAUACAUAAAUAUUCUAUUCCAUAAGAUGCAUAGCAUGAGAAGAAAAAGAAUUAAAAAGACAUAAUAAAAAUUAUGUUAAUUUAUAAGAGAUUAAUGGAUAAAAAAUGAUGAAAUAUAUAACUAAGAAAGGUUUAAUAACAAAUUAUAGUUGCAUAUUAAUUGUAGAUAUUCAAAAUACUUGCUAUUGACAAAAUUCACUCACCACCCACAAAUCUGUAAAUGUCAAAGCAUACGAAAAAAAGCUAACAAACUGAUAUUAAAAAGGAAAAAAAGUGAAAGCUACAAUCUAUCAAGUGAUACUUACAAACGAUACAAAUGUUGAAAUAAAAAAGUAAUGGAAUCAUCCUAUUAAGAACCUAAUAUUUAUGAUAUUGAAUAAAAGAGAAUAAUAAUAGAAUUCAAUGAUAGUAAUUAAUGAGUUUUGAUAGAAAGGAAAAGAUAUAUUUUGAAUUAAGUUAGUAUUCAAUUUUAAAAAAUUAAGAAUUAAAUAAGUUUCUUUCUAUAUAAUUAAAUUUUAAAUUUGAAUUCUUUUAUUGAAGAUGAUUAAAGAAAAUGUUUAUAUAUUGUAGAUGUGUUGGCAAAAUUGGCUUUUUAAUUUAAAUUUAAAAAGCAUAUAUGAGGUAAUAUAAAUUAGUUUUAAAAAAUUAAUUAAAGAGAAAAUUAAUUGGUUGGUUUUCAAUGAAUGAGUUUUAUUUUUUGAACAUAUCAUGGCAACCGGUAUGUAAACCAAAAACCUAUUUUUGGAACAUAUCAUGGAAACAUAUCAUUAAAAUUAAGAAUAGUUGUUGAUCUUUUCUCAUAAAAUAAUUGGUUUUUUACAAAAUUAUUAGAGGUGAUUUAAAAUAAUUGAUUUUAAAUUAAUGCCUACUUUGACUGUUUCCACUUUAGUGCAAUAAUCUUGUUUUAUGUUGGAAAGCAUAUGUUUAAUAUUUUGAAAAGUUCUUAUUAAAGAGUAAAUUGUGCCUGCAAAUAUGUGUCAUUUUAAAUAGAAAGAAAUAUAAAAAAAUAUAUGUUUUCAACUAAUUAGGCUUUUUAUUUUAGUUUUGAAUAUCUAGCAUUAUAUAUUAUAUAUUCAUUUAGAUUAAUAAAUGCAUAAACUAUUUCUUAAAUAAACACUAAAAUAUGGCUAUUAAGUAGUCAAUGCUUUUAAAGCAUAUUUUUUUAUUUACAGCAUUCAUGUUUGAUGCUUAAAAUUAAGAAUUGAAUUUUUGAAAGUGGGUUAAGAUAAUUGAUUUGUAAUAUAUAUUUAUAAAAGGUAAGAAUAUUUUAUUUUUAUUAAAUAAUAAAGAUAUUUAAUUUAGUCAAAUUAAAUCUUCUAAAUAAAUAAAAUUUAUAUAAAAUCAAAUCAAAAUAAUUAAAUGCAGCAAACAUUAAAAUUUUUCAAAAUUGUUUACAUGUCAAUAAUAUAGGCUAUUCACAUUGGAUAAUUUUCGUUUUUGCCAAAGGUUUUGACUUUUAUAUAUAUUUAUAUAAGAUGCUGUGUGCUCGUCACCUUAAGCAGCAUAUGCAAAUUUUUGAAAGGGUAUUCUUAUUCAAGUGCCUCACACCAAUGUUAGUAUAAAAGUCACUUGAGUUACAUUUGUCUUCAAACUGCUUCUCUACCAUUGUUAGUUCAAAAAUCAUAAUUGUUCUAUUUGUUUUCUAAAUGCAUAAAAUUGAUGACAUCUUAUUCGUUUUUAGUUUGAAAUUGGUUGAAUCCAAUAUGUAGUCAUUGUAAGCACUGAUUUUUGCAUAUUUUCGUGGUUAGUGUUAUUAUUUUUCAUUGAAGCUUGUGUCCUAGAUGGGUAUUAGGGCAGUGCAUAGGUUGUGUGCAUUUAUUUGGGUCGGGUGUGUGUGAAAGGGGAGGGAGUGAGAUGAGAUGUAGGUCUAAUGUCUAUCUAUCUCCAAGUCAUUCUUAUUAUUCUAUAACAAUAGGACUCUCCCUCCUGUCCCCAUAAAGUUCCAUUAUUCCUUGAUUUGGAAACCUAACUUUGAGCCGAGGACGAGAUCUACCAUGAGCCUGGUGAGAGCAGUGUCACAAAACAAAGACAUAUAUCUCAUUUAAGUUGCUGAAUUCCAUUCUGCUAGUUUCUAUCAGAUAUCUUGCUCGCAAUUAUUUGUCAAUAACAAUAGCAGAGUAAGUGAAAGGUAGUGGACAUUCUAAUUAAUUAAUUAAAGAUAGAAUUCAUAGGUUUAUCAUAGUUGUGUUUCUGGCUUUCUGCAGUUAUAGAAGAAGGUUGCAAAAGCGAAUAUUUUGUUCAUUGCUUCAUGCUUAUGCAUUGGCUUGAUUAAAAGGUUUAAUCUGGAGACAAAAUCUUUUGGUGCCUCACAAAGUCACAAAAAGCCAAAACUAGACUUCUUUCACUUGGAAUUUGAUUACCAAAAAUAGAUAUCUUCUGGAAAUAUUGGAAUAGGCACAGCGCUUGUUGAAUGAAAUGAAAUAGAUAUUCUCUCCAAAAAUAGAACAGGUAUUAGUUAGUUUCGUUUCUAAAUAGAAAUAUAGGAAUAUAGGAAGAAUACUAUAAAAUGUUCAAUUUCAAAGUUAAAAUUUGCAGUUUAGUUGAAAUCAGAGAAAUCCUAGUAGCGUCAUAGAAUUAUCGUUGUUAAAAAUACAUAAAAUGAAUUGUUUUUAAAUAGUAACGUUCACAGCUACUUCAGCAGGAAAGUCCCACAUUAAAGGAAAACAAGAAAUAACAAACACGCUCUUUUCUUUAUAAUAAAUCACAUCUCAUUUUCGUCCAAAACAUGCAGUCGUGUAGUGAGCACAAAGCGAACUAUUCUUUCGCCUUUUACUAAAGAAUACCGUGUGCUCACUGCUGAAAACGGCGUACAUUAAUUUUUGGAGGGGUAUUCUUCUAAGAAUGCCUCCAAACAAUCCUAGUUAAAGUUUACGUACUAGUCAAUCCUGGUAAAAAGUGAAAUAUUUCUUUGACAAUAAUAAUCAAACAAUUGAAGUUUCAGGCGUAAGUGUGUCCUUACAUUUGCAGGGAUCUAGUUUUAUGAUUAUCUGCUGCUAGUGCACUGCUGGUCCUUACAUUUACAGGGAUCUAGUUUUAUGAUUUUCUGCUGCUAGUGCACUGCUGGUCCUUACAUUUACGGGCAUCUAGUUUUAUGAUUAUCGAUGUUUCUGAAGAUUGAUAACUAUAAUACGAAAUAAAUUUACGAGUAACAAGCCAUUGUUUGAAAAUAGUUGUAGUUGAUUAACUACGUGUCUGCCACUACUAGUGGAUUAGUUUGGCUUUGCUCUCUUUAUUUGCGAUCUCCAGGUUUUGCAUUCUUUACUUGUGGAGUUAUUUUUGUACAAUCAAGCUACCCUAUACAUUGCAUGCAAUUUAGUUUUCCAUUAUCCCAUACAGAUUGAAACUGAUAGCCAGUUUUGAAGCUAAAGAAAUGGUUACUGCCCAUGUUCCUUCUACCAAGCAGCUUGCUGAAUUUUUACCUUGGCGAUUCGUUACAGGUUCUUAGCCCUCUUCUUCAAUUUCCAUAGAAAAAUAUGUGAAUAAAUCUCGAUUCUCUCAUCUUUUCGUUUCAAAUCUCUUGAGAAAAGACACUUAUACUUCAUAGGUAAUGUGAUAUCCAGCUGCUACAACAAAGAAGUCAGUCCUGCAUUUGGAGAAAACCUGAGAGAAUGGAUGGCACUCAUUAUAAAACUGAUACAUGGAGCAACGUUUAAACAUACUUACCUGGACGUUGUCCAUGGGUGAACAAGGAGGCCCACGGCCUAGUCAUGUGGCCUCCAUUGCACUUGGGAGGUGCCUCUAUCUGAGGUCUCCUGAAGCAGUAGAUCUAUGUCAUAAUUUCUGGUACCUGUCUAAUUCUCAACGAAAGUUUUUGCUGGCACUGGUCAACGUGUUCUUUGGUGCUUAAAAGUUAGCCAUCUGUAAUAAGAAAUCAGAAACUAUGUUUAACAAUUUGAAGCAUGAAAAUAUAAUAUAUCAAUGAAUUCAUCACUUUGCCUCACUAUUUUUGUUGAUAUUUCAGCAAAGAGGAGGUCAUUGGAAAAAAGUAUGAAUUUCAAGGAGGAGUGCUUCUUGCUAGAUAAAGUGAUAGAUUUUGCCAUAAACACCAGCGAGAAGAAGAAUUCAUCUAAUCGUCUUUGUGAAGCUUGACAGAUUGAUCAAGAAAGAAAUGGAUUAAGAUUACGUUAUGUUUAGUAUUUCAGUAUGGCAUAUUUUUUCCAGAAAACAUGGGCAAAAUCCCACAUUGUCUUGUUCCCCAAACAGGAAUUUUUGUGUUCGGCUAUAAAAGAAAUGCUAAGAACUGAGUUUCUCCCUCUCCGCGCUCGGGUCAGAGGCGCAGCUGGUGAGAUUUUAGCGAAGGAGCGUCUAUUGCUGGUUGAAAUCUAUUUUCAAACCCCUUUAACGUCUGGGUAAGCCCUGGCUUCGGAGAAUUUCUGGAAGGGCUACUUUUGGGUUAAAGCACUGCACGUUCUAAAGCGUUCUGAUCAAUAUUUAAUUGUCAAUAAUGGUACUCUUCUAUUGUAAGUUUUCUGUCGUAAAAUUUAAUAAUUUCAUUUGAACAAUUGGUAGUUGCAGGGGCAUUGCCACUUUUAUUGAAUAAUUAACUUUGUAAUAUGUUAUUUAAUUUCAAAUAUGCUCACAUAUGAAGUAUUAUCGAUGGGAAAAAAUAUUUUCCACUACUUAACUCUCCACUAGGUAAACAGAGUUUUUCACUUCUUUUAUCUAAAUUAAUCUUGAAAUUUAAAAUGAAUAUGAAAAUAUAUAAAAAUUAAUUAAAAAAUAAAAAAUGAUUUAAAUAAAUAUUAAUCAUAAAUUUAGGUGAAUUGCACUUAUUGACCUUUUGAUGAAUUAGUAAAAAUUUUUAUUAUUUUUUAAUUAAGGGAAAUGAUCCUUUCGCCUCAUGGAUAUACUAAUGAAAUUUCAUGCUGUCUAAUUCUAUGUUUAACUUGAAAAAUCUCUCAAUUCCUAAGAAAUCCAAUUGAGAAAUCUGAGGAGGUGGGAAGCUUUCUUUACUACAAGGUAGAUAUAUGCUGGUAGUCCUUUCAAUUCCAAACCUACUACUACUAGUAGUAGGAUAAGAUAAAAAUUCAAAAAAUUCAAAAAUUGAUUUAAAUCCAUAGUAAUAGGUUUGGUUCGAAUCAAGUUUGGAUAUUAAAUUAUACAUUAGAUUCAGAUUAGUUUCGAAUUAAAAGGUGAAAAACUGAAAAAAAAAAUCAAAUCGAACUAAAUUAAAUUAUAUAUAUUUUUUAAUUUUUAUAUAUUUUUAAAAUUUUUAUAAAAUAAAAAUAAUACUUUUAUAUCAAAAUCUACUUAAAUAUAUUAAAUUUUUAUAUUAAAAUAAUACAUAAAAAUUUAAAAAAAAUUAAAAAUCGAUAAAUCAAAUCAAACCAAUAAAAUUCGAUUCAAUUCGAUUCAAAUUGAAUAAAAUUUGGUUUAAAUUUGGAUCAAAUUUUAAAUUUUCAUAAUAUUAUAUAAUAUUAAAAAAAUCAAAUCAAAUUUGAUCCGAACUAAGCUAUUAUGGUCCUAACUAUUACACAACUUAGACGGCUAUCUUUAAAAGGGAAAAAUAAUGGAUGAAGGUAGAGCUGCUUAUUGAAUACUAUUUUUAAAUUUUUUUUUAAAUUGUAGUAUUUUGUUUUCUAAAAACCAAACUCUAUAUCAUCGAUUCUAAUCAAAGACCUUAAAAACGAAUCCCAUGUCGCACUCAGAAAGCACUUAGCUGGUUCUUCACAAGCUUAUAGAGCAUCAUGGAUCAAUGCUCUUCAACUUAAGGAUUUGUGUGGCGAGUACAAAGCAAACUAUUGUUUCCCUUUUAUUAGAAAAUACCGUAUACUUGCCACCUGAAGCGGCAUAUGUUAAUUUUUGAAAUGGUAUUUCUAUUCGAGUACCUUACACCAAUCUUAGAAUAAAAGUCAUUUGAGUUACAUUUGUCUUCGAACUGCUUCUUUACCAAUGUUAGUUCAAAAAUCAAAUUAGUUCCAUUUGUUUUCUAGGUACCUAGAAUUGAUGAGAUUUUAUUGGUUUUUUGUUUGGCAAGAAAACUUGUGAUUGAAGAUGGCUUAAAGACCGGAUUCAAAUUUGUCCUACCAACCAUUUCUUAGCCGACAACGCAAUGACAAGUCCCAAGUGAAAAGAAUUACUUAAGAUUGAGGGGAGUAUUAUGAUAGUAGAAGUAAAAACUUAUAAGUGUCGUUCUUUAUUUAAAAAAAACCUACGAACGACAUGCCGUUACACUAGCUUUGCUUGAGACAAGAUUUGCGGAUGAUCUAAAUAUUAAAUGAGUAGGUUGAUGUCCUGGUAAAAGGGAUACAGAAGAACAUUGGAGUAAAUCAGGUGAUAAUAAAUCCCGCAUUGGCGAAACACUAGUUGAGCAUAGAGAAGCUAUCAUAAAAAAUGAGCAUGGGCCUAGUUUUAAAUUGUAUUGAAGAAGCAUUACUUAUUUGAACGGGAUCAAUGGGCCAUCAAGAUUCUCUACAGCCUAUGUAGCUGCCCUUCAUUGCAUCCUAUGUUAACGUAGGGUAUUGAGGUUAUGCUUCAGUUUCUAACAUCACCUGUAUUUUUACUUAGUUUUGGUCCAAAAAUCACCAAAAUACCCUCAUCUAUAUAUAGUGACAAAUUUGUCCUUUAUCCCCAUAAAGUAAACCAACAAUCAUGCAUGUGUUGGAGAAUAUUAUGCUAUCUUUUUUGGUGAUAUAUAUCCAAAAUUUCAACUGAAAUAAGAAAAAACUGGACGACCCCUUUCUUUAUGUUAGGAUUAAAGUCUUAUUUUCAAAAAAAUAAUGACGGGACGUUUGGUUUACGCAAUUUUAAAUUUUAAGAAAAAAUAUAAUACUCUAAAAGUUUGAUAUUCCAGAUUUUAUUUGAUUUUUAAGACAUUUCAUAAUAGGAUUCAUUUGUUUAGUAUGAGAAAUUUUUAUUUAUUAAUUCAUAUAUAAUUAUUAUAAUCUCUUUAAUAAACUGUAGGCAAUCUUUUAUUUUGUUUUAAUAAAAAAAAUCUCAAAUGACAAAUAAUAUUUUUAGCAAUAAAAGAAAAGAAAUAUUUUAAUUUUUUUAAUUAAAUAUACUCAAUUAUAGUGUUUAACUAAACAUCAAGCCAUUAUUGUUGUAUAAAAAUAUAAAAAAUUAAUUAUAGCAUUUGGAAAAGCUUAACGCCUCAUUUGUUUUUGUAAAGAUUUUGAAAAAUAAGGUAUUUAUUAAAAAAAAAAAAAAAACGCUUUAUUUGAAUGAGUCAAAAAAAACAUUUGUUCAAAGAAAUACUUUAUUUUGAUAUUUUUAUAAAAAUUUUGAAAAAAAAAAUCAAAUAAGACAUUUGUAUAAAAAAAAUCACUUUAAUUGAUAUCAGUUAAGGCAUUUGUAGAAUCAAUUAAGGCGUUUUUUUUUAUAAUUGCUUGAAUUGUUACAUAUUAAAACUGAAUUAAAAUAAAAUAAAUUUUUAAAAAAAACUGAAAUUGAAUUUUAAAUUUACUUUUUAAAAGAGUAAUAGAUAUAUGAUAAAUUUUUUUAUUCAGGUCAAAUUUAGAAAUAAAAUAAUUUUUCUUAUCAAAAUCUUAAAAUAUCGUAAGAAGAUGUGAGUUUCUGAUUUUGAGACUUUAAGAACUAUUGAGAAUCUGAUAUUUUUUCCUGUAAUCGAAUUACUCUGAACUAAUCGCAAAAAAAAAAAUAUCUACCAUCAAAAUUUUCAAAAAAAAUUUAUGGAUUUCUCUAAACCAAACACAUUCUAAUAACAAAGCAAACAAGAUCAAUAAGCGUAUUUACUCUGCGUCACAUUAAUAAUUAGGUUCCAUACAACUUAACACUCUAAUCUCAAGUUAUAACAGGAAGAAGAUAGUAAUUAAAAUGUUGGGUGAGAAAAUCAACUUUAAUGUACCAAAGUAGUAAGAAAGGAUAUGUGAUCUCCAGCCAGCCCUCUGGAUUGAAGACAGCUAGCAAAAGAUUUUAAUUUUUCCGGAAUACAUUCAUCAACUAUGGUUUCUCAAAAAAAAAAAGAAAUUGAAGUUAGAGAUAAAUUUAGUAUUCGUUGACUAAAAAAUAGUGAAAGUUUUGCAGCGUACCUGAUCAGGAGUGAUAGUUAAGUUAUCAUAAUUUAUAUCAACUCUACAGAAUUUGAAACAAAAAACAGUUCCAUCAUUAUAUAUAUGUUGAACAAAACGUCGAAGGAAAGGCAGCAAAUGGAUUGCAGCUUUACUGAUUUGGAUGUAAUCUUGAAGGAAGCUUCAAUUGUCACCUUCCUACUUAACAAACUCAAUCCACUGGCAUUGAACUUGAUCACAUUAACUGCUUUGCUCUUCAUUUUCCCAUGACCCAAUGUUAACCUUAGUAAAAGGCAAACGACAUUACAAACACAGUUUCAUAUAGAAAACGCACAUCAGUGUUUAAAUUCGGUAAUAAGAUAAGAUUCUGGACAUUUGAAUUGUUCAGUUAUGGAAUUUCUCAAGCAACUUCUUGAAAUUGGAGAAUAAGAGUAGUCAAUGAAGCAAUGCUCAUUAGUUUCAUUGUAAGAAAAUCUAAUCAUGAAUUCAUAUACCUUUUGAACCCAAGGUGAUGAAAUCUCUUAAUCCCAGCUUUGUUCUCUUUGAACCCAAGACUGUAAUUGUACUGUUAACUAGCUUCCAGCAACCAUCCACCAUUCCGUUUAUAGAAGCAAAACUGUAACUACAUCCUUUAGUUUAUUUUCUCAAUAGAAUACAACUGAAAGUUUACCUUUUCUAGAUUCAAAGUAGGAUCAGGAGUUGGGUUCUGGGAUUCUAGCAGCUUCACCAGAGCUUCAAUAUCAGUUUUCUUUGAGGAUGGUAAUCCAAAAAUCCCUCUAUUGAUUCCUUUGAAUAUAUACAUGGAUGAAACAAACAUUUCAGUAAUUCAUCUAAAAAAUUUUCACCAUGUUAUUCUUUUAUUGUAAAUAGGAGCUAAAUAAAGAAAACAAAUGGGCUGAAAAUUCCAAUGGCCAUACCGUUGACUUCCUGGAAGAGUUUUGUUUUGAGCUGGGAAAGUUUUUUAAAAUCUUCAUUUACAUCUUCCUCGCCAACUAAGCCAGCGUUCUGUUCAGCAACUUUGGUGGUAUAAGUGGGUCUAAAUCUAUUGCUCCUAGUCAUUGGACAUUUGGCUGAGACCACUCUGCAAGUUCUCAUCCUUUCUUUGAUUUUGUAUAUCCGAUGAACGAUUCGGGGAGCUUGGUUUUUGGCUGGAUAAGCUUGUAGGAAAUGAAAGCAGUCAUUGGCGCAAAAAGUUCUAAUUCCCUUGUGUUUUGGAAAGAAAAAUGAAGCCCAGGUUCAUGGCCAGACGAUGCGAAGUAGCUCAGGACCAUGGCAAGUUUAGCUGGGAUGGAAUCGUCCUAUCCAGUUGAUAAGUUUGAAUUAGCCAACGACACGUUUAGUAUGCGUUUAAUUUUUCUUUAAUUGAGGUUGCAGAUGAAAUCAUGUAAGAUCAGAUAAUCUGAUAAUCUAUCAAUAGAUCACAUAAUUAUUGAUUAAUAUAUAACAUUUGAUAAAUCACACAUUUAUAUGUCAUAUUCUAUCAACAAAUCAUGCAUCUACAUUUGAUAUUCUACCCAACAAGUCACCCGGGUACGUUGAUUCAACAGUAGAACCGCACAGCUGAGCUGUUGGUCAGUAUGUUUAGGGUUUCAAUAUCAAAUUAAAAGGGUAGUUUGAAUUUUAUUUUUUGGGCAGUUGGGAAAGGAUUUCUGCACUGGGAGAAAAAAUUAUAAUCCGAUUCUUCAAAACACACACACACACACUUACCAAUUUCCUUAAAUGCUCAAAUUCGAUGAUAAGAUUGGAUGAGGGGCAAAAUCUAAAGGUAGAAUUGGCACUGCAAUUGUUUUUGGCCAACUCCUUUCAACUCUUUGAACAUAUCAAUCUCCCAUCUUGACAUUAGUUUACUUUUCCAUUCUUUUAGCUAGUCAAGUAUAUGGUUUUCCAGGCAUCCCCAGCAAGCUAUGCAUCUAACGCCCCCAUGUAAAGGUUAUUACAAUUAUAGAGUAACAUUCUAAAACAACUCUUGAAAAGUAGCCAAUUCUCAAGUGGUUAUCUGAGAUCAAAAGUUAAUUCUCAAGUGGCCACAUGAACUCUUAUUUAAAUGUCUGAAUUACUUGAGUAUCUUUCUAAGCAUGUGAUUUAGAUUUUUCUGACUCUUCUUGUUGUUUCCACUGCUCGGGGGUGAGAGCUUUCUUUAUUGAAAGAGCAUGGAUUUGCCUCAUCUCUUCUUCAAGAGCCGCAUUCACUAUCCGGUGUCUCUCCAGAAGCCUCUUCCCUAUGAAUUGUUCGGAUACAAUCUCAAUUGCAAAACUUGCACCACACCUAAUCCAAUUACAAACUCAUCAUAAAAUUUCAAAAAGGUGAAGGAUGGAUUAGUGCAGAAACUCAAAUAAAAAAUGUUCAGAAUAAGCUCACCCGCCAGAUGUAUCAAUUACUUCCUGAAACACACAAGUACAAACAUUAGUUUUCAUGAAAAUAGCAUCAGACAUACAGGUAUCAAGAUAGAAAACAACUCUUAAUAAAUCUUAAGAAGGCUUUCGCCUGUCCAAGUAAUAAAUACAUAUGAAAGCAAUUUAAAAAAAUAAAUAAAUUAAAGUUGGGUGUCAGUCCCAAUUAUAAAUGCAGAUAGAUUUCUAGCAAUCAUCAAUGCAUAAACAAAACUGAUCAGGAAAUUUGAACAAGGAACUAAAGAACAACUGAGUCAAAAGGGAACCCCGUCAGGCAAAGAAGUUGUCAAGUUUGAUUGAACAUGUAACCUCAUAUUCCACCUAUAUUUAUAGGGAAAAAGGAAAACAAUGCCAUAAGAUACUAAUAACCUUUGGGCUAAAUCCUCAUUUUAACAAUAUGAAUCGGAUGAAGGAUGAGUUCAUGUGUUAAAAGCCAUUUGGGUAUAUGGUGCUAUGUUCUAACUACGUGGGAAAUAAGGAAUACAUAAGCUUACAGAAGACAUCCCUCGUAACACACAAAAGAACAGAGCUAACUUAAAAAAAUGUGACACUUCAAAGAGGACAGUACAACAUAACUGACAAACACAAUUAAAAACAAUUAAUCUUUUCCAGCAUAAAACAGUGUACAAGCCGAUUUGGAAAAUGAGCACUAAACUUUCUUCUUCAAGUGGUCUUAUCAUGAUCAUCUGCAUCCUGGUCAGAAAGAUAUAGAAUUUCGAAAAGCAUGCAGCGCACUUCUUUCAGCAGCUAAUCAGAUGCUUUCAAAUACACUGAAAUGUACCACCAUAUUCUAGCAAUGCGAGUAUGGCCAAUGAAAAAAUUGCAAAUAACAAACUUAUAUCUUCAUAACAUACGAGGCAACAAUGGAACAAGUUUAAUUCUCAUAAAAACUCAGACAAUCAUGCUGGGAGAAAUAUCAACUAGAGACUAGAAAGGCACCAUUGCUCCUUGUUAAUAUCUAUCAGUGUAUGUAAACAUGAAGCCUUUAAUGUUGAACCCGACUUUUAUAAAUGUCACUGUCAAACCUUUCAGAAACAAAAAGGAAAAUUAUUAGCUUUUAAUGUUCUCUCCUCAAGAGAAACCAAAGCCAAUAUGAUAGGGUACUAUUCUCGACAUCACUUAAAACUGGGUCCAAGUAGUGGUAAAAUUAAGAUUAAUUCCAAGACCAUUUUCAUCACAAAAGCUUUCUCUAUGAACAAAUGAAGAUACAAUGAUGGUUACAUGUCAAGAAUGAGCUUGGGCCCCUGCAAAGCAGCAAAUUAUAGCUGAGCUGCCUUGUGCUCAAACAAGUGCAUGCACCCUAGAGAUAGCAUCUAAGUUAAAAGCCUAAAUGAGCCCAAUCAUUCCAAAAGAAUGAACAAUCUUUCCACCUCAAAGCAGGAAAGGCAUUAUUCUUUCUCAUUCAACCAACUCCAGCCUCAAGUGAACCAUUAACCAACAAACAUUUCAAGAGUGACACAAAAAUCUUAAACAAUUUCUUCAAAGGCGGCAUGAUUCUCAAUUUCUCACAAAUUCACAACUUGCUUUUCCACAAGUAUUCAACAAAAUUAAAGCUCUACUCAUAUCCCCUUGCAUUUCGCACUACUUGUUUUCACUUAAUCGAUAUCAGAAAAUUGCUAAAAUGUAACUAUGAAAUAAUUGUUCUAAAAAAAAGUAGAACCACGAAUUUUUUCUAAAAUUGAAAACACAUUUAUAAUUUGUAAUUCUUCAAAAAGAAAAGUUUAUUACAAAGUAAAAAGCAAAUAGCUAAAGCAUGUUCAUGGGUUUAUUAUAUUUGUGGAACAUGAUUAGGGAGAAAAAAAAAUAAAGCCAUUUACUUUCAAUUGAUAAGAGGAAACUAAAAAGAACCCAGUUCCAGGUUGCUGACAUUUUCCAACUUUGAUCAGAAUAUAUGUAUAUCAACAAUAACUGAAGAAGAUGAAAUAGAGGCGAGGAGGUUACCAGAUGAGAAGGCUUCAAUUUUGAAUUCAAUGAAGAUUCAACUUGAUCCUUUGUUACUCCCAUCUUCCCUUUCUCCUUAACUCUUUGCGUCUUCUUUUGCUCAUUGGGUUCAACUUCAGGGCAUGAAAAUCAUAAAAUCCAAGAUUCGUUUAUCAAAUUAAUAAAAAAUAAUAAUAAAAAAAAACCCAAAAGAUUCGAUUUGGGUGGAGCAUAUUACAUGCUAGCCAUGGCCUAUCCCUUCCUAAAAGCCCAUUAAGAAUUUAUUCCAGAUCUAUACUUUUUUUUUUUUCAAAAUUUAUUUAAUUUGAAUUAGAAUUCUCAAUUAAUUUAUUAAAUUAUUUUUAAAAUAUAAUAUUUAAUAGAUUUACAAUAUGUUUGGAUUAAAAAUUUUUAAAUUUUGAAAAAAAUUAAAAAUAAAGGCAUUUAAAAUAUAUUAUUUCAAAAUAUUAGUAUUUGUUUGGAUAAAUACUUCUUUAAAAAAAUUGGACUGUUAAAAUUUGAUGAGACAAAAAAUAAUUAUAAAAGAAGAACAAUGAUAUUAAAAAUAAAAGUGUAUGUAUAAAUAAAAUAUGUAAUAUGUGUGUCAUUAUAUUUGUAAAAAUAUAUAAAUAUUAUUAAUAAUCUAAAAAACUAUAUAUUAUAGUUGAAUAUAAUUAUAUUUAUUUUUUGAGUUUAUAUUUUAUGGUAUGCAAUAAAAAGAGUUACACUUUAUGCAGUAGAAAUGAUUGAAAGAGGUGAGAAUAAAAAAAAUUUUAAUUUAAUAGUUAAAAUUCAUAAUAAUUUUCUUAUUUUGCAACUUACCCAUUUGAUUGAUAAGUUUUUAUCCUUAUCCUUUUUUCAACAUUCCUAUCAAGCAAAACCUUAAUAUUUGAAAUUUUUUUAAAAAAUUACCUAUUUAGGUGGAAUUUCAAAAGGGAAUUUGAUUAUCUCAAAUUCUCUCUUGAAAUUGCAUCUAAAUUUUGAAAUUUUUCUUUUAGUCUUAGCCAAACAAGUAAAUUUAUUUUAGAAUUUUUAAAAUCUUGAUUGAAAUGAAAUCUCUCCACCAAAUAUCUCGAUUAAACACAUCUUUAAAAUUUAAAUCAUAAUAUCUUAAACCCUUUCCAUAUAUUCUGUACUGUAACCUCUUUUGUGAAAAAAAAUUUAUUUGAUUUAAGUCAUUACAUUUCAUUUUAAGAAAAUGAUGAUUUUAGGGUUUACAUCCCUAUUUACUUAAAUAUUCUUAUAAGUAUAACAAAAGAAAGUAAAUAUUAAAAGAUUUGAUAUGUGCCAUUUAAACAACCAUUUCAUCUAAAAGGGUCCCUAAUUGGGUAAAUGUUUUAAGGAGUAUUUUCUGUUUGCUAAUAGAUAUGAUUACAAACUAAAUAAAUUUAUCAAUUGGUUUUCAUUAUUUCUCUCCAAAAUUAAGUGCUUUCUUGUUUUGAAGGGGCAGGAAAAUAUGAUUUAAAACAAAUCCAUGGUUAUUGAUGGUUUUUCUUCUUUCCCUUCUUAAAUUUUCUCUCAAAAUUCGAUAUCCAAAUAAGAGAAAUUGAAUAAUUAUGCACCUUUUUAGCUAUUUGAAUCCAUUGCCCAAAAUUAUGAAUGACCAUUAAUUUAAACUUUGAAAGUUAAUAAUGAAUAGUUAACUACAAUUUUUUUAAUUAAAUGUUUGCAAAAAAUAAAUAAAAUUAAACUUGUUUAUAUAAAAUGGGCUAAAGUUCUACCUUUAGUUUUAUUUAUUUAAAAUGCACCAAGCAUUUGCCAACAAUAUUUUUUGAAGGACUUGUUUUAAUCUAACAAACAAAAUUCUAAACCAUUUAUCUUUUCCAAAACCAAAUCUAACAAAUAAAAUCUUUCUCCAUAAAUCGCCUUCAAAAUCAACAAAAAUCAAUUUAAGCAUCACCUAAAUCACAAAAGUAAGCCAUUAACCCAAAAGAGAUUAUUUUAAUAUAUAAGAAUAGACUAUAAAGAGAUGUUAUUGGAAACUUAAUUUUAUAAUGACACAUGUGGAUGUAGGGUGAUCUAAUAAAAAGAGUAAUUAUGAAAUUUGUUAGUAAUUGAUGAAGAUAUUUUGAAGAAGGGUUUGAGUCAUUCAACUAUAAAAUUAAAGGUUUCAAAUUCAACUUUGUAAUAAAAAAAAAAAAAAAAAUCAAACGAGAAAAAAAGCCCAUGAAUUGCAAUGCAUUGGUCGCAAUCACUUUGGUCCCAUUUAUUUGCGUUGGUUUCUUUAUGGCCACCCUCUCUCCUACGGUUGAAAACUUGGACUUUUGCAUUAGAUUAUUCUCCUUAAAAUUUAAUGCUUGCUAAGUAAUACGAAUGGAUGUCCAUAAAUCAUACUUUACGUGAUCCAAUUCUAUACUCUACUUUGAUAAUAUCCUUUUAUUCAUUUAGUUUAAGUGAAAAAAAAACGUUUGAAUUAUAUUAUCCGCUUUAAUUGUAUCAUUAAUUAAGACGUGUAUUACACAAAUAUUUAAAUUUGGGACAAUUGUCGAUAUUAUUUUAUAGUUGAAAUUGUUAAAGAUUAAAAGGGUUAUAAGCGAUAAGAUUUAAAUUUAAAAUAUUGAAUAUCACAUCUUAAGAAUAAUUAUAUAAAUUAAUUGAAAUAAAUUAUGGAUUCAAGAGAUUAAAUAAUGAUAACUCAAGCAUUUUACUAAUCAUUUACAUGAUUCUUGAAAAUGCCAAUAAAAUGUCACUCAUACUUAAGCUUGAGAUUUAUUAUUGUAAAAAAAUUAAAUUAAUUGAAUCCAACAUUUAGCUUAAUUGAUUCAUGUAGAAUAUUAAUUAUUUUUAUAAAAAUAAUAUUUAAUAAAUUUAGAGUUUAAAUUUCAACAUAUACAAUUUUUUUUCAAAUAAUCUAAGCCUAAAAAAUGUUUAUGUUUUACCAAAGUAUUUAGCAUUGAAAAUUAAUCUUAAAUUUGUCUCAAUAGUUUGGUAGUAAUUUAAGAUAAUUUUUUCAUCUUAAGAAUAUUCAUGGAGACUAAUAUCCGCUCUGAAGAGGUUCCGUUAUCAAAUUUAUUAAUUUAUUUUAUUCAAAAAAAUUAAUAAAAUCUCCCAAUAGUUUGGUAGGACUUACUUUAAAGCAAAUCUUCUAAUAGUUUGGGAAGAUUUUAUUACUAAAAUAUUUAUAAAAUUUUUUAAGAAUUUCAUUACGUCUCCCAAUAGUUUAGUAUGACUUAAUCUAUGAAGUAAUCCUCCAAUAGUUUAGAGGAUAAAAAUUAUUUUUUUAUUUUUUUUAUUUUUUGAAAACUGAUUUAUGAAAUUUUUCAAUAGUUUGGUUGAUUUCAUUUUAAAAAUUAAAUCCAUGAAAUUUCUCCAAUAGUUUGGUAGAAUUCAUGAAUUUAUUUUAUAAGGAUUUUCAUUUUUAAAAAAAGAUUUUUUUAUUUAUUCUUUUAGACUUAUUUGAAAAAGGUUUUUUAUUUAUUUCAUAAAUAACUAAAAAAAAUCAUAAUGAUAAGUAAUGUAUUUUUUUAAUUUAAAAUAAGAAUAAUAAAAUAAAUAAAAAUAAACAAAAUAAGAAAAAUAGAAUCAAAACAAAAAAUGGAGUGAAAAAGGAAAAAAGAAUACCUGCGAUCGUGUUGGAUUGUGUAUGGUAAAACAUACAGAUUUAAAUGCCUCAAAUUUAGGCUUUUCUUCAAAAAUGUUUGAGUAUGUUUCUCUUUCUAAAAUGGUUAUUAUUCUAUCUUUUCUCUAAUUGAUUUUCAAAAAUUGAUGAAUAAAUCCUAAAAACUGACAGAAAAUUUUCAAAAACCCAACAAAUUGUCUAGAAAGUUAAACCCAGGAAUCCUUAGAAUGUAAAACCCUACAGAAAUUCAAACUCAAAAACACCAAAUCCCAACUAUAGAAAAUCUAAACAAAUCAAACCUAGAACCUAAAACCUUUUGGUUGCUAAACAAAUUUUCUUUUUUCUCUUAAGAGUUUCUGCAUAAUCUUUUUUCUCCCCUCCAUUUGCUUUGAUAAUAGAUUUAUGUAAGAAUUCAUGUUCCAUCAAUUCCUUUUAAAUUUAUAAUUUUAUUUGAUUUCUGUUUUAAUGAGAAUUGAUUUUGAAAUCAAAUCCCAAAAAUCUCUCCUUAUCAUUUUAAUGUGAAUUGAUUAUGGAAUUAAAUCCUGACAAUCUCUCCACAUCACGUUUAAUACCAAUUGAUUUUGAAAUUAAAUCCCAAAAUUUUCUCAAUUACGAUUGAAGCCUAAUUCCAAAAAAUAUUUUCAGACAAAAUGGGGUGUCUACAGACUCAUUAAUCAAAUCUUAAUUAUGAAACCAUAGCCUUGAUUUUUAUAAUCACUAUGACUUGGAAUCUUAAUCUACAAACACAAAAAUAAGUCCAAAUGUUGCCCCACUCAAGUUUUUGUAGAAUAUUCAAUAUACUCUAAUCAAUUACUUUACCCAAUACUAACACAUAUAUCUUAAAUUAAGCAUAAAUACAUUGCUUUUUUUUUUCUUCUUAUUCUUCUUCUAAAUGGACUUUUCUUUCGCUACAUAAGUUAAAUCCUUUCAAAGUGAUGAAAAUUACCCUUUCAUAAUUUUUUCUUCAAAUGCAAAUAAAAUUGUUAUUAUUUCAAUUUCAAAUAAUAUGAAAACUAGGAAAUUACUACUAUGUUCCUCAAUUAACAAGAAAUGAUAAUUUCAUUUGAAAUUAAGUAUGAUUGAAUGAGUAUAUAUGAUUGUAAGUUGAAACAAGAAUCAUAACUUUUAAAUAUCUUCUAAUUUAUUUUAAUAAAUACUAUUCUUUUCGUUUUUAUUUUAAGUGUUUGUGUUUAACUUUCAUACAUAUUAAAAAAGAACUUUAAUUUUUGUGUAUUUAAUUUUUUUUUGAUCUAAAAGUAUUUUAGACAUUUUGUACAUAAAUAAACCAAAAGGCAAUAGGAAAUGGGACACUCAAAAGGCAAAAGGUAGGCCUAGAAGGUGGCAGGCAAGUUAAUGAAUUUUGGUUGCCAAGACAAAAUAUCAACUUGUAAUUUCCUACUUGUUUCAUCUACACACAAACUGCUUUCUCAAUAACUAUUUUAAUCUCUAUCCAAAAUAAAUGUUAAAAUUCUUUUUAAAAAAAUCAUUAAAAUCUUGAUCUAAUUUUACCCAUCACUUCCAAGAUAUUUACUUAUUUAAGGCCAUUUACCUUUUAUCCUUUAUAUAUGCUUUCAUUGCUCAAAGCCCCUUAUCUUGACCCAAAAUUCAAAAAUCAUGAAUUGGGUUAAAAGACUCAAAACACCAAAAAAAAAAAAGUCAAAAACACCAAAAUGGUGAACCAAUAAAAAAUUAACUUGUCAAAAAAAUGAGAUCGGUUUGAGCUGCAUUUGUUGAGAACUCCUCUCUUUUUUUUUUUUUUUUUGAGAAACCCUAAUGCACCUAUUGCCCUCUGUUACCUACUUAACCUAAUAAACAAUUGCUAGAAUUAUAUAGGAAAAAACAGCCUAGCUUUAGCUGAAAAAGAAAACAAAAAUCACCCAUCACUUGAAGUCUACAAAUUUUACUUUUUUCACAUCUUUAAGAAAAACUGAUUUAAAAUUUCACUUUUUUUUCUUUGGAGUUGUAAACUAUUUUACUGAAGUGCUUUUGAGAUGAUGAAAAAUUCAAGUUUCUCAAAAAAUAAUACAAUCGCCAACAACAUUAGCUUAGAGAAUGAAGAGAAAAUUAAGGUGAAAAAUAAAGAGAUUGAAUAGAAUUCUCUUGGGAACGAUUGGCCAAGGCAAAAGACUUUAGCUUUAUUAAAAAUAAGGUCUGAAAUGGAUGUUGCUUUUAGAGACUCUAGUGUCAAGGCUCCUUCUUUGGGAAGAAGUUUCUAGUUUGCUUUUUUUUUUCUCUUUUGAACUGUGUUUAAUGUUUUUCCCUAGAGAAAAUUAAUUGGAAAAUGUUGGGUUCUAGACUAAAAAUGUAGGAAACAUUUGGUUUGAAUGUUGAGAAGUUGAAUCCCAUCGUUUAAUUAAAAUGUUUUGAAAGAAUUGGUAGAGCUAUUAAAUGUAGUAAAGAAAUCUUAUCAGUAAAUGAUGAUUAUUUUUUAAUAUUAUAUUUGUGUGUUUGUAUUUGUUUAUCUUAAUUUCACUUUCAAUAAUCUUAUCUUUGAAAUUUUUGACUUCUUUAACCCCUUUUAGUACAUUAAUUUAUCAAGUUAAAAUUAUUAAUUUUGAGGUGCAACAAUGGCCAAUGGGGUUGUUUCAUCAAGAAAUUAGUUGAGCUUGGAUAAAACAAAAGUUCUAAGAAAUGUAAGGAGAAGUUCGAAAACAUUUACAAGUACAAUAGAAAAACCAAAUAAGGUCAAUAUAAAAGAUCUGAUGGUAAGAAUUAUCAGUUCUUUGAGCAAUUAUAAGCAUUGGAUCAUCAUCCUUCCAUGCUUCGCCUACCACUAGAAAUAAUAACACCUUAAUAAAACCUUUGAGCAUUAUCGGUGAUGCUAUUCCAUGGUUUAUACGAAACCUUGCUUCAAAAUUCAAUGAAAUCUCUACAUCUACUACUUCUUCAUCAAGUAAGAAUUAGAUAAGACUAGAAAGAAAAAGAGGAACUUGACAAAAUUUUUUUAGAGGUUGAUAUGGGAAAUGAUGGAUAAGUAAAAGAAUUUCAAAAGAAAUAUAUAGAGGCACUAGAGAAGUCUGAAACAAAUAAGAUGACAAGAAAGAAAGCAUAGAAGAUGCAAGAAUUAGCUAAGAUUAAGAGGAAGUAUGAGUUGUUGGUGCAUGAGAGAUCGGUUGUAGUAGUUAAAGAUGCUACUGUGCUUACAUUUCUAUAGAAAUUUUAGAUCAAGCAACUUUAGUGUAAUUGCCUGAGACCCCAUUCCCAAUUGAGAAAUUUGUUGAUAAGUAAAAAAAUAGCAAUGGUAGUGAGAGUUAUAUGCACCUAAGUUUUUCUUGAUGGCCAAAAGAUGAAGUGGAGGCUUUGAUAAGAUUUGAGACUAAUCUUGAUUUGCAAUAUCAAGAUAAUGGAUCAAAAGGGCCUUUAUGGGAAGAGAUAUUGAUAGCAAUGAAAAAGCUUACCUACAAUCAAAGUGCAAAAAGGUGUAAAAAAAUGAAGAAUAUGAACAAGUACUUCAAAAAGGCAAAAAAAAAACAAUAAGAAAAGGCUCGAUGAUUCAAAGACAUGUUUUUACUUUCAAUAGUUAGAUGUUUUAUACAAAGAAAAAAACUAAAAAGGUUAAUGGCUCAGUUAAUUCUAGUUAUGAAUUAAAGGCUAAGAAAAUUUUGAUGCACAAAAUGGGUGCCUAAAAAGAAUGAUUGCAUCAAGAAAUAGUUAUGGAAGAUGGUGAAAGUAAGAAUGCUGAUCAAAAUUAAGAAGAAAAUAAAAACAUUAAAGAAAGAGAUGAAUAUCAAAUUAUGGCUAAUGAUCCUUCUCCAAUGGCAAUUAUUGGUUGAUUGAGACAAAUAAUGAAGUGUCCUUUUUUAAAGCUAAGGUGCGAGUGCCUAAAUUUUAUUAAGUGGGUCAAGGUCUACAGUGUAGUGUUUGUUUAAUAGUUUGGGGGGAGAUUCGGUUUGGGGAAGUUUCUUUUGAUACAACAUUAAGGUAUUUAGGUAAAUGGUAUCUAUUCUUAAAUGUAUAUAUGUUUAUCAUUUGUUUGAAUAAACAUGUAAGGUAGAAGGAGAAUGUUGAGUAAAAAAAGCAUUGGUGUAAUCUUUAACACUAUUUCAAAUAUACUUUUUCUAUUUUUGGCUUUUGAAAGGUGUGAAAAGUGAAAAAUGGUCGGUUGAUUAGUAUGUGCUUGAACCACUUAAUGCAUAUUUGCAUCAGCUGACAUGACAAAAAGGUUUGCACUUUUUGAUAAAGUAGCAGUUAUAUCACUCGUACGCUUCCAGUUGGUGUGAUCGGGUAAGAAAUACCUUUAGACAUCAUAUCUUUACCAUUUUUGCUACAUUUUUCUUAGGUUAUUAUUAGUUCAGUAUUUCCUUAUUGGGUUCACCACUUUAGCUUAGACUUUCCUAAGCUUGUUUUAUAUGCAAUUCUUUUAAUAUGAUUUGAGAGGUUGCAUUUUUGCACUCUCCCAUGUUAUUAGGUGAAUUAAAUUAUUGACUUAUCCUAUAAUAGAAUGUGGUCCGUCAUAGAUUAAAGGCUUUCAUACCAUUAAAUGAUACAUUAAGACAUAAAUAGCAUAUGAUUAUACUAUUAGAUCAUGCUUUUUCCUUUGCUUUUUGGUUUGACUAAUGUUAUGAAAAAUGAAAUAUAAUCCUCAUAUCUGUAUUUGGAUGUUACACUAGGUGUGGUAAUUUACAAAUGAUAGAAUAACACGAUACGCAAAUGAUAGUAAAAAGACAUAAAGAUAUUAAGAUUUAAAAUUUUAAUAAAAAUCAUAUAUAUGUUUAAUAAAAAUAAAAAAUUUAUUUUAUAUUUUUCAUGUCAAUAUAAAAUAUGACAUAUAAUUUUCGUGUAAAAUACAAUAUGGAUAUACGAAUUAAUAGUGUUUUAUAUGACACAAAUACAAAUUGCUAAGUUUAUGUUAUACUUAACUUCUUGUUAAUGCUUUUCGAGAUCUAAUUAAGUUAGGUUACACCUCUAAAUGUUAAGAUACAGUUUGAGUUCAGUUUAUCCAUUUAUGUUUAUUUUUAAAAGAAAAAAGAUUAAAAUAUAUUUUUAUAUUAUUUUAAAAUAUAUUUUAAAAUUAAUUUUAAAUAAGGAUUAAUAUUUAAUAAUAAAGUAUUCUCAUGAUCGAAUUUGAUCCAAACUUGAAAAUUUAUAUUUAAGGCAUAGCCUAAUAGAUUGCCUCACUUGUGAACAAAUUUACUUCUUAUUUUUUAUAAUAAAUAGUAAGAUGUUAGGAUAAAUCAUCGGUUAAUUGAGUAUUGUUCAAAUAUGAAUAGUAAAUUUAUAUUACACUAAAUAGUAUUAAAAAAUAAAUAGUAAAUUUAAUCAAUCUUACCUACAUAAAGACUUUAUCACAUCAAAUGAUAAUGGUCAAAUUAUGUCAAAGAUCUUUGUAUUAUAUAAAAUUUUAGAAUUUAGUUAUUCUAUUGUAAUUCAUAUAAAUUUAAUCCUUUUAGUAGUUAGAUUUAAUGAUCUCAGUCUAAUCAUAAAUGGUGUUAAUUUUUUUCAUUAAAAUCGAUGAUGUGACAUUUAAUUGUUGAUGUAUAUAUUGGCUAAAUUGAUGUGAUUUUAUAAUUGACUAAAAAGAUUUCUGAUGCUAAAGUGUAAUUAAAUAAUGCCACGUGCCAAUUUAAAAUUGUUUAAAUAAGAUUUUGAAAAUUAUUUCUUUUAUUUUUCUUAAACAUAACUAAUUUCCUUUAACAAAAAAUAAAAUUUUUUUCUUUUUCAUUACCUUAACAAAAAGAAACCAAAACCUGUGCCUAGCUAAAUUGUAAACCAAAAAUGAAAGCAAACAAAAAAUCCCUAACACCUAUUUCCUAACUAGUUGAAAAUCCAAAAUCUCUAAUAGUAAACACCCUCAAACCCUAAUUUGAAGUGAAAAUUAUCUAUUGGAAAUGAAGAUGGUUUCGAUAGCAUCAACUGUUUAAAGGAUUCGUUACACACCAAAAACAAGUUCGAGGCCUUGACUUUGGAAUUUCAUUUUUUGCAUUUGGAAUUGGGUUGAGCUUGUCUGAAAUGUCAGCAAAGCUUUGGUGAUUCCAUUUGUUUAACUUGAUUUAUUAAAUUUGUUUUGGCUUGUUUAGGAUUGGGAUUGGAAACUAAUUAUUUUUUACUUAUUAACAUGUUCAAAUAACUAAAUUAAAUGAGAGAAAUCGAUGGCAAAAAAUUCAAAAAUGGUAACUUUGUUUUUUAGUAACAACUCUUGAAAAAAAAAAAGAUUUGAGUUAUUUUCCUGAAAAUUCUCUUAAUGCAAAAAAUACAAAACCCUAAGUUUGAAAAAAAUAAGUCACAUUUAUUUUAUUAUAUUUGAAAUUCGGGUUGAAUGUUGAAUUAAAGUGACUUUAAUUUAACAUGUAUUCUACGAACUUGUGAUUAUAGAGGUCACUUAGUGUAUUAUUAUUGCAAAUGUAACAAUUAUCAUCCAUACAUAGGGUCGACAAUUUAACCCAUUCCCGACGGGUUUCGACCUGACCCGACUCUACGGGAUCGAUUUUUUUUUUUUCGAAAUUCGGGUUUCAGGUCGAGUAAGAUUAUGAAACAAUCGAGGUCGAGUCGGGUUUGGGUUUUAGGCAAACCCGACCCGACCUGAUAUUAUAUAAAAAAUUAUUUUUUAAUUAAUUAAUUAUAUUUAUAUAAUGAUAUUUUUAAAUAUUUAUAUUUAAAAAAUAAUAUUUUAUUAAUUUCGGGUUGGGUACGGUUUAUAUAGUAUCGGAUCGGGUUCGGGUCUGAAAAAACAAAAAAAAAUUCGAGUAGGGUCGAGUUCGGGUUUGAUAACACAUAAAGUUGGGUCGAGUUCUAGGCGAGCAAAACCCGCCCCGAACCCGACCCGAUGCCAACUCUAUGCAUACAUGAAAUAUAUAUGUAUUUUUUGCACAUUGAAAUUGUUUGUAAAGUUAGUUGUGAUGCUCGAAGCCUUUUGAUUAUAAGAUUGUGCUUAGCAUUAUAUUAUAAUGUAUAAAUUAAAGUUUGAUAUAUGUAGGGAAAUCGAUGUUUAUUUUUUGCUUGUCAUGAUAGACUAAUUAAAGAUGAAUAUUUGAAAUUAUGGAUUUUGAUUUAAGGGAUUCCAACAGAGGUUUGAAAAAAAAGAAUUCAAUAUUAAAGGAUGAGAACAGAGCAUUGAGAAGAAUGAAUGCUGAGUCGAAGACUAAAAAUGCUUGUAAAAGAACAAUCAUUAACGUUCAUACCUUACUUGACGAGAUUGUUGUGUUGAAAGUUAAGAAUGAGUUGUUACAAAAGAGAUUGAAAAAUGCUAUGCUAGAUGUAAGAAUGGAAGUAGAAUGUUAUGUUAAAUACAAGAAUGAAAGCAAAGGCAAAAAAGGAUGUAUAAAAUGGCUUUGAUAUUUACAUUGUUAAUGUUGUUAUAUUUUGCAUUUAAAAGUGAGUAAGGAUGAUAUGAUUAGAAACGAUGUAUUGGUUUUGCCAUGAGUAAUUAUGUAUGAAUGAUGUAUUGCUUAAUGAUAUGCUAGCAUCAUCUUUCAUUCAAGUGUAUCUGUGGUACAAAUUUUUUGUUGCAUUUAAAUGUGGUUUUAUUGCAAUGAAUAAUAAAAAUCAAAGUCAUAGCUUGAGCAUAACGUUACAUCAUGAUGUUUUAACACUAAUAUGAGUGAAUUUGGUAUUUUGCAACAAAAUUGGAUGAAAUUUGUUACUAUUAAGGUAUAUAUGAUCAUUUGAAACCAUAAAACACAAGAUGAUUGAUUAAUAAAGCUAUAUCUUUCCAUUUCAAUUUCAAACCAUAAACCAUAAUGUUUGCAACAAAACUUUGUUGUUUGCAUUUACAAUAAAAAAAUGACUAAUGAUUGGUAUUUGGUUUAAAUACCAUUACACACAACAAAAAAUUACCAUAAAUUUUGGUACUAUAAAGCCAUACCAAUAUUUGGUAUGAAUACUAUUACAUACAAUUUAAGCUUGGUAUAAAAAUGCAAAACCUAUAUCUAAAACCCAAAAAAUAAUUUCAAACAAAAUUGUGCAAAAAAGUUGGCUUUUUGUGUUCAUAGCAAAAUAAAUUCUAUUAUGCAAAUUGUCACUGCAAAAAAAAAAAAGUGAAUCCUCAUCCUCAAACUAUUUCCUUCUUUUUGGUUAAAUUUAAUGCAAGAUUUUACUAUGUUGAAAACGCAUCACUUUCUUGUUUUUUCCUACUUGUUGAGACAUUUUUUUAAAAAAUAGACUUAUUCCUCUAUGCUUAAGAACAAAAAACAAAAUGUGAAUUCUAGUAAAACAACCUUGUUUUUAUAUAUAUAUAUAUAUAUAUAUAACAAUCAUGUUUUUAGUAUUAAGGGUUUAAGUGAUUAUCAAUAGUUGAUUUUUAUGAUGUAUUAACUAGACAGGAUGCUUUCUUUUCCUUUAGUUAAAUCACCAGGUUUUUCAAGCUAUUUUACUAAAAUGCAAUAUAUUAAUAGUUGAAUGCCUAUUUUAUAAAGUAAAAGCAAGUCAAUAAUAGCUUAUAUGAAAUAUUGAUAUCCUAUUGUUCGAGUCUUGAAUAACCAAUCCUCUUAAAGGGUGACUGAAUUUUUCUUUCUUCCCUCACAUCUUUCAUUUUUGUAAAGCCUUUAAUUUUUAAUUUGAAUCCAAAUAAGCUUUUAACUUUUAAUUUGUAUAUAAAUAAACCUUUUAAUUUUUUUAUUUGUAUCUAAAUAAACUCUUACAAGUCAAAGUAUAAGAGCUUUAAGAAAAGUGAAAUUGUAUAAGAAUUUUUUUGGUAUUUUAACCAUAAAAAUUUAGAUAUUUACACACAUUUACAUUUCUCUUAGUAAAAAUAAAAAAGGCUGUUUUGUCACUUGUAAUGGUUGACUUUUGUCUUGAAUCUUUACAAAUGUCCUACAUUAACCAUUUAUCUUAGGAUUAAAAAAUUAAAUGAUGUAAACAAAUAAUAGAAUUUAGUAAUUAUAAACUAUAUAUACCUAAGGUUUGUUAGCAAAAUAAAAGAGGUUGUUUUGUUAUUUUUGAGGUUUGCAAUUUUUUUUCUCUUUUUUAUGAUGCCUUGAACUCUUAUUAGUUGCUUAUAUACACAAACAAUUAACGUAAUAUAUUGUUAAUUCAAUUACUAAAAAAUAAGUAAUAAACAAAUUUUUUAUAAAUUAUAAUCUCCUUAGACAUCUUAUUUUAUUGUGUCUUCUUCAUGAAAAAAUUCACGUUAUCUUUCUCUCCACCCAUGACAUCCAUUCUUUUCUUUAAGUGGUUUUUUUUUCCUUUUUUUUUAUAGGUUUACCAAGCAUCCUUUUGUUCAAAAGAGAUAAAACUGGUUUUAUUGAUGUUUUUCGACAGAAACAACUUUUCACUAACUGAGUUUAAUAUAUGCUAGUAUUAGAGAUAGCAAUGAGUUAAAGUGAAACAGAUUCUUGUUUUCCUCGCCUCUGACCCGAAACUACCCAUUUAGAGGUUUUAUUUGGAAAACCCAACUUCGACCCAUUAAAAAAGGUAUUUUUUCCCUAGCUUAGAUCCAUCCCAACUUGAAUUCAAGCUAUUACAAAUUCAAACUUACUACAUGAAAACUUAACAAAUCAUAGUUUAAAUAUAUUACAAGCAUUAAAAAAUUUAACUAAAUUACUCACAAAUUCAACUUAAUACAUAAACUUUUUUUUUAUUAGUAAAACCUCAUUUCAUUGCUAAUUGCCAAAACAUCAUCAUUUAUAUAAAUAUUUUUCAAGAUAAGUAGAAAUAGAGUAUACAAGAACACCUCUGUAUACUCAUCCUAUCACAACAUCCUUUUACGUUAAUGUAGGAGUAGGUAGACCAUUCUUGUUUAGGAUUCCCACCAUAGAAAAUGGUAUACAUAAAAUUUAGUAAACUAAAAUUCAAACAUAAAACAAAUAUAAGUUAAUAAAUAAAAUUUAAACGUAGUACAUGAUACAAGAUAAAUAUCAAAAGUCUAAACCCCUACAAUAAAAAGUUAAAUAAUUUGAACAUCCUCUCAUCCAACGUCUCUUAAAACUAUAAAAAAAUCAUUAAAUCAUCACUAGGUUCCAUAUUCCCAUUCUUCUUUAGCCACACUAGUUUUAUAAAAUAAAACAAUAGAGUGAAUAAAUAAAUCCCAUAAAACAAUAUAUUUAAAAAAUAAUAUAAAAAAGAUAAUAUCAUUUACCAAAUUAGUUAUCUUUUUCUCAAUCUCAUUCUCAUCAACAUCUCUGUAGAAAGACUUUUUUUUCAUUGAAGUUGACCCUAAAAAUGAAAUAACAAAAUAUUAAGAAAUAAUAUAUAAUAAUAAAAUAUAAGAACUAACAACAUGCUAAAACAAAAAAUAAAAUUGCAUAAUAUGCAUUGUUGUACAUUUUUCUUCGACAUAUAACCAUAACCAAUUUUGACAACAUGUUAAAGUUUCUAUAAUUGAUGAAUAAAGUCCAUUACGUUGUAUACUUACUAACCUCCCUCCAAUACAAAAAGUAGAUUAUGAAGUAAUAACAUAAACUGGUAUAGUAUAUAUAUCUCUAAUAGUAAGUUGUAAGGUAGCAAAUUAAGAUCCAAUUAGUUUUCACUGAUUCAAUAUAUCAAAAUCCCUUUUAUUGGUAUGACAUCUUUUUUCGAAUAAUGAUUUAACUUUAAUUUCACUUUUUAUUUUUUUUAUUUGAAACAAAAUCAUCAUUCUUUCCAAAUUUUCAAUUCAGUAACACUAACAUCAUCUAAAGAUGAAAAACUUGAAAUAAAAGGUCCACCCUCUUUUUUUGAAGCUAAUUCUCUUUAUACUCCUUAAGCAAAUCUUGACAUACUUGCAUAAUCUUUUCAAUUUCAAAUUCAGCACUUUCUUUACAAAUUUUUUCAAAGUAAUACUCCAACAACUCUAUGUUGUACCUUAGAUCUAAAAUUAUGGUAACAUCCAUAAUACCAUGCACAUCAUUUCAAUAUUUUUUAAAUUUGCCUAACAUGGUCAUUCUAUAUAUGAAAUAAUUCUAUCAUUACGCAUAGUCCAUUUAUUCAAUAUCAAUAUGAUUUUGCAAAUAUUAAGAAAAUAAAAAUUUACAUAAGCAGAUUUUGUGACAAAAACCCUUCAAUGAUAUCUUAAAACAAUUUCAACUUAUCACAUAACUUUACUACCAUGAUCCAAUCAUUUUCAGUUGGCAAACAUUUAUACAAAAGGUCACUAUGUCAUUACACAUAAGAAAAACAUCUUUAUAAAAUAAACAUGUUCAAAGCAUCAAGUAGGUAGAGUUACAUUGUGUUUUGACAUCAACACAAAUUUUUUAAAAUUGGAAUGCACAAUUGACGCAUUAUCUCUUCAAAUUUUUUCAUUUUUUUGGUGUAGCACCCUAAAGAAAAGACAUGAUAGCAUUACCGACUUGGAUAACACCAACAAAAUUUUUUCAUCAAUAAUGCUAUUACAAAAAAAAAAAAAAGACUUUGCUGAUAGAAUUUUUUGUUGGUGAAGGCCAUUUUUCUAGUAAUGAAACAUAAAUAACCACAAUCAAUUUUUCAAUAACAAAAGCUCAAAAGAAUUUUAAAAAAAAAAAAAACCAAACAGGAGUAUGAAAGAGUGUAAUCCUAACCUGUAAACCCAGUCUCUCUUCAAUGUAGCAAUCACGUUUUAAGGUAUUCAAAAAAUUCCUUUUUCUAGUUCUAUGAAAGUAUCAAUAAUAAUUAAAAAAAAUUAGAUUGUAGUCAUUGUGCGAACAAGAUUUAGUGAUAAAUGAAUGAAAAAAGUAGAAUCUUUGAAUCUAUGUUCAAAACCCUAACAAUCACUCUACCCUCGAACAAAAGUAAAUCGUUAUGCAUUUCAAAAUCCUAAUGAGGAAAGUGGAAUCGAUGGUUUCACACUUCAAAAUCCUUCUUUAAUACCAAUUGACAAUUUUUUAUUUUUGAUUUGGGUUUUCAAUCUUGGUUUAGGAUUCAAGCAUAAGUUUUUUUAAAAUGUUGCUUUAUUAACUUUUUUUUUACUUAAUUAAUUUAGGGAAAUUAGUUAGGUUUAAGAAAAAUAUAUGAAAUAAAUUUCAAAAUUGAAUUUGAAAAAUUUUAAAUUAUCAUGUGGCAUUAUUUAAUUACAUAUUAGCAUCAGAAAUCCUUUUAACCAAUCAUCAUGCUAUGUCAGCUCGAUUAACAUAUAUGUCAACAAGUCAAAUACCAUGUCAUCAAUUUUAAUGAAAAAAUUUGAUAUCGUUUAUGAUUGAACUAGAAUUAUUAAAUCAAAAUAAUAAAAGUAUUAAAUUUAUAUAAAUAUAAUAAAAAAUUAAAUUUUAAAAUUUUUUAUAGCACAAAAAUAUCUACAUAACUAGUUUUUUAACCCAUGCCAUGCGUGGGAUUUUUUUUAUUUUUAAUAAUUAAAAAAAUUUUAUUAAUCUUAAUUUUUAUAUUACUUUAAUAAAAAAUGCAAACAUUUAUUGAUUUAUUAUAUAUAAUCAUACAUUCAUAAAUGUUAAGGUACAACUAAAUAAAAGUUUACACAUAUUGUAAUACUUUUUCAAAGUCAAAACUUUUGUAAAAUUUCAAAGAAUUAUAAAAUUUUUUUCUUUUUCAUAAAAAUUAUUUUUUCAAUUCAUUUACUAAACAAUGAAAAUUUUACUACUCAUUUUUUCUUGUUCGGUCAAAAAAGCAAAGUUCAAUUUUAAAUAAUCAAGAUUUUUAUUAUUGGUUUAUAUGUUUUUUCUAGUGUUAGAAAUGUUGUUAUCUACGCUUUUGGAUUCCUCAUGUAAUGUUAGUUCAAUUUCUUUAAGGUUUACAUUCUUUUUGUGCUUUAUUGUACUCUUAGUCGUAGUUGGAUAUUUAUAACCAUUUCACUACUUUUAAUAAAAUUUUACUUUAGCUUAUUAAAAAGAAAAUAGUCAAGAUUAAUAAUUGUUUAUAUGCUGAUAUGAAUAUAUAAAAAAUAUAUCAUUUGAUUAAAUUGUAAAAGACAUGUAUAUUAGCAAAAUAUUCUUAAAUUAUUAAAUCUUAUAAAGCUAAACCAAAAAUAAAACAUCAAAUAAUAAUAAUAAUAAUAAUAAUAAUAAUAAUAAUAAUAAUAAUAAUAAUGAUGAUGAUGAUGAUGAUGAUUGAACUACAAAACAUAAUUAUUAAUUUGCUCAUAACUAUUAACUUUUUAUUAGUUCUUUUUUUUUUUUUUUUACAUAUAUACUUUAACAUAUGUAGUUGUUUUUUUUAUUAGAACAUAAACCAAAUAUACAAAUUGAGAAUUAUAUAUAAUUUAGAUCUCUUCUACUUAUACAUAGCAAAUAUUCAAUUUAACUAAAUAUAUAUAUAUAAACAUAUAAAUCAAUUUAUUUUAGCAUAAAUCAAAUCUAGAUGCAUAUAUCAUAUAAUGCAAAUAAAACCAAAUAAUAAGUUUGAAGCAACAAAGAAAUAAAGGAAAAUAAUAAAAAAAUAUAGUAUAAAAAAAGUAAUGAACUAUAUUUAUUACAUAGUUGAAACCCAACCAAAUAUGCGCUCAUUUUCCUUUCAUUAUCUAAAUCUAAAAAAAACUAAUGAAAAAUCAAUAUUAUAAAAAGAAAAACAAUCUAACACCAUCACAAACUUAUCUUUAAAACUAAAAAAUAAAAAUAAAAGAAUAAUAAAGGCAUAAAAUGAAUUUACUUAUUCAUGAGUAUAAUGUAGUUAUUAUUCUUUUUAGUUUUUGUCCAUUCCUGUCAAAACCUAUAAACCAUAAUCGUUAAAUAAAAAAAAGAUUAUAUUAUUCAAUUUCUAAAUCUAAUAAUAACAAAUAAAAUAACAUUGGUUCGAAGGUGAUGCACUAACUUUAUAAGUUCUUUAUUUUUAUUUUGAGAUUUUGAUUUUAACAAAUAAAAAUUAUUAAGCUCAUACACACACAUAUAUUUAUACAUACGUAGAGUUAUGAUUAAAUUUAAAAAGAAAAGGAUAAAUUAUGAUUUAAUAUUCAAAAUUUAUGUAAAAUUUUUAAUUUUUGAUAGAGUUUAAUUUGAAUUUAAAUAGUUACCCAAAAAUAUUAAAUUUAUAUAAUUUAUUAAAUAAAAUUAUUUGACAGCAAGUAUAAGUUUAUUAAGUCUAUAUAUAUUUGAAAUUAUUAUUAAAUUAAAAAAGAAAGGUAAUUUAUAAUUUAAUAUAUUUAAAUUUAAAAUUUAUGUAAAAUUUUCAAUAUUUUAUAGAUUUUAAUUUGACCAAAUAUACAAAUUGAAAACGUAUAUAUAAUUUAAAUUUCUUAUACUUAUGUAUAGUAAAUAUCCAAUUUAACUAUAUAUAUAUAAACAUAUGAACCAAUUUUUUAAGAAUAAAUCAAAUCUAAAUGUAUAUAUCAUAUAAUGUAAAUAAAACCAAAUAAAAUGUUGGUAAAAACAAACAAAUAGAUGAAAAAAAAAAAGGAAAUAGAAUAUGAAAAAAAUAACGAACUAUACCUAUUACCUAGUUGAAACCAAUCUAAAUGUGUACUCAUUUUCCUUUCAUUAUUGAAAUAAAAAAAAUCAAUAUUAUAAAAACAAAUAAAAAAAAAACAAUCCAACACCAUCACAAACUUUUUUUAAAACUAAAAAAAUAAUAAUAAAAAAUAAAAGAAUAAUAAAGACAUAAGAUAAAUUUACUUGUUCAUGAGUAUGAUGUGAUUAUUAUUCUUUUUAAUUUUUACCCAUUAUUGUCAAAACUCAUAAACCAUAAUCAUCAAAUAAAAAAAAUUGUAUUCUUCAAUUUCUAAUUUUAAUAAUAAUGAAUAAAAUAACAUUGGUUAGGGGUGAUGUUCUCAUUUUAUGAGUUCUUUAUUUUUAUUUUGAGAUUUUAGUUUUAGCAAAUAAAAAUUUAUUAAGCUUAUACAUACACAUAUAACACACACACACACACACACAUAUAUAUAUAUAUAGAGAGAGAGAGAGAGCUAUGAUUAAAUUUGAAAAGAAAAUAUAAAUUAUGAUUUAGUAUAUUUAAAUUCAAAAUUUAUGUAAAAUUUUUAAUUUUUGAUAAAAUUUGAUUUGAAUUUAAAUAGUUACCAAAAAAUAUUUAAUUUAUAUAAUUUAUUAAAUAAAAUUAUUUGACAGUAAAUAAAAGUUUAUUAAGCCUAUAUAUAUUUGAAAUUAUGAUUAAAUUAAAAAAUAAUUUAUAAUUUAAUAUAUUUGAAUUUAAAAUGUAUGUAAAAUUUUUAAUAUUUUAUAAAUUUUGAUUUGAAUUUAAAUAAUUAUCAAAACAUAUUAAAUUUAAAUAAUUUAUUAAAUAGAGUUACUUGAUAAAUAAUAUAAUAUAAAUAUUAUCUUACGUAUCAUAAAAAGAGACUAUCUUUAUAAGUAUUUAUGUCAGUAUAUUUUAUCUUAUAACUUUAUAUAUUGUAAUAUAAUAUAUAUAUAUAUAUAUUAGGUUUGAUUUAUAAUAAUAUAAAAUACUAUUUUACCAUAGAGACCAUGGGGAUCCACAGUACACUUAAUAAGUGGCGCCGUUCUUCCCUUAACAAAGCCUUGCCUUCUUGCUGUGGGAGGUUCGAGUUUAAAAUCUUUAUUUUACCCCCAAAAGGACAAAACUUAAUAAAGCAAAACGAAACAAAAACAGGGAAAAGAUCAGUCUCACCGUCCUUACUGUUUGACUUUUGCGAUGGGAUUUUCCUUCGUUUUCUUACUUCUGCCACAACAUGUACUUAUGUUUUAAAGCGUUAAAAUUAUAUCCUAUUGUUAUGAGCAACAAAAGGAAAAUGUAAACAAGGCGGAAGAGAGGUCAAGCCUAAGCCUAUACAUAAAUGUUGAGAACAUGGUUAAAGUUUACUAUAGUUAGACAAUAACAACGAUCACUGUUUCCAGGUCAGUAAUCUUUAGAUGUUUGACACAUUAAGUCAUGGAGUUGCUCCCAUUUUAACACUCUUUUAAACCCCCCCCCCCCCAAAAAAAAAAAAAAAGAGAAUGUUUCGCUCCAACCUAAAUCGUCAUGGCCCUUUUACAUUUGUUAUUAUUUUUAUUUGAGUUAAUUAUAUAUUUAGUACUCAAAAACUAUAUUAAAAUGUAUAAAUUAAUACUUAAACUAUAUAUAUAAUGUGCAUCUUAAAAUUUUAAAAUGUGUAUUAAGUUAGUCUAAUUAUUAACACCAGUUAAACUAAACUGCGUAGACGACAUUUACCAAUGAAUAAUAAAAAACAUUAACUAGGAACUUAGAUAUAUGGUAAAAUUUUUACAAUCUAAAAUUAAUCAAAAUAUUAUUUAUAAUAAUAAUUUUGUAUCAAAUAGGAAAGUUGACGGAUAAUAUUAUGAAUUUUAAUAUAUUAAAAAAUAAUUGAUUAAUAUAAUAAUUUAAAAAGAAAUACCAAAAUAGAUAGUAAAAAUCUCGUAUAAAUAGUAGCAUGUUUAUUUGCGUUGAAUUCAUGCCAAUAUAUCCGUUAUUCUUCACUCACUCAUGAUGACUGACAUCAAUCCUUUUGCCUCUUUUACUGCACAAUUCAGAGUUACGGCUUGAAUUGAAUGAAUAAAAAACUUGGAUGUAAGUAAGAUCAAGAACCUAGAAAUACAUGAACUCGCAUGAAUAUUAAUAAAUAAAUAAAGGAUCCUAAGUUUACACUUUAAUGUUACACAAACCAUCUGCCCUCUCUCCAUCAGAUAACAACCAAGAGUUUUAACUACCUUGAGAUCCGAGCACUCAUUAAACUAACUAGUACUCCUACCAAAGGAAGCAGCACCCCUCCCCUCACCAAACCACCCUUAGCCUUUGUUCUCUCUCCUUCUUCGGACAUCAAUGGCAGACUUUGAGCCAACACAUCAUCAAACUCACCACCACCAAACAAUCCCAAAAGAAACUGCUCUCCAAGCAUUAAACACUAUAAUCCAACUUCACUUCGAGAAAACCCUGGAAAAGAAAAGAGCUAUAGACCUCCAAAAGAAGGAGCUCCACAAACUUUUCCAGCUCUUCUUCAUCUUCCUAGCCCUUGUCUUCAUGGCUCAGGCUCAGUCUACUCGUCUCCAGUGCCGCCACUGCUGGGCUCCCAUCACUCUGCUUUCCCUGUCUCAUCUUAUUUUCUAUGUUUCCGUGGCUCAGACCUUGAGGUUCAUAAAUGGGUUCAAGUACCAGAGGAGGUGCCACAAGCUGACUCUUGGGCUGGCUACUGAGAAGCUGAGAGAAAUGAAGUCGAGGAUUAACAAUGGUGAGUUUGUUGAUGGGUUUGGAGAAGAGGGUGAGUUUGAGAUUCAUUACCAGGAGCCUCCUGAGAGUUACUUUGCAAAGUUCAAGAGGAACUGGGCAUUGCAUUUUGGUUUCUUGAUCCUGAUCUACGCCUUCACGGUUUCUUCUUCUGUUGUGAUGCUUUGUUUUUAGGUGUUGGGUCAUUACUGAUCAGGGUCUUUGUUUUGAAUUACAUUUUUAGUGUUUUUUCUUCAACUUUUUUUAACGGGCAGGAAUGUCACUGAUAAGAACAAUUGAUUGCUUUAUGUGUAUAUCUUGGAUUCUUGAGGCUCCAUAUUAAAUUGGAAAAAUUGAAAAUGAUGUGUAUUAUUCUUGCUUUUGAUGUUAUUUUUUCUUUAUGCAGUUUACAUUUUCAUUUUUCCUUUUCAGUUCCAGCUACUGUAGUAGUAUUAUCAUUUUUCAUGGGUUGUAAACUGAUUUAUGCUUUUGAUAAAAAGCUUAAUUCUUAAUGAUGAAGGUAGGGUCUGCUUUUUAUGGCUAGUUUUUGAAUAUACUAUAUAUAAUAUAUAUAUUUCGAAUUCUUGGUUUCUAGCAUUCCUUUGGGGUGUGGAACCUUGGAAAGGGGAUUUUUCACAAGCAAAAGAGAAUUUGUAAAUGGGAAAAUCUUUUUUUGCAACUUUUGAUGAUGGGUAGUUUCUAUACAAGGAGACGAAAGAGAGGAAUAGAGUAUUAACUAAUACACUAUACAAGAUUUCCUGCAGCAAGGAGUGGAAUAGCUUCGGAAUUUUUUUUUUUUUUUGUAUGAAAUUGUUUAGGUGUUAUUAAUUUUUUUAAUUAAAUUAUUUGGGUGUUAUUAAAUUUUAAAAAAUUAACAUAACUUUUAAUUUUAAUAUAUUUAAUAUUAAAAUUUAAAUUUUUUUAUAGAAUUAAAGUUUUAUGAUUUUUAAUAUUAAAAAUAAAAAAAUUUAAAAUAUAAAAAUAAGAAUUUUAGAUAUAAAAAACAUAAUUUUGAAAUAUAAAAAAAUAAAAAUUGGGCGGAGGGAAUAAUUUUUAUUUGAAUUUGAAAUCUGAAAAGAAGAAUGCCCUUGCCAUAACCCCGUCUUGACUGCUAAAUGGGAUUCAGAGAAGAGGCGUACGAGUGAUGCGUAACAUAUUAGUUUCUUGAAUCUUGAGCAAAUGCUGCUCUUUCUUGUCUUGUCUGCUGUCCUUGAUUUCCCUUUGAGUUGGGUUAAUAUUCCGAAUAAUUUAUAGCAAAAUAUUUAUUAUAAUUGUUAAAUUUUAAAAGUUUUUAAUAUAAUGUAUAAAUGAUAAAUUUGUUAAUUAAUAUAAUAUUUAUAUUUAAUGUAAUUAAUUUUAAAUGAAUAUAAAUUUUUAUAUUAAUUAAUAAAUUUAUAAUUUAAAUAUUAUAUUAAAAAUUUUUAAAUUUAAAUAUAUAUUAAUAUUUUAUUAUAAUUCAAAAACAAUAGUUAAUGCUAUCCGUUUUGAGUUUGACUCCGUCUCUCUUUCUCCUACCCUUUCACGAGAAUGAUAAUGGUGUGUCAACGAAAAAGAAGGAAGAAAUGUAAAAUGUCACAUGAAACUACCAAAAAGUUGGCUGCAAACCCAUUUUCAUCGGCAAGGUAAGUGUAAAAGUGCAAUUUCCAUUAACCUCAACGUAACAACUAGUAGAACCUUGCUUGCUUCAUUCUUCCAUUUUAAAACGGUUGAACCCAAGUAUAGAGGACCCACACAUGUGGGGUGACAUUGCUUAGAAAUUCCUCUCAAUCUGGCUUAAUCCCCCUUUUCUCUUAUAUAUAUAAAAAAAUUAAGAUGAGAAAAGAUUUAUUCAUUUUAAGACUAGAGCUACUUGAAAGUUUAUGAGAGAAUUUAUAUUAAAAUUAUAAAUCGCUUAUUAAAAAAUAUAUAUGAUAAUAAAAUUUGAAUUUAAAUUUUAUAAACAAAAUAUUCAAACCUUGUCAAUUCAAUUAACCUUCAUUUGCGACUUAAUACCAUUCACUUAGCAUGAAUCUUACCUAAUAAAGUAUUAUGAUAAGAUUAUUGGCAAGAUGUGGGUAAAAUGAUGAUAGGAAGCUGCUUCUUAAGGGCUAUGAGACCUAGCUGCUGUCGUUUUGGAUAGUACGAUUUUGUUAUCCUUUGUGUCAGGGUGUUCUUUUGUUAGAAUCAAAGGGAUGCCAACAAAGCAGCCAACUAGCUACGACAGCUGCUUCUCUUUCAUCUCUUCAGAGUAGUAACACUAUUUUCUCCGACUUUGGUUUUUUCUUUGACGUCACAAUUAACUAUUCCUCUGAGGAGUUCCAUUUUGUACUUCACAGUUCAAAUGCUCAAUACAAGCUAAGCUGUUUGUUGACAAACCUUGUGAUUAUAGGCAUGUAUCUCUAUUGAUACAAAAUUAAAUUUAGAUCAUAAAUAUUUUCCUGUCACACAAAUUCCAUGAAAUUCGAGUAGGAAAUUAUCGUCAAGAUUUCUGAUCACCUUCUAUUUUAUUGAAGGUUACAAUCCAUGUUCCCUUCUUAAAAAAAAUUCAUGGCCCAUUGCUAAUUGUUGGGCAAAAUACUAAUAUAUUGGCAGAGCCAACUUGGUGAUGACAGUCGAUUAUGAGGAAGAUAAAAAUAGAUAAGAAAAUAAUUCAAUCGUACACUUUUACUUCAUUGUACUGGCCAUUGUCUGAGAUCCCCUAAUUGGAGAUGUAAGCAAUUUGAAUGAACCCCAACCACCUUAGGCUAGAGCAUGACAUAAUGAUUUGUAUGCAUCAACACAGAGCUUAAAUUUCUCUUCAGCCAUCGCCUGCAUACAUGCAUCGAUAUCAUGUAACUAUAACAAAUACAAAUUAAAAGGAAAAAGAUAAGAGAAAUAAAUAACAGAAAAGACUGAUGCCAUGACAGAUCAGCUAUCGUAAAUCAAUAGCAUAAACAUUGUCCUCAAAUAGUAUCCCUUGCCCCCUGUUUCCACUCAAACACCCCAAAAAACUAACAAACAAAAACACAAUGCAUUCAAAACCAGAAAUGAAAAUCCAUAACAUUUUGUUUGGACCAGCAACCAAAAUUAUGCAAGGUUAGAGUGUGAAGGGCGUUGGAAUGUUGGAGAAUAUUCAUAAAACUACCACCCACCACUCAAAAAUAUAAAGUAAUAUAGGAAAUUCUAACUAACCUGUGAAGAACCCUGAUGCUUAUCAGGAUGCCACUUUAAAGCCGAUAAGCGGAAGCUACAAGGUGAUUUUAAUAAUUUUAGAAUACAUGCAUAAAAAGAAAUGGAGCAAGGAAAAGCUGAAAUACGAUCAAUCUUUCAAAUGAGAGGCCUCCCAAAAUUCAAGUUGAAUGAAAGAACCAAAGUACUUACGCAUUUUUAACAUCUUCAAUCUUUAAGGGGCCUGUUGGAGGCAGACCAAGGAUUGCUCUAUCAGAAUGUGUUCCUACAGCAUAUAACUCGUCCUCAGAUUCGGUUUCACUAGUAGUCUCCCACUCUUUUGUUCUUUGAUUAGUCCAGCCUGAAUUUUCUCUCCACUCAAAUCCAGAUUCUGAAGUUUGGAAAGAAUAAUCCCCCCUAGGGGACCAGGUGUACCAUUUGUUCCCAAAUGUAGCUUCAAAGAUUGUGUCAGGAUGAUCACAGUCAUCAGAGAAACUCUCUUCUAAACCUUCCUAUGCAUGUAAAAACAAUGAUAUCAAGUUUGUCAAAUCACACACGAGGGCAAGCACUCAUAAAAUGUUUGCACCUAUAAUCCAGAUGUGGCUUUGGUUUUUAUUUGAAACAUGAUUAGGUAGGUUAUAAUCUCUCACUGUAACAGACCUAUUAAUAAAGGUACUUUCUUUUGAUGAAAACAUCAUAACAACAUCAAAUAAACACACAUGUUACUCUUUAAAAAGGUCACUCUUAAUAUUGGAUGAUGUCUCAGUAUUAUAGUCUCAAACAAUUGGAUGAUAUCUCAGUAUUAUAUACAACAAGAAGAUUUUAAUUUUUGACAAACCAUAGUUCUGAUUUUAAGUAAGUCAUUGCCCCUUAAGUUCAUAUGCAUCCGAUGGACAAAUACAAUCUUUGUGAAAAACGAAAAUAAAAAACAGUUAUAUUUGCUACUCAAGCUGCAAAACAGAAAUCGAUAACUCUUCCAUAUUAUGAUGAGGUCCACAUUCUAUUCAACAAAAUAAAGUUUUUCCACUAAUGGACAUGUGACUGUUACAUAACAGGAAAAUUAACUAGCAUUUCACUAAUGAUAUCGGAUGCUACUUUCAAACAUCCUGCUGUGGAGGCUCAAGGACCCACAUUCAAAUCCCCUUUCCAUCCUUUGUCUUGUUAAAUUGUACCCAAAAAAAUGACAACAUUUCAGUUCCUUUGGUGAUCAUGUCAGUAGUGUGAGGUAAUUACUCAUUGUUUUGAAAUAAAGACAGAUGAAGAAAACAUAAGAUUAGACCAAUAAAGCCAGAUUAUUAGUAAGCAGAAGGAAAUUUUAAAUUUAUUUUAUUAAAACAUUUGGAUCAUACCAGGUUUAAGUCAUCAAAACAUGCUAAUUAUGAUGCUUAGAUCCCCCCCCCCCCACCCCAGUUAGUAGAAUUUAAGACAAAAUGUAGAACCUAGUUCAGGUGAAAACAGUGCAUCAAGAAGGUAAUUUUUUAUCUAAAUUUCAUUUAAAAGAAACAAUAUAAGGAAAGGAAUAAAAAAGAAAGUGGAAGCUCACGUUUUACUUUUUUGUGGUUAGAUUUCCCAGCAUGUCGUCCAGAAAACCUUGUUCGCCGUUUCUUAUCAGAGCCAUCUGAAUCCCGGCCUGCUGUCCUAUCAAAUUUCUGUAGUGGAUCUUCAUCCUAGAUAGAAGCCAAAGGCAUGCAUAAGUUUGUAUUAUAAAUUCAGGUACUACUUAAAAGUGUGAGCUCAAUCUAUGGUACAAUGUAAUGGAGAAGUAGGCUAAAGUUAUUGGUCCCAAACACUUGAGACCAAGGUUGACUUGGGAAAUAAAUAACAUUCAGGCUUUACAUACAGUUGAGUCCACUAGCUUUUAACAAAAUAAGAUCCAACUUGUCAUCACCCAUAACUAAAAGAUUACAAUUUCACUCUAUCAAUGGCCUAACUAAAAUCAUAAGCUUCUUCUAUACUUAGAGCCUAGAUGCACAUUUUAUGGGAAUUUAUAAAACAAAAAUUUUAUAUUAAGUUUACAUUACAGCAAUGCAAAUAACGAAGAAACUCAAAACUAAUUUCAAGGCACACAAAUGUUCAAGAACAAGAAAUAAUCCAGCUUACUUUACUCUUACAACUUUUUUUUAAUGUAAACAUGCUGCAUACUGGUUACUUCUCAUAGUUUAGAUAAUUCAAUGCCAAACCAGGAAAUGUGGUUUAUGAGCCUAAUAGUGAUGUAGGUUGAUUGCAUUGACAUUUUUGCUUACAAGAAUGUAUCCAGUAUCAGCUCCACCAAAUAAAAUAAUUCAGAUAAAGUCCUAUCCUAGUUAACAUGAUUUGCCUAGGGAGCAGCAAAAACCACUAAAAUCCAUAAAUCCUGCUGAUUGAUCAUUAAAAUGGUGUUUAUCCAUGAAUUAUUACAAUAAUCCACAUAUCUUGAAAAGCUUUGGCAAGUUUAGGAGCUAGAACCCACUUGAUCUGGUAGAGCACUUGCUGAACAUUACCAUGGUUGAAUGGAAUCUACAGCUUUUUGAAUAAGAUAAAUUUCGGAGAAUAAUACAGUACAUAAACUUUGAACCCUGCCUCUCAAUGACCAGUUGCAUUAUUAACUAAAAUGGAAAUUAUUAGUCAGCAUUGUGAUUUCUCAUCCAGGAGCUUUCUUCUCUUCAACAACUUAAGUACUACUAUAAUUCUCUACAACCUUUCAUUAAAAAAUGUUUUCAUUAACUCUUGUGGUUUAACAUACCUCAAAAUUAAAAUAAGCAAACACGGAGAUAAAUGGUUAGCAAACAUGAAUGAAUAUGUAAUAAAUAUUAAUAAAUGCUAUUCCUUGUGGUGUUCCUGCUCUCUAAAUAUUUCAAAAACAGAUACUUUUGUGCUCUGACUCUCACUAUAUAAAUUAAUCCCUAGUAUCCACAAGAUGGCACUAUCUGGUAACUGACAUGUCAAAACAUUUACAAUUUGACCAACUCGUAGUCCAUUUGGUUACAGAACACUCAAAGAGUUCUAAUACUUUCAGUGCAAGCCAAAACUAAAUUUGGAUAAAACCAUAUAAACUGGACUCUUGCAAUUGGAACUCCAAAGCACUGGGCAGACUAUUGAUCCAAUAGUUGCAAAAUAAUGGAAAAACUCCUUAAUAAAUUAGAAAAAGCAAAUAAAAGUUGGAACAAGACCAUAUAAAAAACCAAAAAUAAAUAUUUAUCACAAUCUAAUUACGCCAUGAAUAUAUAAACAGUGCAUCAGGAAAAUGUAAGUCCACACCUUCAAUAAGAUAAGGGUUCUACGUCAAACAGAAGUCUAGUUUACCUGAAAUGAAAUAUUUGAGGAACCACUAUUUAAGAGAAGGUCUUUUAGUGCUCUCUUUGUGUCAGCACACUUUUGACGUACCACAUAUCUUACAUAAUUCUGCAUUCCAUAUUUGAAAUGUUAAAGAAGUUUAACUUUUUAUAAACAAAUAAAGGAAGAAAACUGCAAAAAGAAGACAAAAAGUUCAUAAUAAAGCUACAUAGGAAGUAUGAAAUUAACAAAUAGAAAGAUCAUAAGCAUUAGCAGAUAAGGUCCACCACCUGAUCAAUUUGAAAAUACAAAUUAAUCAUGGAGAUUCCUUUUCUGAGAUGCAUUAGGUUUUUAUUUGCACUAAAGAUUGCUGGGAAUGUUCCCAGUCUAAGUAGAAUAAGAUAACUGCUUUAGCAGUCAAGGUUAAAGAUAUAUGAAGAAUAAACCUAGAAAUGUGAUUGAGAAUAAGCUCAGUUAUCCUCAGCAUACAGACUUGACCUUGUAUUUAGUCUAAUAAAAGUUAUCAGAAAAUUACCAAUCGUAAGACAUGCCUAUGUGAAAUACUAGGAACAAGAUAAUUAAGAGAUGCAUGCAUAAAUAAUUUCACAAAAUAGGUGCCUCCAAAGAUGCAUACCUUAGUUGGUUGUUGAGUUCUUCUUUCAUCCUGCAAAAAUAGUGUUAAUUGUCAAACUUUCACAUCAAAGGCAAGACAUACAGCUUUAUCCUAAUUCCUAAACCAAAAUUUUAAUGCAUUACUAAAAUCUAAAGCUCAAUUCUAUGCAGUUGCUGGUGUCCAGAGGGGAAAAGAAGUGGAAAUACUUAUUCACACAGAAUGCAACUUACUUUGAUCAGAACUAGGAAGAGACAGCAUGGGGAAUGAGAUUGAAAAUUGCAAAAACUAAACAUAAUGAAUAUACAAUCAUCUAACAGUUAAGUAAUGUGCUCCAUCAGCUACACGACAAGUCAAUUGAUUAAGUCACUAGACAAUUUGAAGUACCAUUCUUCACUAAAUAUUAAUAUUAACAGUUGCAUCCAUCAAACAUCACCAAGCAGAGAAAUUUAACAUAAGAUCAAGCAUGAAACAUUGAAACUUAAUAUCUAGUUUCGUUUUGAUGUUAGCACACAGUAUCUCGCACAGCAUUCAAAAAACAAGACUAUUUUUUCGUUGAAGAAAUACAUUAUUAUACCAAUUAAUAAAUUCGUAAUUUUGAAUACACUAACAACAGCUCUUCAAUUUCCACAACCAAAAAGAAAAUCUAAACUUUCCCCAAACUCACCCAUAGCAUUCAACAUAUAUAACUAAAUAAAACUUGGGAAAAAAGGGAAAAGACUCACAAAAUUCCAUUUGCUCUUCCAUUUCUCACAGGUAACAGGCGUAGAAUGAAAAGAAGCAACGUGGGUUGUUGCAAAAGUAGCCGUGGGUUUUGAAGGUAAAAAAGCUAGAAGCAAUGACUUGUUGAGUAUCAGCACGUUUCGCCAUCUGGGUAUUUGCAUAAUCGAGGAAAUCAAGAGCAAAACCAACUCUCUCCAAAAUUCACAGCACCAAUCAAUUAAGACUGUCCUCAGGCAGAGGAAAGUUUUCUUUUUGAUGGUAAAAGGAAUUGGCUUUAAAUUUUAAGUGACAAAAAGGUAAUCUCCUCUCCGUGGUCGACGAGAACAAAGAAAGAGAUGGUGUCGUCUCCUUCGGUUGUUGUCUCUCAGUUGCUUUGAAUCUCUUCAGGUGUUGGACGGCACGGCAGAAGAAAGUCGAAACAUGUCUAAGUUCAAACUUCGAAGCAAAGAUUUUGGGUUGGAUUCCUUGCUUGUUGUUGCGCCAGUUCAGAGAAGCCGAGAAAAGCACUGAAUAGGUGAACUCCCAAGUCAAGGCAACUCAACCCAGCAAUUGGAAAUUGGGUGGACAUUUGUUUCAGCUGACCCAAGUAUUUGCAAGCUUUCUUCGUUACAAAAAUUAUUUUUCAACUUUUUAAAAUGAAAAAUACAUCACAUUUAUGCUUAUUUAUAAAUUAACAGUGAAUUACGAUGUCCCAAGUUAAUGAAUAAAUAUAAAUUUUUAAAAACUCUAAAAUAAAAAAUAAAAAUAUGAUUUUAAAAAAAAUUUUGUUAAUAAAAUAAUAUCAUUUAAUUUAUUAAAAAUGCAUAAAAUUUAUACAUAAAAAAAUAUAUCAAAUAUAAAUUCUUAUUAUUAUUCGGCUGUCAAAAGAUCAAUAACUGAUUUUGCGGCUUUUAUUUCUUUAUAAUAGGAUGGUCCAUUAUGUAUGUUUGGAAAAACUUGAAGCAAAUAAAAGUUAGUAGCAAGGGUGAUAAUGAUUCAGUUCUUUAAAUAUUAUAUAAUAUUAUAAAAAUUUAAAUUUCAUCCGAAUCUGAAUUGAUUCAAAUUUUAUUGGUUUGAUUUAUAAAUUUUUAUUUUUUAAUUUUUUAAAAUUUUAGAUAUUAUUUUAAUAUACAAUUUUAAUAUAUUUAAAUAAAUGUUGAUAUAAAAUUAUUAUUUUUAUUUUAUAAAAAUUUACAAAAUAUAUAAAAAUUAAAAAAUAUAUAUAAUUUGAUUCAAUUUAUUUUUUUUAAUUUUUAAUUUUUUAAUUCAAAAUCCAAUCCAAAUUUAAUAUAGACAUUUAAUAUCCAAACUUAAUUCGAGCCGAAUCGAAUAUUAAAAUUUUAAAUCAAUUUUUUAAUUUUUUAAUUUUUUUUCUCACCCCUAAUUAGUAAAUUAGUAGUUGUUUAUUAAACUUGGAAUAAGAAAACCAUACACUAUCAUAACGGUACAGCCCCAUUCCUUAAGAAGAAGAAGAAAAAAAAAAAAACAGAGGGAAAGAAAUUUCAUAGCUGCCUAAUGAUUAAGACAAUUAAUAAACCAAAAAAAUUAUCGUCAUCAACAUAAAUCACAUGGUACUAUUUUUUUUGAGAACAAAAGUUAUAAAAAUGAUAAUUUUGUAAGUGACCCAACAAUUGAAGUGAGGAUUUUUUCUGUCAAUAUCUCAUAUCAAUGGCUUAGCCUAAUAUAUAACACUAGUCUUUUUAACCCGUGCCAUGCACGGAGUUUUUUUAUUAUAUAUGUUUAUAGUUUAAAAUUUUAAUUUAUAUUAAUUUUUAUAUUAUAUAUAAAUAAAUAAAAAUAAUCAUAAUUAUUUAUAAUUUGUAAUUUAAAAUUAAAAAAAUUAUUGAUAUAUAAAUUAUUAUGAAGAAUCUAAAUAAGUAUUAAAAAAGUUUUAGAUUAUGAAAGUAAAAUUAUAUACAAAUAUCAAUGAGAAAGUUAAUUUUUUAUUCACAAUUACAUAAAUUUUUUAAAAGUAUAUAUUAUUUUAGUAUAAAAAUUAAGAUUUACACAUGUGAUAUAUCAUAAAAGAUUUUUGGAUAUUUAAGUUUGAAACUUUAUCUUGUUAAACUUUUAUGAAGAAAAGAAAAAAAUAUUGAUUGUGAGAAAAAAUCAUAAAUAUAUAUUUAAUAAUUAUUUAAUUUAAAAAAAAUAUAAAAUUUUAAAAAUUUAGUUUAUCCAGGUUUAAUUUUAAAUUAAGAUAAAAGAAGUUAGUAUAAUUUUAAAUUUAGAUAUGUGUGUAAUUUUAAAUUGAUAUAAAAUAUUUUUUUAUUUUAAAUUAUAAAAAAAUAAAGACAAAAAUUAGUAAAUAAUAUAGAUUCAACCACAAAUUUUAUUUAUUUAAAUUUAUAUGAAUAUUAAUUUAGACAGUGUAUAAUUUUUUUAUGAUUUUUAAGAUUUAGGAAUUUAACCUUUAAAAACUAUUUGAAUUGGAUAAGAGUAAAAUAUGAGAAGAUAUAUUUUAUUAGAUUUAAAUUAAGAUAAAUCUUAUAUAUUUGAAAAGAUUUUGAUAAAUAUAAAUUUUGAAACUUUAAAAUUUUGAAAAAUUAAAUAAUUGAUUUAAUAAAGUUAUUUGAUAAUAUCUUACAUGUCAAAAAUAUAAGUUGUCCAUUUAAGUAUUUAUGUAAAUAAAUUUUAUCAGAUUUUUAUGUAUGUUGUAAUAUAAUAUUAUAUAUAAUUUGCUUACAAAUUUGAAUUUAUUUUGAAAAGAUUUUUUUUAGUAGAAAAGCAUCAAUUUAAAAAUAAAAGUAAAAGUUAUAAAAAUUAGGAUUUGAAUAAUUCAACUUAUUAAAUAUCAUGAAUCAAUCAAACCGUUUUCCUGCCACUCUCCAUUAAUAUGAGGCGAGGGAUAGACGGAUUUGGUUUGAGAAAAAUAAAAUAAUUAAUGGAAAGCAGAUAUAUAGGCACAUCGCAUCUUAAUUCUUAAAUCUUAAAUAGUUGCCUUUAUGAAUAUCAUUUCACCAUAUUCCACCGCCCUGGAAACAAACACAACUCUCUUCAUGUUCUUUCAUUUCCUUAUUUAUUGUCAAAUGUUUGAAAAAAUUAUUUUAAAUUAAUGGCUAAGCUAUAUUUAUACAAUUGAUCAGUCAUUGAAUAAAUUCCUUAAUUCUCUGUUAUUUUUAUGCUUUCGAUGAAAUAAAAUGCAACCUCAAAAGUGAGCAUUAUGCAAUAUAACUACGUAAAAAACUUGACAGAAAAUAACUCUUUUAGAGUCCAUUUCCAUGCAUUCCAUGAUCCAUGUUCCUUUCACAUUACAUCUAUCCAUGGCUAAUUUAAGAGUCAGUAAAAAAACUGUAGCCAACUUAUAUCCUCGUUUUUUUUUUUCAUGUAAUAAUAAAAACUAUUGAAUCAAGUUCUUGGAAGAAAUCUUUCAAUCUUUUUCUGCUGUUUGUCUAUUUGUCUAUCUCUUUGCAUUGUUUCUUUACCGCAGAACAUUUGUCGGAAGCCAACGAAACUUAAAAAAUUUUCUUUCUUUUCCCUAUAAAUCUCCUAAAUCUUCUCUUUCUCGCUUCUUCAAUCUUCCUUUCACUCACACCAAACAGGUCAAGAAAAAUAAAAAAAGAAACAGUUUUAAAGAAGAACGUUUAGAAUAGGCUUCCUGGUUUUUGAAAGCUGAAUAAACAUGGGAGGUUGCGUUACCAAGCCUAAGGUUUUGAAGGGUGAUGAAGGGGAGGUCCCAGCUUCGGUCCGCCUCCUGAGCAGACGAAAGAGCAUGGACCUGCGGUUGCUGAAGCAAAGGAGUCAGCUUUUGUUGUUGCUGGAGGUGAAAAGAAGGUGGAAGCAGUUGAUAUUAAUGAGGUUGUUAAGGCCAAGGACGUUGAUGAGGUCAGGAGGUUUUUAUUGAUGACAAGGUUGAUGAUCAAUCAAACAAGCCACAAUCUCUUAGUAAUUUGUUCAAAGAGGUAUCUGUUUCUAAUUUUAUGAUCUCUUAGCUAGUAAUUUCAAUGGAACUGCUUUUUUUUUUUUUUUUUCUAAAUUUAAUGAGUUUUAUCAAUGGGAUUAUUGAUCUUUGGAUAACAAAUAGGUUGUUAUAUUAAUUUCCAAGCAUUUUUCAAUUGGUUGAUGCUUCAAUGCAAUUUGAUUAGUGCUUGAUAUGAUUUCGUUAAAGCAGGGACGAUGGGAUCAUUCCUUUGAAUACGGUCGCAUCUGUCUUUUCAAUAUGUUGGUUGUUUAACAGCAUCUUUAUCCUGCCUUUUUCAUUGAAUUAUAUCACUGGUUUUGUACCGUUUGGUUGAAAGUAAAGGAAAGAUUGAAAAAAAACGUAAAAUAAUUCCUCGUAUGGUUCCUGUUGAUUUGGUAUUGAAUAUCAAGAUUCGAAGCAUGAGAUUAAAAACAAAACACAAAAGGAUAUUUCUCAAUAACCAUAUUUAAACUGACCCGUCUUUUUGUUUGUCUGAUAUCUUGUCGAUAUCAAUAAUUUACUACUCCUAACACAUUGUGGUGAGUUUUUCAAUACCAUGUCAAUGAAUUUCAGGCAUUAGUUGUUUGCUUUGAUUUCAAAUUACAAUGACACAAAUUAGAUUCUCGACUCUAUGAAAACUGAAAUGUAUAUUUUCACCAUGAGCUACUGGUGCUGAAUAGUUUUUGAUCCAAGAUCUGUAAUAAAUAUUUUCAUAAAUUAUACUAUGAGUGCAUUGAAAACCAUUGUUGAGCAGCAUACUUGUCGCUGGGCUCUGGGCACCAUAUAAUGCCUUAAAUUAUUGGUUUUUAGGGGAAUGCACCAAUUCAUUGAAUACUUCCUGUUCUGGUUUGUUCUGUUCAUUGGGAUAAUCUACUUCAAGUGAACUUAUUGAUGAUGUUAAUAGGUGCUUUAUGAUUUGUUAUCAUUUUGGAAUGUCUCUGAAACUCUUUCUAGACAUCUUUAUCUGUAAAGCUUCAUCAAUGUGCAUCCUUAUGUUUGUUUUCUUCUCAGUAAUAUUGCACUGUGGAUCCAAACUCCAAAGCAUGAAAAGCGUCAAAAGUUAGCUGAUUUUAUUUUCGGCAAAUUAUUGGUUCAUAUUUUUCCAAUAAAGAUAUGCUAAGCAGAAUUGAAGUGUUCUGCUAUUUGUUCUGAUGAAAAUGGUUUCAUCAAAAUGGGAUUAAUGUAUUUUUGUCACAUAUGCAUUACUAAGAAGAAUGGCCAAGGAAAACUUAAUUAAGUUUUAGCUCGCGCAACCCCUUGCCAUAUUCUAAGGCUGUGCCUUAGAUGUACCAAAAAAUAAAUAAUUAGGAGGUUUAUAUGUUGGAUUAAAGAAAUUAACUGCAACUUGUACAAUGGUUCAUUCAUGCACUAAAAAGGAUCCUACAUAAUAAGUAAUGCAGCAUUUGGCAUCAUUAAAUGAUUUUUGUUUCAUAGACUUCAGCAACUGUGGGGUGCUUUUUUUCUUUGCAGGAUAAAAGGGGUCAGUAGAGAGUGACAACGCACCGCCGGAGCCAAUGAAAAAAGAACCAAUGGAGCCAGCGAAACAAGAAUCAUUGGAGACAGUUAAACAAGACUCAUUGGAGCCAGUGAAACAAGAAUCACCGGAGUCAGUGAAAAAGGAGCUAUUAGAGCUAGAGAAGCAGGAACCAUCAGAUACUGAGAAACUAAAAGAGGUGCAUGUGAUUAAUAAUCAGGAAAGGGAGAAACCUGCUAACCCAAUUGAACAGAUCAACAAGCCAUAGUCUGUGUUAAUUGCUCUCGGAAAGAUUGAAUCAAAAGAAUCAAUUGAAGCCGCACCAGCACCUAAGCCAGCAGCAGCAGUGAAUGUGCCUGAGACACAAAACAAGUAAACACAUCGGCUGACGGUAAGGAAGAUAAGACAGAGGUAGCAAAGUGAAGUUUGAACUGUAAUGUUGAAUUAAGUGUGAUACAGGGAGAAUGAAAAAGACUGAUACAUAGUUGGCUGGAUAAAACACGUUCGCUUUUACUCCUACGAGGUGAGGCUGCUGGAGAUAUUGUUGGACAAAUCAAGUAGUUCACUUAGUUUACGUGUUUUUGUUGUUCUGAAUAUUUAUUUUUCUUUCAUCUGUGUUUGCUUUCGAUAUAUUCUAAUUGUUUAUAUGGACAUAUGGGAUCAUUGAAUAUAUGAGCAUUGAUUCUGUUUAUGCACCAGAACUCUGUUUUUUUUUUCUUUCUACCCAAUGCUACUAUGACCCAAAUUAUGAACUUCUAGCAGCUAUGCAUUAGCAAGAAACCAAAACAAAAAGCUAAGAAAAGCUUAAACAAAACAUGUUGAGAUUGAUUUCCAUUUUGUUUAAAGGUUUACUGUAAACAUCUGCCAGUUCUUUUGAUUAAGAUAAAGUUGCAAAUGUACGCAGGCCAUAAGUUCCACUCUUUUUAGUUCAAGUUUAAUAUUCUUCUCAGAUCAUUGAGCUUGAGGGUCCCUAUUGAAGAUAAAGCUGCUGCCUUAUCUUUAACUGCAAAGUCUUUGAGAUAAGACUCUUGUUUAUAAAGUUUCUGAUAGGUUGAUAAUAACAGUAUAUUCAAUUAUUUACUUCACAAAUUGUAUGUUGUAAUCAUGUAAAUAUGACAAAUACAACAAGACUAGCCGGCCAACUGUACUUCAAGGGGGGCAAUCCCUUAAAAAAUUCUGUAGCUUGUGUACUGACAGUAUGAAAAACGAUUAGAGAUAGUAAAAACUACAACUAAUUAUGAUUCUAGCAAUAAUUAUUUUGGUUGCUCCCCUUAAUAUUAUUAUCGUAAUGUUAUAAUUAAGGGACAACUUGAUCCCUAAUCAUUGUAAUAUUUUAAGUAGAAAAUACUUCACAAAUCCUUCAUUAUAUUUUUUUUCUUUUUCUUUCCCUUUUGAAAGGGUUGGUGGUGCUGUACUGUUUGAUUAAAAAAUUACAGAAUUCCAUCCUUCCUCAAUUUUCUUUAAGAAUUAGAUGGGCAAGAAUGUUUGUGAUCCUUUUCAGGGUCGUAAACCAGUGAUAAUUAUGUUGCUGGUUCAAGCAGUAUGUGCUGCAGUAAAUGUCUUCUACGAAUUGGCUGUAAUUAAUGGUAUGAGCACGAGGGUACUCAUUUCUUAUAGAUUUAUCUUUGCCACUGCUUUUCUAGUUCCCCUUGCAUUGAUGUUAGAAAGGUAACUUCAUAUUUUUCUUUUAUACGAGUGUUUCUUUGGUCUCUAUAUUUCUUGUACUUUCUUUUAAAGAACUAAUUUUGCUCUUUUGGUCUAAUUACACAUGAACACAACUUAUCCAGAUAGCAUUGUCCAAUCCAUCGUUGGAAUUAUUAUUCAAUAAUUAAUGUUAAUGUCUUUUUUUUGGAUACUUGAAUAUUUUUAUUCCAACAUCCAAAAGAAGAAGAAUAUAUCUCCUACAUUAUAAUUUAUAACAGUUCAACACAAAAACAUCACCAGGAAUCUAGUCCUAGAUAAGUACAUAAACUUCUGUUCAAAUGUUUAGGAAAGCUGGAAACUUUAGUUCUAAUGUCCGCAGUUAUUUGUUGAAGAACAAUGAUCCUUGGGAGGGAUUUUAUUGGUGUGCCAGAAAGAGUUCCCGGUUUGCCAAAUGGGGUAGAUAUGAGCUUUCCAUUCAAUUCUCAGAGUCAGUGCAAGGGAGGCAGAGGAUUUGCCUUGGAAGCUCUAGCAGCCCUUUGUAGCUCUGUAGACCAAUCUCUACUAAAUGUGCUCUCUGUAUUUAUCGUCUUCAUUACACAAGUAGCAAUUUAUCUUCUGAAGUUGAAUCGCCCAUGAAUUAAUUAAUUCUGAAUAGAGUGGUUAGUCUGUCCACGAUAGCCAGCCAAGCAAUGGAGGAACGUGAUUGGGGUCCUAGAUUAGCCCAUGUCAGAAAACUUUAGGCUUAUUGAUUCUCGAUCUAUCCCAAAUGCAGGCAGCUGUAUAAACUCCAGAUUUUGAAGCUUCCCCUUUCUUAGAUGUGCCUUGAAAUUUCCGACUCACACGACCAAACCUACUUUAUUGAAGUAUGCAAAUCUAGAAUAUCCAUUCUUUACAACUCUUAAAGGCAGCCACCUUUGUUGAUCAAUAAAGGUGUGCCAUCUAUCUUUAUUGAUUCAACAAACGUUUGUCAUUCUUUUCCUUUUAGCAGCCUUUGGUUUUUUCAAGCAUGAUUGGCCAAGUUUUGCACUGCCCUAUAAAUAUGGCAUUUAGCCAAUCGGUUAAUACACCCUAUAUAAUGAAUUACAAACAGAAGACCAAAUGCCAAGAACGAGUGUGGCAAAAUUGAUGCUAAGGGAGAGUGCCUUGAGCUGUGUCGAGUGCUGAGAUGUGUUAAAAACACAAAUUAUUAAUUGCCCAAUGGGCCAUGGGCUAAAAGCAUCAAGCUGUUAGCUGUAAGGUGCCUAAUGAAAAUGCCGAUAGACAAUAAGAGGUAGUGCAAUUGGGUGCCGUUAUGAGCCUUUAAGUUCCAAAGCUUUUAGAGAGAGUUUUCGGUUAGAGCAUAUAGCUCUUGGGGUUGAGUGUUGGUGAGGCCAUUUUCGGGAGUGUUUGUUAUUUAGCCUCUUAUAUCACAAUAAAAUGAUGUCACGGUUAAGCUAAUUUUCUCAAUAAAAUAGUAUCAGAGCUUCUCCAUCCUAACAACCUUUAAUCAUUUCUGGCUCAGAGCGAUAGGUACAACCGCAAGAACAGAAGCUCUUAUGAUCGGUAUAGAUAGUAGGCCUAGACCCAAGCUACCCGUAGAGAGCCUGCUUUGCUGACAAGAGACCAAAUAUGCUUUAAGAUACAAGAAAACUAUAACUUUACAAACUAGUAAAUCAUUUAACUUAAUUUGUUCUUCAAUAUCAUUUUAUCUAUGAUGAUAUGUAUGCAUGUUCCGCAGUUCAUCUUGUGAAUCUGAAUUCUCUAUAUAUAUUUAGAGGAAGAGUAAGUGAAAACUGACAUGGAAGAUAGCAUUUCAAGGGCUCUUAUCUGGGUUGUUUGGGUAAGAAUAACAAAUGAUAACUUGCAAUGAAUUUAUCAACAGUAAUGACCUUUCAGGCGGUCAAGAAAUAGAGAUUAACUAAUUUUUUUAAGGAAAACAGUUGUGUAAUUCAUUCGAGCAAAGUUCCUAACAAGGUAAAUAUGAGGUUUAAAUUUUGUUGCAGGGGAGCAUUGGGCCAUAAUUUAUUCAUUGAAAGCUUGGCCUUGACAUCUGCAACAUUUGCUACAGUCAUGUCCCUUUUAAUUCCUCUUGUUGCAUUCAUCAAGGUCGUAAGCUUAAGGUAUUUUCCCUAAAACUAUUUGACUAGUGCUUUUGCAUUUAGUUUUUUUGCUAUUUAUUUCUUAUUUUUAUUUUUUAUUUUCUACUAUAAAAAAUAAAAAGCAAAUAAUAAAAGCAUCAAUCAUAUGAAGCUAAGAUUAUUAGAAUAGAUUUACUUCGUAGAUAUCCAAUACAAGGAAUAGAUCAAGUUGAUUGACUCAAGGGUUUUGUUUUUCAGACUUAAAGGCUACCAAGAUUUCAAUCAUAUUCACCAAAAAUAAAAAAUUUAAUAUUUUUUCGAUAAAUCACAUAAUUAUUGAUACUGUAAAAGUUUUAUUAAGCAAUGAUUUUUAAUAGUAUAGUUUUUUUUUUUAUGACAUGUAACGGAUUACUUAUAUUUAUAAGAUAAAGAAGUUCGAAUAUAAAAGUUGUUUCUGAUUAAAUUAAAGAUUUACCAAAAAUAUAAAUUACAAUGAUUAUGAAAAAAAUAUAGAUUACAAAUACAGUUUAAAGCCACUUGCAAAAGAAAAAAAGAAAAUUCCCUUUCCCUUUGUCAGGUUAGAGAGGUUGGCAAUUAGAACGUUGGCGGGGAAGGUCAAGGUGGUGGGUUCUGUCUUGAGCAUGGGAGGGGCGAUGGUUCUUACUUUCUAUGAAGAGCGAGAGAUUAACCUUUAGUCAACCAAUAUAAACCUGGCUAAACAUGAUGGUGAUCAUGCAACAAACACACAUACUUUGCUUGCUAAUAAUCAAGUAUUGGGCUCAAUGCUGGGUAUAGCAUCCUGCGUCUCUUUUUCGGUUUGGUACAUAAUUCAUAUAAGUUUCCAAGUAGCAUUCCAUCUGAAAUGUUUAUUACUGACUUUUAUUUAUUUAUUUUUUUCCUAAAGAUACUUUAGCAUUCCGCCUAAAAUGAUUAUCAGUAUUUACUUUUUCUUUUACUUUUAUAAAAAAUAAUUUGAUAUAUUAUAAGUAUAAAAAUGUUAUAUAUUGAUAUAUUAUAAAUGAUCAAAUCAUUAUUUGUUUUAAUAUAAAUAAAUAUUUAAAUUUUAAAAUAUUUAUUUUUUUAAUUUUUAAAAAUUUAAAAUUAUUAAUGAUGAUGUGAUAAUUUAUAAUAUAUUAAUAAUGUAUAUUGUAUAAUAUUAUAUAUGAUAAUAUAUCAAAUAUAAAAAAACUUUCUAUUUUUAAAUUAUGUUUGUCUUAAUCCUUCAAUUUUCUUUUUAUCAUUUUAAGCUCUAUUUUUUUAAUUUCAAAUAAAUCUAAUAUAUAUAUAUAUAUAUUAUAACAACAUACAUAAACAAGUUUGUCACAUAGAUACUUAUGUGGAUAACUCUCUUAAAUGAUACAUAGGAUAGUUUUUAAAAGAAUAAAAUAAUUUCUUUUAAUUACAAAUAAGUUAAUUUUAAAUUUAUUCAAAUAUCAAAAUUAUUCAAAUUAUAAUUGAAAAUCAAAUCAAUUUAGAGAUAUAUUAUUUUAAAUUAAAAAUAUAAAAUAUGAAUUUUACUUUUUUAAUAAAUAAGUUUAGUUGUUUACCAAAUAACCUUAUUUAAAAAAUUAUUUAAUUUUCAAAAUCUUUCAAACAUAUUUAAAAAAUUAAAAAAAUUAUCGUCCUAAUUUUUUAAAUAAUAAGAUCAUAAAAAUAAUUAUAUCCAUUUGAACUAUAAUUAUCAAAUUUGUAUUUCAAAUAAAUGCAAAAAAUUUAAUAUUAUCUUUAUUAGUUAUUAUAUCUAUUUUAAAUUUUAAAAAAUUAAUUUAAAAAUUAUGUAUUUAAUCCUAAUUGACACUAAAGAAUUCUUAAACUAUAAAUGUAAUGUAUUAUAUAUCAUUUUCUAAAAAAAAAAUUUCAAUUAUUUUUUUCAAGGUAUAUCCUAUUACUAUUGUAAUUUUUUUUAGUUAUAACUUUUUUACAAGAUAUAUUUUAUUGUUAUUACAGAUUCAUUCUUAUGAAAAAUAAUUUUUUUAAUUUAUUUUUUCUUCUUUUACAUUUUUCUAAUAUUUUUCUUAUUUUGCAUAAUAAUUUAAUCAAGAUUACUAAAGUGAAAAUAUAUGAAUACUUCUUUUAUUAUUUAAUUAUCAUUUAGUAAUAUAUAUUUUUAUUUUUUAAGAAAGACAUAAUUUAUUUUUAUUUGAUAUUAUCUUACAUAUAUAUAUAUAUAUAUAACUAUGAUUGUAAACAAAAAUAUCCAAAAGAAAGACAUAAUUUUUUUUCUAUUUUUAGAAAGUUUAUUUUUUAAUAACAAAUCAAUACAUAUAUAUUUUAUAUAUAUUAUGAGUUUUAAAAAUUUAAAUGUAAUUUUGAAAAAAAAACUAAUAUAUAUUCAUAUUAAAUAAAUAAAAUUAUUUCGUAAUUAUAAUAUAAUUUAAUCAUAUUUUAAUAAAAAGGUCACGUGAUGCCACAUGACAUAUCAUUCAACCAAAUAAGGUAGUCAACUAUCAUGUGGUUGAUAACAGUCACAUGAUAGUCAACUAUCACGUGAACUACCACGUGAGUAAUAGCAUAGCAAUCCAACAGAAAAUUUUCCUUUCAUUUCUCGUUUCCUUUCUCUCUGUACAAUCUCUUUCUAGAUUUAAAGCUUCAAGAACCAUAAACCUCUUUGUCUAAAAUCCAAUGCCAGAUGUUGCAUGGUUAUCGUUCGGUUGCAGCCGACCGUCACUCGACAACGCUAGAAUUACUCUCCUUAAUCUCUUUUACCCUUUAUUUGACUUUAAAAAAAAAAAAAAAAACCUAAAAAUCCCUAGCUCAUUGAAUCCCGCUGCCUUCGUUAGAAUUUAGAAACCAUGUUUCUCUCGCCUUCAAACGCUGUGGUGACGGCUUCCUUGUCCUUAACAACUUCAACUUCAAUCUUACUAGCCCAAAAAGAGUGAAGAGGAGGCGGCAGCAUCAGGCAAGGCUGUGAACUUUGUAAAGGAAAGAAAGACUAAGUUAAAUUUUCAAUGGCUCGAGAGAAAAUUUUGAUGAGGCAAUAUGUUAUGAGAUUCUUCUCUUAAGUAUCCCAUCUGAUCAUUGCUAGUUAGGGAGGACCACAUUUGGUGGACCAUAGGCGUAGGAAAGGUAAGGCAAGUGUGGGUGAGUUUGGUGCUGGUAAUUACUCAUGUAACAUCAGAGAUCAAGUAACGAAAUUUAAAAUUUUUAAUUCCCAAUUGAUAGGAUUACAAAUAUUGCUAUAUAUGCACAUUCAUACUAACAUAAAAACAUUAAAAAAAAAAAAAUCAAGAAUCAUACUUAAAACCCUAAAGUAUUACUCAACUAGGAUUUUUAUCGGAAAAUCUUUAAAACCUUCAAACUAAAUUAUAGCAAACCAUUUUAUCUAAUUCUCUAGCUUCCGAUGAUAUCUACACAAAUAAUUAAAGAAAAACCUUAAAAAGAGCUUGGGCUAGCCAAAACCGAGACUUAAGAGGGAGAGGCAAGGCUCUUUAAAUAGAGGAAUUUAUCAUCCACCAAUCAAAAUUUUAUCCUAAAUAAGAUUGUAUUUUGCUACCUUAUAAUAGGACCUUUGGACAUAUUAAUUAUUUCAAUUAAGUACUUAAAUUCCAAACUUGAUUUCAAUCAAGGUUCAACUUGAUUCUCCCAUUUAAUUUCUCAACUUAAUUAUUCUUAACAUGCUGAUCCAUUAGAUCCUUAAUAAAUUGAGAAUAAAUAUAAGAUUAAAUGGAUCGAACUCUUUUUCUUCAUUAUUAAUUCUCUAAUUAAUCAAUUUCAUAUUUAUAAAUCAAAAUUAAAAUUUAGUAAUGCAUGAUGACCAUCCAAAUAUUAAAAACAGUUAAAAAGGUUUAACUAACAUAUUUACUCUUGGUUAGGGGGAAUAAUGGUUUGGAUCAAUUCAGUUUUUUUGAUAAUGUAUAGUAUUAUAAAUUUUAAAAAUCUAAUUCAAAUCCGAACCGAUUUUUUUAAAAUCAAUUCAAAAUGAAUUUUACUUAUUCAAUUCAUUGAUUUUUUAAAUUUAAUUUAUUUUAAUUUAUUUAUAUUAUUUUAAUAUGAUUUUAAUAUAUUUAAAUAGAUUUACAUAUAAAAUAAUAAUUUUUAUUUUAUAAAAUUUAAAAAAUAUAUAAAAGCUAAUAAAAGUAUAUCAUUAAGUUCCAUUUUUUACUUCAUGAUCUGAAUUUAAUAUAUAUAUAUAUUUAAUAUUCAAAUUUAAUCCAAAUUAAAUAAAAAAAUCAAUUCAAACUAAACCAAACAAUAUAAUUUUGAAUCGAUUUUCAAUUUUUUAUUUUUUUCAUCCAUACCCAUGGUCUUAUCACAUAAUUCUAUCUUUCAUCAUUAUAUCGCAAUAGAACUACAGCAUGGUUCAAUGUCUAUUCUAUUUGUCCUAUCUAUUUUGAUUCUUGAUUACAUGAAGCUUUCACUCAUUGAAUGAAUCUUGAACUCCUUCAAUUUCAUUCUACUUCAACUAGAGAUUUCCUGAGUUAAUAUUUCUUAAAAAAUACUGAGAUAUUCCCUCGAUCAUUGAGGGUCAUAAAUCUUAUUUGGAAUAUUCCUCUAACUCCAUAUGAUUUAUGCUAUAUCCAAUAUCCAUCCUAUUAAGCAUCCUCGGUUAGAAACGUAUAGGAUUAAUAUUAACGUAUAACACUUGUCAUACAAGCUAGAUAAUGGUCUCAAGUAAAACGACCAGUACUUAUGCAACCAUCACAUGAAAAUAUUGUUAUAUACACUUUAGUGAUGAAAGUAAAUAUUAUUCUCAUAACAAGUCAUAUUCAAUGAACUUGUUAAUAUAACAAGCACAUACAUAUUCAGCUCAAUUACAUCUGUACUUCAACUUAUGUGAUUAAUUACUUAUUUCACAGGUAAGAGUAUAAACAUGUAUCAAUCUCAAAUGUUUAUAUCAAUAUAAGUGCCUUAAUGUAUAAAUGUAGUGCUUUUUUUCUAAGUCAAAAUAUAUUGAAUGGAAUUAAGGGUACAAGCAGACAGAUACAACCAAAUAGGUGUCACCCACCAAAAUGACAUUUGAGAAAAAUAUAUAUACACUAUAAAUGAGAGACACUCCAUCCAUACCAAAACCAUACCUAAUAACAGGGAAUACAUUACCACCACACCAGUGGCAUCUCAACUCUAUAAAUGUAAUGCUUAAUGUGACAUAUUAUCCAAAGCCAAUCCGGUUGGUCAUAAGGAAUACAUUAACAGCCGGUGCAUGCUACAUGCAUGUUGGCAGGGUUGCUUUUGGCUUUGGUUAAAUCUUAGAUCUAGAGAUUUUAGGGCUUUUAAGAAAAUCCAAGCCAAAUAAAGGAUAGAGGAGAUCAAGGAAAGUUUUCAGGUGUUUGUUGGGGUAAUUCCAACGAUGUCGAGCGACGAUCGGCGACAACUUUGUAGUGAUCGAUGUAACAGUUCGAUGUCGGAUUCUGGGCCAUGAGGUUUACGAUUCUCGAAGCUUUAAAAGUAGAAAGGAAGAGACUGUAGAAAGAGGGAAGAAACAAUGAAGAAAAAGAUUUUGUUGGGUUGUCAUGUCACCAGCCACAUGACAGUUAACUACAACAUGGAAUGUCUCAUGACAGGUUUUACUUAUGUGGCAUGCCGCAUGGCAGUUUCUAAUGGACCAUCAGUCACGUGACUCUUUUCCGUUAUACAUUGGUAAAAUUGACCCAAAAUAAAAGAUGAGAGAUCAAAAUUAUUCAAAUAAAAAUUGAGGGAUCAAAAUGACUUUUUCACGUAAUUCAAGAGUAAAAAUAUUUUUAUCAAUUUUUUAACUUAAGAAAGAGUGAUUCAAACCCUGAGUUUUAAAAGAAGAUCAUAUACUGAUUAACUGCCUAACCCAAAUGCUUUGGUUGCAUUGUUUUCUUGUUUUUAAAACAUAUGUUAUGAAUGGUUUUUCCACAGGCCAAGUUGAAUGAAAAUUAUCCUUACAAAUAUUCGUGUACUGCUUUGAUGUGCAUCACAGCAUCAAUUCAGGCAACAAUUUAUACCAUAAUUGUUGAUAGGAAUUCGUCUGCAUGGAAGCUUGGUUGGAACAUAAGGCUUUUCAGCUGCGUUUACACUGCAAAAGCAAAUUCCCAGCCAGCAAAAAUUAAUGUUCUGACAGAAACAGAAAAUUGCACCUUCAUUGAAUUUAAUAAUUAUAUAUAAUAAUUUAGUUUAUUGAUAAAAUAUUCCUUGUAUGAACUCUUAUUGCAAGGGAACCAUUGCCACAGGAUUAAUGACUGUUGCUUUGACUUGGUGCAUGCGGUUGAGGGGACCCUUAUUUGUGUCUAUCUUCAUGCCUUGUACGCUGAUAUAUGUUGCCAUUGUCGAAUAUUUGUUCUUAAACGAGAGGCUACAUCUAGGAAGGUUUCCAACUCGAUCGAUCAAUUUCAAAUUAAAGUCCAAUACAUUUCUUUAUAAACUGUCAUUUUUUCUUGCAUCUCUUUUUUAUUAAGAUAAUUAAAACGUUAUAUGUUGCAUGUAACAGCAUUUUAGGUUCGGUGAUCAUAACGAUGGGAUUAUACGCUGUAUUGUGGGGAAAAGCAAAAGAGACGAAGAAUUCAACGCAACUAGCAGUACAAGAACAUCCAAAGGAGUUUGAAGCUGUGGAAUACAGGCAAGGAGGCAAUCAAAUUUCUAAUACAGGCAAAGACAUUUAGAUCAAUGUAGUUAAUGAUCAAAGAGAUGUUGUAUUUUCUGAUGCCAAGUGAUAAAAAACAUAGCACAUGCUGUGUUUGAUAUGUUUACAAAUCCAUGUGACGGAUUGGGUUGCUUUUUUGGGUCCCUAAAAUAAAAAAUUCAAUUAUCCAAAAUUUAAAAGAAAAACAUAGCACAUGCAUGUUUCCAUAGCUAAUUUAUGGCCUUAUUAUAUAGAUUGUUUAACGAUGUUAUUUGUGCAACACAUGGCUAAUUUAAGUCCUUACUGUAUUUUGAUUAUAUUGAGCUUUCCAUUUAUGUAUAAAAAAAUUGAAAUAUUAAUAUACUAUGCCUUUUAUAUAUGAUAUUUUUGCUUUUUCGUCUCUACUUAUUUUGGGGGUUUUUUAUUCUUCAUCUGGUUCGACUGGGUCUGGCAUUAGACUGGAUUUUUAAGAUCAAGCUUGGUUUAAAAUAUUAUUUUAUUAAUAAAAAUUUUAAAUUAACUUUAAUUUUGAAAUUUAUUUAAAAUAAUAAAUAUUAAUAUAUAAAUAUUUUUUAAAUUUUUAAAUAAUAUUUUAAAUAAUAAUGGACAUAAACAGACUUAUACAGACAAAUUGAGUCUCUCGACCUGGCCCAACCUAAUUUCGUCGAUGAACAUCUCUAACUUCAUGCAUGGUGAAAGGAUAAAUCAAUUGAGAACCAAUUAAGCCCCAAAAGAGAUGAAAAUGAAAAGUUAGAACCUAACAAGUGCGAAUCGGGCCCAAUGGCUCAAAAUCAAACCCAAAAACAAAAAUAUAAUUGGAAAAAAAAAAUGACAGAGGAAGAAAACGAGCACCACCAAAUGAAAUUGCCAACACCCUACCAAAUUCUAAAGCUUGAAUUUCAAACUGAAAAAGAAAUUCUAAAAGAAAAAAAUAUUCUCAAGAUAAACAUUAUCAGAAACAAAUAUAUACCACAUGGCAAGACAUGGCCCAUGGGCAAGACUUUCCCUCCUCAUCCUUGUAAGUCCAUGCAUGCAGCACACGUAACAUCCAAGUGGGACAAACACUUCCCAAUUCUUCACGUUUUACUUAAUUAAUUUCAGUUUUGGAAGGAGUUCUAUAGCACACUUUUUUUUUUUUUCAUUUGUGGCACUUGGUUUAACUAAGUGUACUAUAUAUAUGGUAAAAGAGUUAAGAGAACUUUUCGUAUAAUUUUUUUUAAAGUUUUCUCGAAAAUAAUUUCAUGGGUAACAAUAUUUGUAAUCCUCGUGUCAAGGGCUAAUAAUGAUUUAGUUUGAUCAGGGCUCUGGCUUUUGAGUUGAUUUCAAUUAAAUAAAUAAUACUGUAAAAAUAAUGAAAUAUUAAAUUAAAGAAUAAAAUUGUUAGUUCAAAUUUUUUAUAAAGUUAUUGAAGUCAAUUAUUUUUAUUUUUUAUCAUUUUUAAAAUUUACACUUUUACAUAUAAAUAAAUAAAUAAAUAAUAUGCAACAUCUUACGUCCAAUUAUUGAUGUAGGGUAAAAAUAAAUAUAAUUUUUUUACUAUUAGACAAGAAAUAACGGAGAAAGGGGAGAUGAACAUGACAGCAUGCAAAAGUUGAUAAUGAUCUGCCCCAAUGACAGGGGUCCUUUUCAAAGGAAAAUGUUCCUAAAGUUCUGAAGUAGAAGGAAUUCCACAUGAUGACGGUGUUUUGGUGAAGAUGAGUUGGCUCAUGAGCCGGAGGGUGAGCAAAAAUUGGUUUGGGUUUGUAGUUAGAAAAUAUGGUAAGAAUGUCGGAGUUUAUUACGUUUUGAUGUUUAAAUUAAUUAGGAGGAUUAUAAUUUUCGAAAGAAAAAAAUAAGUUACAGAGAGUAUAUGAGAAGCUAAGAGUUUAGAAUGUGUAUUUGAAUUUUCUUUUUACUUUAUAUAUGAGUUGAUGGAUGAAAAUAUUAUCAAAGUUGAUGAUAAUUGAUAGAAAAUUUAUGUGGAGUUCAAAAAUGAUCCAUGUGGAUAAGUAUGGAUAACAUUUAAUGAUUCUAACAACUUAAAAGCAAAUUAACUUAUUGUGAAAUGAUGUAUUGAUGAAACGUUAAUAAAAAUUAUUGGACGAGCUGUAUUUACAGGUGAAAAAGUCUUGGUAAGUGAGCAACUCAGGAUCGAGCUUAUAUUGUGUCGAUGAAUUUAAAUAUUAAUCUUCUUUAAUGAUAACAUGAUAAUCAAAUAUGCAUUAAUUUUGCAAGCAUAAAACUUGAACUUAUUAUCUAGACGAUUAUGCGUAACAUUAUAUUUGCACUUAAAAGCAUUAGAAAUCAAAAUUUCAAGUUGGAGAAGUUUAGUAUUCAAAGUUUCAAAACUGAAAAAGGGAAUUAAUGGGUUUAUGUAAUCCUACUAUAAUAAAAUUUCAUAUAUAACAAAAAAAAUUAUUGAUGCAGUAGGUUAAUCAUUACUUAGAGCUCGCUUACUUUUGAUUACAUUAUUAACAUCCAAAUGAAUUUUGAAAUUCAAAGUUUUAGGAAGUGAGGAAUUUGGCUAAGGUUAGUAUUGGUUGUGAAUAAAUUUUAAAAAAUAUAUAGUACGGUGAAAUUUGUCAUUAUAUUACAAUUCAAUAUUGAAUUUUAUCACCUUAUUUUAAUUUUAUUGAAUUUUAUUAUUGUAUUUCAUUUUUGUUCAUUAGACAAAAGAAAUAGAACUGCAAUUUUGUUCAUUGUUAUUAAAAAUUUUGUCACUAUUAAUUUCUUUGAUUUUUGAAUUAAAAAAAACAAAAUUAAAAUACUUUUUCAAAAUAUUCUGUUAAUGCAAAUGAUAAAUUUUAUUAUUUUAUGAAAACAAAAUUAAUAUAAAAUGAUUAUAAAAUUCAAUGAAAUUGAACUACAAAUUAAUAAAAUCAAUAUUGAUUCUUAAUAUUAUGACAAAUUUGAUCUUAAUUAAAAAAUGCCUAUUAUGUUUUGUAGUUUAUCAUUCGAAACAAAAAAAAAAAAUUGAUCUUUUGAGUUUAGGUUUCAAACUCUGAUAGUUUUAAUUUUGGAAUGAACUCUAAUUAAACUUUAUUAACAAUUCAUCGGUCAAGAAAAAACAAAAAAGUUUAACUUUAGACGUUGGCAAACACCCAUUUUUUAAAAUUAAUCCACCAAUCAUUUUUAAUACUAUAAACACUAUUUUUUUUUAAUUUUAAUUUUUAUUAUUUAAAUUUUUUUUCUUCAUUUCUGCGUUUGUCUUCUUCUUCCUUUCUUUUUCUUUUUUUCUUCAUCUUUAUCUGAUUCAAAUCUGGUACACAAUCUCUAAAGUCAAAAGCACCAUUGAUAGCUGCCAACAAUCGACAAGCCACCAAUCGCGGACAGUAGGUGUGAUUUUUCAGUUGAAAAAUAGGAUUCGAAUUUCAAAAAAUCUGAGAUUUGAAUCCCAACAAGCUCUAUAAAUAAAGCUUGCAAACCAGACCAAAAAAAGAGGAGAAAGGGAAGCACAAAAAAAAAAAGGAAAAACGAUAAAAAAAAAGAGGAUUCUGCCAAAAAAAAAUUUGCAGAAACACAAAAAAAAAGAGAAGAAGCAAAAACAGUCCCCUGGAACGGGAAGCCCAGCACCAAACUACACCUACAAAGACACCCAACGAAAACAAACUAGAAAACACACAAAAAAAAGUGUUUUUUUUCACCGAAACUUUGAGCCUCGAUCUACGCUGAUUGGGGAUGUUUCCGGUGAAAAGGAGACCGGAUCUGGAAAGAAGGCGUCUAGAGGAGUCUUCGGUGACCUUCUGACCAUUUUUCGAUCACCGGCGACAACCGCCGACGGUAGAGUAGGCGGCGGUCAGACGACGAUCGGCAGACCCCUCCCCCAGCCCUCUCUCUCUCUCUCUCAUUUUUUUUUCCUGAAACAGAAGCCAAAUGAAUAAAAAAAAACCCUCAGCUAUAUAUAGCAAAGCAAAAACUCAAAACAACAUCAUUUAGGAAAAGACCCAAAACGACGUCGUUUCAGCCAAGGAGGAUCCGCGUGUCAACCCGCGACCCGACCCGGGGUCCACGCACCCGACCCGGACCCGUUUUCUUCAUCUGCCUCUGACUGAUCUAACUGGAUCGGAACUGAAUCGCCCAGACCAAAUCGAACCGGUACUGAACCGCCCAGAUCAAGCCGAACCGUCAGACGAACCGCCGAACCGAACCAGACGCUGACCAGACUGUUGACCGGUCCGGUUCAGGUAAAAAAUUUUUUUUAUUUUUUUUAUAUAUUAUUUUAUUAAUAUUUAUGCAUAUUAAACUAUCUAUAUUUGCUAGAUUAAUUGAUAAAAUUGUGGUUAAAUUUUUUAUGUAAUUAUGUUAAUAAACUUUAAAAACAAUUAUAUAAAAACAAAUUUAAUAAUAAUACUAAAGCAAUAAAAAAUGUAGAAAAAGAAAAUUUUUAUCCGACGAUGAGAUUCAAAGGUAUUCCGAGUAGUGAUACCUACGAAAUCUCUAUGUGAGAAGAUUUUUUAAGUACUACCAGCGUAUUGGAGUAUUUAUAAAAAAUUUUUAAUGCAGUAAAAAUUUUCUUUUUUUAAAAUAAUAAAUAAAAAUUGAUUAAUAAAUUAAAAAUAUAAGUAAUAAAAAUAAGAAGAAAAGAAAUUUAAUCCAAUUAUGGAUUUCUAAAAAUAUUUCGAGUAAAGAUGCUUUAAGAAAUCUCUAGGUGAGAAAGAGUUCUUUAAAUGUUACCAACGUACUGGAACAUUUUAAGAAUUAUUUCAAUAAAAAAGUUUUAAUUUAUUUUUCUCGAGGAUAAAUUUUUUUUAACAUGACAUUUUCUUACGAAAAAUAAAUUCGAGCUCCCAAAGAUGAGAUUCUAAAAGUAUUUCGAGUAGAGAUGCUUUAAGAAAUCUUUAGGUGAGAAAGAGUUCUUUAAAUGUUACCAACGUACUGGAACAUUUUAAGAAUUAUUUCAAUAAAAAGGUUUUAAUUUAUUUUUCUCGAGAAUAAAUUUUUUUAACAUGACAUUUUCUUACGAAAAAUAAAUUCGAGCCUCCAAAGAUGAGAUUCUAAAAGUAUUCCGAGUAGAGAUGCUUUAAGAAAUCUCUAGGUGAGAGAGAGUUCUUUUAAUGUUACCAACGUACUGGAACAUUUUAAGAAUCAUUUUAAUAAAAAGGUUUUGAUUUAUUUUUCUCAAGAAUAAUUUUUUAAAAAAAAAAUCAAGGAAAUUAUUUUUUGAAUACUGAAAAUAAGACUAUUUUUAUCAAAAUCAAAAGAUAACACGUUGUUAAUUGGUACCGUUUUUUUACGGGCGCUGUGGGGGUGCUAAUCCUUCCCCACACGUAACUGACUCCCGAACCCAGACUGUUUCGUAGAUCGUAAAAUUAUCUUUUUAAUAAAUUUUAAUUAAUUUUAAGAUUUCAUUAAAAGGAUAUGUUUUAAUAGGUGGCCAAUCGCACCUAGCCAAAAAAAGAUUGGUGACGACUCCGUUAUUUUUUAUUUUGUUUCCAAAUUCGUCGGGCGGACACAAAAUCGUUACGACAGCUUGGCGAUUCCGCUGGGGAUGCCUUUUGUUUUCGAGAGUCAGGCCAAAAUUAACUACUUGUUAUCCUUAAAUUUUGAUUUAAAACAGUCUUAAUCAAUUUCUUAAAUCUUUAUUUUUUAUUUUUAGUAAAAAAACAAAAAAAAAUCAAAAAACAAAAAGCAAAAAAAUUCACACACAUUUCUCUUACUAUGCCUCUUAUGUUUUAUUUUGUAUAUAUUACUGUCAAUAAAUUAGGAUAUAUUUGCACACAAUGGCACGAUGCAUCUCAUACAUGAGCUCUAUACCCGGGCUCCGUCUUUUAUAGGAGGAAGUAAAGUACCUAUUGCUCUCGUGAGGUGAUAACCUCCACAAUGGCAAGCGAAAUACUUUCACUCGAAUUGAACCAUUUCCGUUAGUAGCUUGUAAUGGGUGAGGAUCGAGAUGCAUUACUAGUCCAAUAUGGACGACAGUGAGGAACAAUUUGGGAACCUUUAGACCUUGUCAAUCCAAACCCAGCAUAUAAUAAGCCUAGGAAACCAGCCUUAUGUAGAGCUCCAUCCACUUUCUUGUAGAAAACAACUAAGAAUAAAAGUUGUGUAUAAUACAAAACAAAACAAAACAAACAAAAAAAUAAAAAAAAUAAUAAAAAAAAACAAAAAAUGUUUUUUUUAAAACCAUCCUCACAUUAACUCAAUUUUGUUUCUUUUUUUUUUUACAUUAAUCAUAUCAUACAGUUUUGCAUCGAGAUAUUUGCUCUAGGACAUUUCUCUCAAAAAGUUUUCAUGGAUCCCGUAGAACUACAGAUUUGCUCAUCCUCAGUCAGUGUGCCAUGUGAGUCAUAUAAUGAAGUACAUGUUUGGUCGAAAGAGGCUCAACAAAAGAACGGAGAUUGUUUGCCUACCAGUUAUGUGUCUAAGUUAUCCGAGAAGGUGCAUUUAGAUCUCACACAGAAUGAUUUAAAAGAGUUAGCUGUUGUCUGGGGUCAGUUAAGUGAGGGAAGAAAAAAAAGCUUUUGUAAAAAGUAUGGGUAGAUUGCAUCCCUCAUUUCAGUAGUGGUUGAUGAACAGCUGGUCAAAGCAGCUAUACAGUUUUGGGAUCCAUCCUAUAGAUGCUUCACUUUUAAUCAGGAAGAUUUGAUGCCAACCAUCGAGGAGUAUUCGAUUUUGCUCGGGAUAGAACUACAAUGUCCGAAUAAAGUAUUUACCCGAAAGCCAAAAUCAGGUUAUCGUAAAAAGUUAGCCAAGCUUAUGGAGGUUAAAGUAGAAACCAUUGAUUCUUUUGUGAAGUCUAAAGGUGAACAUCUCGACAUUCGUUGGGACUUUUUUCGAAAUUUCAUUCAGGAGCAUUUGGAUAAUGAUCAAGGUAUGGAUGUGUUUGCUCUAGCAUUGUAUGGCAUGGUAAUCUUUCUGAAGACUUUGGGUUACAUUGAGAUAACUGUGGUAGACUUUUUCGAGCAAAUUAAAACCCAAACAAUUAAUCCCACUCCAGCAGUCCUAGCCGAAACCAUCAGGUCAUUGAAUUUCUGUCGACGAAAUGAGAAAGGUCGAUUCAUAGGAUGUGCAUCUCUAUUAUACGUAUGGGUCAGAAGUCAUCUCAAAUGUGGGAAGAGUGUAUUUUUGAAACCAUAUCUUCGAAAUAAAGCACCACUCGAAGAGUUUUGCAAAAGCCAAUGGUUGACAUUAAAGACCAAAAAAGAAUGGGUCUUUUUCUUGCGAAAGAUUACUGAGGAGGAAAUCGAAUGGAUGGCGCCUUGGAUGCCUCGUGUGCCCUUGUUGUAUCGUGGAGGAAAUGAGCCAUGGAUUCCGUUAUUAGGGCUAUGGGGCAUUGUAAGUUACGCUCCAUUGAUGGCACUUAGGCAAUUUGGUGCAAAACAGUUUGUUCCUGCUACUCAUGGUCUGGUCCAAGUAGAAUUCAUUUAUGGGAAAUCAAAUCCAUCAAAAAUCUCGGAACAGUUGAUCCAAGCAUGGCAGAGAACACAAAGAAUGAGGUUAGGACCUCUCAUCGAGAAAGUCACUUCNNNNNNNNNNNNNNNNNNNNNNNNNNNNNNNNNNNNNNNNNNNNNNNNNNNNNNNNNNNNNNNNNNNNNNNNNNNNNNNNNNNNNNNNNNNNNNNNNNNNNNNNNNNNNNNNNNNNNNNNNNNNNNNNNNNNNNNNNNNNNNNNNNNNNNNNNNNNNNNNNNNNNNNNNNNNNNNNNNNNNNNNNNNNNNNNNNNNNNNNNNNNNNNNNNNNNNNNNNNNNNNNNNNNNNNNNNNNNNNNNNNNNNNNNNNNNNNNNNNNNNNNNNNNNNNNNNNNNNNNNNNNNNNNNNNNNNNNNNNNNNNNNNNNNNNNNNNNNNNNNNNNNNNNNNNNNNNNNNNNNNNNNNNNNNNNNNNNNNNNNNNNNNNNNNNNNNNNNNNNNNNNNNNNNNNNNNNNNNNNNNNNNNNNNNNNNNNNNNNNNNNNNNNNNNNNNNNNNNNNNNNNNNNNNNNNNNNNNNNNNNNNNNNNNNNNNNNNNNNNNNNNNNNNNNNNNNNNNNNNNNNNNNNNNNNNNNNNNNNNNNNNNNNNNNNNNNNNNNNNNNNNNNNNNNNNNNNNNNNNNNNNNNNNNNNNNNNNNNNNNNNNNNNNNNNNNNNNNNNNNNNNNNNNNNNNNNNNNNNNNNNNNNNNNNNNNNNNNNNNNNNNNNNNNNNNNNNNNNNNNNNNNNNNNNNNNNNNNNNNNNNNNNNNNNNNNNNNNNNNNNNNNNNNNNNNNNNNNNNNNNNNNNNNNNNNNNNNNNNNNNNNNNNNNNNNNNNNNNNNNNNNNNNNNNNNNNNNNNNNNNNNNNNNNNNNNNNNNNNNNNNNNNNNNNNNNNNNNNNNNNNNNNNNNNNNNNNNNNNNNNNNNNNNNNNNNNNNNNNNNNNNNNNNNNNNNNNNNNNNNNNNNNNNNNNNNNNNNNNNNNNNNNNNNNNNNNNNNNNNNNNNNNNNNNNNNNNNNNNNNNNNNNNNNNNNNNNNNNNNNNNNNNNNNNNNNNNNNNNNNNNNNNNNNNNNNNNNNNNNUGAAACCCAAAUGAAAAGUUUGAGUCUGCAAAUGUGCUUUUAUCCUUAGUUUGAGUGUGGGACAUUUUCUCUUCUGAAUGUUCUCUAAGAAAAUCCUAUAAAUCAUUUAACUGAAGUAGGGUCCUUGAUCGAAAAUGAGUCAUGAAUUUCAUCUCCAGAGCCACUAUCAGUCAUUUUAAUAUUAUCUGAAAUUGGAGAGAACGCCAUAUAUCCUGUAUCAUGGUCAUUUUUCAAUCGGUUAUCUUCCUCUUUUCCUUUGUUUUUUCUCCUCCAUGUGGGUCUAGUCUGGAAAUGCAAUUGCCUGAUGACCAGAAUUGAAGAGAAACGGAUGCCAUUGCCUGACCAGCAGAAUUGAAAAGAAAUCUCAGUGGGAUGUUUAGAUUUAUUUUCGUUAAAAGGUAAACAUCAACCUUUUCAAUAAAGUUUGAAUCUGUAAGUAAGCGUAAAUAUUCGGAUAAUCUUCAACAAACCAAAAAAAUCUUUUUACAUUUUGUUUUUUCUUUGUUACCUUUGUGAUUUGACUUCGUUUGAUGAUCUCGGUUGGGGUUAAUUUGAAAAGAUUGGUUUAUUAUUGCCAUUGACAACUUGGUUUCUCUCUUUAAACAAUUAUUUGGAACUAACAAUAAGUUUACAUACGUCUUUGGUAAAGGCAUAAAGCACAUAAGCAUUAAAGAAAUUCAUCAUACAUACAUAAAAAGGAUAUGAAAAAUAUCUUUCAUUUUUUAUGUUAUUCAGAUUCGAAUGUUAGAUAUGUUAUAUGUACAAUACAAUAAUGUAUUUUUUUCAAUUAAUUCUUUUUUAUAUUUGGAUUGUCUAACCUCCAUAUCUACAUUCAUUGUAUAUAUAUCAAACACAAUUACUUUAAAAGAAACGAAGAAUCCAACAAUUAACAUAGUUCAUUGACGCCUAGACCUUAACCUUCAUAUUGAGCCCCUAGUGCUUUUUAGUUUAUCCUCUUCUAUUCUUCUAUGGUGCUUUUUAACUCCUCUUUUGAUUGUCUCUGCCUUGGGCCCCAAAGGCUUUCAAAAUUUUUGGCGGGGUCUUGGCCCCCACACGCUUCCACAACGGUCCGCCAUGUAGUUUCAAUGAGGGACUUAUCCAGAAGCAAGGAAAGAAAGAAACAGAACUAAUGGCAGAC